rnacentral:lncRNA from 1 species
UGAUAUACUAAAUGAAAGCAAAAACGAUAAUUGCAUGAUAUAUAAGCAUGAUGCUAACAAGUAAUGAGCAUGUAAUCAACAUGUAAUAGCUUUCUACAGUAAUGAAUCAUUUGCAUAAUAUAGCAACUUCUGUAAUCAUGAACAUAAAUAUGAAUAUAAGCACGAAUGUGAAAGUAACUACUGUACACUUUAACUAGUAAGCAUUCAUUACUGUCCUCUGUCAUUUAGUACUUUCACCUCAAUAGAGUUUUCCUUUCAUUCAUCAGGACCUACCCAAGGUAGUCUGGCUUGCGCCGCGCCUAAUGAUCCCGUGGUAGUAUGCACUCCCCACGGCAUUCCACUUCGGCACCCAAUCCCGCACGGGCGAGCAACUGUCGCGUAGGCCAAUUCCGGAGUGCCGGCUUGUAGGGAGCGACCCUCACAAGCGUGUGCGAAUGAGCACGAUGGCAAGCAAGCAUAUUCCACUGUCCACAUGUCUUAAUUAUCAUAUUUUUAUUUGCAAUGUUCUUACCCUCGAUUCUCUGAUCAGAAUUUCAAUAUACAAUGAGUAACAAGAACUAGUAUCCACUAGAAUGUAAACAUAUAAGAGUAAUGCGAAAUCACAUGGCAUUAUAAUCUUUUCCCUAUUAUGGCACUGUCAACAUAGUUAUAAGCAUGUCAUAAUUCUCUACUUUAGAGUCAAGAGAAUGUCAUUGUUCUCUACUUUAUAAGUGCAUCCUACACUUGUUGAUAAGUCAUUCUACAGUAUUAAACAUGAUCAUAAAUACUUUUAUGCAUGCAGUCUCUCUACUUCAUCUCUACUUCAUAGAGGUACAAUGUCAAACAUAUCAAACAUGGUGGCAAAGAUGUCCAAAUUCAUAUCAAUCACAUAGUCGCAAAAAGCGCAUUACAAAACCCAUUCUAUAGUGACAUAUAGAACAUAGGGGAGCUUCACUUGCUCUGGUUAGAUCAAACCCACCUAUCACUAAGUUCAAAACAGUCCAACCGAAGCUCGAACUCAGCUCAAACGGUCUCUGGAUCUGCUGAAAAUAAAGCAUCAAAACCGCGUCGAAACGAUUAUUUAAUAAUCCAAUUUCGACUCCAAUUACACAUAGUACAAUGUGAUAACUUAAUUCCCUGCUUCGAGCUAGCUCAAUACCUCAAGUUGAGUCUUCAAGAGCUUUCACGAAUCAGUUGAAGUUACUCCAAGAGUCGAUCGCACUCUUGCUGCGAACAAUAUCAAAACGGUGUUAGAAUGCUAGUAUACUAGCUAAAAUAGCCGAAUUCUUAUAAAAUUAAAUUUCUAGCAGUAAUUCCUGCUUACCCUGGGUUAGAACACCUUCUAAACCAGUCCCCAAUGUCACCAAUUAGCUCAGUUUAAUUCAAAAACCUGCUGCGAACAGCGAUUUCAAAAUCAGCCACUAUUCGAAUAAUUAAGCCUCGAUUACGGAAAAAGGUUGAGUCGAUUACCUCUUCAAGCCUCUAACCAGUAAACUACUGGUUCAGGGCUGCGAAAAACUUUCCAAAAUACUCUCUCACACAUCCACGUAGGUUCAGCGACGCUCGCAACCAGCGGAAAACCAACAUUGCGACGAAAACGAGUGAAAUCGGCGAUUUCUUUAUAGAGAGAGAAAAACCCUAGAGAGAGAGAGAGAAGAAGGUGGAAGAACCAUCCCCUGAGAUCCAGCAACCCUUACUGAGCUCCUGCAGUCGUGUUGGACAUAAGGGAUAAGAACAUAAAACAAAAAGACCAAAAGGACCCUGCUGCCACGCACCUGCUGCAGCUGCAUUAUGCUGUACCGGUACAGCAUAAUGCCUGUAUCGGUACACAAUGAAAAAUUCGAAGAUAAUGCCACAGCAAUGCACUUUCUUGCUUUUGGCCAUCCAAUCAGUCUCUAACUUGUCCGAAAACUUGUCCAAGCCUUUAGAACAUGUAGGAUAGUUCCACAACUCAUUCCACACACUCGAACUCCGCAAUUUGCAAAAGUUCAGUGUAUUACAGCGAUACACCACUUCUUCUUGAUUAGGCUCACGAAAAGUGAUCACCUUACUCGCACAAUCAAUAACCGCAUAGUACUUGGAGAGCCAAUCGAUCCCCAAGAUUACAUCAAAUUCUCACAUUUGGUUUAACACUAGUAAGUUUGCCGGCAUGAUCCAAUCACCUAUCAGGACUGGACAAGCCACGCACUCCUCGUGAACACUAACAGAAUGCUCUGGUGCCUCAACCCACCAAUAAUCCGGGCUAUACAACACCUCAAUGCCAUGAGUCUUAGCGAAUGAUGCACCGAUGAAUGAAUGAGAUGCACCUGUAUUGAAUAAUGCUCUAGCUCUAGUGUCAUUGAUUAGAACAAUACCUGCCACAACGUCAUCUGGAACUGCAGGCUCCUCUACCUGUGUCACGCCCCGGGACCCAGCGGAAGCCCGCCCGAUGCGUGCCCAGACAUGCCAUAUGUCUACAAUAUAUAAGGCGUCUACAACAAAGCGAUAAAUAAAGCAAUAAUAAAUGAGCAUCUAGUAGUAUCAGAGCAUAUAACGACUAGAUUCUAGAAUAAGGAGGUAAAUAAAAGAGCUAAUCCACUAAGAUAAAACCAUGAAGUAGUAUAAUAAGGAACCCAAAUACAAGAGCUAAUCAUAACAAAAUGGUGGUCUCUAUACAUGGAUACAAAACUCUCACUCUCUACAUCAAGUACAAAAAUGGAGAGAUGAACCACCUAGCAGAAAAAUACUUCUCGCUAUCUAGCUAGUUGCGAUUCCUUUUCCACGAUCCCGAGCCUCUCUCGGGGUGGAUGACCCUGUAAAACAUCAAUAAACAGGGGGGUGUGAGAACUAUUAAACAAUAGUUCCCAGUGGAUAAUUACUGACCUCAAUGAAUUGCACCACUAGGCUAAAAAGCAAAAGUAGUAAGUUCUAACAAUUAAUGGAAAGAACAACAUGUAUAUGAAAUAUGAAAUAAGCUCACUAACUACUAUGCCUCCAUUUUAGCAUAAAUUUUCACAAUAUAAAUGCUAUUCUAACAUGAAUGUGCAUAAGUAUAACCAACAUGAUGUCCACAAUGUAACAAGUAAAAUGUCAUUGUUUACUAAUUUGUCUAAUGUCCACUUUGCAUUUUAGUUCAAUGCUAUUCCAAUCAUGUAGGACCUACCCGUGGGUAGUCCGGCUUGCGCUGUGCCUAAUGGCCCCGUGGUAGUCAACAUCCCCACCCUAGGAAUGAGCCUCCCUCAUGGCAUCCCAUUUCGGCGCCCAAUCCCGCACAGGCGAGCUUAUGUCGCGUUGGCUAUCUCCGGAGUGCCGGCUUGUGGGGAGCGACCCUCACAAGCAUGUGCGAAUGAGCACAAUGGCAAGCAAGCGUAUAAGUCCGUCUCAAGUCCAAUGUCAUCAUAUCUAAAAUAUGGAAUAAAAGCUAUUGACCCAAAGGCCUAUCUCUAUGUCAACAUAUAGAAGUUUAACCAUUCACUAGGUUGAAUGUCUCUUUAUGGCAUUUUAUCCACGAUGUCAAACAUGAGUUUUAUAUCCAAGAGCACAUUAUUCUAGUCAUUUCCUUUGCAAGAAACAUGAUUCCAAACCAUAUAAUAGAAUGCUAUUCUUAUGCAUGCUAACAGCGCAUAUAUCUCUCUCUACUAUAUAGAGGUAAUUUUCAUAAAAUAUAGCACAUGUAUCGUAAGCAUUCUAAAUAUCUAGUAUGCUCUAUCUAGCAUGAAUAUGCAUGCAUUUCUAUUUUACGACAAUUAAAAAUUGACAUAGAUGGAGUUUUUCUCUUUUCGAUGAGGCCAAACCCACCAAGACUCCUCAUAACCCUUCGUUUGUGCCGAUGAAGGUGUCCACUACACUCCUAGCUCCCUAAAGGUAAUAUUGAGAGAGUUAAACGCAACAAACGAACAACCAUAAGGUCAAACUUUAAUCAACCUAAGAAAAGGGUAAAAACUCACCUUGUAAGGUGAAACCCUCUCUCAAUCUCCAAAUGAGAGCAAGAUCCUCUCAAAUCCAACCUAAACAAAGGUUCUAAACCAAUCAAUUGAGUUCUAGAAGCUACAAAUCAAAAAUCGCCAAAAUAAAUCCUAAAUUUCAUAUUCUAGGGUUUCAACCUUAAAAAUCGACCAAAAUAUGAUCCAAAUGAGGAAUCAUAGAUACUAACCUCUCUAGAAGCUUCAAACCACACAAGAAACCAGCUAGGGUUGAAGAUCCUUCCUCUAUCAAGCUCCAAUCACGAAAUCAAAGCUUCUCCAAAGGUGGAAAUCCAACAUGAAGCAAAAAAGAGCAAAGAGAGGAGAUCAAACCAAGCAAAAUCCUCAAAAAAAGGAGAAAAUCCAAGGAGAGGAGUCCUACCUGGGUUCUCCACGGUUUAGGGCUCAAAGGGGGGUUUAAAUAGAAUGGCAACAUUUGCAAAAAUACCCUCCAACAACGAGGAGUCUGCACUGCACUGCGUACCAGUACACGGGAAAGAGUAUCGGUACCAAGUCAGCCUGACAGCAAACCCGAGCCUCGGGUUCGCAGAAAAAUACACUGGGUACCGGUACAAGUCUGAUGCUGUACCGGUACCGGGUUUGGUUUCAGUACAGGCCCGAUGCUGUACCACUACUCUGCUCUGCAGAGUCCAACCCGAGAGCAGCAAACAAUCUUCACUUUAGAGACUUUGGUGCUAAGUUUUAAAUUUCGAUUCUCGGGAUGCGAGCCAUAGGUCAGAACACUGUCAACGACCCUCCAGAAGAUGUGAAAAAGUUCGGAAUACAAAUCAAACACUCGAACCUUGUAAUUUGUAAAGAUCCAGUGUGUUACAUUCACCCCUCCUAAAAAGGAGUUUCGUUUGCGAAACUAAAAAGGCAAAGUACCUCAAGACUCCAUCUGAAAAAGAUGGGGAUAGCGCUCCUGCAAUGCACUUUCCAACUCCUACGUGGCCUCCCGCUCCUCGUGGUUGCUCUAAAGAAUCUUUACAUACGGAAUAUCUCGAUUCCGAGGUUUCUUCACCUCGCGAGCCAAAAUCCUCACAGGUUGCUCUUCAAAGCUCAAAUCAUCUCUCAGCUCCAAUGGUGUAGCAUCCAAAACAUGAGCCAGAUCGAAGAUAUACUUCCGAAGGACCUAUAUAUGAAAAAUAUUGUGUACACCCGAUAGGUUCGGUGAUAAAAUAAGUCGAUACGCUACCGGGCCUACACGCUCCAAAAUCUCGUAUGGUCCAAUGAAACGGGGCUCAACUUACCCCGAAUUUCAAAUCUCCUGAUUCCUCUAAUCGGCGAGACCUUCAAGAAAACAUGGUCUCUAACUUGGAACUCCAAGUCUCACCGUCGUCGAUCGGCAUAGCUCCUCUGUCUACUCUGAGCAGUCAGCAAACGCUCCCGAGCAAAGCGAACCUUGUCCUCAGCUUCCUGGAGUACAUCAGGGCCUAAAGCCAAUCUCUCGCCUACUUCACUCCAAUGAAGUGGCGAUCUACACUUCCGUCCAUAAAGUGCUUUGAAGGGUGCCAUCUUGAUACUUGCUUGAUAACUAUUGUUAUAAGCAAACUCCGUCAUAGGUAGAUGCUUUGACCAUCCUCCCUGAAAGUCUAUCACACAUGCUCGAAGCAUAUCCUCUAGUGUCUGUAUAGUGCGCUCAGACAGCAUUUCACUCUGAGGGUGAAAUGCUGUACUGAAAUCCAAUCGAGUGCCUAAGGCGUUCUGCAGACUCCUCCAAAAAUGAGACACAAAUCGGGGGUCUCGAUCAGAUACAAUAAAAGUAGGCACCCUGUGAAGUCACACAAUCUCAUCAAAGUACACUUGUGCGAGCUUUUCCCCUGUCCAAGUCGUGUGAAUAAGUAUAAAAUACGCCGAUUUCGUCAACCUAUCCACGAUCACCCAAAUAGCAUCAUGCCCGGCCUGAGAGCGAGGCAAUCUCAUAACAAAAUCUAUGUUGAUCUUUUUCCACUUCCAAACGGGAAUCGGUAAACUCUAAAGUUUUCCCGCGGGAACUCGGUGCUCGACUUUCACUUGUUGGCAAGUCAAACAUCGAGCUACAAACUCCUUUUAAUUUUGAGGUUUGAUCUCUUCCCCAUCUUCCUCUUCAUGGUGGCAAGCUUGGAGACCUUGGAGGGAGUUUGGUUGAGAGGAGAGGAGCUUCUUGGAGGAUUUAUCUUCAACCCUAGCUCAAGAUUGUUUGAUUUUGAGCUCUCUUGAAGGUUAGUAUUCUUCUUGCAACUUCUAUUUGUGAUUUUUACAAGAUUUGGAGAUGAAAAUCUAGUUUUGGGAAAACUAGGGUUUAUUUUGGGGUUUCUUGAUUUGGAGCUUUUGGAAUCUAAUUGAUAAGUGUUGAACUCUCAUUGAAGUUGGAUUUGAAGAUCCAUUGAGUUGAUUCGAGCUUUGAACAAGUGUAGCUUGAUCAAAGAUAAUUUUCACCUCUUUUCUAUGUAAUUUUUGUUGAAUUUUGUUUGAUGUUCGUUCAAGGCUUGUAACCCUCUUAGAAAUUCUUUUAGGGUGCUAGGAGCUUGGUCGACAACUUCGUUCAAAGGAACGAAAGGGUUCGAAGUUCUUCCGAUGGGUUUGACCUCACCAAAAUGGAUGAACUCCCCCUAUGUCUUCCCUAUGAUUUUAAGACAUAUUUAGAUGCUUAUUCAUGUUUAAUAUGAUAUGCUAGAAUUUAUAAAAACAUAAUACAUACAUGUUAUGUAUAGUUAAAUUUAAUGCUCUAUGUAGUAGAGGCUUAUAUGUGAUUUGUGCAUGAACUAGCACUAUUUGAUGAAUUCGCUCUUAAGCGACCAUAGAAAGCUAUCUAGUGAAUAACUUAGCAAAGUGAUUAUCUCACAUGUUGAGAUAUACUUGUGUAGACAAGGAAAUGUGACAUUGUGACCUAGUGAAUAACAAGGUUAAACAUGAAGCUAAGUAUGUUGUAUUUGACCUAGUGGAAUGCAUAGGGCUUGAUAUUAUGACAAGGAAUUGACUUCGAGAUCAAUAGCAUUGCUUCAUGACUUUGACAUGUGAAAUGAUUGAGACUUAGCAAGUAGUUGCUUGUUGAGAUAUACUUGUGUAGACAAGGUAAAGUUGACAUUGUGACAUAAGUGCAUGAUAGGGUCUAUAUGAAACUAAGUUUGAUAAAUCUAAUCUAGUUGAACAACUAGUAUGUGACAUUGUGAUAUUGCAAUCGAUCUAGGGAUCGAUAAUUGCAUUCCAUGUAGUAGACAUGAGGAUAAUGAUUGGAACGCCCUUUGGCGAAUGACAAGAUGGAUAAUUGCAUGUGGCAUUAAUUGAAUGAAAUCACUUGCAUAAAAAUUUAUUACUCCUUGUAGCCGAGGCCUUGUUGGUAGAGUAUAUGCAUGACAUACAUCAUGGACAUUGUAAGCAUCUUGUAAAUACCUAUGCAUUUGGCAUAAGAAAGUGAUUCCCUUAACUAUUGUGGAAUAGUAUAUGUGCGGGCUCUCAUUGGAGACUUGAACCUUAGUGAAUUAUCCUAGAUAGGAUAAUGACAAGAGUUAUGUACUUAUGAACUAGUGACUUAUACUUGACAUAGUAAACCAUAAUGUCAUAAAGUGGCAUUGGACUUAGUAAACGCUUAAACUUUUACACCAUUACAUAGAACUAGACCUUUGCGUUGCUAGUAUUUAUUCUAUGUUGGAGACAUGAAGACCAUGUACGUGAGAUGAUGAUCACGCUUGCAUGCCAUUUGUGCUUAUUCACACAUGCUUGUGAGGGUCGCUUCCCACAAGUUGGCACUCUAGAGUUGGCUUAUGUGAUAUAUACUCGCCCGUGCGGGAUUCGGUACCUACUGGAUUGUUGUGGGACAGGCUCAUUCCUUACGGGGGAAUGUUGGACUACCACCGGCCAUUAGGUACGGCACAAGCUGGACUACACUUGUGUAGGUCCCAAGUUGAGAUUGGAUAAUGACAUUCAACCAUUAAUGUGACUAUAACCCCUAAAUGGUAUAUAGUAGUUGGACUAUUGGACACAUAUGAUAGUGUAUAUUGUGGACCUCAUGAUAGGCAUCCAUGGCGUUGACACUUUAGUGGUAGUAUAUUAACAUCUAUGUUGAUUAGCAUAGACGCAAGGAUAGAAUAGCAUUGAAAGCAUAAUUUACUCUUUGUAGCCUUAUGGACAUAAUGAAUAUGCAUGUAAUUAACAUUGGCAUAUAGUUGAAUAUGCAUGUAAUUGACAUUGGCAUAUAGUUGAAUAUGCAUGUAAUCGACCUUGGCAUAUAAGGGAACAUAUGAAAUUAGAACAACAUAUACUUGAUAGUUAAUCUUUUAGUUGAGGCAUGACUAUAGAAUGAACAUGUUUAAUUUUGCUUGCUUUCCAUUUAUUGUUUUAUUAUAACCUUAGCAUGCCUAAGUUGGCCCAGUGGUGUAUUUCGCUGAGGUCAACGGCUUGCCCACUGGGAACUAUUGAUUAAUAGUUCUCGCUCCUUCUGUUUUGUUGUUUUAUUUCAGAGCCUUCCGCGACGGGAAAGGCUAGGGAUCAUGACAAGAGGUUAGCGACUAGCUAGGGCCCCUACAGAAAUAUUUUAGAGGGACCCGACAUCAUCUUUCUUUUUGUAUCUUGUAGGAAAAUGUUUUAUGUAUUUGAUUUAGAGAUGUUGUUAAUCUCCUGGAUUUAGUUGUAUACAUUUUGUAUAUUCAUUUCUUGUGGAUCUCUUUGUGUUAGAUCAAUAGUGAUUUUAUAUUACUCGCUCUCGUAGCCUUAUUAGGACUUUACUGUGUUCAUUUCUUGUUUUAGUAGACGCCUUGUGUGCAUUGUGGUUGUUUGGUGUACACGGUGAGUCUGUGCAUGCGCCGGCGGGCUUCCGCUGGGCCUGGGGCGUGACAAUCACGCUGCGGGCAUGCCGACGGUCGAUAAUCACCGCCACAAAUAGCACAAGGCCUCCAACUCUUCGACUGCUGCCGAGGAUACCGAGGGGGCUUCUUUGCAUUCGACCGACCCCCGGCACUACCCGCUGCCUGUUUUUUCCCUUUGUCCCUAGACUCGGCCAUAGACUCGCGUUCCUCUCGCGCGUAGGCAUUGCCGUGCUCCGCCCACAAUGCUCAAUCAAAGACCUCUGCAAAAGUCGUAAGCUUGAACAAUUGCACGGCCUUAUAAAUCUCCGGCCGAAGUCCUCGCAAGAACCAAUCGGCCCGGUCCUGAUCGUCUCAAACCACAUCCGGGACGCAAUCGAUAAUGUGGAAGAACUCCUGCUCAAAGUCUCCCACCGUACGGUCUCCUUGCCUUAACUUGCGAAACCUGUCAUGUAGCUUCCACUUCACUGUAUCGGGGAAAUAGUUUGCGAACAUCAACCUCCGGAACUCCUCCCAAAGCAUAGGCGGAAGGUCGGGAGAUCGAUCGUGCUUCACCCGUUUCCACCACACCUUCGCCGCCUUCUCCAAACAAUGGGUGGCGAGGUGCACCUUGUCCUUCUCCAAGGUAUAGAUAUCCUCGAAGAGUGACUCCAUCGCAUCGAUCCAUGACUCCACCAUUGACGGUUCCAUCUUUUCCCUGUCAAACAUAGGUGGGCUAAACUUUUUGAACAUAACGAGACCGCAAGUGCACGCUCCCGCUCCGCCUCCAUAGCCGCACUAUCGGUAUUUGAGGUUCCUGAACCAGCCGGCACCGCCACAACUGGCACCGCCGCCGCCGCCGCCACAACCUCGGCCGCGCUCGGCACCACUGUAGGUGUAAUGUAUCGGAUUCUUAGUAUAAAAGUAAAUGUAAAUAAAAAUAGUGUAAGAUACUAUUUUUAUUGGACUUAAAGAAGUAAAAUAUAAGUCGAAAAUGACUUAUGCUGAAAUCAGAAUAGAAACAGAAGAUUUAAAAUUUUCUAUAAAGAACGGGGCUGAUAUUUUAGCAGAAAAUUUACAGUGUCAGAAAAUUAUGAAAAUCUAGAAAUAUGUCGGGAUUAUUUUUAUGAGGCUAGAUUUAAAGUUUCAUAUCAUUCCGACACCCGAAAAGUGAAAAAUAAAAUCUAACUGCUAUCUGCUAGAGAUUCUAGUUGGUAGGGCUUUCGGUGACAAAAAAUGAUCGAAACUGAGAAGUUAAGAUAUCUUUCUUUUUAUUAGCUUAAACUGAGUCUGACUGUUAAAUUUGAGCGCAAACAGACAUUCAGAAGGGCUCCGGCAAAAAGAAACAGAUUCUGAGCUGCUAAACUGAAAUUGUGUUAAUAUUGUGGGGGACUUUUAUAAAAAAGGGUUUUGACCCUUUCUUCUUCCUCCCACAGCCAACACACUCCACACAAACACACACGUAUGGAAAGGGAGAGAGAAACCCUCCCUUUCUCUCUCUAGAUAUCUCCCUACUCUCUUUAUCUCUCUCUCCCAAAUUCGGAGGCUUGGUGGAGAGCGGGAUUGGGAACGCGUGUGUAGCGUCGGAUCGGGUCUUCAUGCGCCCGGUUGAGCGGCAUGCUUUCGACUCGGCGUUCGCAAUUUUAGUAAGUGUUUAGGAUUUGGUUUAAUCCUUGAUGCUUAGUGUUAUAAUGGUCUCUAAAGUAUUUCUAGCAUGUUUCUCCUUUUGAUUUUGGGUUAUUUGGAGAUUAUUUUCAUGCUAGGGUUAGAGAUGAGGGUUUUGGGAUUUGAAGGAUUUUGAUCUCAUUUAACCCUUUAGCACUCUAAUUGAAGGCUAGAAAGGAGCCCUUGAAGACCCUAGGUUGCGGAUUGAUGUUCGGUUGCCGAUUGCGAGUUCGGGUCCAACCGGACCACGUGUGCCGCGGGAGGCCGAUUGCAAGUGACUACAAGCAAUCGGAGAGCGUUGCGAGGUGGGUUGUGCUCACAGAAGAUAUUAGCUCACUUCCAUAUCGAAGUGGAAUGUUGUUUAUCAUUGAUGCAUAUAAUGGUAGUUGGUUGCAAAACAUGUGGUUGCAUGAGAUAAAUGCUAUAAUUGAAUUACCAUAGAUGAUAAUGAUGAUGUAUGGUUACUAUUGAUGCAUGUAUGUAUAUUUGGUAGGUUGUACAUGAUAAUGUGAAUGUAGGAAUCAUAUUAUAUUUGAUGUUGUUACCUACCAUAAGAUGCUAAAUGAAUGCAUGACAUAGAGGCUGUAUGAAUGCAUGAGAUGGAAUAUGCAUGUUGAUAUAUUGUGGAUUUUGUUAGAUGAAUAUGCAUGAUGAUAUGUUGUAGCAUAUGCUAGAUUCAAGUAGAUGUGAACUUGGGUCGAUAACUCUAGGUUGAUUAGAGAGUUCGACAUUGGAAAACAAGAACAUGAAAACUAUAAUACUCGAUGCGGGCUAGUAGGAUGUCAAGUAGAUCGAGUGGCAUUUGGAACUAGUGUAGUAAAAACACUAUGACAUAAACAUAGGGAUAUUAGAAUUCUCGAGUUGUUGUGAUAUGACUAUGAAACUAGUGUAGUAGAGACACUUGUGACAUGAGUAUUGGGAUUAGUGGAUUUCCCAUGUUGUUGUUAUCCCUAGUAGACAAGGUAUCCUCGAGUGAGAGGAUUAGAUCAUACUCACAUAAUCUGUUUCAUCUUGGCGUGGUCGCCCCACCCAAGUAGUGAGCUCCAGAGUAGUAGUCGCGUUUUGGUAACAUGAUUACCCAGCAGACGGUCUCGGGUGUGUGUAGCGCAAAGUCUCCUUACCUAUGAGAUUUGAGAUGUGAGUCGGGCUUAACCUUUUGGUUUUUCAGUGAGAUUGGGUGGCAUUCUUGUGAGCUAUGGAUGAAUCCCAGCAAAGUGGAUUGGCAUCCCAGUUGGUAUCCCAGUUAAGUGGAUUUAAGGCUGAGGUGCAUGUGAGACGUCCUUCACCUCGAGUCUGGCUUUACGCGGUACUCCGCGGAUGAUUGAUUCAAGACCGAGUCGAGUGGAUAGCUUUGUAAAGGUAGAUGAAACCUUGUGAGCAAACAGUAAAGGUAGAUGAAACCUUAUGAGCAGAAUUGUAAUUGACAUGAAUCUAAGAUAGAGGAAAACUUAGAUGUCAUUUCGAUGAGCAAUAGAUAGCGAGACAGAAAGUAGAAGCAGUUGAUCUACUUAUAUUGUUGCACGUUGAGUUGCACGACUUACAUUGAUGCAUGUUGAGUUGUAUGAUUUGUAUUGUUGCAUGUUGUGAGGCAUGAACAUGAUAAAUGUUAGUUGCAUAAAAUAUUUGAUGAAAAAUAUAUAUUUGUGGAUAUUUGUUGGACUAACAUGUUUGCAGUGCCUCAUUCGGACCUAGUGGGUCGAGCUCUUCCCUUGGGUGGCCAUACCCAAUGGGAACUAUGGACAAUAGUUCUCACCUCACGUUAUUUUGGGGAUUACAGGUUCACACGCGAGCGGCACGGCGGCGCUAGGAAAGAGCGUAGCUUCAUGAUAGUGCUCUACCACAGAGACUAGAGAUAGCAUUAUCCCAAGUCAGCCUAGCUAGGGGUUGUAGAGUUGAAAGAAAACAAUGUUGCAAUAGUCAUGUGAUAACUUGGUUGUAUUUGGAAGAUUGGAACAAAUGUAAUACAAAUGUUAAACCUGGGACGAAUGCUUGUAAUAGCAUAGUUGCAUUUAUAUUUUUGAUACUUCCUUAUACAAUCCUUGUUUGAUUACUGUUACUCGUUGGAACCUCGUGUUUGUAUGGAUUGUGAUGCCUAGGACGUGCAGGAGAUACUCUGUCCAUUCGGCGGUCUGUCGGCGUCCCUGAAUCCGACCAAAUAGGCGGAUCUCGGGGCGUGACAGCAGAGUGCGCAGGGUGCUUGGCCCCUACUUGGGCCGCCGCCUGCUGUCGCUUUAAGGUCUCUUGAAACCUUUGAAUUUGCUCUCCUUGGCGUUGCACGGACUCCGCUUGUUGUCGCACUACUCCAAUACGUGCAGACAUUUGCUCCCGAAGCUCCCCAUCGCCACUCGCUCCGGAUUGCUCAGGAGCCGCACUCGGUUCCUCGGGCAUCGACCUUAUUCGGGGUCGACCACGAGACAUUGCCUCCUGAAAUGUAGCAAUUUACAUUAGCUACACGACUAACACUACUCAAACAAACCCAAUCCGACGAAAGCAAACAAGUGUAUUUAUCCUCGCUCCAAAGCAUAAUGUUGUCGGCCGCCCAACACAAUACAAGGAGUAGAGAACAAAUAUCAACUUGGAUUAGCCCCUAACCACAUUAGAGACAUACUAACUUCAACCUAAUCACAAAGCUUUCGCUAUAAUUGAUUCCACAUCACUCUCGUUUCUUAGAUCCUUAAGUUUUCCAUUCCUAAGGGUCUCUAGGUCCAUCCUAUACUUUCACUUUUCAGGCUCUGAUACCAUUAUAUCUGUCACACCCCGGGACCGGCCUAUUUGGUCGGUUUGGGCACGUCGAACAGACGUCGAACGGACAGCAUCUCCCCUAUCCGCCCAAGGCUCAACGCAAGUACAGAUCAAGUAUAUAGUUUGCACAAGCGGAAACAUAAACUUACUUGGCUUGCACGAGGGCAAGCAAUAGCCAAAAGUGAAAGUACUGACUAAGCCUCCAUACAAGUAUAAUGAUUACCUUUUAAUCACAUACAUACAUUCUACCACAAGUUACAUUUACAAUCUUUUCAUCAUUUCUUUUCCAUCACAUAAUCUCCCAAAAUAUAAACUUUUACAUUCAAACAUAAGCUCUCUUUACAUCAUUCAUAAUAUUAGCAUCAUCAAAUACAAAAGAUGAUAUAUAGAGGGUAUGAAACUAAACAAGUAAGAACCCAACUCGAGUGGUCACUAGCUAUGGCGCGAUACUUUUACCGCGAUCGUCAGCCGGCUCACUCGGUCCCGGCUCUGUGGAAAAUAGUGGGGUGAGAAGUACAACCAAGUUUCCAGUGGGUUCGGCCGCCGACCUCGCCGACUUUCCCACUAGGUCUAAAUCAGGCAUAAUAGAAGAAUAACAGAUAAAUAGUAACCAACUAAAUAAAUGCAACUAAUAUGCCUGAACAAGAUAUAAUCAAUAAAGAUGCUCAAAUAGAAUGCUCAUGAUGAAUGCAAGAUCUCAUUGUCCAUUACUCAAUUUCUUGGCUAACCGAUAGGUUUCGCCCUCAAUAGACUCACCAACUCAAAUCCCUAAUAUCGGGAAGAUACUCGCCACAACCCGAAGGGAUCGUCCUCUAGGAAAAACACCAAUCCAGUGAUGACACUCCGGAGCUCAUCGCUCGAGGUGGAGAUACCACUCUCGAGCCAAGACUUAUAGGCGAGUAUGAUCCAAUCCUUAACUUUAAAGAUGUCAAGUUCAAUCCAUUCCUUAACUAUAAGGAUGCAAUACUCAAUCAAACCUUAUCUAUAAGGUUGCCUCAACUAUGAGGUCGUUAUGUCACUAUAUUAAUUAAUAAAAUAAUUAACAAUGUAUGCUGUUAAUUAGUAAUUUAAUUAACCACAAGUAAUUUAAUUAAUUCAUUAAUUAAUUUAUGGUCAGAUAAUUAGUUAAUAAAAUAAUUAUAUUGGUCAACUAUUAUAUUAAUUAAAAAGCUAAUAAAAUAAUUAAAAUUAUAUCUUCUUUAAUUAAGUUUGUUCUCAAGUUAGAACAAUCUUGCUUUUCAAAAAAGCUAGAACAAUAGUUCCAAGUUUAUACCAAUUUAUACAAGUUUAUUCUACAAAACUGAAAACGACUGUUCGUGAGCUCCCAAAAUAGUGUUUGAGAACAAGUGGGGGGCCGAAUAAGGGUUUAUUCACUCACUUGUUCCUCAACCAAUUACACUCUCGGAAAGUUUAGUUGCCUGCUUGAUAUAAGUGCCAUUGUCUUAAUUGGCAUGCCACGAGAGGGGAACUCGUUUACGUCUCAGCAAAUUUGUUUCAGGGAAGAUGAUUUAGUUUUAGGGCAUAUAUAUCAAUGAAAAAAAUUAGUUUUUUAUGGACAUGCAAAAUUGGAUAUUAAUAUUCAUGUAGCUAGCACUCUAAUAGUCUUAUAUUAGGUACUUUGAAAAUUUAGUUUCUUUUAUAAUGACGUUCUCUAGGGUUAAAUUCACUGAAAUUAUCAAAACUUUCAUAUUUUCCACCCGAAUUUUAAAAAUUUGCAACAACCUAGAGUUAGAUUUUAUAAACAUAAAGUGGUUAACAUUAGCCAAAUGUAAUAAAUGGCGAAUGCCAGCAACAUUGAAGUGACUAUUUGAUGUUAAAAUACAAUAUUACAUUUUGAAAAUUAAAUUUUAACAUUUGAUUUUACAAACUAAAUGUGAUAAAUAUGAUCACUUACAGAAGAACACUCAUUAAUACUGUUGGUAUGCAUUCUUUUUUUUUUUCCCUUAGUAAUUGACUAAUGCUAACUUACUUUAAAUUGAUAAAAUAUAAUUUUUUUAUUAAAUACAAAUUUAUCUAAUUAAAUAUGAAAUUUAAAAAUUUCAUAAAAUUUUUAAAUUUUAGAUGAUUAUUUAUAAAUCAAAAAAAGUUGAGUGGCUCUUAUAUCUUUAAAACUUCUAUUAAAUUGGCAAGCCAUGGAACCUCGUAGCUUUUGGUUCGGAAAUAAGGGGAGGAACAAGCCCUUAUUCUUUCUUUUGGUCCCAAAACGGUAUUUUUAGUAUACGAGAACAGUAGUUCUCCCAUCUCUGAAAUAAUAAGCUGGUAUAACCUAAUAUAAUCUUAAAAUAGGUGUUCCACCCUUCCUCCUGGAAAAAACUUGUUCCCAAAUGAAAACAAGGUUAAUUAAAAUCUAAUUUGAUUUUAUGUUAUUAAAUUAUUAAUUAAUCUAAUUAAUGUAUUUAAUUCAUUACCUAUUGCUUAAAUAGUAAAAUAAUUAAUUAAUUUAUUAUUUAUAAUUAAUUAAUUAAAAUUAAUGAUGUUAUUAUAAUAAAUUAAUUUAUUUUUAUUAAAUAAUUAAAUAAUUAAUUUAUUAUAAUAUUUAUAGCUAAUAAAUUUAUUAAUUUAUUGAAUUAUUUUUAAUUAAUAUUUUGCUGUUAAUUAAUUAGAUAAAUUAUUUUUAAUUUAAAUUUAUUACUCUCAUUCCCCUGCUCCAAUCUAACAAUCUAAAUACUAUUUAACCUAUUUUCAAAAAUAAUUUAAUUUUCAUUCAAACGUAAAAUUUAUAUAAUUUAUGUUUAUACUCCAAUUUCUAUUUUUGAAAUAAGUAAUGUUUACUCAUACCUGAAUCAAGGUAACUAAUUGGUUGCUUGUGGGAAAGGUUGAUUCACACGCGGUACCGUCAGUCCCUAACAAAUGGGUGCUUAAAGGGCUUAGCACCAAAAUUCAAUUCUGUACCGGUACCUACGUAAAUGGGUGUUUAAAAAUAAUUUAUUGAACCGACCGUCCAUAAAGCAAGUGGCAAAAGGCUUGGUGGUUGAUAUCCGGGACCCAAGUUCGAAUCCCAGUUGAUUCACAUUUUCAGCUAAGUUUAUUUCUAAAUGAAAUAAACGAAGCGGGUAGCGUGCUAUCUAUCUCUCUCAAAAAAAAAAAAAAGAGUUUAUUGACACCAACCGUCUCUAGAGUAAGUGGUAAUAGACUUGGUGAUUGGUAUCCGAGAUCCCAAGUUCGAAUCCUUUACACCUGGUUUGGAUUGGGUACAAUAUGGGGUAUAAGGGCUUUAUACCCCAUCUUGUACCCAAACGCUGUUGUGUGAAGGUGGGAACUAUAGUUCCCACCCCGGGUGGAAACAAGCUUUUCCCAAACUUGUUGCCACCCCCUGGGUAUAGAGAGAGAGAGAGAGAGAGAGAGUGUGUGUUUUGUUUUAAAAUAGAAUUUAAAUUUUUAGAAUUUAAAAUUUUUAAUUUUAAAAUUAAAAUUGUAAAUUGUAAAUUCUAAAUUUUAAAGUUUAAAAUUUAAAUUUGAUAUUAUAAAUUUUUAAAUUUUAAAUUUGAUAUUUUAUAUAUUUCAAAUUUAAAUUUGGUCUUAAAUUUAAAAUUUAAAAUUUAUAAUUUUGAAUAUUUAAAUUUUAAAUUUUAAUUUCAAAUUUUAAAAUUUAAAAGUUAAAAUUUUUAAUUUAAAAUUAUAAGUUUAUGUAAUAUACCGAAAAUUCGGAAAAUAAAUAUCGAACUUUAGUCAAAUUGACCAAAGUGCGAGAAUGGUAUACUUCAGAAAGUUCGAAGGUGUUAAAAUGAUCAAAAGUGCAUUAUGGGAGGUUUUCGAGAGCUAAAGAAUCAAAAAUCUGCAAACUGCAGUUUUUGAGCUCUCAGGGACCGGUCCAUGGUGGGAGAGACCGGUCCCCGAACGCGUGAGAAAUGAGAAAAGCUGAAAAUCGGCUAAGUCCCAGAAAACCAGCUCUCGAGAACCGGUCCCUGCGGGGAGAGACCGGUCCCCGAGAGACCGGUCCCCCAGUGAGAGACCGGUUGCAUCGCGCGUGCGCCCUGCUGCCCGCGGGGAGAGCUCUCUGGGACCGGUCCCAAGUCGGGAGACCGGUUCUCGAACACGAAUUCUGCCCAGUUUGGGCAGUUUAAUAAAAUGAAAGCUGAGGUGUUUAUUUGCAAAAGUGCAAUAUAUGGGUUAUGAUAUGAGGGUUUUGGGACAUUUUUCUCAUUCUCUCCCUCACACUCCCUCUCUUCUCUCUUUCUCUCUCUAGAAGAUAAGGAGGAGAAGAAGAAGACAGAGAAAAAAAAGGAAAAGAAAGGAAAAGAAGAAGAAGAAAGUGGAGAAGAAGAAGAAGGAGUGAAGAAACUCCCUCUCCCUCAUCUCUAGCUUGUAGGAGGGAAAACUUUGAGGUAAGCUUUGAACCCUAUUCAUGGUAAAACCCUAAAAUGUGAACUAAAUGACCUAGAAAUGAUUUUAAUUGAGCCUAAUGGAUAUUUCAAGCUUUCUUUUGCUUGUGGAUGAGAUCAAAAUCAUGGAUUGGGUGUAUAGUGAAGCUUAGAGGUAAGCUUCUACCCCUCUCUUGGUAGAACCCAAACUAGGAUUUUGGUAGAGUUAAGAAUGGUUUUAAUGUAGCCUCUAGAGUAGAUUGAAGCUUAUUUUGCUUCCUAAUAAGAUCAAACCCUAGAUUUUGAUAUAUGUUAUGAGCUAGGGCACCCAAAUUGUGAGGGAUUCAAAGUGAAAUUGACUCUCUAGAAACCUAAUUGGGGGUAUUUUCGACUCGUUGGUGCGCUCGGAUUGACGUUACGAAAAGCCGAUGUAAAGAUAUGAGCGAAAAGCCUAAUUUGGCUUCGUUUUGCCGCAGGUAGCAAACUAAGAGGCUAAAAAUCCCAAGAAAAUCACCGUAGCAUCCUAGUACGCCUACGAGGUGGGUGGUGCUAUCCAAACUUGUUGGAAUUCUCUCUAUACCUAAUGCGUCAUUUAAUUGAGCAUUUAUGUAUAUGUUGUUGCAUGCAUUGUAGGGUAAAAUGUGAUGUUAUAUAAGUGAAUGUUGCAGGAUGUGAGUAGACGUGCAUUUCUAGUUGGUUGAGAACCUAUAACACCCUAUAUAUGCAUGAGAGGUAAUGUGAGAACCUAAUGAGAUUAAAGAACAAAGUGACAUAAAAGCAUAGAUCGAGUGGCAUUCGAAAGUAUAUAGUCGACACUAGAGUUAGUGUGUGGCAUCAAAGAAUCAAUGUGAUGAAAAGAACAAUGAUAAUGGUUAAAGUUGAUGCAGAGUGUGGCAUAAAGAACGAGUAAAGUAAAAGAACGAUGAUUGCUAGGGUUAGCAAAAUAAAGUGAUGUAAAGAACACUAGAGUUAAUGUAAAGACAAUGAUUGAACCAUAUAUCCUUAGAGUUAAGGAUCGAUCAUACUUGCUAUGAGUUCCGUGCUCGAGGGCGGUCGCUCCCCCUCGAGCGAUGCGCUCCGGAGUUUUUGCAUCACGGGUUGGAGUAAACCCGAGGACGGUCUUAGCGGGAGGCAGCUGAGGGCCCGCGAUGAUGGACUUAAUGUAAGCAAGUUAAUGUGGCGAAUCCCCGGGUUAGCCGUGAGAUUAAAGAACAAAAAACAAAGAACAAAGAUUAAAGAAUAAAGAGUAAAGAACAAGAACUUGCAUACUUGCAUGAUUUAUAUUGAGUAUAUUUCUUGCUUUAUUGUUCAGGCAUAUUAGCAUCAUGAUUAUAGUUGGGUUAUUAUUCUGCUUAUUCUUUCUAUUAUGCCUGAGUCAGUCCUAUUGAAAAAGUCGGUGAGAUUGGGGCCGAACCCACUGGGAACUUUGUUGUAGUUCUGACCCAACUAUUUUCACAGAGCCGAGACCGAGCGAGCCGGCGAGCAACCGCGGUAAAGGUAUCGCAUCUUAGUCAGAGGCCACCAGCGUUGGAUUAUAUUUUGUUAGUAGUAUACCCUUUUAUCAUCUUUUGCAUUUGAUGAUUUAAGAUGUUGAUGUAUAAAGCAAAGAAAGAAAGAUUGUAAAGUUUAUUUUGAGACAUUGUGAUGUAAAAAGAAAUGAUACAGGUGAUGUAAUGAAAUGUAAAGAAUCAUGAAUAUGAAGGUUAAAUACAAUGUAUGUGGUCAAAAGUGAAUCAUAGUACUUGUAUAGAUGUUUAGUUUCCUUUCUUUCACUCAUGACUAUUGCUUGCCCUCGUGUAAGCCGUUUGUGUAUAUUUUCGCUAGUGCACUUCUUGUUUGAAAAUGUACAGGUGAUGAGCCUUGGGCGGAUGGAAGAAACUCUGUCCGUUCGGCGUCUGUUUGACGUGCUCGGGCCGGCCCAAAUUGGUAUCGAUCCCGGGACGUGACAGUUUAAAAUUUAAAAAUUUAAAUUCAAGUACAGGGCUAAUAUUAUUAUUUUCUAUUUAUAAUCAUCAACUAUUUCUCUUAUUCCCAAUAACCAUCCAAACACAAUUUUUCUAGUUUCAGCUUAUACUCACAUUUUCAUCCAAACAAAAAAAAUCCUUAUUCUUACAAAAAUCUAUAUUUGUACCUAUACCUGGAAUAAUUAGUUCCUACUAAUUCGCGAACCAAACGAAGCCUGAUUGCUUCACAUUUUCAGCUAAAUUUAUUUCUAAAUAAAAUAAACGAAGUGGGUAGCGUACUACCUAUCUCUCUAAAAAAAAAAGAGUUUAUUGAUUUUGUAUGAGUUAAGUGGUUUCAAUGAUUUUUUCAGCAAGUGCUAUUGGAUAUUUUCGUAAUACUGCACUGAAGUGAGUUCCUAAAAGGGUGAGUUUGGAUUCCUGUAAAACUGCUCUGAAAAUUUCUUUUCGGUUGAAAAUUUUUUUUUCGAUGUUUGGUUGCCUGUAAAAAUUUUUUUUUACAGAUUCUCUGAAAAACUCAAGUUUUCGUUUUUCGCUUGCCGUCCACGGAAAACGAAAACCUAUUGAUGAAAAAAGCACGACUCAAGAGAGGUUUGAGCACGCAGUCCACGAAGUCAUCCUCGCCUCGUGGACCGCGUGAGACGAAGAUGUACUCGCGAAACCGAAAACGCAUUGAAAAAAGACGCGGCUCAAGAGGUUUGAGCAUGCGGUCCACGAGGUCAUCCUUGCCUCGUGGACCGCAUUAGAGGGAGGUCUACAGUGGACCUCCCUCUCAUUAUAUAUAUAUAUAUAUNAUAUAUAUAUAUAUAUUAGUUAUAAAUAUAUAUUUAUUUAUUAUAUAUUCAUUUAUUUUUAUAUAAAAAUAUUAUUAUAUAAUAUUUUAUUUAUAAAUUUAUAAUUAUUUAUUAAUAUUUUUAAAUAUAUAACUCUUAUAUAUUAUGUAAUAAAUUUAUUAUAAUUUUAAAUAUAUUUAAUAUAUUAUAAUAAUUAUAUAUAUAGUAUAUUAAUAAUUAUAUAAUAAUAAUAAUAAAAUAUAUAUUAAAUAAGUUUUCAUCUAUUUUUCUUUUCCUUUCAACCAAACAAGCAUCAUGAAAAGUUAUUUUUCUUUUUCUACAAACCAAAAACUAAAUUAUGUAAAAAAAAAUUUCCACCGAAAAUUUUUUCUACCGAAAUUUUUUUUUUCCAGUUUUACGUCGAACCAAACAGCACCUAAAUGUUAGUUUUAAAAGUAACUGACCUAAGCACAUUACAACAAAUCUCAUAAUAAAUUUAGGAAGAAUUCACCAAGACCAAAGCAUCCGGGAUGCACUAACACGUGGACUCGCCCCGCAAUUAUUCUAAUUUACUGGUGAAAUUUUUUACUUUCCAAGUAAAAACGCCGAAUAAUACUAGAUCAAUUAUUCCUACGUACUAAAAACGAGACAUAUUUGAUUCACCUCUUUUUGACUGAGAAAUAAAAAUAAGAAUAGAUGAAUUUAUUUGUGUGUGUUUGGUACGCGAAAAUUUUAUUCCGAUUCUGAUUUUCGGAUGAAUGAGACUCCUUUAAUCUCCUUUUUUUAGUCCGACCUACGAAAUUGAAUUUCGGCCCAAAGGAUUUAUUUUAUAAAAAUAUCUCAAUUAUAUUUUAUAUUUUUUUUACUUAAAAUUUAAUUUGAUUUUUGACUUUAAUUAUAAAUUAAAAUAUAAAUUUAAAAUUUAAAAUUAAAAUUUUUAAUUCUAGAUUUUUAUUUGGAAAUUAAAUUAAAAUAUAAAUUCAAUCAACCAUUUUGAAAUUGAUAAUAAAUUAAAAUUAAAAUUUAAAUUUAAUUUUAAGUUUGAAUCUGAAUCAAAUGGAAAAUUAGUUUUAUAUUUUGAAUUGUCCACUUAAUUUUAAAUUAUAAAUUUUUUUAAAAAUUAUAUUUAAAAUUGUGGCAUAUCAUUUCAAUUUUUUGAUGUAAAUUUUUAAUAUUCAACUUUUAAUUUGAAUUUAAAUUAUAAAUUUAAUUUUAUGUUUUGAGGUGUAAACUCAUUUUUAAAUUAUUUUUAUAUUUUCUAUUUAAUUUUAAUUUAAUUAUUUUUGAUAAUUAAUUUUUUUUUUACAAUACUGAAAGUAGGAAUCAAUCAUACAUACUGAUUCUGAUUGUUAUUUUGAACCAAGCAUAUUGAAAGAUUUUAUAAUUUUGUUUUUAAUUUCUGUCCAAAAGUAAUAAAUUUAUUUAAACUCCCGUUACUAUAAAAUUAGGCGUAAAAUAAAAUUUAUACCGGACUGUUAAAUAAGGUAAUAGCUAUUUCUCGGAUUCUCGGAGAAGACUUGUAAACGAAGUAGAAAACAGGCGUCCAAUCAAUAUACAGCGCGACCGGGGCUCCUCGUAUCGGGCGCAAAAGAAAAAAAGAAAAGAAAAGAAAAGGAAGAAAAAGAAAAGAGAGAAAAGCAAAAGAAACUGCGGAAAGCCACCGCGUCUUUCUUUUUGUUUUUUUUUUUCCCUUCUCUCUAGUGUCUUUUUCUUUUAUUUAAUAUAUUCCGCCGCGUCAUCUCCGACGGCAAGAGACGCCGUCAAUUGCUCCGCUUACUACUUUCUCUUCGCUCCCACAGUCCCACUCCUCUCGAGUCGACCCCCGAUCCCCGCUCCGGAGAUUAGUUAGGGCGUCCGCGGGUCUAUUAAUGGAAGCUGGCCUCGCCCUCGCCCUCGUUGUGCUGGUCCUCCUCCUCCAGGCCGGCGCCAACUCGUCGUCCCCGAUCGGCAUCAACUACGGGCAGGUCGGCGACGACCUCCCCUCCCCGGCGUCCGUCGUCCCGCUGCUCCGCUCCCUCGGCGCCGCCCGCGUGCGCCUCUACGACGCCGACCCCAGCGUGCUGUCGGCCCUGGCCGGCACCUGCGUGGAGCUCGCCGUCGGCCUCCCCGACAGCCUCGUCCCGCGGCUCCGCGAGCCCGGCGCCGCCGCCGCCUGGGUCCGGUCGGCCCUCCUCCCCCACGUGCCCGCCGCCAACGUCUCCCUCGUCACCGUCGGCAACGAGGUCCUCUCCGGCAACGACUCGGCCCUCGCCCGCGCCCUCGUGCCCGCCAUGGACGCCCUCCGCGCCGCCCUCGACGCCGCCGGGCUCGGGGGCCGCGUGGCCGUGACCACCGCGCACUCGCUCGCCGUCCUCGCGUCCUCGUUCCCGCCCUCGUCCGCCGCGUUCCGGCGCGAGCUCCUCCCCUUCGUGGGCCCGCUCCUGGACUUCCACGCGCGGACCCGCUCGCCCUUCCUCGUGAACGCCUACCCCUACUUCGCCUACAAGGCGGAUCCCGAGCGGGUCGACAUCGACUACGCGCUCUUCGGGCCCAACCCGGGGGUGGUGGACCCCGGCACGGGCCUGCGCUACGAGAACAUGCUGCACGCGCAGGUGGACGCCGUGCGCGCGGCGAUCGCGCGCGCGGGGAAGGAGGCCGGGGAGGUGGAGGUGGUGGUGUCGGAGACGGGGUGGCCGUCGGCGGGGGACGAGGGCGAGGCCGGGGCGACGCCCGAGAACGCCGCCAGGUACAACGGCAACCUCAUGCGGAUGGUCGCCGAGGGCAGGGGCACCCCCUCCGCGCCCGGCAGGCCGCUGCGGCCUACGUCUUCGCCUCUUCAACGAGAACCUCAGCCGGACCGCAUCGGAGCGCCACUACGGCUCUUCAACCCGACGGCACGCCGCCUACGACCUCGACCUCCGCCUCGCCCUCCGUCCUCCCGGAACUCACCGGCGCCGCAGCAGAUGGGCUGAAUCGCCCUCGGGCCUUCUUCUUCCUCUCUACCGGUUACUACACCAUCUCGUCUGCUAUGGUAAUUAAUUAUAUAUCAUUCCGGCUAAUUGUGCUUCUCUCCUAGCUUCCACUUAAUUAUUUAUAUAUAUAUAUAUAAUAUAUAUAUAUAAUAUAAUAUAUAUAAUUAUAUUUAAAAAAAAUUAUUAUCUACUUAAAUUUGGAAAAAAAAAAACAAAAAAACCAUGCAUAAGGAUCGUACAUGUAGAUCUAGCUUGAAUGUUAUGAUAAAUUUAAGAUUGAGUCUCUAUUGCUUUGGGCGUAAAAGUUUUAAUCAAUUUCAAUACUGAAUGUACCUCGUCUGUUUCGAAGGCCCAAGUUACAAAUAACUAAUUUGUAAAUUUAUUGAAAUACUUCAAUUCUGCAUUUGAACACCUAAUUACUUUGUAGCAUACGUAAUAGGUUUACAACAGUACAAAGAAGGUAUACUAUUUUACAGUUACUAGAACUAUAAAAGUUAGUAAUUUAUUACGUUUUAUUACUUUUUUAUUUUUAUUUUAAAAUUAAGUGCAACUAAUUAUUUUUAAUCCUUUUUUUUUUAUCUAGAAUUAAACUAUAGCAUUUCAUUUCUAUCAACUACUCACACAGCGAUUAUGUAGAAUAAAAAACAUUAAGGUUUUUUUAUUUUUUUAUUUUUUAUUUUUUUAUGUGAGUGUAUAAGUUUGCCUUUUGAAUUUGUUCAUGAUUUAAUUCUUCUUGUAUUUUUAUAGAAGGAGAGAUCGUGUUGGAAGGAAAGAAUGUGGGCGCUGCUGGCGACUGUCGUGGGGCUGCUUUUGGAGUUCGCUUGAAAUGAUGAUGGUGGAUAAUGAUCAAUAUUUUUUGGUUAAUUAAUUUGAUUUUUCAUUUAGUUUGUCUAUUUAGAUGGUCAAUCUCUUCUGCAAAAGAGGAAAAAGCAGCCACACUCAUUGAUUGGUAGAAAUUAGAAUUGAGAACACGACAAUUGGGAAGUUAUCGGUUAGAUUAGGGAGACUUUUAACUUGAAUAUGUUGAUUCCGCAUUCAUUUGUUGGACGGCUAAAGAUUUGCUGCACCAGUAUUGGUUUCAUCACAUGGUCGAUGAGGAAGCCUCUAAUCUAUCCGUGUGUUUUAGGAUAAAAGAGUAUACCGUAAAAAUAAUAAUAAUAAUAAUGAAAGUAGCAUGAAUACUUUAUUUCAUUAGAUGUGUAGAGUGAGAAAGAAAUUACAACAAAGCUGGGUUUAGCUAUAUGUUUUUAGAAGAAUUUAUGAUAAUAUAUGUUGUUAUUUUUGUUUAAUGCCUUAUUUGCUUAUUUUUUAAAAUAAUUGCUAAGUUUUGGUAAAAAGUCAUUUCUUGUUUUUUUUGGAUAAAUGCUAUUAUAUAUCUAAAUCCGGGUAUACAUAUCGUAUAUGUCACCCAUUCAAUGGCAGGAUAUUUUUAUUAGUCACAUCAAAUGACUAGUAAGUGACUCUCACCCAUUAAAAUACUAAUACAUAAUUUGACGAUUUUCUGAGUAUACGUGGUGCCUUUUUCCACCUCCACGAAUUCUUUUCACCUCUCCAUUGUAGUCUUUAGCAAAUAAAAACAUGUCACGUAUUUAGUAGAAAUUUUCGACGCACCAAUUGAGUAGUAUACCGGGUAUAAAAUAUGAAUAAAAAAAAAAUUUCUAUAAUAUAAUAAAUUAUUAAAUAUUUUAUAUUUUAUAGUAUAUAUUAUACUAUAUUUUAUAUUUUAUUUUAUAAUACUAACUAUUAGGUAUUUUAUGAAUCAUCUAAUAUACUUACGAUGUAUGAAAUAUUAAUAUAUAUCAGGAGCAAGCAAAAAUUUCUUCUCUUUUUCUUAGAACUACGAAAAAGAGCUUUUCAAAUAGCCCAGUCCAUAAUUAAGCAUUCUAGCUCUACACUGAAUGUAUAUAAUUACAUACACUGCAUGCUUUAAAUCUCUAAUAGUGAUUUAAAAUUUAAUUCAGUUCACCUCUCCAUUGUAGCCCUUAGCCAAUAAAAACAUGCCACGUAUUCAAUAGAAAUUUUCGACGCACCAAUUGAGCCGUAGACCGGGUAUAAAAUAUGAAUAAAAAAUAAAUUUCUAUGAUAUAAUAAAUUAUUAAAUAUUUUAUAUUUUAUAGUAUAUAUUAUACUAUAUUUUAUAUUUUAUUUUAUAAUACUAACUAUUAGAUAUUUUAUGAAUCAUCUAAUAUACUUACGAUGUAUGAAAUAUUAGUAUAUAUCACGUGCAAGCAAAAAUUUCUUCUCUUUUUUUUAGAACUAUGAAAAAGAGUUUUUCAAAGAGCCCGGUCCAUAAUUAAGCAUUCUCUACACUGAAUGUAUAUAAUUACAUACAUCAUAUGCUUUAAAUCUCUAAUAGUGAUUUAAAAUUUAAUUCAGCAAAUAUAUUUAAAUUAUUAGACUUCAUAGCUUAGAUAUUUAAUUAUAUUUUGAUAUUAGAAAUUAGUUCUCUAAUAUAAAUUGGGGUAUAUGGUGUGUUAAUAUACAUCAUGUGCAAAUAAUAACAUCUUUCUCCAAUAAAUUUUAGUAAGGUGAAGACAAUCUUAUCUAUUUGCCAAUUUAGAAUAAUUCUUCAAAUUUUAACUCUUAAAUUAAAAAUUUAUUUAUAAAAUAGCUACUAAAAAUAGCUUUAGAAUAACUCUUAUUUAUUUAGAAUAUUUGAUUGAAUUUUUAAGUAAAGUUAUUAGAAUACUUUAACUCUACAAAUAUUGAAAGUUAAAAAUAUUAGUAAAAAAAUAGCUUUUAUAAUAUAUAAAAGGAUGUUUAAGUUUGUUUUGUAUUUUUCAUUGUAAGUUUUUUCAAUUUUAAGAUUUUAAAAAUUAGAUAUAUAUAUUAAUUGACUAAAAUACUAUGUACCCGCCGCAAAGCGCGGUAUAGUAUACAUAAUGAUUGGGAUAUAUGAGUAGCAUUUUUUUUUCCCCUCCAUUUUGUUGGUCAUUAAAAGACUAUUUUAUCCUUCAACCUAGAAUCAUAGUUUGGUGCAUUGGACCUUUUGAUCCUUUUAAAAUAAAAGAAAAUCCACUAAAAGAAAACCCUCUGAAGAAUGCCGUCAACAGUCCUUAUAGAGAUGGUUGGCCGUGGGUCUUCCUUUUCAGCAACGGGCACUAGCUUCUCUUUUGAGAUCGCAAAUUUCAAUAGAUCCCUCAUCGAUUUUAUGUUGGGAUAAUUAAUUCCUCUUGCAAAGAUAUUAUUUAUGUUUUCUUUUGAGACUGUUGUCCUAUUUGGAAGUACUAUGAGCCGAGUUCCUCAGCUGUUGUUGUCACGCCCUACGUCCCGGGACCGCCAAUUUGGUCGGUUCAGGCACGCGGGCAGACCACCGAACGGACAAGGUUUCUCCUAUCCGCCCAAGGCUCAACAAAAAUCAUGUAUAUCUAGUUUGCCCAGGUAAAACAUAAUCAACAUACAUGAUUGUGUGAGUGUAAUAUAAACAAGAGUAAGAGAGAAAUACUAGCUAUUACAUUCCACAUCUGAACAUUUACAUUCAACCACCAAAAUACAUACAUUUGGUUUACAUAAUUGUUCCAAGAUACAUAUACAUCAUCCAAGAGUAACCUCUCCCAAAAUACAUCAUGUCUCUCAAAAUAAUACAUAUAUAGUACUCUAAUGCAAAAGAGGCUACUAUCUAGGGUGCUAUACCCUUACCGCGAUCCUCGACCGCCUCGCUCGUGCUAGGCCCUGCAAUAAAGUGGGAUGAGAACUAACAAAAGUUUCCAGUGGAUAUGGCCGCCGACCCCGCCGAUUUUUUCACUAGGUCUAAGUAGAAGGGUUAGCAAUAUAAUAAAUAUCUAGCAUGCUACUAUACCUUAACAAUAUGAUACAAUAAACAGGUACAAUAAACAUGUACUAGCAACUACUAUGCUCAUGAUGCAUGCCAUUCACAACUCAUAACCCAAUCAUACCGGCUAACCCGAAGGUUAAGCCCCAACUCACAACCAAAUCCCACCGGUGAGGAGACUCCAAGCUAUGCUCACCUGGGACCGUCUGCUGGGUAGCUACGUUAACCCACCUGAAGUACUCCAGAAGCCAAAGCUUGGGUGGAGCGACCACCGCCAAGCUGAUAGACGCAAUGUGAGUAUGAUCCAAUCCUCUAUCCCGAGGAUACCCUACCAACUAGUGGUAACAAUGACAUGGAAGAUACCAAUCCCUAUCCUCAUGUCAUGAGUGUUCUCAAUUUACUAUCCAAAUGCACCCUUUUCAUGUCACUACGUUUUUAAGUUCACAUUGUCAUGGCACUAUAGAGUUCAUUGUCCACAACCCAAUCCUCAUGCACAUAGCCACUAUAUUCCAUCUAUUUUUCCUACAAUUACUAUGAGAGCAUGCAAGGAAUGGAAAAACGAACACUACUACUCUACAAUGCAUGAGUUCUAUACAUGUACAUACAUAGUCAAUAUAGUAAUAUAGAUAUAAAAGAAAAUUUGAUUGUUUCGGAUAGCACCCCCCACCUCUUUAUGAUGCCGAGGUGCGAGAAUCCAAGCCUCGUGAUUUAUGGAUGUUGUUUCGGCUCGACCCAACGCAAACGAACCAAAAAUGGUUGUCAUGCCCCACAACCGCCAAUUUGGCCGGUUCGGGCACGUUGAACAGACGCCGAACGGACAGAGUCUCCUCUGUCCGCCCAAAGCUAACAACAACAAUCAAGUACAAUAAGUUACCCAGGAAACUUAAACAAUGUACAUGAUUCAAGCGAGUAGUUAUACAAGCAUACAAGAGAGCAAAAGAGAGAAAGUUCUAACUAUUACAUUUGUCAUCCAACAUUUACAAAUUCAAUUACAUUUCCAUCUCCCAGAAUAUAUACAUAAGGUUUACGAGUUCAUCAUCUAGAUACAUAAGCAACUAUCCAAAAUACAUCCACAUCACAUGUCAACCGUGUACACGAGGGUACUCUAAUGCAAAGUGGAAAGCUGCUAGCUACUAGGGCGCUAUCCCCUUACUGCGGUCCUCGCCCGAUGAACUCGAACUAGGCCCUGCAAUAAAGUGGGGUGAGAACUACGAAUAGAUCCCAGUGGGUUCGGCCGCCGACUCUGCCGAUCUUCCCACUAGGUCUAAGCAGGCAUAAGUAGAUAGAUAGAUAGAUAGAUAGAUAUGGAAGCAACAUCUACAUAGUAUGAAUUCUACGAUCAUGCUACUAUGCCUCAAUCAAUAUGAAUGUAUGAAUGAACUAAAAGUAAUGAUGCCAACUAUCAUGCUACUAUGUUCAAUAAGUUAUGUCAUUCAUGUGUUCACCCAAUCACUUGGCUAACCCGAGGGUUUGCCCACGACUCACAGUGCAAUUCCAUAGGUAAGGAGACCCUCCCACUCGCAAACCUGAGACCGUUUGCUAGACAGGUACGUUAGUCCAUCACGUGAUGACUCCGGAGCUCACUACUUGGGUGGAGCGACCAUGCCAAGCGAAAACAGACUAUGUGAGAAUGAUCCAAUCCUCGCCAACUGAGGAUACCCUAUCGACUAGGGCUAGUCAAUAACACGAGAACUCAACUAUCCCUAAUGUUCAUGUUUAAAUGUUCCAACUACACUAAGUCCACAUGCAACAUAUCACAACUUGGGAAAUUCAUCUAUCCCUAAUGUUCAAGUUCAAGUGUUUCGUCUACACUAUACUCAUCAUGCCACUCGUCUAUGUCAUCAUUUAGUUUACAUGCCACUCGUUAUGUCACUACAUAAACACUAAGUUCAUCACUUGUUUCGGCAAUAUAGGAUCCCAAUGUCAUAACCCAAAUCCUUACAUAUCCACCACAUCAUGUGUCCAUCUUACACAACAAUAUCAACUAGAGAAUCAUAUAAGGAAUGGAAAUGCAAUCAUAAUCGCCCUAUAAUGCAUAAACAAUAAGAUAGAUGCAUGGUCGACAAUGUAACUAAGACAUAGAAAGAAGUUCAACUGCUUCGGGAUGACACCCCCCACCUCUAGGUGAUGUCACGAUGCUAGUAAUCCGAUUUCGUAAUUUUUGGACGUCGCCUCAGCCCUCCAGGCGGAAAAGAAGCCAAAAUGGUACUUUUCUUCGAUAUCUUCGCGUAGACUCGACGGAUCGCCGAACCGACUUCACCAGCACGUUAGAAUACCUAGCAAUUAGGUUUAUAUGGGUUCAAUUUAGAUCAAACCCAAACAUUUGCAAAAACCCCCUUUUUGAACCCUAAUACUCAACUAUUGCAAAAAUCACCAUUUCAUCCCAUGAUUCAAGCAAUAAUCAUCUAUUUAGCAUCCUAGGGUUCCAUUAAAACCAUUCUUAGAGUAUAAGAACUUAACCCUAAGGAUUUACCAUUAGAGCUCCAAGUAGCUUACCUCUCCAAGCUACCAAACCAAGGAAGAAGAUGAAGAAGAUACACUUCCUAGCUUCCUUCUCCACCGAUCUCCCCUCUAAAUAUACCUUGUGGGAGAGCUUCUAGAGAGAGAAAGGGAGAAAAAUGAGAGAGAUGAGAGAGUUCACCGCUAGAAUGAGAGAGGAGUGGUGUGGGGUCUUUUAUAAGCUGCUACAAUUGAAACAAAACCCUCAAUUUCAUUUUAUUUGCAGCAAACCAACCUACUGUUUCGCAGCACUGCGUACCGGUACGUGGGUGGGCGUCACCGAUAUGCCCCUGUUCAUCUGCCCAAACUCGAGAGCUGAUUGUUCUUGGGUGGCUGCGGGGUACCGGUACUCUUUGAAUUAGUCACCGGUUAACCAGCCUGACAGAGGCAACCCGAGAGCUGCUACUCUCGGGUACCAGCCUGGUGCCUGUACUCUUCCAAUGCUUCACCGGUUAACAAUGCUCCAGAAUGCAGUUUUGCAUUAUUUCGAUUCUAAUUCGCGCCGAGCAAUGCUAAAACCUUUCUAACUCACUUGGAGUUCAACUUUAAUCCUUCCAACACUAUUGGAAUGCCACAUGGACCAUGUCCAAGCAUUCUGCUCACCACGCUUUGGUCAUUUUGUUCAAAAGUGGUUUAAUACGACGAGGAUCCACUUUCUUACAAUGGUACUUUUUCUCAACGACUCGCCACACGCUCGUAGGAACUCCGAUUUAAGUUGUCCAUCAUUCGGUUUUACCUUCAAUUAGGUUUACAAAGGCUCAAUUUAGAUCAAAACUCAUUAUAAUCAAAAGCCCUCUUUCGAAACCGUAAAAACCCAUUAUUGCAAGAAUUCUCACAACAACUCAUGAUUCAUGCAAUAAUCUAGUUUAGUAUUACCUAGGGUUCCAAUACAACUCAUUUCUAAGGGAUUAUACCAAAACCCUAACUCAAAACCCAUAAGGCUUAUCUCAAACUCAAGCUUCUUCUCAAGCCAAUGGUGAAGAAGAUGGUAGCUUCACCUCCAAGAAACUUCUUUCCACUAUUCUCCACCUUUUGGAGCAAACCCUAGAAGAGAAAGAGAGAUUUAGAGAGAGAAAAGGUUUUCUCUUAUGUUGGUGUGUGAAGGGGAAAUGAGAGAAAUGGGUUGAGAACUCAUCCAUAUACUCUCCUAUUUGCAACAUUUACUCUUUAGCCCCUCCACAACUGGUUUUGCCCAAACCCACCUUUUCACGCGUACGAGGUCCAGACCCUGGCUGCUCGGACCCUACAGCCAGGGUCCGGACCCCGAGAGCAUUUCCAGUACGAAAUUUUCUGGAAACUCUCCAGCUUUCUCUCCAAGGUUCCUUACACCCUUAUAAGUCAUUCCGAACCUUCGGAACGCUCAACGGAUCUCUCCGAAACAUCCAAUACCACACUUUGGUCAAUUUUGACUAAAGUUCGGUUUAACGCAUCGAGGACUCGGUACAUUACAAUUGUCCUAGUCAAAGGCCUUCCUAGGGAAACAUGCAGGAAUUAACUUCGGCUUCAUGUGAAGACCCUCGAAGCUUGCGCCCUUCGACGGAUCAAGUGAUUCGGCUGAUGAGGGAUCGGAUCAGCCGAAUUCGAAAACCCUUACUGUAAAACAAAUUUGGCUCAAUAAGCCGAAUGGAUGAAAUGCAUAGUAAUUGGUUGGCUGAAAGAGCCGAAUGCCUUUAUAUAUUGAAAUUAAAUAUGAAAACUUGUACAAACGCGAGUAUGCCUUUAGUGCAUAUAGACUCCGGAAAUCUGACUUAGAACUACUCCUACGAAAAGUAGUAGAUGCGGAAAAGAAAAAUAUUACAAGUAGACUACUCCUGCGAAAAGCAGUAGAAAAUACAGAGAAAAUAAAAGUGGUCUUCUAUUCUCGGGAAAAAGACCUCAUUUUUGAGCGUUAUUUGCCUAUUUAUAGUCUGCUCUUGAUGUUCAGUUAUUGCUUCAUGAUCGGCCACUUUCCUAUUUUUGCGGACCACUACAAGCCGAAAACUGCACAUAACCGCUUGCGGUUAUGCCUUUCGGUUAUGCUAUUAAUCCGCCAUUACUCCUGAUGCACCACGAAACCCAUUUAAACUUGAUUUCUGAAGUCCUAGCUAAACUGUACACCGAUAUGCCACUUGCGUUUUAUUAUUGGCCCUAACAAUUGCCCCCUCGGUAGCUUCUAAACGAACGAUUCGGUAGCUGGCGUAAUUAGAGGCGCGUUAUUUCAAAUUCCUUUGCACGAUUUCCUGAGUCGUCCUUCCUUUUAGAUAGUCGUGAUCUUCUUAUUCAUUUUUGUCUCAUUCGCAGCAUUAAUUAGGUCAUUAAUUGUUGUCAUCUCUUCGUCAUUAUAGCCGGCCUCGAAACUCUAUCCGGCGGCUCUUCCUCUCUCCUUUUUCUCUUUUUUGCUUUCUUCUUCUCUAUGCUUCUUCUUCGCUCCUUCUUUCCUUCUUCUUUGACUGAUAUCUUCAUCUCCUUCACCUUCGUCUUUAUACUUCUCACCCUUGAUUUUUUAGGGUUUUUCUUCGCCAUUUUUUUCCCUUUAAUCUUAAAAAUGGCGCCGCUUCCGCCUCUUCCUUCUUCUCCGUCAUUAGAUUACAACUUGCUUAGGCAAUUUGUUCUGUCAGACCCUUCUCGAUUCAUUUUAGGUCCCUCCAUCACCGAUGACCCGAUUCCUAAGGAUUUCCCAUUCUCGAGCGAGGGCUUCUGUCACGCCCCGGGACCCAGCGGAAGCCCGCUCGGGGCGUCCAGACCCGCCAUAUGUCUGAAAUAUUUAAGGCGUCUAAAACAAAACGAUAAAUAAAGCAAAUAGAGGAGAUCUAGAGAUAUCAGAGCACUAUACAACAUCUAGUAUCUAAAGUAGUGUGAAGAGUAGAGAGCUAAAAUCACUAAAUAAAUCAUAAAGUAAAUACAAAAGGAAUCCCAAAUACUAAAGCUAAACAAGUACAUAGGUGGUCUCUCUAUACAAGGUACUCAAAAUCUCUCUCUCACUCUCUAAUACAAUAAAAGAAAGAGUAAACCACCUAAGCUCAAUAGUACCUCCUUUCUAUCUAGCUAGGCGACACCCUUGCCGCGAUCCCGUGCCUCCGCCGGUGCCGAAGGCUCUGAAAAGAAAACAUAAAACAGAAGGCGUGAGAACUAUUAAAUAAUAGUUCCCAGUGGGCAAUUACUGACUUCAGUGAGAGCACCACUAGGCCCAAAAGAGCUAAACAGGUAAGUAACAAUAAAAGCAAUAGAAUCGAUAUGUAAGUAAACAUGUAAACUUACUACAAUAUGAUAGCUCUACUUAGCAUGAAUUUGCAUAAGUAAAUAAAGACUAUUCUAACAUGAAUGUACGAAAGUGUCACUAGCAUGAUGUCCACAAGCUAAAUAGUAAAAUGUCUUGUUUACUAUUCUAGUCAAUGUCUAGCAGGUAUGCUAGGUCAUCAAUGAUCCAAUCUUGUAGGACUUACCCGUAGGUAGUCCGGCUUGCGCCAUGCCUAAUGGCCCCAUGGUAGUCAACAUCCCCACUCUAGGAAUGAGCCUCCCCCACGGCAUCCCAUUUCGGCGCCCAAUCCCGCACGAGCGAGCAUAUGUCGCGAUAGCUAUCUCCGAAGUGCUGGCUUGUAGGAAGCGACCCUCACAAGCAUGUGCGAAUGAGCACAAUGACAAGCAAGCGAAAGAUCUAUCUCAAGUAGCAAGUCCUCAUGUCUAAAAACAUAGAAUAUACGUUGAAUGUCUCAAAAGCCUAUCUCUAUGUCAUUAUGUCUCUAACAUGGAAUAUAGCAGAUAUUCAAUGGCCUAUCAUUAUGUCUCUAUGUUGUAGUUUCACAGUUUACUAUGUCAAGUGCCUCUUUAUGGCAUUUUGUCAACUAAGUCCAAACAUGAGUUUAUUGUUUACAAAUGCAUAAUUUGAGCAAUUUCUAACAUAAAGGACAUGUUUCCAAGUCGCUAACCCGAACACUCCUCACAUGCAUGCAAAACGCCCCGAAGGCCCUACCAUAUAGAGUGAAAUUUUUAUGAUACAUAAAGCAUGCAUUUUAAGUGUUUUAAAAUUUACAUAAAUCUCAUUUAACAUGAAUAUGGAAUCAAAUUGACGUUACGACAAGUAUAGAAUACUUAGGGGCCAUUUCGCCCAGAUUUCAUGAAGUCAAACCCACCGAAGUUACCGAAACCCUUCGUAAGUUCUGACGAAGGUGUCCACUAGUCUCCUAACACCCUAAAGAUGUAGGAACAAGAGUCAAACAAAUCUUAUGAUCAACCCCAAGCUCAAUCAAUAAGCAACAUAGGGUAAGGUGGAAAAAAACUCACCUAGGUGAAGAAAUUCUCUCUCAAGCUCCAAAUGGGAGUUAGAGUUCUUCAAAUCCAACCUAAAUAAAGGUUCUAAACCCAUCAAUUAGGUUUCAAAGCCCUCAAAUCAAAAAUCCCCAAAAUAAGCCCUAAAUCCCAAAAUCUAUUGUUUCAUCUAGUAAAAUCUAGAAAAACUUAUAUUAAAUGGGAAAUACAAGCUACCAACCUCAAGAGAAGCUCCAAUCCAAGCUCUAAACCUAGUAGGGUUGGAGUUUGAUCCUCCACAAGGCUCCAACCGCAAGCUCCAAGCCACCAAAGGUGAGAAAUGAGGGGAAGAAGAUGAUGUUCCAAGGCCUCCAAGCAAGCUCCUCUCUUUCUCCUUCUUCUUCUCCUUCUCUUUCUCUCUCUAGAGUGAGUGUGAAGGGUAGAAAUGAGGGAAAGGGAGAAGAGAAAGGCUCUAAAAGCCUUCGAAUGUAACACAAUCCUGAUAAGUCCCUCAACAAUCCAAACAGCACACAGCCAGGGUCUGGGCAGUUUUCGCCCAGAGGGACCGGUCUCUCCCUGCAAGGGACUGGUCUCUCGGUUUGUCCCGCAAAACCAACAUUCGGGAACCGGUCUCUCACUGCCAGGGACCGGUUGCCUCAAGUCUGCCGCAACACUGUUCUGAGGGGACCGGUCUUUCCCACCAGGGACCGGUCCCAGAGAGUGAAAACUCUCAGGACUAAGCCAAAAUUCCAGAAAUCAAACUUUUAGGUCGGAAUACCAUCUACGACCUUCCACCAAGUGUGAAAAAGUUCGGAGUCCACAUCAAACACUCGAACCUCGCAAUUUGCACAGGUCCAGUGUGUUACAUUCACCCCUCCUAAAAAGGAGUUUCGUCCGCGAAACUCGAAAGCAAACAACAUACCUCAAAACUCUAUCUGAAAAAGAUGGGGAUAGCGCUCCUGCAGCGCACUCUCCAGCUCCCACGUGGCCUCCCGCUCCCCGUGGUUGCUCCAAAGAACCUUUACAUACAAAUGUCCCGAUUCCGUAGUUUCUUCACCUCGCGAGCCCAGAUCUUCACUGGUUACUUCUCGAAGCUCAAGUCGUCCCGCAACUCCACAGGUGUAACAUCCAACACAUGAAUCGGGUCGAAGACAUACUUCCGAAGGACUGAUACAUGAAAAACGUUGUGUACGCUUGAUAGGUUCGGUGGUAGAGCAAGUCGAUACGCUACCGGACCUACACGCUCCAAAACCUCAUACGGUCUAAUGAAACAGGGGCUCAACUUAUUCCAAAUUCCGAAUCUCUUGAUCCCUCUAGUCGGCGAGACCUUCAAGAAAACAUGGUCUCCAACUUGAAACUCUAAGUCUCGCCGUCGUCGGUCGGCGUAGCUCCUCUGUCUACUCUGUGCCGUCAAAAGUCGCUCCCGAGCAAUUCGAACUUUGUCCUCAGCUUCCUGGAGUACAUUAGGGCCUAAAGCCAAUCUCUCGCCAACUUUGCUCCAAUGAAGUGGCGAUCUACACUUCCGUCUAUAAAGUGCUUCGAAGGGCGCCAUCUUGAUGCUUGCUUAAUAACUGUUGUUAUAAGCAAACUCUGCCAUCGGUAGAUACUGCUACCAUCCUCCCUGAAAGUCUAUCACACAUACCCGGAGCAUAUCCUCUAAAAUCUGAAUGGUGCGCUCCGACUGCCCAUCACUCUUAGGGUGGAAGCAGUGCUAAAGUCCAAACGAGUGCCCAGGGUGUCCUGCAAGCUCCUCCAAAAGUGAGACACAAACCGAGUGUCUCGAUCCGAUACAAUCGAUGUAAGCACUCUAUGAAGUCGUACAAUCUCAUCAAGGUACACUUGUGCGAGCUUCUCUCCGGUCCAAUUAGUAUGAACAGGUAUGAAGUGCGCCGACUUCGUCAACCUAUCCACGAUCAUCCAAAUAGCAUCAUGCCCGGCCUGAGAACGGGGCAAUCCAGUCACGAAAUCCAUGGUGAUCUUCUCCCACUUCCACACGGUAAUAGACAAACUCUGAAGCUUUCCCGCGGGUAAUCGGUGCUCAGCUUUCACUUGUUGGCAAGUUAGACAUCGAGCUACAAACUCGCCAACGUCCUUUUUCAUCCCGGGCUACCAAUAGAGCAACUUUAAGUCCUUGUACAUCUUGGUGCCACCCGAAUGUAUAGCAUACGGUGCCCGGUGUGCUUCUUGAAGAAUAUCCUCUCUAAUUUCCGAAUCCACCGGUAUACAAAUCCGUCCACGGAAACGCAUCAAUCCUUGGUCAUCCACAAGGAAAUCGCCGGUGCAACCAUUAACCAUUUUAUCUCGAACUUUUUGUAAUUCUAAAUCGGGAACUUGCUUUUCUUUAAUUCUAUCCAAAAGUGUAGGUUGCACCACCAAGGUCAUCAAUCUCAAAGGCGUAUCUGGAAUCACCACUUCCAACUCCAACCGCUUCAUCUGUUCAAUCAACUACGGUUGAGUAACUACAUGCAUCGCUAAGUUUUCCAUCGAUUUCCUACUUAGCGCAUCCGCCACCACGUUAGCCUUACCCGGGUGGUAAAGGAUCGUCAGAUCAUAAUCCUUGAGCAGCUCCAGCCAUCUACGCUGUCUCAAGUUCAACUCCUUUUGGGUGAACAAGUAUUUCAAGCUCUUGUGAUCCGUGUACACUUCACACCACUCGCCAUAAAGGUAAUAGCGCCAUAACUUCAAUGCGAAGACUACGGCCGCCAACUCCAAAUCGUGCGUAGGGUAAUUCUUUUCAUAUUCCUUCAGUUGGCGACAAGCAUACGCGAUCCGUUAAGAGAUGCAUCAAAACACAGCCCAAUCCGUUAAGAGAUGCAUCACUGUAAACCACAUAUCCUGCUCCAACAACUGGCAGGGUUAGGAGAGGGGCGGUCGUCAGUCGUUGCUUCAGCUCUUGGAAGCUUCUCUCGCACGCAUCAUUCCAGAUGAACUUAACAUCUUUAUGCGUGAGCCUCGUGAGGGGAAUAGAUAGCUUAGCAAACCCCUCGACAAAUCUCCGGUAGUACCCGGCCAAUCCAAGAAAGCUCCGUAUCUCCGUGACACUUGUCGGUCUCGGCCAAUCCUUGAUUGCUUCAAUCUUCUUAGGAUCCACGGCUAUACCAGAUCCCGAUAUCAAAUGUCCAAGAAAAGCUACCUCUCGAAGCCAAAACUCAUACUUUUUCAGCUUGGCAAAGAGCUCCUUUUUUCAAAGUACUUGAAGUACAAGCCUCAAAUGCUCCUCGUGAUCUGCAUCACUUCGGGAAUAAACCAAAAUGUCGUCAAUGAACACCACAACGAACCUGUCUAAAUAAAGCUUAAAAACACGGUUCAUCAGAUCCAUAAAAGCUGCCGGAGCAUUAGUAAGCCCAAAUGGCAUAACUGUGAACUCAUAGUGUCCAUACCAUGUUCUAAAAGCCGUCUUCGAUACAUCCUCGGGUUUGAUCUUUAAUUGGUGGUAUCCCGACUGCAAGUUGAUUUUGGAAUACACACACGAUCCUUGAAGCUGAUCAAACAAGUCAUCGAUCCUCGGCAACGGAUACUUAUUCUUGAUCGUGACUUUAUUGAGUUCACGAUAGUCCACACAUAGGCGAAGUGAUCCGUCCUUCUUCUUGACGAACAGAACGGGCGCUCCCCACGGUGAGACGCUCGGUCAAAUGAAGCCCUUGUCCAACAGAUCCUGUAGCUGUGCCCUCAGCUCCGUUGGUGCCAUCCUAUAGGGUGCCUUCGAGAUUGGAGUAGUCACAAGGACGAGAUCUAUCACAAACUCGAUCUCCUUAUCGGGUGGCAUACCCGAUAGCUCAGCUGGAAACACGUCUUGGAACUCCCGUACCACCAGAAUAUCCUCAAUCCUAAGGGUAUCAUCCUCGCCCCUCAACACAACAUUAGCCAAGUAAGCUACACAUUCUCGGCUUAUCAGCUGCCUAGCUCGAGACGAGCUGAUCGACAUCGCGAAAAGCGAACUCCGGCAUCCUCUAAAUACAACCUCAGUCUGCCCCGGUUCUCUAAAAGUAACCGUGCGAUUCUUACAAUCAAUCGUGGCAUAGUACUUGGUUAGCGAAUCCAUACCCAAGACCACAUCGAAGUCCCCUAGUUUUCACAGAGCUAGCAAAUCCACGGGCAUGAUCCAACCUCCUACCCGAACAGGACAACUAGGGCAAUACUCUCUAAUAUCCAGAGUGUGGUCGGGUACUACAGCAUGUCCCGGAUACAACAAAGAAACCAAAGGGAUGCCAUGCAACUCGGCAAACAGCCGAUCUAUAAAUAAAUGCGAUGCACUGGUAUCAAAUAAAGCACGAACUCUAAUGCCAUUAAGUAAAAUGAUACCUGCAACCACAUCCUUGGCUGCUGCCGCCCCCUCGGUCUGAGCGGCAUACAAACGCCUACUCGGGGCCUGUCGAGAUCCCUCGCUCUGGCGCUGGACGGAUGGCCGCCCGGGCUGGUACUGUGUCGACGGAGUUCCGUGGCUAGCGGCUGGUAGAGCCGGUGCCGAUGCAGUCGACGGUGCCGGUGAAGAACCUCUCGGGCACUCAGUCCGAAAGUGGCCCUUCUGGCCACACUGGAAACACCUCCCUCCCCGCUGCGGGCACUGCGGUGGAAUGUGGGGACGACCACAGAUCACGCACUGGGGAGGUCGGCGUCAGUGAGAACCUCCACGGUGGGUCGCCGAGCCACGCCCACGCUGCUGGCUCCUAGGAUGCUUCGGCGGCCUCCUAAAGUGCGUUUGGCUCGCACCCUCAACCGUAGGCCUCUUGGCCUUACCCUUGUCCAUAGCCUCUCGCAGCUCCUGGACAUCUGCCGCGCCGCUCUCCACGAUGAGCGCGCUAUCCACCACCUCCCGGUAGGUUUGGAGGUUAGAGGAUUGUACAAACCGGAAGAUCGACGGUCGCAAUCCUCACUCAAAGAUGCGGGCCUUGUCCUCGUCGUCCUGCACGACGAAAGACACGCAGUGUAGAAGCCGAAAAAACUCCCGCUCGUACUUGGCUACUGUCCUGUCUCCCUGGCGCAAGUUGCGCAAGUCCUGCUCCAUCUUCCUCUUGACGCUGGUCGAAAAGUAAAGCGCCAACAGAAGCUCCUUGAACUUCUUCCACGAGAUAGCCACCAAAUCAGUGCUGGGGUUCUCCUGGAGAUCCAACCACCAGCGGUAGGCCUCGCUGUCCAAAUGGUGUGUGGCGAGCCAAACUCGAUCUCUUUCCUCCACGAAGGUGUCGCGGAAGAGCUUCUCCAUAUUCAUUAACCACUUCUCCACGAUCCAAUGGUCGACCUUCUCACCAUCAAAGAUCCAGGGACUGCAUCUCCUGAACUCAUUGAGGCGAUCCAUCAGUCAGUUCCGCUCCGCUCCCUCGACCAACACGGGGAAAACAGCUCCAAUCGGGGGCCUCUGCACCGGUGGUGCGGCAAUAGCCUCCUCCUGAGGUGCGGCCGUGGGCGCUGCUCGUGAAGAACUGGGCGCGGGGCACGGCGAUCUCUGCGCGACGUCCACAACUGGUGCUGGCGGUGUAGGGGCCUGAGUCUCCCUGGAAGCUGCCGCCUGCUGCAGAAGAAGGUCCUCCAGGCGCUUCAUCCGCGCCUCCUGCCGGCGCGCCGCCGCAGUCUGCUGUCGGGCCGCAGUCUGCUGUCGGGCCGCCUCCGCCUACUUAGUCACUAGGUCGGUGAGGGCCGCAAGCUGGCUCCUCAACUCCUGGACCUCGCCAGAUCCGGAGGUAGCGGAGGUCUCGACCUCCUCAAGAUGUGCCGCAUUAUCCGCUCCGGCAGAUUGGGACCGAGUGAUCGGCAUGUCACUACAACAUCAUAAAAGCGUAAGUUAGUAACCCACACUAUCGUAUCCCCGCUCAAGCAGAUAAUACCCCAAAUCAUGCGAAAGUAAUGAAGUGUGCUUCACUACUAACUCCCGAUGUUACGUUGUCGGCCGCCAACAUAACCCUCCGCGAAGUUAGGAGCUAUACACUUCAAUUUAACUCUGCUUUCUAGAGUUAUCAAGAUACCGAAUCAAAAUACUAUCGCUUACAAGUCAAAUAGACCUCGUCUCUCACGAGCCUAUUUCCUAUAGUCCAACCGGCCUAAGGUUUGCUAGGUCCACUAAGACUCAACCCUAGGCUCUGAUACCAAACUAAUCUGUCACGCCCCGGGACCUAGCGGAAGCCCGCCCGGCCCGUGUCCAGACCGCCAUAUGUCUGAAACAUAUAAGGCGUUUAAAACAAAACGAUAAAUAAAGCAAAUAGAGGAGAUCGAGAGAUAUCAGAGAACUAUACAAUAUUUAGUAUCUAAAGCAGUGUGAAGAGUAGAGAGCUAAAAUCACUAAAUAAACCAUAAAGUAAAUACAAAAGGAAUCCCAAAUACUAAAGCUAAACAAGUACAUAGGUAGUCUCUCUAUACAAGGUACUCAAAAUCUCUCUCUCACUCUCUAAUACAAUAAAAGAAAGAGUAAACCACUUACGUUCAAUAGUAGCUCCUUUCUAUCUAGCUAGGCGACACCCUUGCCGUGAUUCCGUGCCUCCGCCGGUACCGAAGGCUCUGAAAAGAAAACAUAAAACAGAAGGCAUGAGAACUAUUAAAUAAUAGUUCCUAGUGGGCAAUUACUGACUUCAGUAAAAGCACCACUAGGCCCAAAAGAGCUAAACAGGUAAGUAACAAUAAAAGCAAUAGAAUCGAUAUGUAAGUAAACAUGUAAACUUACUACAACAUGAUAACUCUACUUAGCAUGAAUUUGCAUAAGUAAAUAAAGGCUAUUCUAACAUGAAUGUACAAAAGUGUCACUAGCAUGAUGUCCACAAGCUAAAUAGUAAAAUGUCUUGUUUACUAUUCUAGUCAAUGUCCAGCAGGUAUGCUAGGUCAUCAAUGAUCUAAUCCUGUAGGACCUACCCGUGGGUAGUCCGGCCUGCGUCAUGCCUAAUGGCCCCGUGGUAGUCAACAUCCCCACUCUAGAAAUGAGCCUCCCCUACGGCAUCCCAUUUCGGCGCCCAAUCCCGCACGAGUGAGCAUACGUCGCGAUGGCUAUCUCCGGAGUGCAGGCUUGUAGGGAGCGACCCUCACAAGUAUGUGCGAAUGAGCACAUUGGCAAGCAAGCGAAAGAUCUGUCUCAAUUACCAAGUCCUCAUGUCUAAAAAUAUGGAAUAUACGUCGAAUGUCUCAAAGGCCUAUCUCUAUGUCAUCAUGUCUCUAAUAUAGAACAUAGCAGAUGUUCAAUAGCCUAUCACUAUGUCUCUAUGUUGCAAUUUCAUAGUUUACUAUGUCAAGUGCCUCUUUAUGGCAUUUUGUCAACUAAGUCCAAACAUGAGUUUAUUGUUUACAAAUACAUAAUUUGAGUAAUUUUUAACAUAAAGGAAAUGUUUCCAAGUCGCUAACCCGAACACUCCUCACAUGCAUGCAAAACGCUCCGAAGGCCCUAUCAUAUAGAGUGAAAUUUUCAUGAUACAUAAGGCAUGCAUUUUAAGUAUUCUAAAAUUUACAUAAAUCUCAUUUAACAUGAAUAUGCAAUCAAAUUGAUGUUACGACAAGUAUAGAAUACUUAGGGGCCAUUUCGCCCCGAUUUCAUGCAGUCAAACCCACCGAAGUUAUCGAAACCCUUCGUAAGCUCCGACGAAGGUGUCCAAUAGUCUCCUAGCAAUCUAAAGAUGUAGGAAUAAGAGUCAAACAAACCUUACUAUCAACCCUAAGCUCAAUCAAUAAGCAACAUAGGCUAAGGUGGAGAAAAACUCACCUAGGUGAAGAAAUCCUCUCUCAAGCUCCAAAUGGGAGUUAGAGUUCUUCAAAUCCAACCUAAAUAAAAGUUCUAAACCCAUCAAUUAGGUUUCAAAGCCUUCAAAUCAAAAAUUCCCAAAAUAAACCCUAAAUUCCAAAAUCUAAGGUUUCAUCUAGUAAAAUCUAGAAAAACUUGUAUUAAAUGGGAAAUACAAGCUACCAACCUCAAGAGAAGCUCCAAUCUAAGCUCUAAACCAAGUAGGGUUGGAGUUUGAUCCUCCACAAGGCUCCAACCGCAAGCUCCAAGCCACCAAAGGUGAGAAAUGAGGGGAAGAAGAUGAUGUUCCAAGGCCUCCAAGCAAGCUGCUCUCCUUCUCCUUCUUCUUCUCCUUCUCUUUCUCUCUCUAGAGUGAGUGUGAAGGGGAGAAAUGAGGAAAAGGGAGAAGAGAAAGGCUCUAAAACCCUUCUAAUGUAAUAAAAUCCUGAUAAGUCCCUCAACAAUCCAAACAGCACAUAGCCCGGGUCUGGGCAGUUUUCGCCCAGAGGGACCGGUCUUUCCCUGCCAAAGACCGGUCUCUCGGUUCGUCCCGCAAAACCAACGUUCGGGAACCGGUCUCUCACUGCCAAGGACCGGUUGCCUCAAGUCUGCCGCAACAUUGUUCUGAGGGGACCGGUCUCUCCCACCAGGGACCGGUCCCCGAGAGUGAAAACUCUCAGGACUAAGCUAAAAUUCCAGAAAUCGAACUUUUAGGUCGGAAUACCAUCUACGACCUUCCACCAAGUGUGAAAAAGUUCGGAGUCCACAUCAAACACUCGAACCUCGCAAUUUGCACAGGUCUAGUGUGUUACAGCUUCCCACUAAUGGCCAAUGCCAUUUAUCUUCAUUCCUGGUAUCCUUCGACUUCGACGAAAAAAAGUCUUAAAACCUGGCCAAGUGUUUCAGAAGCGUACCUCGCCUGGUUAGAUCGGGUGGAGGCAGCAUAUGCCGAUUUCUAGCCGGAAGUCGGUAUUUAUAAAGCUAUUCAGCUAUCUCGAAACCCUCCUAUAGCCGACAACCUUCUUUUGGCUGCGGCUCUCUGUUUUUGGUUCCUUGUUUCUAAUACUUUUCUUUCUAGAGGACCCCUUACUCCUACUCUCCUUAACGUAGCUGCUAUCAUUAGCAUACGUCCUCAUGGAGUCAACUUUUUGAUGGCCUAUAAUCCCGACGGUGCAUCCGAUUUUGAGGCCUAUCUUGACCUUACGAUUUGGCUUAUACCAAAUUUAUUCGCAAGUUUGCAUGUGAGUCCUGUGCUGCGGUUACUAGGAAAGAAUAUACAGCGUUUCUCCUGUAUUUGUUAUGCCACAACCUCUUCUGUACUCGUUCACAGAAGAUUAACUAAGAUUUUGUUCCAAUCGCUGUAGGUUUAGCUAACGGCAAAAGAUUAGCUCUAGGAACAUAUUUCCUUAUUUUUGUCUAUAAAGAAAUUUUUGACUCUAUCAAACCACUACCGUCCGGAGAGGGUUUAGCAAUUGACUUCUGUUGUGGUGUUUUUUGGUUCUUGCAGAUAUUUUUGCAAAUUUAUUUUCCUUCUUUAUGCCAAAUUCCUUCAGAUGUAGAUUCGGCUCCUCAAUUCGACACUUACGGGUUAGCUCCCGGUUGUCCUAAACCGUUAACCGCAGGCCACCAAUUUGAUUUUAGUACUUACUUCAAGGUCUUCUACGAAUCGCGUCCUCAUCGCCUCAUUUCAUGGGCCCCAUUUGCGGAGCGUAUUACUAGUCCACCUUGGCUUUCAGCCCCCUACGAAGCCAUCCAACGCGAACUGGCCUCUCUCGGGCCAGUGAAUAUUCGGACGUUUUGUUUUCCUUCUUGGUUACAUGGGCUCUACAUGUCGGGUUGAAGACACUGUAACGACCCAGCCCACUAGCAACAAUAACUCGUUGGGCCAAAACCACCGGCUCAAAAUGCUUAAGCCCAGUUAUUAUUACUAGUAUCUAAGUCUCUAAUAAACCCAAUGACAACUCCAUUCCUAUCCAAUGUGAGACUAUUGGAAUGUCACAGACUCCCCCCGUUAAGGACCUGACGUCCUCAUCAGUCAAAUCACACACAACCCAAGAUCACCAGGCAAUGUGAGACUUGUCUCGCUAGCCUUUGUCAUUCCGCCCCUGACUCAGGUAAGACUCAUCUCACACUUCCGGCUGGUGAACUGACUCUGAUACCAAAUGUAACGACCCAACCCACUAGCAACAAUAACUCGUUGGGCCGAAACACCGGCCCAAGAUGCUUAAACCCAGUUAUUAUUACUAGUGUCUAAAUCUCUAAUAAACCCAAUGACAAUUCCAUUCCCAUCUGAUAUGGGACUAUUGGGGUGUCACAGACACGCUCAAAAUUGAUGCCCAGUACUGAAGUCUAUUCCCCCCAGUAUGUAGCGCGCCAAUUUGAAUUUCUACAAGCAAUCCCUAUACCAGCCAAGUUUUUACAGCCAAUACUACCGCCAAUCGUCCUCCCACCAAGAAUACAGCCGAAGCUGAUCGACUUUCAGCCAUAGGGAAUCGUCUUUGGCGAUUCUUUAAAUUAGUAAGAUUUAGGCCGAAUCACACGGGAGUGAUGGGCUUUCAUUACUCGGCCAUUUGCGAUGUUUUCUGCGAUCGCGUCUUUCCUCUGUCCACACAGCAUAUGAUUCGCAAGAUUCUUCAUCCAACAAGUAUGUUACUUGCUCAUUAAAUCACUUUCGCAAUUGAUCUUUUUCCUAAGUUAAUUCUAUUUAACUAUUUUUCAUUUAUAACAGUUCCUUAUCCAAGUAAGGAUUUUUUACUCGAUUCUGCUAUUUAAACUGCACCAGAAGAAGGAUCGGAAGAAAAUUUCGAUCAGAAUCCUGAUGACCUGCCUCCAUCUUCUGCAGUGAGUCUUUCUUAUUAUUUUUUGCCCUAUUUUCUUUAUAUGAUCACUAUGGCUUACAUUUAUAUACAUGUUUUAUGCAUAGCCAACUCCAAUCUCUUCAUCGGUCCCAGCUUCAGAAAAGCCACCGAUGGAGGCUGAACAAUCCAUUCCUCCGCUGCCUUCAAAGCGGCGUAAAUCAGUUGCUAAAUUUUUGUAACUCUCACCACCACUCCAUCAUUCUCCUCACCGACCCCGCCGCGCUGCUGCUACUGCUGCUUCGCCUACGAUGCUGAGGCCCACAUGCGGGUGGUGAUGUAGUUAUGCAGGCCUUAAUUAGCUUUAUUGACCAGGUGACUUUGAGCAUUAAUGAGGGUCCUCAGGAAUGUCCUAUUUAUAACUGUUGAUGUAUUGAAAUAUAUAGCAUUAAAUGAUUUUGCCCCUGAGGUGCAACGUGCGCCUCCGACCUUCACGUUGUGCGGCGGCGGAGCAGCCGCGGACGCGAGCCAUGGCGGGGACGGGGGCGAAGCCCCUGAGGAGCAGAGCCCGUGGGCUCCAACAGCUCGCCUACGCCACCAAGGCUGCCGGCGACGUUCGCAGCAGCCGAGUCGGAGACGUCGAGGAAGGUGGGCACAACGCCGACAGUGACGAGUCGGAGACAUUUUUCUUCUUCUUCUAAUCUCUGUGAUGAAUCCGUUAAAUGGCAUGUCAGAUUAGGCUAUAUAGGUCAAGAAAGAAUGAAUAGACUGGCUCAAGAAGACCUUUUGGGUCUUUUGCCAAAGUUGACCUAUCUGUGUGCGAACCUUGUCUGGCUGGAAAGAUAUGUAGAAAGCCUUUUGGUAAGGCUACUCGUGCCUCUCAUCCUUUGGAGCUAAUCUACUUAGACAUUUGUGGGUCAAUGAAUGUGAGGGUCUGGCAUGGUGCGUGCUAUUUUCUCACAUUCAUUGAUGAUUAUUCUCGUUAUGGAUGUGUGUAUUUGCUUUCUCGCCGAUCUGAAGCCUUAGAUUGCUUUAAGCGCUUCGUUGCGGAGGCUGAGAAUCAAAUAGAAAGAAGUGUAAAGCCGCUACGCACUGACCAAGGUGGUGAGUACUUGUCUGAUUAGUUCAAGACUUAUUGUAAGCAAAAGGGCAUCAGUAAACAGCUCACUAUUCUUGGUACUCCGCAACAAAAUAGUGUUGCAGAGCGAAGAAACCGUACUCUAUUAGACAUGGUUAGAUCGAUGGUGGCGCAAGCGUAUUUUCCUAUAAUUUUUUAGGGAGAUGCACUUUUGACUGCAGCCUACUUCCUUAAUCGAGUCCCUAACAAAUUUGUGCCUUCUACCCCAUAUGAGUUGUGGAGCGGUAAAAAGCCGAAUUUACACUACUUACGCCCUUGAGGUUCGGCUGAAUAUGUUCACAGCCCCUCACAUAAAUUUGAAAAACUCGGCCCUAGAGCGAGCAAGCAUGUGUUCAUCAGGUACCCUGAAAAUUCGAAGGGCUAUGUGAUGUCACUCCCCAGGACCCAGCGGAAGCCCGCACGGUGCGUGUCCAGACCCGCCAUAUGCCUACAACAUAUAAGGCGUCUACAACAAACGAUAAUUAAAGCAACAAUAAUUAAGCAUCCAGAGAUAUCAAAGCAAAACUACAUCUAGAUUUCUAAUAGCAAAAGGAAUAAAAAAAACUAAUCCAAGUAAAUAAACUAUAAAGUAGUACAACAUAUGAUCGAAGUACAAGUGCUAAGUAUUCAAAAAUGGUGGCCUCUACACAUAGGUACAUCACCCUCAUCCUCUCCAAAAUAAAACAAAAGAGAGAUGAGCCACCUAAAGCGGAACCCUCGCUAUCUAGCUCGGAGCUACACCCUUGCCGCGGUCCCUAUCCUCACCCGGAGUGGAAGGCUCUAAAAUAAAAGAACAAAAUAGAGGGCGUGAGAACUAUUAAUCAAUAGUUCCCAGUGGGCAAACCGCUGAUCUCAGCGAAAUACUCCACUAGGCUAAAGAGGCAAAAGAACUAUAAUAAACAACAUGUAUUUGAAAUAUAACAAUUAACUUGUCUACAUUAUGAUGUCUCAAGUUUAGCAUGAUAUUAAACAUGAAAAUUACUAAUCUAUCAUAAUCGAGUAUAUCCAAGGAGUAUACUAGUAUACUCUAAACAUGAUCAUCAUAAAUAUAAAUAUGCACCAAGCAUGGUUCACCAAUAUACCACUAUGUCCAACUAGUAUAAUAAUGUGCCCAACCAAUACCUACUAUCAAGUAGUAAAUGUCACUUAGUUGUUUCAAUGUCAUUUUUCAUUCCAAUCUAGGACCUACACAAGUGUAGUAUGGCUUGUGCCGCCUAAUGGCCCCGGGUAGUCCAACAUUUCUCUAGGAAUGUAACUGUCCCAUGGUGACCUAGUAGGCCCUCAAUCCCGCACGGGCAAGCAUAUGUCGCGUAGGCCAACUCGGAAGUGCCGGCUUGUGGGGAGUGACUAUCACAAGCAUGUGCAAAUGAGCAAAAAUGACAAGCAAGCAUAAUUAUCAUCUCAAGUACUCGGUCAUCAUGUCUCAAUAUGGUAUAAUACUAGCAACCCCAAAGGUCUAGUUCUAUGUCACAAUAUAAUGGUUCCAUCAUUUACUAAUCUAAUGCCACUUUAUGACAUUAUGGUUCUCUAUGUCAAUACAUGUUCCAAGUCCAAUGCCACUUCAUGACAUUACAUAAUCCCUAUGUUUAGCACAUGUCCAUUGUUCUCAAACAAGUAAAGCUUGUUAUUUCAACACAUCUAACAUGAUUUCUAACAUAUCAUGAGAAUGCCAUUUUGCAUGCAAUUUACUAUACAAUUUUCCUCCCUACUAUAUAGGGGCCAUACAACGUGAUAUGUGACAUAUAUAUUUUAUGCAUUCUAAAAUUUACAUAUACUCUAUCUAGCAUGAAUAUGCAUGAUUUUUUAUUUUACAACAUAGGAUAUAGUAUAGGGGAAGUUCACUAAUUUCGGUGAGGUCAAACCCACCAAGAACUCCUUAUAACCCUUUCGUUUGCGCGAACGAAGGUGCCCACAAGUCUUCUAGCUCUCUAGAGAAAAUUCUAAGAGGGUUAAACGAAACGAAUGAACACCCCAUGAGCUAAACUUUAACCAACCCAACAUUAGGUCACAAUUCAGCUUGUAUGGUGUAGAACUCUUCCAAACUCCAAAUGGUGGCUAGAAUCCUUCUAAUCCAACCUUAAAUGAAGUUCUACACCCAUCAAUUUUGUAAGAAAGUGAAUUCUCGAAAUCCGAGAAUUGUACUUCAUCCAGAAUCGACUAACUGUCGAGAGAAUACCCUUUGUGGGAGUUAAAAAUAUCCAAAACACAAAAAGGUGCUUUGGAGUUGAGUCUGCGAGAGCAAAUAGGCAAAAUCUGGACUCAGCAGAUUUUUGCUCUUGGGGACCGGUCCCUAGAAGGGAGGACCGGUCCCCGAAGCUGAGGGUCGCGGGGGAAGGUCGAUGCGACCGGUCCCUAGUUGAGGGGACUUGUCCCCAUGCGUGACACCCACGAGAGAAAGCCUAAAUUUGGCUAAGUCCUGAAGGUUUCCCUUUCGAGAACCGGUCUCUCAGGGAAGACCGGUCUCCCAGGGACCAGUCCCUCGGGUGAGGACCGGUUCCCGAACGCGAAAAGUCCCCAAGCCGUUGGGAGGACUCUCGGGGACCGGUCUCCCCGACCAGGAACCGAUCCCUCUGGGCGAAAACAGCCCAGUGAUAGCUGCGUGAGAGAUGAAAAGUUGAGGGGUUUAAGUGCAAAAUGACCAUCAUGUGAGGGGUGUAUAUGAAAAAUAACCCUCUCCCUCAGCCCCACUCAUCUCAUUCCCUCUCUAUCUCUCUUUCUCUCUUGCUCUCUCUUUCUCUAGAAAGGAGAAAAAGAAGAACAAGAAGGAGAGGAAGGAAAAGAAGGAGAAGAACAAGAAGGAGAGGAAGGAAAAGAAGAAGAAGGAGAUCAAGAGGAAGGCCUUGGACACCUUCAUCUCCCUCUCCUCUUCUCUUUGGUGUAGCACAAGAGGUAAGCUCUUGAACCCUAACUUCUAGAAUUUGGGGUUUUGGAUUUUUAUGCUUUGGAAUGGGUCAAAUGGACCCUAAGCAUGCUUCUAAAUAGAUCAAUCCCAAGAAUCUUAUGGAUUUAUUGGAUGGUUUGCUAUGGGUGCAAACCUAGGGCUCUAAAAUGGGGUUUUUGUGAAGUACGAGAUUGAUCUCAUUUGAAGCCUUGGAAACCCUAUUGUUAGGUCACAAAACGUGGGGGCGAAGUCGGUUUUGGCAUUCGGCGAGCCGGCGUGAAGUUGUCGGCAAGAUAGGGCCGAAAUAGCUUGGACUUGGGCAAGGAAGGCUAAAGCCUUUUCGCAAAGUUUGCCGAGAAGAAUUUCCAAAUCCUCUACAUCGAUUAAAGGUAGGGGGUGCCAUCCCGAAGCUUUCGAACUCCUUUCUAUGUCUUAGAUUGCAUUUAAUCUCAUCUCUUCAUAUUGCAUUGUAGGAUUGCAUAGUAGCUCCAUUCCUUAUGCUUUCUAAUUGAUAAUCUAGUGUACUUGGAACUUUUGGUAACUUAGGUAGGUGAGAAUUGGGUCGGAACGUGGAUCCUACGAUGCGAGAGAAAAGAGAUGAACCCAAUGGGGGUGUUGAUGACAUAGAAAGUAGUGUUAAUAUCAAAGAACAAACGAGUGGCAUCCAAACGCUAAAUGAUGACGAGUUACAUUAAUGUAGUGUAAAUAACACUAGAGGUUUGAGAACCUAGGGAUAAAUGGAUCCCUUAGAAAAUCCCUUGUGGACAAGAACUUAGUAAACCUAAGUAACCUCACUUGGAGAGGUCGUCGAUGAGUCGAUUGAGACAUUGACCCUAGUAGUAGGGCUUCCUCACUUGGAGAGAAUUUGAUUGGGUUGUGGACCCUAGUGAUAGUGCUCCCUCACUUGGAGAGGAUUCGAUUGGGUUAUUGACUCUAGUUAUAGAGCAUCCUCACUUGGAGAGGACUUGAUUGAGUUGUUCACCCUAGAUGUAGGGCAUCCUCACUUGGAGAGGAUGGAUCUAGCUCACAGUCUGCGUUUGGAAUGGUAUAGCCAUCCAAUCCCUAUAUGGAGCGUAUGGUCGUCGAGUACUCCAGAGUGCCGCGCGACUAGGACCACUUGGAGGUCCGGACCACAUGGAGGUCCGCAGACGGUCCCGAGCUUGGGUGCACUUGGAGCUCCCUCCCUACUUUGGGAUUAAAAGGUGAGUUAUGGGCGAGCCCUAGGGCCUCGCCACAGAUUAGGUAAAUGGAAAGAGUAAAGGUUUAAUAACGUCAUUGAACAUUGCUAUUCGAACAUGGAUCGAAUUUGUUAGCAUGGUAACAAACCUUUAUCAUAUGAUGCAUGCAUUCAUAUUCAUGAUUAUGGGCAUAGUAGCAUAGUUUUUCUACUAUUGUAUUUACAGUUUUUAGAUACAUAUCUAUCUAUCUAUCUAUUGUUACUUGUGUCCACUUGGACCUAGUGGAGAGAUCGGCAGAGUCGGCGGCCGAGUCCACUGGGAACUAUGGAAGAUAAUUCGCACCCCACUCUAUUUCAAGUGGUAGGUACAGGGUUGCCGAGAGAGGACUGCAGCAAGGGCAUCGCGCCCGAUCAGUGAGGCCGUGGUAGUAUAGUAGCUUUCUUUUUUGCAUUAGCACACCUAUGUAUUAAGAGAGAUUCAUUAUAGGUGGGGAUUUGGAGAGCUAUGUAUUUUGGAGACGAAAAAUAUAAUCAUUUAAAGAAAAUGAUGUAAAUGAAAAUGCGAAAGUACUCUCUUUAUUUCACAUGCUUUAUCUUGUGGAUUACUUGCUCUUUGUAUUGUUGGCACUGUUUGUGCCCUUGUGAAUGUGUACGUUUAGAAUUUAAUUUUCUGGGUAAAUUCUUUUACACAUUCCUGUUGUUGAGCCUUGGGCGGACAGGGGAGGUGCUGUCCGUUCGGCGGCCCGCCGCCGCGGCCGAACCGUGCCAAAUUGGUAGUGGUUUCGGGGCGGGGCGUGACAGCCUUUGUGGUAUCAGAGCUAAGAGCAAGUAAAGAGAGAGUCUAGGACGACCUAGGAGACCCUAGGUUGGUAAGCCCUAUGGUUAUAGGUGCGUGAGCGGAAUGUGAACCUAUAGCGAUGGCGGAAGUCAAUUCGAUUGGGUCAAAGUUGGUAAUAUGUCUCUAGUUGUGAUUAGAGACGGACUCAAGCUGUAUGAGUUCUUGUCUUGAGGUGGUUGUGUCGGCGGCCGACGACAUGAUACCAAGAAUCUAGAACGAGUGCACUUGUGUGCUUCCGCCCGAUUUUGUUGUUGAGUCGUCAUGUGUCGCAAUUGCGACGAAGUAAUUGGUUAAGAUGACUGACCGAGUAAUUGCGUUUCAGGGACUAAUGUCUCCAAGACGCUACACACGUAGGACUGCCCCAGCACCGAUUCCUGAGGUGCCCGAGCAGGAGGAACCGAGCGUGAUCGAUCGGUUACAAGCGCAGGUGACCGCGCUGACCAAUGUGGUGCAGCGCCAGGAGACCAGAUUCGAGCGGCUCCAGGAUCUAUUGGAGUGGCAGAUCGCGGCGGCGGCUGCGACGGCAAAUGAAGGCGGUGGCCCGCCCGCACCCUCGACUCAUAUACCUGGAGCGACAGAGGGUGAGGGCAUAGCGGCGGUUUCAGUGACGGCACGCCCACCGCCAACGAUCGUACCACAGGCGGCAUCGGGAUCGGCUACCCCCGAUGUGUUGGCCGAGGACGUGGAGGGAGAGCGCGCAUUGGCGGCUCUUAUCAAGUUCAACAAGUUCCAUCCGCCAACCUUCGAGGGCGAGAAGGUGGAACCGGAGAUAGUCAAGUCUUGGAUCGACUCGAUGGAGACCCUCUUCGACGACUUGCGUACCUUGGAGAGGGACAAGGUGUAUCUCGCCACCCACUGCUUGGAGAAGGCGGCGAAGGUUUGGUGGAAGCGAGUCAAACGGGAUCGGCUUCCCGGCCUUCUGCCAAUGCUGUGGGAGAAAUUCAAGCGGGAGAUGUUCGCCAACUAUUUCCCUGACACGUUGAAGCGGAAGCUCAAGGAGAAGUUCCGCAAGCUCGAGCAAGGGGACUGCUCAGUGGCGGAGUAUGAACAAGAAUUCUCCCAUAUUAUCGACUGUGUCUCGGAUGUUGUAAAGGAUGACCAGGACUGGGCCGAGUGGUUCUUGCGAGGACUUCGGCCAGAAAUCUACAAGGCCGUGCAAAUACUUAAGCUCACGACCUUUGCGGAGGUCUUCGAUCGAGCCUUAUGGGCGGAGCACGGAGAUGCCUACGUUCGGGAGAAGCGUGAGGCUUUGGCCGAGUUUAAGGACAAGGGCAAGAAACGCCAAGGCGGCGGUAGUUCGGGGGGAUAGACACGUUACAAGAAACCCCCGAAGUAUCUGCGCGCUCAACAGAAGGGCGGUGGAGCGCAGCGAUGCAUUGUGUGCAGUGGAGACCACCCAGUCUCGCGCUAUGAGCAAGGCCGAGGCAAGUGCUACAAAUGUGGGCAACCAGGGCACUUCAUUCGAGACUGCCCGGGAGGAGGAGCCUCACCUACACCAUCGAUUGCAUCGGCGCCGGCGAUUCCGGCUCACUAUGGAGGAGCUCCAUUGACGGCCGCGUCGACUGGACGCGCGAUAAUGCUGCGUCAACCUGAAGUGACGCGAUCGGCCCCGAGCGGACGGGUGUUCGCCGCUCAGGUCCAAGCUGAGGAACCUGCGGAGGCGGAGGAGCAUUGCCUGGUGGCAGGAAUGGUUUUGAUUAACGGAGUUCGCUUUAGGGCUUUAUUUGAUACAGGAGCCACGCAUUCAUUCAUAAGUAGAUCAUUCGCACGCAUGCAUGACAUCCUCAUAGAGGCGAGUGACAAGUGGCGAGUGGAGGGCCCUGGGUCGAUGUCUAACACUUACUCGGAGUGUGCGUCGUGUCCCGUGCAAAUAGGCGAAUGGAUUAUGCCUAUCCGGGCGUUGGAACUCCAGAAGCUUGAGGCUUUUGAUAUCAUUCUGGGCAUGGACUGGCUCUCGAAGUAUCACGCGACGAUCGACUGCAAGAGCAGGGUGAUCACAUUCCAUGAGCCAGGACAAGAGGAGUUCACAUAUCGGGCUUGUCAAAGCUCGUGCUUCGUCGCAACGGUGUCGGCAACGAGAGCAAGGAAGUUAGUCAACAGCGGUUGCACGGCAUUCUUAGCGACUGUUGUGGAAGUGGAACGAGUAGCUCCAACGUUAGAGGAGCUAUCGGUGGUGCGGGAGUUCCCGGAUGUAUUUCCCACAGAGUUGCCGGGGAUACCACCGGAUCGGGAGAUCGAGUUCGUCAUAGACUUGGUUCCUGGUACCGCACCGAUCUCGAAGGCUCGGUACCGAAUGGCGCCGGCGGAAUUGAAGGAGUCGAGAAGUCAAUUGCAAGACCUCCUCGACAAGCAAUUUAUCCAGCCUAGUGUAUCACCGUGGGGAGCCCCGGUGUUGUUCGUAAGGAAGAAGGACGGAUCGUUCCGACUCUGCGUGGACUAUCGAGAAUUGAACAGAGUCACGAUCAAGAAUAAGUACCCACUACCCCGAAUCGAUGACUUGUUCGAUCAGGGGUCGUGUGUGUACUCAAAGAUAGAUUUGCAAUCCGGCUAUCACCAGCUGAAGAUCAAGCCGGAGGAUGUGCAGAAAAUCGCAUUUCGUAUGCGAUAUGGACACUACGAAUUCACGGUUGUGCCAUUUGGACUCACGAAUGCGCCAGCGGCGUUCAUGGACUUGAUGAACCGUGUCUUCAGGAGGUUUUUGGAUCGAUUUGUCGUGGUCUUCAUAGACGACAUAUUGGUCUAUUCUCGUAGUGACGAGGAACAUGCCGAGCAUUUGAGGAUAGUGCUUCAAGUCCUUCGGAAGGAGAAGCUAUAUGCUAAGCUGAAGAAGUGUGACUUCUAGCUCCGCGAGGUCGCCUUCUUAGGGCAUGUGAUUUCCACGGGUGGAGUUUCAGUAGACGCGAGGAAAGUUGAGGCAAUCAAGGAUUGGCCGCGCCCAACGAAUGUCACGGAGGUUCGAAGCUUCGUGGGCUUGGCGGGCUAUUAUAGGCGGUUUGUGGAAGGCUUUUCCAAGAUAGUGAUUCCACUUACCCGCCUGACCCAGAAAGGCACCAAGUUCGUGUGGAGCGAAGAGUGCGACUGGAGUUUCAAAGAGUUGAAGCAAAGAUUGACUUUGACUCCGGUGCUCGCUCUACCGGUGCAGGGUGAAGACUUUGUAGUCUAUAGUGAUGCCUCCUAUCUUGGGUUGGGGUGUGUAUUGAUGCAAAACGGAAAAGUGAUCGCUUAUGCAUUCCGUCAACUGAAGUGCUAUGAAAAGAACUACCCCAUCCAUGAUUUGGAGCUAGCGGUGGUGAUUUUCACCUUGAAGCUGUGGAGGCACUACUUAUAUGGUGCCCAUUGUGAGAUCUAUACCGACCACAAGAGCUUGAAGUACCUGUUUACACAGAAGGAGCUCAACAUGCGUCAGCGGCGGUGGUUGGAGCUGAUAGAGGAUUAUGAUGUUGAUAUCCUCUACCACCCCGGGAAAGCAAAUGUGGUCGCGGACGCACUUAGUAGAAAGUCGGCGAAGAACCUCGCUUUUGAUAUUACCCAGCAAACACCCCUGUGGCUAGAAAUGGAGCGAUUGGACCUUGAAGUGGUCGUUCCUGAGGUCCCGACUCAGUUGAUGGCACUCAUUGUCCAACCGACCUUGUUGGAGAGGAUCAAAGAUCUACAACCCGCAGACCCGGAACUCCAAAAGGUGCGGCGAAACAUCGAGGAAGGGCAUGGCGGCGAUUUCAAGAUAGACGCCGAUGGUACGCUUCGGUUUCGAAACCGAUGGUGUGUGCCGAAGGAUGGAGAGCUUCGUGAAUUGAUUUUACAAGAAGCAUACCGAUCUCCAUAUGCCGAUCACCCGGGUGGCACCAAGAUGUAUAAAGGACUAAAAAUGCAUUAUUGGUGGCCGGGAAUGAAGAGUGACAUUGGACGCUUUGUGGCAAAGUGCCUAACAUGCCAACAAGUAAAGGCCGAGCGUCGAUUUCCAGCGGGGAAGCUUCAAAGCCUACCAAUCCCCGUUUGAAAAUGGGAGAAUAUAUCGAUGGACUUCGUGGUCGGCUUGCCUCGCUCAACGGGCGGCCACGAUGCAAUUUGGGUAAUUGUGGACCGAUUGACAAAGUCGGCUCACUUCUUGCCGAUCCACACCACGUGGUCGGGCGACAAGUUAGCGCAGGUAUACCUUGACGAGAUAGUGAGACUGCAUAGGGUGCCGAAAUCGAUCGUGUCGGAUCGUGACACCCGAUUCACUUCACACAUCUGGAAGAGCCUGCAGGAAGCCCUUGGCACACGGCUCGACUUCAGCGCUGCAUUUCAUCCUCAGACCGAUGGGCAAACAGAAAGAACUAUUCAAACUCUGGAGGAUAUGUUGCGAGCGUGUGUCAUUGACUACAAGGGAAGUUGGUGUGACCACCUACCUAUGGCCGAGUUCGCCUACAACAACAGUUAUCAUGCUAAUGUAGAGAUGGCACCGUUCGAGGCUCUCUAUGGGCGGACGUGUCGGUCUCCUAUACACUGGAGCAAUGUAGGUUAGCGUGCUAAGUUCGGCCCAGAUAUGUUACGAGAAGCGGAAGAGAAAGUCCGCCUUGCUCGCAAGAGAUUGCUCACGGCGCAGUCGAGACAGCAAAGCUAUGCAGAUAGGCGCCGUCGAGAUAUAGAGUUCGCAGUAGGUGACCACGUAUUCUUGAAAGUUUCGCCGAUGCGGGGUGUGAAGCGGUUUGGAGUACGGGGAAAACUAAGUCCCCGAUACAUUGGGCCAUAUGAAAUAUUGGAGUGAGUCGGCACGGUUGCCUACCGACUUGCCUUGCCGCCGAAGCUUGCGGAUGUACACAAUGUGUUCCAUGUCUCCAAUCUCCGCAAGUAUAUUCACGACCCCGAGCAUGCACUGCUAUAUGAGCCACCGGAGCUUCAAGGGGACUUGAGCUAUGAAGAGUUUCCGGUAGGGAUUAUCGCCCAAGAGGUGCGAAAGUUGAGGAAUCCAGAAAUUCCCUAUGUGAAGGUUAGGUGGAGCAAUCACGAGGAUUGCGAAGCCACAUGGGAACUCGAGGAUCUGAUGAGAAAACACCAUCCUCAUUUAUUUGAUGAGUAAGGUAUGAGUUUGAGUUAAAGUAAAGAAUUUAGUUCGUUUCGAGGACGAAACUACUUUUAAGGAAGGGAGGAUGUAAGGAAGUGAAUUCUCGAAAUCCGAGGAUUGUACUUCAUCCAGGAUCGACUAACUGUCGAGAGAAUACCCUUUGUGGGAGUUAAAAAUGUCCAAAACACAAAAAGUGCUUUAGAGUUGAGUCCGCGAGAGCAAAUAGGCAAAAUCUGGACUCAGCAGAUUUUUGCUCUCGGGGACCGGUCCCUAGAAGGGAGGACCGGUCCCCGAAGCUGAGGGUCGCGGGGGAAGGUCGAUGCGACCGGUCCCUGGUUGAGGGGACCGGUCCCCGUGCGCGACACGCGCGAGAGAAAGCCUAAAUUUGGCUAAGUCCUGAAGGUUUCCCUUUCGGGAACCGGUCUCUCAGGGAAGACUGGUCUCCCAGGGACCGGUCCCUCGGGUGAGGACCGGUUCCCGAACGCGAAAAGUCCCCAGGCCGCUGGGAGGGCUCUCGGGGACCGGUCUCCCCGACCAGGGACCGGUCCCUCUGGGAGAAAAUAGCCCAGUGACAGCUGCGUGAGAGAUGAAAAGUUGAGAGGUUUAAGUGCAAAAUGGCCAUCAUGUGAGGGGUGUAUAUAGGAAAUAACCCUCUCCCUCAGCCUCUCUCAUCUCAUUCCCUCUUUAUCUCUCUUUCUCUCUUGCUCUCUCUCUCUCUAGAAAGGAGAAAAAGAAGAACAAGAAGGAGAGGAAGGAAAAGAAGGAGAAGAACAAGAAGGAGAGGAAGGAAAAGAAAGAGAAGAAGAAGGAAAUCAAGAGGAAGGCCUUGGACACCUUCAUCUCCCUCUCCUCUUCUCUUUGGUGUAGCACAAGAGGUAAGCUCUUAAACCCUAACUUCUAGAAUUUGGGGUUUUGGAUUUUUAUGCUUUGGAAUGGGUCAAAUGGACCCUAAGCAUGCUUCUAAAUAGAUCAAUCCCAAGAAUCUAUGGAUUUAUUGGAUGGUUUGCUAUGAGUGCAAACCUAGGGCUCCAAAAUAGGGUUUUUGUGAAAGUACGAGAUUGAUCUCAUUUGAAGAUUUGGAAACUCUAUUGUUAAAGCACAAAACGUGGGGGCGAAGUCGGUUUUGGCAUUCGGCGAGCCGGCGUGAAGUUGUCGGCAAGAUAGGGCCGAAAUAGCUUGGACUUGGGCAAGGAAGGCUAAAGCCUUUUCGCAAAGUUCGUCGAGAAGAAUUUCCAAAGCCUCUACAUCGAUUAAAGGUGGGGGGUGCCAUCCUGAAGCUUUCGAACUCCUUUCUAUGUCUUAGAUUGCAUUUAAUCUCAUCUCUUCAUGUUGCAUUGUAGGAUUGCAUAGUAGCUCCAUUCCUUAUGAUUUCUAAUUGAUAACCUAGUGUACUUAGAACUCUUGGUAACUUAGGUAGGUGAGGAUUGGGUCGGAACGUAGAUCCUAUGAUGCGAGAGAAAAGAGAUGAACCCGAUGGGGGUGUUGAUGACAUAGAUAGUAGUGUUAAUGUCAAAGAACAAACGAGUGGCAUCCAAACGCUAAAUGAUGACGAGUUACAUUAAUAUAGGUAAAUAAUACCAGAGGUUUGAGAACCUAGGAAUAGAUGGAUCCCUUAGAAAAUACCUUGUGGACAAGAACUUAGUAAACCUAAGUAACCUCAUAUGGAGAGGUCGUCGAUGAGUCGAUUGAGACAUUGACCCUAGUAGUAGGGCUUCCUCACUUGGAGAGGAUUUGAUUGGGUUGUGGACCCUAGUGAUAGUGCUCCCUCACUUGGAGAGGAUUCGAUUGGGUUAUUGACUCUAGUUGUAGAGCAUCCUCACUUGGAGAGGACUUGAUUGAGUUGUUGACCCUAGAUGUAGAGCAUCCUCACUUGGAGAGGGUGGAUCUAUCUCACAGUCUGCGUUUGGGAUGGUAUAGCCAUCCAAUCCCCACAUGGAGGGGAUGGUCGUCGAGUACUCCGGAGUGUCGUGCGACUAGGACCACUUGGAGGUCCGGACCACAUGGAGGUCCGCAGACGGUCCCGGGCUUAGGUGUACUUGGAGCUCCCUGCCCACUUUGGGAUUGAAAGGUGAGUUAUGGGCGAGCCCUAGGCCUCACCACAGAUUGGGUAAAUGGAAAGAGUAAAGGUUUAAUAACGUCAUUGAACAUUGCUAUUCGAACAUGGAUCGAAUUUGUUAGCAUGGUAGCAAACCUUUAUCAUAUGAUGCAUGUAUUCAUAUUCAUGAUUAUGGGCAUAGUAGCAUAGUUUUCCUACUAUUACAUUUACAGUUUUCAGAUACAUAUCUAUCUAUCUAUCUGUUGUUACUUAUGCCCACUUGGACCUAGUGGGGAGAUCGGCAGAGUCGGCGGCCGAGCCCACUGGGAACUAUGGAAGAUAGUUCUCACCCCACUCUAUUUCCAGUGGUAGGUACAGGGUUGCCGAGAGAGGACCGCGGCAAGGGCAUCGCGCCCGAUCAGUGAGGCCGUGGAAGUAUAGUAGCUUUCCUUUUUGCAUUAGCACACCUAUGUAUUGAGAGCGAUUCAUUGUAGGUGAGGAUUUGGAGAGCUAUAUAUUUUGGAGACGAAAAAUAUAAUCAUUUAAAGAAAAUAAUGUAAAUGAAAAUGCGAAAGUACUCUCUUUAUUUCACAUGCUUUAUCUUGUGGAUUACUUGCUCUUUGUAUUGUUGGCACUGUUUGUGCCCUUGUGAAUGUGUACGUUUAGAAUUUAAUUUUCUGGAUAAAUUCUUGUACACAUUCCUAUUGUUGAGCCUUGGGCGGACAGGGGAGGUGCUGUCCGUUCGGCGCCCCGCCGCCGCGGCCGAACCGUGCCAAAUUGGUAGUGGUUUCGGGGCAGGGCGUGACAAAUUUAGCCCCAAAGGCUACAAAUCAAAAACUCCCAAAUAAAACCCUAGAUUCCACAUUCUAGGUUUUCUACACAAAAAUCCCCCAAAAUAAGAUCCAAAGGGAAGAUCAAGACUACCAACCUCUCUUGAAGCUCCAAACCAAAUUAGGAGUGAGCUAGGGUUGAAGAUCUUUCCUCCAAUGAGCUCCAAACACCAACUCUAUGGCUUCUCCAAGGUGGGAGAACCAACAUGAAGUAAAAAGGAGCAAAAAGAGAUGAUCAAUCCAACAAAACCCAAGCAAAAAGAGGAGAAAAGCAAGGAAAAUGGAGAGGAAAGCCACCUCUCCUCCUUCUCUGGUCGCAGCACAAGAGCCCUUGCCCAAGAGGUAAAGGGUAUAUAAAGUGUUGGAACAAUUACAAAAGAACAUCCAAAAACUGGCAGUCUGCAGACUGCACUGCGUACUGGUACGCGGGCUGGAGUACCGGUACCCCAUAGCCGAGCUCGCCAAACUCGAGUCUCGGUUAGGCGAGAAAACACGCUGCGUACCGAUACCCGCGCGAUGCAGUACCGGUACAAGGUCCAGUACCGGUACUCGGGCAAUGGAGUACCGGUACUCUGCCUCGCAGAGCUCAAACCCGAGAGCACUCUUCUUGGGUGCGUGACACCGUUCCGGUACCUCUUCUCUAGUACCGGUACCAGCACCCCAUAACCUACAGUUUGAAGGUUUUGAUACUAAGUACUCAUCCUCGCUCCUCAAGACGCGAGUAAUGGGUCGAAACACAGUCAACGACCCUCUAGAAAAUCUGAAAAAGCUCAAAACACUAAUCAAACACUCGAACAUUGCAAUUUGCUAAAUUUCAGUGUAUUACAUGUGAUGUAUGGUGAACGCCCAAAUGGUGGUAUGAUCAAGAUUGAGUCUCAUGAUGUGGAAUUCCUAGAAAAGGAAUUUCCAAGCAUUGGUGAAAUGUGAAGAGACGUCGGAUUGUAUGAGUUAUAGGAUGAUGCUACCCCAUCUGCUAUUGAGGGUGAUCGAUCACUUCCCAAAGUUGCUGAAGGAAGUGGUAACCAUCCUCCGGCUAGUGGGAGUGCUUUCUUGAAUAAGAGCAUACCUUUGGAAAUCGGCAGUUCAAACCUUCUAUUGCGUAGAAGUGAACGUGGACAUAUUCCCCGUCGACAUUUUGAGAUCGAAGAGGAUAUUUUCAUGUGCACUUCGCUUGAUGAUGAUGAACCUACUUCUUAUAAAGAAGCACUAUAGACGUCAGCUUGCAGUGAGUGGAUGGAUGCUAUGAAAGAUGAGAUAGACUCUAUGAGCAAGAACCAAGUAUGAGAGUUGGUUGACCUUUCGCCCGGGCGCAAAUCUAUUAAAAAUAAAUGGGUUUUAAAAAUUAAGCGCAAGACGGAUGGAUCAAUCGAUAAAUAUAAGGCUCGGCUCAUAGCCAAGGGCUAUACUCAGAGGCAAGGGGUAGAUUACAACGAGACGUUUGCUCCCGUUGUGCGAUUUGUCUCUAUUCGUUUGAUUCUAAUCUUAGCGGCACACCUAGAUUUGGAAUUGUUCUAAAUGGAUGUCAAGACAGCUUUUCUCAAUGGAGGAUUAGCGGAAGAGAUCUACAUAGAUCAACCUGAGGGUUUUGUACUCAAAGGUCAAGAAGACAAGGUUUGUCAUCUUAAAAGAUCUAUUUAUGGUCUCAAGCAGUCGUCGAGAUAAUGGUAUUUCAAAUUUCAUGAAGCCAUUACGUCUAUCAAUAUGUCCAUGAUAGAGGAGGACAACUGUGUAUAUGUCAAGAAGACAGCGAAAGGGAUUUUGUUCCUCUCCCUAUACGUCGACGAUAAACUAUUGGCUGGAAAUAACAUGCAGUUAAUCAAUACCGCUAAAGAGUGGUUGUCUCCAAACUUUGAAAUGAAAAACAUGGGUGAGUCGAGCUAUGUGCUCGGAGUAAAGGUCAUCCGUGAUCGCUCUAGAAGGCUUCUUGGUUUGUCUCAAGAAUCAUAUAAUAAAAAAGUUCUAUAGCAUUUUAGGAUGCAUCAUUGUAAACCCAUUGACGCUCCAAUGGAGAAGAAUCACACUCUGAGUCUUGAUUAGUGCCCUAAAACGGAUAAAGAAAAGGAGCAAAUGAGUAGGGUUCCUUAUGUGAGUGCAAUUGGCAGCUUGAUGUACACUAUGAUGUGUACUCGACCCGACAUUUGCUUCGCUGUUGGUUUGGUAAGUCGUUACCAGAGCAACCCAGAAUCCAUUUAUUAGCAAGCGGUCAAGAGAAUCCUUCGAUAUUUAAAAGGAACCAGUGAUCUCGUUCUCUGCUUCCAAGCUGGGACUUGAGAUUGAAAGGAUAUAGUGAUGCUGAUUGGGGCGGUGAUAGAGAUGAGCGCAGGUCCAUUUCAGGCUAUGUGUUUAUUCUUAGAGGUGGGACAACUUCCUGGUGCAAUAAGAAGCGGAGCUGCAUUGCCUUGUCAACCAUGGAAGCGGAGUACGUUGCUUGUUCAGCAGCCAUUCAGGAGACUAUUUGGCUGAGGAAAUUUCUCCAGCACCUCGACAUCGUGACUCGAGUUGAUAAACCUGUUGAGAUGUUCUCUGACGGUAUGGCUGCCCUGGCGUAUGUGAAAGAUUCCAAGUAUCAUGAUGAGACCAAGCAUAUAGAUAUCCGUUUUCACUACAUUCGAUACAUGAUUAGGUUAGGCGAGAUCGUUCUUAGACAUAUCUCCACUACGAGAAGAGUGGCUGAUCCGUUGACCAAGCCGAUAACUAGGGAUAUGUUUCAGACCCACAUUAGGAGUUUGGGUCUUUCCAGGUUUUGAUGUAUGGAUAUUAUUUUGUAUCUUACGCUUUAUUAAUAAAAUAUAUUUUUCUUCUUUUAAUGUGAUUGCGUAAUUGAUACUAGUAGGCACAUGUUCGAUAAGUCACCAGACUCAGAUCAGCCCACUCACACGGGUGAUCGCCUUGGUACCUAGGUGGUAAGCAAGAUGGGACUAGAUAAUCAUAUUAAACUUGAGUAGUUGUAAUAUGAUUACUUUGUUCAUAUACGUUAUGAAUAAAGUAUUGACAUAAUUUAAAAGUCGCCUUAAUUAGUUUAAGAUGAGACUCUCAAGAGUCGGAUAUGAAAGUUUUUGUGAAAUUUCAUAUCGAGCCUGUAUAGUAGCCGAACCUAAGUGCUCAGGUUAGAGAGAUGACUUGAGACUUGAGUUGUGAUGGUUAGAUACCUUAGUGGUACCUAAACCAAGGUUCGUAUAGCAUUUUUCCAAAGCGUGACACGACCCAUUGAGUGGGAGCACCGCAAUAGCAUACAUAUCAUACUGUAUGUGCCUGUCGACCAGUUAGUAGAGUGACAUAAGUUCUUCCCUCUAUGUCACUGUGUGAGCACUAAUCCUUUUUGUGCCCUAGACUUAGAAGUACGUUAUGAAGUGGAGGUCCAAAAUAACUAACUUAGCGUGUAUCUCCAGGUCAUGAGAAAAUAUGAUCUCGCGGAGCAUGUCUAGUAAAGUGCUUGGACUAAUACAGAUUAAGGUGAGGAGCUGAGGAAGAUGUUUCGAUAACACACUACGUAAAUCUUGUGACUCAUUGCCCGGGCGGUUAUCUCGGUUGUGUUAUUUGAGAUAAUCAUGAGUACGAGAAAUAACUGUAGGGUCGAGCCCUGUACUUACAGGAGAGGGACUUUGUGAUGCUUGAUCCGGUGUGUGUUGAAACGUCUAGGGCAUAGACGAAUUAAGUCAGUGAUGUGCCAUGUUAGUUGGGUGGUGACUUAAUAUAGCACUCCUGCAUUUGUUUCUUUCGUUAGGUCACACGCUCCAUUACCCGUAUAAAGAGAUGAGUGAGUGAGAGAGAAUUGGCCAAUGUGGCUAAGUGGGAGAUUGUUGCCAUGCAUGUGGUGUAUCCACAUUAGCGGGUCUUAAUUUAACCCGAUCAACAUAAGAUGUGGAUUGAGAUUUAUCAUAAUAAAGUAAGGAUAAUGAUGAACUAUACAUUUCUUACUAGUUAAGAAACGUAUCUCCUAGUGGAUAUCUAUUAUGGGUUUCCUAAUCCUAAUCUUUACAUGAGAUUCAGGAUAUUUUGGGGGUUCUGUUAUUCUAUAAAUACAUCCUAUUUUCUCUCCCGUAUGAUAGAUGAUCUAAUACGAUCUAAUUCGAUAAUCCACAAAAAAUCUUCCUUCUUCUCUCUCUCCUUCCUCUCUGGUAUUUCCACCUACGUUCCCGGGUUUUGGAGGGUGGAUAUAGAAGAGGACUCUAGUAGCUCUCUUCGAUUGGCAUCCGUCGCAUCUGAUUCGUGUCUGACGCAUCUAAUCCGUGACACAAGGUGUGGGCGUGGGAGAAGGCGAGAAACGUGGAUCUAGAAGCAUCGAGACAUGGAUGAUCCAGGAAGGCUAGUAAAACAAGCAAUCCGAUCCGAUUUCGGUUCCUGAAUACUUUGGCUAUCCAGUUUGUAAAUUUCCGCUGCCCUCUUAUUUCCAACAAUAUAUAUAUAGAGAGAGAGAAUACUAUUUUAUAAAAUCUUAUCUAAUCAGAUUUGAUCUCUCUCUCCAAUAAAAUUUAAUAAUUAAAUAUUCAUGCUUAUCCAACUAAAUAAAAUCUAGUAAAAAUCUUAUCUCAUAAGAUAUUAUGAAUAUUUAAUUAUUCUCUAAUUCAAUUAGAGAUAAAAAUUAAUCUCUUCAUAUCUAAUUAGAUCUUAUCUAAUUUUAUUCUUAUCCAAUAAGAUUACUUGCUAAAUAUUUAAAUCUCAUUUAAAUAUCUUUUAUGAUUAAAUAUUAUCCACUAAUCCAAUUAGGGAUAAACUUAAAUCUCGCGCAUAAUUCUCAAACUGAUUCUGAGAUCCUAAUCUAAUUAGAACUAUCAAUAAUAAUUGACUUGAAUAAUUAAAUCUAAUUUAAUUAAGCAGCUUUCUUUUAUUUUCAUCGCUUACACUAAACUCUUUAGUGAACGACUCUUAUCUAAAUAAUUCGGGUGCACACAAUUCCUAAUGUGUGUGACCGCAAAGGUUCAUCACCAUUCGGUAGUAGAGCUCAACAUCGAUCAAACUCUUUGAUAUUUAAUUAGACUCUUCUAAUCAUAAAUAAGAACGAUUCAAUUCAAAUCAUUCAUAUUCUCUCACCGUCCGUGAGUGAUACCUAGCAGUAUAUUACGACAGUCCAGAAUGGUGAUAAAGAAUGAACAUUUUCGCUUACAGUUACCGUGUGAUUAAUUCCUUUGAACAUAUAACGUCCCAAUCGAACUAAGGUCAUUGUUACGCGUCAAAUCUUAUCAUUCGACAAUAUGAGUAGAAUAUCUGAAAUCGACUCAAUAUGGCAACACAGUUGGAAACUCUUUCCACAUACCAUGUAUCCUGGCCAGGGGUUUUCCAAGUCAAGUCCGAUAGACUACAUAAGACGUUUUCCCUCAUCAUUGAGAGUGUUGGAUUUCUUAUUGUGCAUUCACAUGCUUCCCCGCAUAAAUUACUAUAGCCAAUCAAUACCGAACAUAAACUAGUGUUUAGAGUCUAAGUAUUAGUAUUAUCAACGGUAGCAACCUAUACGUGAAGCAACUAUGAUGCCUCAGGUCUGACGAGUACUUCACACAACUAUAGCAAUGAACUUAUCACUAGCGAGUAUGGAACCAUAUGACUGUUCAACUAAGUGGUCACACUCAGUAUACUUGUUCUCUAAAAAGCACCUGUAUGUUUGUUCUAGUGUACCUACACUAGUGACUUGAGAUUCGUCACCUCAAUUAGAAAUAUAGCAUACACAAUAUCCAGAAUAUCACCGACCCUAUAAUAUUUCUCUGGCUAUGAGCAUUUAAUUAAAGAGUCUCGUACAGAAAAGUACAAAUCUUAAAUUCCUAACCCUUAGUCUUUUCAAAUAAAGGCCCUAAUGGACGAUUCACAUCAAUAUUGUACUGCUAUACAAUAGACAUGAAUAGGAUAUCGCCCUCAUAUUAUGAAUUAUAAAUGAUUAAUACAUAAAUACCCUUAAACUAGUAUCACCAGAUUGGCUUUUGGGCAUAUAACUUACAAACUCCCACUUGCACUAAAUCCAAACACACACAUAUCUUAUAUGCGUCAUUUAAAGUCAACUCUUCAACCCUUGGAGAGUAAGCCUUUUAGCUAGUGCAUGCACUGAACUAUUCAUGAUUAUUAAUUUCUACUUAGCACUGUCAUUCGGAGUAUAAAUCAAUUCCAUCCGCUAAAUAUGCCCGAAUCAUUGAUGAGACCUAGGCUCUAUAUGAACCAUAUGUAGUUCUAAACUCUCUGAAUCAAAACAUAUUCUACAGUGUAUCUCAUGCAAUGCCACACUUAGCCUACAUGUUAUCUUGUUCGAACUCUUCAAACAAUAACAACUCUAAUACAAUAUCAUGAAAUCUGUCUUUUCUCUCUUUAAUUAGUGUCAAUGCUUCACGAGCAUUGGGUAAUAUCCAUCAGUAACAUUUACUGUUUCAAUUAUCGUACAUAGAAUAAUACACGUGUAGGUUCCAAAUAUCGAAUCAUAGAGGAUCCCAUAAAAGUGCAUCCUUUCUUAGUAUGUCACACAUACUGUUAGAGACGACUUCCUCCCCAAGGAUAAUUCUCUCAUUAGAAUUAAAUCUUGUUGACCUCUUCAAUAUGAUCUCCUACGUACGUAGUUCAAGCAAUUUAUCAGAGUUAUCUCUAUAGAUCCGCAUUCUUCAGAUGAAAAUAUAUAGCUAGAUUUUCAUCAAGAAGUUCUUGACAAUAAAUAUUAUCAUACUGAUUAAGUUUCUCAAAUAUCAAAUAUUGUUUACGUACAAUACGUAAAGCACAUUCUGUGCUCCCACUAUUUCUCUUGUACACUUUUAACUCGUCCAUACUUUUGAUGCAUCAAAUACUUUCCUUGCAUUUUGAAGCAGACAUCAUAUUUCCAAGAAGAUCAUCUAGAUCCAUUAGUUUAUGAGGAAAUUCUUUUGUUGUUCCCAAUAGUAGCUUUCCUUAAUAAUAUAAAUUAAGGAUCAACUAAUAUAUCUCAUAUCAUCAUGCGUAAUAAAUAAAAACAAAUAGAUUAUGAUAUCCACCACAAAACUAUCAUUGUAGUCGAGACUUUCUCUUUGACCACAAUAUUUUGUUGGUGAUGGAGUUUCAAAGUUCUCUACCUUUCAUUUAUACAAAUCUUUAAUUCUAAAGACUCACAAGGUACCAUACCUUAUAGAGAGUCAAAAAUUUAAGACUCACACAACAUUCAUUCAAAUUUACUAGUAUACAUCUAUCUUCUCAUAUCGAUAUCUCAUAUCGUUUCUUCUUAUCUCUUUUCGAAGAACAAUUUCUUCCAAUACCUCGUGAUCAAAUCCAAUUUAAUCUAAGAUUGAGAAAAUAUCUUAGAUCUUAUGUGUACAAGUAGUUAAUCUAGACUUGUAGACUCACAGCUCAAUAGACACUUCGUUGAGCUAUAUAGAUUCCUCCUACUGCUUCUUUCAUAAUAAACUUUUUAUCAAGAAAAUAAGUAUGUUAACAAAAAUCUUUUGUUGGGAAGAAAAUAUAAUAUCUCAACUCUUUGAGAUUAAUUGAGUCUAUAUACGCUAGAUGCAAUAUCCAUCCGUCCAUUUUAUGUUCCGAAAAUAAAUACUGGACAUCUACAAGUCAUAAUGAUUGCUUUCUAUUUUUUCGCAUCUUAUGUGAUAUUAUAUAUAGGCAAAAAUUUCGGAAGAGACUACUCUUACACAGUUAGCUUAACUUGUACCAUGUCUUACAAGAUACGACUUCUCCUUUAAAAUACCAAAAGUAUUAAAAGAAGACUAUAAAGAAUGUUGAUAUACUAGAGGUAGUGCAGUGCUCAAUACUAAGGCAAUAACUUACUCGAUCCAAUCGAUGAGUAUUAACACCAUUUCUUGUACUUAACUUUAUUUUUGAAUUUUCUUUGAACUUCCUUGAAGUAUUCAAUUUCGCGAUCUGUAAGAUCCAUAUGACUUUUACUAUGACCUUCAUUAAUAAAAGCAAUGAAAUAUCAGAGAACCAUCCAUGAUCAUCAUAUGAUCAAUAUACAUCACCAUGUUAGCAUGAGUAUUUAGUGGCUACUAUACGUUGUUUUACAAAGGAUGAUUUAGUUAUAUCAGUUUGGAACUGGACUUAUAGAGUGUGUAUGGUUUUAAAUAAAAAAACUCAAAAUCAUUAUUAGCCAAUCUAUUUAUCUCAUUCGUACCUAUGCAACCUAAUCACAAGUGCCACAUGUACUCUUGGUUCUGUAUCCUCUAAUUUACAUCAAAUUUAAUGACUCCCUUAUCAUAUAUAAACUGUGCAAUUUACUAUUCUUUAAAAAUAAAGCCAUUCUUCAAGGUACUGAUACUUUUCAAAUAAAUUAUAUAAUAAUUAAUUUUAAAAUAGAUUUAAUUGUACUUUCUCAAAGUAAAAAAGUAUAUCAGCCCUUAAAGACAGCAUUUAAGUUUUUAAUCAGAUAGUAAUUCGUAUCUUUUCUUUGAACUAAUAUGGCAACUCUUGCUACAUUUUCAGUCCAAAAGAUAUCACACUCAAUGCCUAUAUAUUUAAUAGAAAAUACUUUUCAACUUAACCAGCAAGACACUAAACUUAUCAUAUCCAAUUGGAUUAUUUGAAAUUAGAAGUUAGCUCGACUUCUUUUAUUAAGGUUUAUAUUAUCUCAUAACAAUCCUAACUGUGAUGAUCAUAGAGGUCCAUCUUGUAAGUUUGAGUACUUAUCUAUAAAAACUUGAUAUCUCAUAUUGAGUAUAUGACUCCACCUAACAUACAACUCUUGUAUGCAGAGGUCGGUUCUUGUAGAUACACCCUAGUUGACCAAAGUGGUCGGUUCUCUUAUAUUCUUGUCAUCCUGAGAGGUCGGUUCUCGUGGAUCGCCCUAGUUGACUAGAGUGGUCGGUUCCCUUAUACUCUUGUCGUUGUUAACCUCGUACUUUCUUGUUGAUCUUAGUGGUCGGUACUUGCAUUCUUGAGAGGAUGUUGAGUUGUUCCAUCCCAGUGACUUGAUUAGUCAGUACUUGCAUACAGUUGAGAGGAUGUAGAGUCGUUCCAUCCUAUUUGACCUGAGUGGUCAGUACUCGUGUUCCCUUACAGUUCGAUGACCUAUUAGACGGUGUACCCCGAGGAGCGAUGAUUACCAGCUAUUCGCUGACGGUUAGCAAUUGAUCAUAUUCGCAUCGAUCGCCACAGCUCAACAAUAUUUCACGAACACUAGCGAUCUGAUCCCCCGCAUGAGGGUGUUUUUUUCCUGAAAAGUGGUUGGUUGCCAACCCAUGAGCCCAGUGGCCAUUUGCUAGGAUUAUAUGCCAGACAGAGCGGUUGUAGUUUGCCUGAGGUCCAUAGACCGACACAGCGGUAUAGAUUGAGUAUACUUGUACUAUCAGUUCCAGUUGACGUAUAGUCAUUUCUCUAUCUCUCUGCAGUAGCGGUUACUCAUACCAUUAUUAUCGUUGUUUCUAGUUCAGUUAUCAUGCUAUUGCACUAGUUUGACUAUUGAUUAUUUGUUAUCUCAUUUUAUAGUAGUAGCUUCUUUGCUGAUUAUCGGUGGAUAUUAUUCAUUAUUAUCAUGCCCAAUUUACUUGUUACUACUGUUGUUUACCCUUCCUUUUGCCGGUGGGUACAGCUUGCCUUCGUCAGCUUGUGGUACCGACUGAGAGGGAGAGACAUGUUUUCAUGUUCUCACCUCAAUUUUUUAGGUGACGCGGGUGAAAUUGGUUGGGAUGCAGCAUAAGGCCAUAGCUAGUGGAUAGUCAUAAAGGUUCCGAUCUAUGGUAUACCUUUUUUAUUACUUCAUUCUUAGCAUCAGAUAGAUAUUAGUAGAUAGUAUAGAUCUUACCCUACACUAGUUAUUAGAUAUCUACUUGUGAUUUAGUUAGUGGUUUACACUUGAUGUUUUGGAUGACGUGUGUAUGGUUUUGGAAUAUUCGUGGUUUUUGGACACAUAUGGCUUUGAAUUUGGAUUUCGAAAUGUGAUUUUCUACCCUUCGUGGUAGUGUUUUCAAAACAAAAGUUUUCGUGUGGGAAACGAUUUUCAAAAUGAUUUUUCAACUUUUCGCAAAGUUAAAAUUAAAAAAAAAAGUCUUCGUGUGGGAGACACUUUUAACUAUUAUGAUGAAUGUGGAAUGGACGUGACUAAGGACAGCUGGUUGUAUGUUGAAAUGAGUUAAUCCUUAUUCAUCUUUUUAUUGUGUGUGUGAAUGGAAAUCGGAUUGUUCAAUUGUACAAUGUACUACGCCGUACAAAUACAGGAGAGACUCUGUUCGUUUGUUUUCAGAAAUUUCAUGUAUUUGUGGCGGGUCUGUUGCACGUCCUUGAGGUCCAAGUUUUGGAAAAAAAAAAAAAAGGGACAGCUUUCUGCUUAUUCUGAUCUAUAAGGAUAGCCCGAUUUCGAAUCGGCUUUCAAAAAGAAUUCCAGGAUGUGACAUAGAUUAUCUACUAUCAUCUUUGAAUAAUUUUCUAAAAUUUUAUGUAAUAAUUACAAGAUGCAUCCAACGUAAAAGCAAAUGAGAAUUUAUGAAAGUUGAAUUAAGGAUUAAGGAAAUGCUUCAACGCCGGUAUUCCAAUGCUCCCAUCUCCCUCAUCUAGAGGGCAAACGACCUGAUUCAAUUUUGUAUAGUUUUUAAAUGUCUAUAUUGUAUUUCAAAUUGUUAGACAAUGAUAAUUAUGUUAUUCAUGAAAGCAAGUUAAUUUGCCAAGUUGUCAAUAUAGACGAAUAUUACUACUCCUUUUGAGUUGUACGAAUUGUUUAUUUACUUCAUUUUUCAAAAUUUGACAAAUAAGUUGCUUUUAGAUUAUCUAUUAUCUAUAUUUUGUGGCUUAUGCAAAGUAGUUCAUAGGAAUAUUUUGAGCAAGGAAGAAAAUGAAAAUUAAGAAGAUGGAUUUCUAUUUUUAAAAAAAUACAACUUUCUGACUAAAUGACGAUAUUUGUUUUGAUGUAACAUUUUAGCGAAUACAAAUUGUAGAUGUUGAUGCUGCUAUUGCAUUGUUUAGUAGCUAUUAUCAUUCCCCAACAACAACAAAAAAAAAAAUAGUACUGUCCUACCUACUGUCUCUAGAGCAAGUGGUAAAGGGCAUGAUGGUUGGUAUCCGAGGUUCCAAGUUCGAAUCCUAAUUGAUUCACAUUUCUAGCUAAGUUUAUUUCUAAAUGAAAUAAACGAAGCGGAUAGCGUGCUACCUAUCUCUAAAAAAAAAAAAAAAAAAUACUGUCCUCACUCAUCAUUCAUGACUGACAAAAAUAAUUUAAUCAUAACUACUUUCAACAAUAAAGACUAAUAAUAAGUAAAACUUCUAUAUAGCAGUCACAUCACUUCAGCUAUAUUGAACUAAUCAAAUAUCUCUUUCUUUAAAAAAAAAUAUAAUAAAAAUUAAUCUUUUAUAAAUUAUGGUGAGAUGGAUAAAUUCUAAAAAAGAAUAGUAAUUGAUUAGACCAUACUAGGUAGGAUAAGUGGCUGGCACAUCUGGACAUUUUCUUAGACAUUUACUCAAACAAUAGGUGGUGGCAUCAGUUAUUUUCUUCCCCCUUUCCCAGUUGUGAGAACAGAUUUCAGGCUUGCAACAGCGACUUCCUUGGGUACACUGGUUGUGUUAAAACCGAAGUCAAAAUGCUUCACAACAGCUAUCAGUUGGGAAGACGAGACAAAUGAGCCAAAUCAACACAAAAAGUCAGAGUCCAAGGAGUCGAAUUAAUACAGGGGCGGGUAGGCCAAGUUGUUUUUUUUUAUACACUCUGGACGGAUUAAAAAGAGCGAACUAGCCUGCUUCUCACGAACGGAACUAACCAAAAAAACAACGACAUUAAAUGUGCCUAUGGAAAAGAAAAUCUACUGGAGGGCAGAAAAAGAGAAAAGUAAGAUUAACAAACUUAAAUUUACUAUAUAAGUAAACAUUCAUUCCCUUUUCCAAUUGAAAUACACAGACUACUACAACCUCUCUUCCCGCCAUGCACUGCUAUGAAUUGAAUCUGGCCAAAGCAAGCCGCCGAUAAAGAACAUUGGAUGAAGAUUCAUCGGUUACAACCCCUUUCUCUGCCUUACAAACCUCCUAGCAACCCCAAAUAUGACUGCCUUAGUCAAUAGCCCCUGAUCAAAAGUGCAAGCAAGUGCCACUGCCCCUCCCAGCAAAAGCAAUUUUGGUAUUUUGCCGCCCCAUGGUUUCUCUUCUGUUGCUUCCAAGAUGUCUGAUGAAUCGCCAUUAUUAUUAGCUUCCAACGAUGUUAUAAGUUCAUGAUUGAACUUGGUGUUGAUCUGGGCUGCUAAGGCACUUGGAGAUAAGGGCUCCCCGUUCAUCCUGGCCGUCUGAUAAGCCCGAAGGCCUGGCUCGAUCCUUCUGACGCAGCCCCACAUGCCCUGCCGAAUGCCGAGCUUUGCGAUCUCCCGAGGGAUACCCAUGUCCUCGUAAUGGAACAGCAGAACCUCACAGGCUGUCAUCUGGCCAUCCCCUCUUCUUGAUUCCACUAAGACACCAAAGACAAACUAAUUGAGAGAGAGAGAGAGAGAGAGAGAGAGAGAGAGAGAGAUUUUAACAGAAAAGGCAACUUGAGAUUACCUGCUCGAAUGCACCAGCUUGAAUAAUACAAGUCGACGCGUCUGGGCUUGUUGCGCCUGGGUACGGUUGAGGAUGGAACUCCCUAAAUAUUAAAGGUUCAGGAUGAGAUACACUAAAAAGCAAGCUUAUCAGAAAUACAAAUCCGUCAUAUAUUUGAUUCAAACUAUAUAAGCUAAGGCAAAUUCCGUUUACUCCGAAAGAACACUAUGGCGCCACUAAUAUGAUCUUAGUGUAGAGCAUUUCAAACUAAAUUAUCUCCUCCAUUCCGGACAUUAAUGAAUUGAUACAAAUUAAAUCUGGCACAAAGAGGGUUCGGUUGGCUAUAUGAGGCAAGCAUAUUAGGUUUAUUAGCCAGACAAGUAAAUUGGUAUAAAACAAAACUUAUUUUCAAACCAUUCAGUUGAGGGGCAGUUUGUUUCCACAUAAAACUCUGAAAAAUAAUUUUCAGUGGAACAAAUAACUUCACGUUCUCUAGUGUUUGGUUUGUAGGAAAUGAAAAUUUACUUUUUCAAUUACACUUGUUUGGUUCAAAGGAAAAAAAAAAAAGUGAAAAAAUAUUUUAUAUAUUUUCUUCUACUAUACAUUAUUUAUUAGAUUUUAUAUUAUGUAAUUUAUAAAUGAUAUUUAUCGGACAACAUAUACUAUGAUAAUGAUUUACAUUUAUAAAUUAAAUACAUUCAAAAUAAUAUUAUACGAUAAAUAUAUAAGAUAGUAUAUAUAAUAGUUUAUAUUUCAUACUAUGUAUUUAAAUAUAGAGUUGAGUUCUUGUGCUUUUAACUGCGUUUGGUUCGGGUAUAAGUAAGAACUGCUUAUUCCAGGGAUAGGUACAAGUUUAGGUAUAAGCAGGAAUUAGAACAAUUUUGCGUUUGGACGAAAAUUGGGUUGUUCCUAGAAAUAAAGUAAAUAGUGUUUGGAUGAUUAGAUUGGAACAAAAGGAAUAAAAGUUAUAAUUUUAAAUUAAAAUUAUUUUAUCUAAUUAAUUAACAUCAAAAUAUUACUUAAAAAUAAUAAAUUAAUAUUAAUAAUUAUAAACAAUAAAUUAAUUAAAUAAUUAUAUUUAAAUAAUAAAUUAUAAAUAAUUAUAAAUAAUAAAUUAAUUAGUUAAUAAAAAAUUAAUUAGAUAAUAAAUUAUAAAUAAUAAAUUAUUAAUAAUUAUAAAUUAUAAAUUACUUAAUAAUAAAUAAAUAAAUAAAUCAAUAAUAAACAUUUAUAAAUAAUAUAUUAUCAAUUAAUAAUAAAUUAUUACUAAUAAAUAAAUUAGAUAAUAUAGUAUAAAUAAUAAAUUAAUAAUAAUUAUAAAUAAUAAUACAUUAAUUAAUAAUAAAUUAAAUAAUUAAUAAUCAUAAAUUAUUAAUAAUUAUAAAUAAUAAUUUACUAAUAAUUAUAAAUUACAAAUUAUUUCAUUCAUAUUAAAUUAAUUUAAUUAAAUAAUUAUAAAUAAUUAUAAAUAAUAAUUAAAUUAAUUAAUUAUAAUUAAUUAAUUGUAAAUGAAAUAAUUAAUUAAUAAUAAAUUAGUUAAUGAAGAAUAAAUUAAUGAUAAAUUAGUUAAUUAGAAAUUAAUAAAUUAAUUAAUAAUUAAUAAAUUAAUAAAUUAAUAAAAUAAGUAAUUAUUAAUAAUAUAAAUAAUAAUAAUUUAAUUAAGUAAUUGUUAAUAAUUACAAAUAAUAAUAAUUUAAUUAAUAAUUAUAAUAAUAAAUUAAUAAAUUAUUUUAUUAUUAAGCAUUAAAUAAUAAUUUAAAUAUAUUAAUUAAAUUAAUUAAUUAAUUAAUACCAUAAUUAAAAUUAUUUUUAGACUUUAAUUUACCUUAUUCUCACCUGGGAACAAGCUUGUUCCAAGAAAAAGGUGGAACAGCAGUUCCAGCCUUAUACCGACUUAUUCCAGAAACUCGAGAACUAGUGUUCUUAAGUACCAAACGCUGCAUUUGGAAACAAAGGGGGAAAACAAGGGCUUAUUCUCCCCCUUGUUCCCGAACCAAAUGCUACCUAAGCACAAGAGAUCAACUCUUAAAUAUAUAUAAAUAACAUAUAUAUAUAUAUAUAUAUAUAUAUAUAUAUAAUAAAAUACUAUUAAAAAUAGUAUAACUAUGUAAAAAAAAAAUGUUAUAAUAAUAUAAUAUGUAAAAGAUGUCGCCUGGUAUCCCUUCUCUAUCCAUCUAAAAAGGCACCAAGCAGCGUAUUAGUGUGCGUCUCAUGCGAUCCACGAGAUCCCUCGUGAGCUCGUGGACUGCGUGCGGUUAUCCCAUGGGUUGCAGUUUUUCCAUCGGAAGUUUUCAUUUUCCUCUCAUUUUGAACGGAAAAUGAAAGUCAAGUUUCGUGAAAAGUCUGUAAAACUAUUUUAUGCGGAAUUUUUUUUAAAAGCAACCAAAACGAAUGAAAAACAAAAAAAUAUUCCCAAGCCAAAAAAAAUUUUCGGUCUAAUUUUACGAGGAACCAAACAUAACCUUAGUAGGAAAAGAUGAAAACGACACAUCUAGACGAUUACAAUGUAAAAGGCUCAAAAAUAAUGACUUAAUUGGCUUUUACUCAGCAUUCUAAAUCUCUAAACUCUGGCUGUAGCUCUUAAGGUUAUAUUUUAGCGAUGUUUUAACUAUUAAGAUAUUUGAUGUCAACACAAGGUCAAUGUUGAAUUCUGAACGUACAAAGAACCAUUAAGAAAGAAUGAAUGAACACACCCUUAACUAAUGAAACUUAAUUGCAAGGUAACUGUGGAUAUAGCUUUUCAGUUAGCCACAAUGAAGCCUACAGUAUGAAGUGCCUAAAUGUUAUUCUUAUAUCUGGUAUAGAGGCUAACAAAAAAAAGUUAAGUCAAUUCAUAUAAUUUGACAUGCUGUUGACAGAAUUGAUUAUCUGAAUAUCAUUAUUAACAAUGGUUUAAAACAAGUUGAUCCAAAUGGUGAGCAAAAUAAGAUGAUCCAAACGGAUAUUUCAAUAUGGGUGCAGGAUUUCAUUCAAUUUAAUGAAGAAAUUAACAACCAACAACUAUAAGCAUCACCACAGAAUAUAGGCUGCCUAGUAGAUAAAACAGAGAAAGAAACAAGAAACGUACUUGCGGAAGAGUAAACAAAAAGAAGAAAGGAAACAUGCCAUAAACAAAAGGAAAGGAAAUUAUGUCAAACCUUGCAAUGUUACUAUUAUUAUUAUAAAUAAAAGAGAGAGCAACGUACAUAAAGUCAGAAUGUAAUAAAAGAGAGAGCAACGUACAUAAAGUCAGAAUGUUGGCAUUGCAAUAUCAUCAGAAGGACGAUAGUCGGGAGCAUUUAAAGCUACAAUUCUUGUUCUAUUUACAGUAAAUUGAUUACGUGCAGUAAUUUGUGAUUUUGAGUUGGCUGUUGAAUCCGAACUAAGUCAACAAAGAAAAAUGAGCCAUCUUCCUAGCUAUACUAGUCAUAUGGCGGCAACUAGAGACCUCCCAAACAAUGUGAAAGAUAAAAUGAUAUAUCUUCAUUCUUUUUCCCACCGGGAAGUUUGAUCAAGCAAUAAACGAAGACAUGGUUAUUACUCUGGCAAAGUUGAUCCUGGUUUAUAUUUCAGCUCCAACAUGAUUCCUAGAGAGACUAAGUUUGCAUGUUAGAUCCUGCAGUCAACGAGUGCAUAAAUGUAUAGGUUAUUGUGAGAGAAGGAAUGGAGAUGUGGCUUAAUUGACUGAAGCUUUGACUCUCAGUUUUUGUUUUAUUUUACAAUUAAACACUUAUAGUUGCAUCUUUUCCCUUUUUUAAAUACAACAUACCUUUGUUUCUAUGAAAAUUACAUAAUUAAAAAAAGCAUAAAAAAUGGCUUCAGUUUUCAUUCAAAGCAGGUAAAGAGGACAUAAAAAAAAAAAAAAAAAAAAAAAAAAAAAAAAAAAAAAAAAAAAAAAAAAAAAAAAAAAAAAAAAAAAAAAAAUUUAUACUUCUCUUACCAUCUCAGAAAUCUAGCUUUACUUACAGUUACUUUGUUCCAUCAAUACUACAAAACAGUUCAAAAAACCACAUGGUGGAACAACUUGGAUCCGGAACUUCACGUACAGUAGAAGAUAGAAAAAGGAAAGGAAAAAGAGAAGGGAAAAAAGAAAAAAAAAGAACUAAUAUAUGGGUGCAUACAGCAUAUGGAACAAAGAUGACUGAUUAGUCAGACCUUCCAUUUUCAUCGAGUAAUAGAUGUUUCUUCCUUAGUAAAAUUGAAAGAGAUUACCAAGAAUGGAGUCUACUCCUAUUUGAAAGAUGAUUACUAAUUUGCAAAAAAAGAUGCAGAGAUUUUCAAUCAGAAGAAGACAAUUUUUAAUCUUGUUUCACUCAAAAUUACACAAUGACCACAAAUUUCAUAUUAACAAUAUAGUAAUCCCAGUAUAUAAUUAGAGAUCUUCUCUAAGAUUAUUCUGUAGCACAAUUGAGAGCUUCUGAAAACACUUAUAUAGGUAUUAUAGGAACAAAUUGGAUAACAACAGUUACACUUUUUAUGCCACAAACAUAUAUGGCCUUUGUUAAACAAUGGUGACAACAUGAGAAAAGGAGACAAGCCAUAGAAAAGCAAAUUCCCAAAAUGAUUUUCAAAUUCUCCCUGAAAUUCAAAUAUGGCUCUGUAAAUUAUUUGAAUUUGCGUAUGCUGAUUAUAAUUUAGCAGAAGUCAGAUAGAAGGCAAUCCCCCAAAUAAAUUAGAGAAGAACAGAUGGAGGCAAAAUUCACAUAUUGAGUACUGUUAUUGCAAGAAAGGCCUACAAGAAUCACUCACGAUAGCAUUUCAAGUGAACUAUUUAGCUAACAAAUAAGAUCAUGUAUCCUUUCUACAUGACCAACCUAUCGGGAGAAGAGAAUAUCCAAGAACUCGGCAUUUUUCCUACAGAUACACAUUUGUUAAAUUAAGUAACAAACACCAAGUGGAUACCGAAAGGGAACCAGCAGUAUAGGAAUAUAGAGCGAUGUUUUACUUCUACCUACAAAAUAAAUGAUCAGGGAAUAUCGUGAUCAGGGAUGAUCUAUGAAGCACGGAUACUUCAAAUUUCAUGCCGUAUCCGUAUCGGAUACGUAUCGGAUACCGAUACGCGCCCGAUACGCGCCCGAUACGUGUCCGAUACGGGAAUGAAGUAUCUGGCAUUUUUAAAAAAUAAAAAAAUAUCGGAUACGGCUCGGAUACGUGAGGGAUACGGGGGGAUACGGGGGGGACACGGCCCGGUUCCUUUUUGGUCUAAAAUGAUUGAAACUUAAAAUUUUUUUAAAAGCUCACGUCCAAACCUAUUGGAAAGAAGGAAAAGAGUGAGAAAAACACCAAUAUCUGUUCAAUUUGUCAUUUCAUCUAUCUUUUUGUUCUUGAAUGGUAGAAGGCACUCCCUCUUGUUCUAUCUUCACACAGUAUUUACUCUCUUCCAUCUAAUUUGUCAACCUAGUAUUAAGCAACAAAGGCUAUAGAAAAUAUGAUUUUUUUUUCCUUCUCUAUUAAAUUGUUAGCAUAUUUUUUUAUUACUAUUUUAAUAAUAGAACUAACAAAUCAGACAUAUAUAUUGAAUGGCUAAUUAUCUAGUUUGUGCGACUAUAUAUUUAUUGUUAUCAUUUGAUCAAGUUGAAUGAUAGUUGGUUUGAUACUUUUUGAAUUAUUAUUUUAUAUGAUUGAUUAUCUUUUUUUAUGAACAUAUGUAGAAUAAUUAUACAAGUUAAUGCAUAUUAGAAUAUAUUCCUUAAUAUAGUCUAGAUAUUCUAAUUGUUCUCAAUAUAUCAUUACAUAUAAUCAACAAACAUUUAAAUAUAUUUAAAAUAAUAUUUUAUUUAAGUAUAUCCCGCGUAUCGUAUCCUAGAAGUUUUAGAAAUUGCCGUAUCACCGUAUCCAUAUCGUGUCGUAUCCGUAUCCCCGUAUCCGUAUCUGUGCAACAUAGGGGAUGAUAUUCUCUUAUGUAUUUAUAGAAGAGAGAAUCAAUAGAUUGCAAGGUUGAACAUCUACUAGUCAGGGCAUUCUCAACAUAGCUAUUGGGCUUCCAUUUUGUACGUAUCCAUAAGUGAUCAAAAUAAAUAUUUGCAGGGCAUUACCUUUGUCACACAAUAAUAAGCUCUCUGUGACACCCAUAUUCGGCGACCAAUUGUAUACUCCCUAUCACUGCAGAAGAAGGGAAACUGUGGCACGUGAAGCACUAAGUCAGCACAACAGACAACAUACAGAAUCUGAAUAAGUUAGAAGAACAAUAAAAUCCCACCUUCCGGACCCAAUGAACAACCAUGGUUCCUGUUGUUGGGCACUCUUCUAAUGUGUUGUGGUAGAUAAGCAUGUCAUCCCACUUGUUCUUCAUUCUAAAUUCAUCAUCCCCAAAGAAAUCCCUCACCACUUCUGGAGUUGCAUCUUCGAAGAUAGUCCUACUACGAUACUGUGGAGGGCCGUCCUGAUAUUAUUUGAAAAAAAAAAAAAAACACAUUAAACCGAAUGAUUAAACCGGUCCUAAUGAAGAGCUUCUGCCUUGGGAACAACUUCUCUAUUUGAGAAACAAAAGCCAGCCAUUUAAAACAAAAGAAGAGCAGCUUCUUAUAGGAGUAAGAAGAAGCCGAAAUCAGUUUUCUAACCCUAAAGCAGAAGUUCCGGUUCAAGCUUCUGCACUUAGCUGCAAGGUAAAGCUGUUACGGGGAGAUUUUAAGGUACAAUAUGUAAUGUGCAGAACAGCCUGACAAUAUCCCCACAAUCAGAUCUAAUUUUGCAAUAUCCGGUCCUAAUCGGGUAUUAAAUGAACAGUUGAGUAUUCAAUAGUCAAUAGAACAUCAAAGCCACAAUCUCCAACAAUCCUACGGAGACAGAAGAGCUACCUCAGUAUCUCUCCUCCAUGCCUUAUAGCUCAUGCUGGGCAGCGUCUUAUCCAUCAUCUGAUGCCACAGCGGUCCCCCAUCUGUCUCCUCAACAAGGCGCCAUAAAUGCACCAAAUCAUCUCCACUCACAGCCAAUUUCUGAGUUCCCGCGACCGGCGAGCUACAAUCCAAAGCAAUAUAAGCAACCAUACCAUAUCAUCGCACACUAUGACAAAACCGACCAUUCAUAAAAAAUUAGCAUACCGUGAUACAAUCUCCUCCUCCCUGGAUGUGCUUUGUUGAGGAGCGAACGAGGAGGCGAAGCCGGGAAUGGGAGGCCUCCAAAAAUCGAACCGCGGAAGGGUCCGGGGCGAUCCCGACCCUUCGUGCUCACCUCCGACGAGCCCCGCCGCCCAUUUGGGCUUCCACGCCCAACCCACCAGGAGCCCCACGAGCACGGCGAUCCAAAUGGGGCUCACGAAGAGGAGGAGCUCGGAGACGACGCUCCACACGCUCGGCUUCCGCAAGAUCUCGACAAUGGCGUCGAGAACCAGCGCCAUGGAUCGAAACCCUACCCUCUAAACUCGUCGCAAAUCGUGGGCAAGAUGCGCGCCGCGACGGUUCGAGGGAUUCGAGAGGAGGAGAAAGAGAAGGAGAGAGGGAAGGAGCGAGAGAUGGAAAGGAAACAGAAAACGAAGAGAGGCGGUUAAGAGCUGAUGAGAGGGAGAGGAAAUUUGGGGGCAGCGGUAUAUCUGACAGCAGGCGCAGAGGCUAGGAUAAGGAUUUGGAAGUAAAGGCGGACGGCCUUUCUUUGGGAUUUUCGUGGGGGCCCGAUGACUGGUUAUAUUAGGCGAGCGGGGGUUAGAAGAUAAAGGACGAAAAAUUAAGAGCGGAAGAUAAACGCUGACAGCAAUUUCAUUAAUUAAUUGAAUUGAAGGCGAGAUAUACCAGCGUCACGAGUCAAAGACAGCUCGGGGAGGAUUUCCGGGCAAGUAGAGAGACGUACGCAGCAGGUGACCUUCUUCAGUGUAGCGAUUACAUGCCACGGGUGGAAGGCUGACAUGCGGAGCCCACGUACGAGCAAGUCGACUGUACCACACUUGCACUGUAUCAUUACUAACAAAUUAAUCAUAUUUCUCUAUUUAAGAGAUAAAUAAAUAAUAAAUAUAGUUUUUAUUAAUUAUGAUGGCGAACGUACCUAGGGGUGACAAUCCAGCCUCGCUGUUCGCGAGCCAGCUCGUGUUUGGCUCGAAAUGAGCUCGAUAUCGGCUCGCUCGAUAGUAAACGAGCCGAACACGAGCUGGGGUCAGUCGCUCGUGUUCGCGCUCGAUAACAGCUCGAAUACAUAUUUUUAUAUUUAUAUAUUUAUUUAAUUUAUAUUUUUAUAAUAUAAAAAUUAUAUAUAAUAUAUAUUUUUAUUUAUUUAAAUUUACAAAAUAAAAAAUAAUAAAUGCGGCUUAAUUAUAAAAAAUUAUUUAUAUAAAAAAUUCAACUAUUAGAUGAAAGUCUAAUUAAUAAGAUUUUAUAAAUUUUAUUUUUAUAUAUAUUUAAUCUAAUUUUUUUAAUUUAUUAUUCGUUGUCAGCUCGUGAUCGGCCGUUAAUAAACGACCGAACACGAGCUGAAUUUUUUGAUUCGAUACUUUAACAAGCCAGCUCAUGUUCGGCGCGUUUAAUAAACAAGCGCGAACACGAGCCGAGCCCAGCUCGCUGUGGUUCGGCUCGUUACAACCGUAGACAUAUCAACCCAAAAAAUAUAUAAAUAUAUUAAUUAAAGACGUCAUGUCAACAGUGCAUUCUAGAUUUUUUCACCCACACAAUUUUGUGUAGGUGCUGAUUAAGUUUGUUAGUGAAUUAUAGCUUGUAAAUUAUCGUACCAUAAGAACACAAACUCUUACUCUUUUUUUUAACAAGUUUGACCCACUAAAUUUUUAAAAAGUAUUUUAUUGGGGUUGUAAUCUUUAUCUUUAUAAACAAUUUACGGGUUAGAUUUUAUCCCACUUUAAUUAAUUUUUAAUAAAAAAAAAGGCAACUUGAAAAACAAGCAGCCCUUGAAUGAUUAAGGGGCCAAGAUUACAAGCCUUUAAAGAUUGCAAGGGCUAGUAUUUAUAUGGGAAAACUUCAAAAACCCCCUCUGUGGUUCCACACUUUUUCAUUUUAGUACCCUGUGGUUUAAAGUGUAUCAAGUUAGUACCCUGUGGUUUUGCACUUUAUCACUUUAGUACCUUGUGGUUUCACACUUUAUCACUUUAGUACCCUAUAGUUUAAAAAAUCACAGGAUACUAAUUUGAUACAAAAUCAAAACCACAGGGUACUAAAGUAAUAAAAUGCAAAACCACAAGGUACUAACUUGAUAUACUUUAAACCACAGGGUACUAAAGUGAUAAAGUGAGAAACCACAAUGUACUAACUUGAUACAUUUUAAACCACAGGGUACUAAAGUGAAAAAAAUUGAGACCACAAGGGGGGUUUUUGAAGUUUUCCCUAUUUAUAUUUACCAAUGGUAGAAUGUAUAGAGAUACCUAAACUUUUAGCCCUUUUUUUUAUCAAAUAAACAUCUAAAUUUUUAAUUUUAGUAACUAUAUUUUUUACAUUUUAUUAAAUAAUUCAAUAGGCUUCUCUCGUUGAGAGAAUUUAUUAAUUACACAACCAAUUCGAUUAGAUAUGGCAUGCAUAAUUCUAUAAAAAUAUUAAAAAAAAUCUAUUUUUUUCUCUUAAAUAUUGAUAAUUAAGCAUGAUAUUUGAAGAAUAGGUCAUGUCAAACUUUAAUUUUUAUCACUUUUGAAUAUGUUAGAAUACAAUUUUUCUUUUUUCGGUGUUUUGGAACUUUGUAAAACUAUAUGCAUACAUAUAAUUAAACUAUUGUUCAGUUAAUAAUUUGGCUAAAUUAUAAAAAAUUCCUCUAUCAAUAUCCACUUUUCACUUUUUCCCUCUGUUAUUUAAAAACCUAUACUUUACCUCAUUAAAAAAUCAGAAAUGUUCACAAGGGGAUAUAGUGUUAACUGUGAUAGUGAAAUGACCAAAUUGCCCCUCACCACAUUCGCCCCUUAUCUUGCUCAACUAUCAUCUCUCAUCUUUCGUCCUUCGAGCCUCGCUCAACCGCAGCUCUGACUCCAUUUCCUCCACCUGCUCCCCUGCUCCUCCUGCACCCUCAUCGCCCCUCCACUAAUUCAGCGAUGGUAGGAGGAGAUCGGGGUGGGCAUGGACGGAGAGAUGGGUGAGGGCGAGGGCGAGCGCGAGACGGCGAAGAAGCGAGAGAGUGUGUGUGUGGGUGCAUAUGGAGGGAUCGGCGAGGGCGAGGCGGCGGAGAAAGGCAAGGUGGUUGUCACGCCCUGGAUUACUCGUUUCCCCGGGCAUGCCGACAAAUCCGCCGUAUACAAAAAAAUUUUCCCUGUAUACGAAGCAAUUGCUGUACCUGUACCUGUAAUCGUACAACACUACAACCAGUAGUAUAGAGUUGCUAAAAAGAAAGCAUAUAUAAAUAACAUUGGUUGAAAUACAUACAUAGUAUUCUGGUACAAAAACACUCACUCCAGCGAGGUACUAACAACAGUAUGUAUAAGAACCAAAAACUACAACUACCUAUAGCUGGUAGAAAUCUCUAGGUCAGCAGCAACUGGGAAGGGAUCUAGCUCGCGAUUCCCUUUCUACGAUCUGAAUCAGCAACAGCAGCAGCCGAAGACGAAGGCUCUGCAAAAGGUUUCCAACAACUGGGUGUGAGAACUACUGCAAAAAGUAAUCCUCAGUGGGUACCGCUACCGACCUCAACGGUUCACCCACUAAGUCUACAGAUAUAUGCUCAAAGAUAGUAAAGGAAGCUGAAACAAAUCUACAGCUAUAUGCCACUAUACUAUCACAAUCCAACACUCGUUAUCUGUAGAAAAAUGCAAUCUCUGACCCAAUCUCACUAGGAACUGUGAACACACCCGUCCCACCUAUCGAAGCUACACUAACUGUCACCACGCUAGGUCGUCAGUGGAGAGCAAGUUCAAACAGGACAAACCGACGUAAAUGCAAAAGCACUAAGUCCGACUCUGGAGUGGCACUCGUGGGCGCUACCCAACCGAGUAUGCAAGCGUGUCUCUGCCGAGCUCAAUCAGACUCUCACAGGCUGUAAUCAAAGUGGAAAGGUCUCACUGGUCGAACAACCACAAUCUACGUACCCUCGGCACAAUCCGAUGCAAAAACUGCAAACUGGGUUCACCGUCAACCACAACUGCACCCGACAAUCCGAAACAGUUUGUACACUACUGUAAAAAUACACUCGACAUUUCAGCACGAGCGUAAAUAUAUUUUACACUAUUCUAGAUAUCCACCGCCCACAAACUGCGGCGAUACAAACAAACUACGGCUCCUAGAAGUAAAUCUAGUAGUUUGAGCAAAUGACAGUGUAGAAUCGAUAGUUUUCUCCUAAGUCAAUUCCAAGUCCAAUAUAUAUAAUUUAUCUAAAUCACUAUUAUAUGCUCCAAAUUUAGAUUUCAAUAAGCAAGCAAAUCGAUGAAUUCGAGCUAACAUAACAUGAUAUUCGAGACUAAAAAUAUACACGUUGAUAUCAACUAAAUUUAGGAGAAAAUCCAUAAAAUUCGGGAAGCAUAUCAUUAACCGACCUCAAAAGCUAAUCCAACUCCGGCGAAAAGUCGACAGGAGAGGAACCACGCGCUCAAACGGCCUCCAAUCGGUGCAAUUACGACAUCCACGCAUUCGCCCGGCCUCCAAACGAUGCAACCGUCACGCUCGCGCGCUCGAACGGCUCCCCGGCGCGACGUCGGUGACGAUCCGAGCUCCACCCAAAACCUCCACCACGUACGGCUCAAGAACUAGAGAGAGAGAGGGAAGUGUAAGAAAAACCCUCCUCUCAGCCUCUCUACACAUAUAAAAAGGAGUGGGAGUGAGGGUGAAAACAACGAGGCAAGAAAAGACCAAAAGGCCCCUCACCUACCCUGGAGUACCGGUGCCAGGCCGAUGCCGUACCGGUACCGCGCAUCAGCCUUCGCAACCGGAGAGCAGCAAACAGAAAUUCUAUACAGGGGUACCGGUACUCCCCUGUGCGGUACAGGUACUAAAUGCUGAAAACCUGCAAUUUGCAGCUUUCAGUGCUAAUUUUCUGCUUUCGCGUUACACUGAGUCCGUUUUGUGUCUAAUUUGCGCCAACAUGACUCGGACUUGUCCCGACACCCGACACUCUCCAGAUGUAUCGACAAGCCUCAGAUGCUGUAAUUCCACAGCUGCUGGCCACCAGGGAUACUAUAUCCUCCCCCACUACAAAAGUUUCGUCCUCGAAACUUAAGCAUACCUUAAUCCUGAGCAUCAAACAAGGGUAGGACUCCCGCAUCACCGUCUCCGACUCCCGGGGCGCCUCCCGCUCCUCGUGAUUGCUCCACUGCACUUUCACGUACGGAAUGAUCCGGUUGUGCAAUUCUUUCGUUUCACGAGCCAGAAUUCGCACCGGUUUUUCCUCAUAUCUCAAGUCCUCGCCAAGCUCCAGCGGAGUGAAGUCGAUCAUGUGCGAGGGGUCAAACACGUACCUCCUCAAUGCCGAGACGUGAAAAACAUCAUGAAUACCGGCCAGUCGUGGGGGUAGAGCAAUCCUGCAGGCAACUGGUCCAACUCGCUCUAAUACCUCAAAAGGGCCUACAAAGCGUGGACUGAGCUUCCCACGCACUCCGAAUCUGCGUAUCCCUCUGGAUGGCGAGACUUUCAGAAACACAUAAUCCCCUACCUAGAACUCCAAGUCUCGUCUCCUGGUAUCUGCGUAGCUCCGCUAUCGAUUCUGAGCUGUCAAAAGAUGUCGCCGUACAGCCUUAACCUUUUCCUCAGCCUCUAUCAGAAUCUCAGGCCCCAGAGUCUUCCUUUCACCCACAUCAGUCCAAUGCAACAGGGAUCGACACCUGCUUCCAUACAACGCCUUUUACGGAGCCAUCUGAAUGCUCGUUUGAUAGCUGUUGUUGUACGCAAACUCAGCCAGUUUCAAAUGUCGAUGCCACAAUCCUCCAAAGUCCAGGACACAUGCUCUCAGCAUGUUCUCCAGAGUCUGAAUGGUCCGCAUUGACUUACCAUCCGUGUAACAUAUUGAAACCUCGAGAACGAUUAUCAAACUUUAGCCAAAUUGACUAAAGUAUGCGAAAGAGAUAGAUAGACAAGUUGCAUUUAGCAUUCCAACAAUGUUGGAAGGGUUAAAAAUGAGUUUAAGAAGAGUUAGAAAGGUAUUAACAUCGAACGGCACUAAGUAGAGUCGAAUCGGAGCUAAAACUGCAUUCUGGAGCAUGUGUUACCGGUUUAACAUCAGGGGUGUACCGAUACAACAUUGCAGGCCAAGAGGAAAAAGCCCUCGGGUUUGAAAAAUUUUGACUGUGUUACCGAUAACACCCUUGGUGUGUACCGGUAUACAUUUGCAAACCCCGAGAGGGCUGCUCUCGAUUUGGCCUCUGUGCAGAAAGUGUACCGAUGACAGAGUCCCGUGUACCGGUACACUUUGGUCUGGCAGCAACAAUAAGGUCUGUUGCAAAUAAGAGUUUUUGGGGGGUUUAGUUGCACAUGUUACAACAUGUUAAUACCCCAACACUUCUCCCCUUCACAACCAACAGCCCCAACCCUCUCCCUUUCUCAUUCCUCUCUUUCUCUCUCUAGAGAUCUUACUCUAGGGCAAGGAGUUGGUGGAGAAGAAACUUUGGAGUGGGAUUUUGGUGGCUUUGGAGGAUCUUGAAGCUCUCCAACAAGGAGAUCUUGGGAGGGGCUUAGCUUAAGGUGAGUUUUAGUGUAAAGCCCAUCUAGGGUUUGGAUUUUACCCUAGGUUUUGGGAGUUUUGAGUUUGUUUCUAGCUUUAGAAACCCUUUUGAGGCUUAAGCGCUAUGAAAACUAUGGAAAUUCAAGGUCCUCUUAUGGUGAACACCUAGGGUUUAAAGUAGAUGCCCUAGGAAUGAUUCGAAUGGCUUGGAAAUGGUAUUAGAAUGCUUCCUAGUUGAUUCUAGGUUAGCUUUUGCUUAGGAAUAAGAUCAAUCUAGGGAAAAUCCAUAUAUGACAUUGUUAGGGCAUGAAAUUUGCAAUUUUUGCCCUAGGGCAUUUCUGAGGUAAAUUGACCUCAUGAAAACCUAAUUAGGGGUAUUUUCGACGCGUUGGUGCGCUCGGUUCGGGAAAACAAAAUGACUAGAUAUGAGUUUGUAGUAUAAAGCCUAAUUUGGCUCUAAAAUUGUUGUAGAUCGUCGUAGCACGCGGGAUCGGAGUUCGUAGAGCACGAGAGUUGAACUACAACCCUUCUACAAUUAUUCGAGGUGGGGGGUGCACUUCGGAAUCGUUGGAUUCCCUUCUAUGUCUAUCUCACCUUUUAUUUGAGCAUUAUGUCAAUAGUCAUUCAUGCAUAUUAGGGUUAAUUACAUGUGAAAGAUGGUUGGACUUCAAUUACGUGCUUCUAACGUAGAUGAACAUAGAGAUUGAUAUGAACCAUAGUGGACAUAUUUGUGGAACCCUAUACUUGUGUGAAUGUGAGACCGAGACUAUGAUAAUAGUAAACAAAGGUGACAUUGACAAUAGAGACAAGAUUGGCAUCGAGAAAUGACUCGUUAAAUAAGGUUUAACAAUUAGUGGCAUUGUGACAAGAAUGACCUAGAGAGUGGCAUGAAUAAAUAGGUAGAAACCUAUUAUGAUAGUGGCAUUGUGGCUAGUGGCUAUACAUUUCAUAAGUGGGAAUUAGAUUGAUACUCACGAUAAGUCUUGGCUGGAGGGUGGUAGCUCCCUCUCAAGCGGUGCGUUCCGGAAUUGUCACCACGGAGAGCGCGGUCCCCGAAGACGGUCCGUCGGGUCUUGUAGUGCUUAGAGCCUAUCUGAAUGAAAGGGAUUUUGGGUUGUUAGUUAUUGGGGUUAACAAGGUUAACCGGUAAGAUUGGGUAAAAACCAAAGUAAAGUUAUCGAAAGAGCAUGCAUGCAUAAUCAUUCAUAUUCGAUUAUAUAUAUUCACUGACAGCUUUCUUGCAGGUAUAGUAUUAGCAUUAGUAUUUGUUACUUUUCUCCUUCUUUGAAAUACUUAUGCCUGAAUAGACCUAGUGCGUAAUUCGGCGAGGUCGGUUGUCGAGCCCACUGGAAACUUCGUUGUAGUUCUCACACCACUAACCCUACAGAUCCGAACCCGAGCGAGGCGGCGGAGGAUCGAGUCAAGGGUCUUGCGCCAUAGCUAGUGGCCACCGGAGUAUAUGCAUUUUAGUCAUUCCCGUUUUGUUCAUGUAUCAACUUUAUUUUGUUGAUCUAUAGAUGUAAAAGUUGAAAAUAAUUCAUGUAUUUUGGAGAAUGAUUAUGAUAAAAAAUAUUAUGAAUGAAAGCAAAUAGAUGUAAUAGUUUUAGUUUACUAGUAUUUGGUUUAAUUGUAAUCAAAUAUUAUGUAUGGUUGUAUGUUUUAGCUAGAGCUUUCGCUUCCGUUGUUGCUUGCCCUCGUGCAAGCCUUAUAUAAUUGCAAAUCUCUUUGUUUAAUUGCUUAAUUAUACUUGUGGUUGGAGCCUUGGGCAGGCAGGGGAGGCCCUGUACGUUCGGCGUUUGUUGACGUGGCCCAAACCCGACCAAAUUUGUAGGGAGCGGGGCAUGACAGAUAUAAUGGUAUCAGAGCGUGGUGAAAGCAAAAAGUCUAGGAUGGACUUAGGGACCUUAGGAUUGGAUACCUUAGGGACUUAGGAAACAUUUAACGUGGACUUGGAUUAUUGCGGAAGUUAAUUGAUUGGGUUGACAUUGGUACUUAUCUAAAAGGAAUUAGAGAUGGAUCCAAGUGUUUAUUUGUUUUCUACUAAGGGAUUGUGUGGGGCGGCCGACCACAUAAUGCCAAGAGUUGAAAAUAAUUAUGCUUGAUUGUUUUCGCUUAAUUGGGUAGUUGUUUGGAAUGUGUAAGUGUCACGUGUGUCGAGUACUAAUAUGUGUGCUACGUUUCAGGACGUGAUGGCACCAAGAGGACGCCCUAGUACGCGAUCUGCAACGGCACCGCCUCCUAAGGUGCCCGGGCAGACGCGGUCGGAUGAAGUACGCGAGCUGCGGGCCCAAGUAGCGGCUUUGGCCGGGGCUAUGUGGCAACAGGGGGAGCAGAUUGGACGGCUCCAUGUGUUGGUGGCUCAACAGGCGGCGGCGGCUGCACCUGUACCUUAGGAUCCGCCCGCACCUGUUGCACCUGUAGCACCACCUCCUGCGAUGGCGGCGGCACUGGUGACGACUAUUCCUGCGACGGCAUCAGGUUCAUCGGCUCCUAUUCCCGAUGUACUUGAGGCCGAGCAGGAGCGAUCGUUCGCGGUGUUGACGGCCUUCAAGCGAUUCAACCCUCUAACCUUCAACGGCGAUGUGAAGGAUCCGUGGUUGGUAGAGUCGUGGUUGGCCACGAUGGAAGCGUUGUUUAAGGACAUCUACACCCUCGAGAAGGAUAAAGUUCACCUAGCGGCUCACUGUUUUGAAGGGUCGGCUCGAUUAUGGUUGACUCAAGCGAAAAAGAGUCACUCGUUGGAUCUCGCUUCCGUUACUUGGGAGGCGUUUCGGGAGAUGCUAUUGAUGGAGUAUUUUUCUGAGAGUGACAAGCGAAAAAUCAAAGAGGAUUUUCAAAUGUUAAGGCAAUGAAGUCGGACGGUGCGAGAGUACGAGAGGGAGUUCACACACCUAGUCAAUUGCGUGCCGAGCUUGGUCACGGCGAUAGGGACCGAGCAGAGGCUUUUGAGCCCGAGUUGCAUCGAAAUUUUCAAGGUUAUUCAUGCGUUCCGCUUGAAGACCUACGAGGAGGUACUUGAUCGCGUACUUUGGGUGGAGCGCGGCAAUGCUAUUGCGCGAGAAGAGCACGAAGCAUUCGAGAAGGACAAGAAAAGGGAUAAGUCCAAGAAAAGGGCGGCUAGUGGAUCUGCAGGGAAAUCAAGUUCUAAGCAACCCCCUCGACAUCAGCGAUCACAGUGGCGGGGAGGCAGGAGUCAGACACAGAGCCAGACUACCUACUCGUGCGUGAUUUGUGGCAGAGACUAUCGAGUUACUACUUUCCCUCAGCGGGAGGGGCGAUGUUUUCGAUGCGGCCAGGCGGGCCACAUAGGCCGAGAGUGCCCGGGCGGUGCAUCACCUGCUCCGUCAUCAGCUUCGGUUCAGUAUACUAAGCGACAGCUGGCGGGAUUGCCACCCGCUAUGUCUGUUGGACGUUCAUCAGUGCCUCGUCAGCCGGAGGCCUCUCGAGCACCUAGUCGGCGGGUAUUUGCCACUCAGGUGGAGGAGCAGCCGGCGGUACCAGAUGAUGUGGUGGCAGGUAUUAUCCUUAUCAGAGGCACUAGAGCUAGAGCAUUGUUUGACACAGGUGCAUCCCAUUCAUGCAUAGCGGCAUCAUUUGCACAAGCUCAUAACAUAGAGGUCACGCAUAAUGAGUAUUAUUGGUCGGUGAAUACACCAGGGCAUUCGUUUCAUGUUUACAACGAGUGCUUGGCUUGUCCAGUGCAGAUAGGUGAUUGGAUCAUGCCGAUCGACCUAUUGGUGUUAAAGCAGAUGUGGGGUUUCGAUGUAAUCUUGGGGAUCAAUUGGCUCUCCAAGUAUUACGCGAUUAUAGAUUGUGAAAGUAAGGUGAUCACAUUUCGUGAACCUAAUUAAGAAGAAUUAGUAUAUCGCGAGUUGAUUAUCGCGAGUUGAACAAGGUGACGAUCAAGAACAAGUACCCAUUACCGAGGAUUGACAAUUUAUUCGAUCAGUUGCAAGGGUCAAGGGUAUAUUUAAAGAUCGAUCUUCAAUCGGGGUAUCAUCAGUUGAAGAUACGGCCCAAGGAUGUGCACAAAACGACGUACCGUACGUGGUAUGGCCACUACGAGUUCACGGUUAUGCCGUUUAGACUUACUAAUGUCCCGACAGACUUUAUGGACUUGAUGAAUCGAGUCUUCCGUCCGCUAUUGGACCGGUGCGUCGUGGUAUUCAUUGACAAUGUAUUGGUAUAUUCUCGGAUCGAGGAAGAACACGAUGAGCAUUUGAGGCUCGUGUUGGAUAUACUCCGAAAAGAGAAGAUGUAUGCCAAGUUGAAGAAAUGUGAAUUUUGGCUUUUGGAGGUUACUUUUUUGGGUCACGUUAUAUCUGGUGAGGGCAUCUCGGUGGACCCAAAGAAAGUGGAGGCAAUUAAAGAUUGGCCUCGCUCGACAAGUGUAGCUGAUAUUCGUAGCUUUCUUGGACUUGCGGGCUACUACUGGCGGUUCGUGGAGUGGUUUGCUAAAAUAACUACUCCAUUAACGCGCCUUACGCACAAAGGGAUGAAGUAUAUUUGGAGCCCCGAAUGUGAGCGGAGCUUUAAGGAGCUAAAGGAAAGGUUGAUAUCGACCUCGGUGCUUGCCUUGUCGAUGCCGGGGGAGAGCUAUGUAGUGUACAGUGAUGCUUCUUAUAUCGGUCUCGGGUGUGUUUUGAUGCAAAAUGGCCGAGUUAUAGCAUAUGCUUCCCGCCAAUUGAAGAGCUAUGAAAAGAACUACCCGAUUCACGACCUUGAGCUAGCGGCGGUUAUCUUCGCGCUAAAGUUGUGGAGGUAUUACUUAUACGGUGAGCAUUGUGAGUUCUACACCGAUCACAAGAGUCUCAAAUACUUGUUCACCCAGAAGGAGUUAAAUAUGCGACAGCGACGUUGGUUGGAGUUGCUAAAAGACUAUGACGCACUAUUCUAUACCACCCCGGAAAGGCAAAUGUCGUGGCCGAUACCCUAAGUAGAAAGUCGGCGGAAAAUUUGGCGACGGCAAUUACACCCCAAUCGGCAUUGCAAAAGGAGAUGCAACGGCUUGGUCUUGUGGUUGUGGCGCCGGGAGUGCCGGCAACACUUGCCACAUUGAUUGUGCAACCAACCUUAUUGGAGAAAAUUAAAGAAUUGUAAGUUUCUGAUUCAGUUCUCCAAAAGAUGCGGGGUAAAGUUGAGAGUGGUAGUACCGAUGAAUUUGGCAUUAGAACCGACGGCGCACUACGAUUCAGAAAUCGUUGGUGUGUGCCCAAGGACGAUGAUCUUCGGAGGGCGAUUAUAUGCAAAAAGUGCAUCAAUCUCUCUAUAGUAUUCAUCCGGGCGGCACCAAAAUGUAUCAAGACUUGAAGCUACAUUAUUGGUGGCCAGGCAUGAAAAAGGACAUAGGGGAGUUCGUGGCACAAUGUCUCACGUGCCAAUAAGUAAAGGCGGAACGACGAUUUCUGGCUAGGAAGUUGCAAAGUCUAUCUAUAACCGUUUGGAAAUAAAAAAAUAUCGCAAUGGACUUUGUGACUGGUUUGCCUAGAUCCCAAGGUGGACAUGAUACGAUUUGGGUAGUUGUGGACCGGUUGACGAAAUCGGCACACUUUUUGCUGAUCCACACUACUUGGUCUGGAGACAAGCUAGCUCAGAUUUAUCUCGACGAGAUUGUGAGACUUCACGGGGUUCCGGUAUCUAUUGUAUUAGAUCGGGACCCGAAGUUCACAUCACAUUUUGGAAGAGUUUGCAAGAUGCAUUGGGCACACGGCUCGACUUUAGUACAACAUUCCAUCCUCUAAGUGACGGUCAAUCGGAGAGGACUAUUCAAAUACUUGAGGAUAUGCUUCGAGCGUGUGUACUCGACUAUAAAGGCGGAUGGCAUGAUCAUUUACCGAUUGCGGAAUUUGCAUACAACAAUAGCUAUCAAGAAAGUAUUGCGAUGGCGCCAUACGAGGCCCUUUAUGGAAGGAAAUGUCGCUCGCCGAUUCAUUGGAGUCAUGUGGGCGAGAGAGUUGCUAUUGUCCCCGAGGUGGUUUGGGAGGCGGAGGAGAAAAUUCGUCUUGCCCGACAAAGAGUUGCGACGGCGCAAUCUCGGCACAAGAAUUAUGCCGACAAGCGAAGGAAAGAUAUAGAGUUCGCGGUUGGAGACCGUGUAUUCUUGAAGGUAUCGCUGAUGCAAGGAGUAAAACGGUUUGGAGUCCGUGGGAAGUUAAGUCCCCGGUAUGUUGGACUGUAUGAAAUAAUGGAACAGGUCGGCGCGGUGGCGUACAAGCUUGCAUUACCACCGAGGCUUGCAGGGGUGCACGACGUAUUUUAUGUAUCCAAUCUCCGCAAGUAUGUUCAUGAUCCAAAGCAUAUUCUCUCGUAUGUGCCGAUGGGGCUUCAAGAGGAUAUGAUUUAUGAGGAGUUCCCGGCAUUCAUCGUCGAUCGAGAAGUGAGAAAACUACGGAACCGUGAAAUUCCGUAUGCUAAAGUCCAUUGGAGCGAACACGAAGAUAGGGAAGAUACUUAGGAGCUUGAGGACUUGAUGAAAGAGCGUCAUCCUCAUCUCUUCGAAGAGCUAGUGGCCACCGGAGUAUAUGCAUUUUAGUCCAUUGGCUACUUUUCUCCUUUUUUGAAAUACUUAUGCCUGAAUAGACCUAGUGGAUAAGUCGGCGAGGUCGGUUGCCGAACCCACUGGAAACUUCGUUGGAGUUCUCACACCACUAAUCCUACAGAUUCGAGCGCGAGCGGGGUGGCGGAGGAUCGAGAUAAGGGUCUUGCGCCAUAGCUAAUGGCCACCGGAGUAUAUGCAUUUUAGUCAUUCCCGUUUUGUUCAUGUAUCAACUUUAUUUUGUUGAUCUAUAGAUGUAAAAGUUAAAAAUAAUUCAUGUAUUUUGGAGAAUGAUUAUGAUGUAAAAAAAAAUAUUAUGAAUGAAAGCAAAUGGAUGUAAUAGUUUUAGUUUGCUGGUAUUUGGUUUAAAUGUAAUCAAAUAUUAUGUAUGGUUGUAUAUUUUAGCUAGAGCUUUCGCUUCCGUUGUUACUUGCCCUCGUGCAAGCCUUGUAUAAUUGCAAAUCUCUUUAUUUGAUUGCUUAAUUAUACUUGUGGUUGGAGCCUUGGGCGGGCAGGGGAGGCCCUGUCCGUUCGGCGUCUGUUGACGUGGUCCGAACCCGACCAAAUUGGCGGGGAGCGGGGCGUGACAAUCCGUCUGUGGGUGAAACGCCGUGCUGAAAUGUAACUGUGUACUCAAGGUUGUCUGAAGGCUCCUCCAAAAGUGUGAAACGAACUUCGGGUCUCUGUCUGAUACGAUCGAGAUCGGCACACCAUGCAAUCUCACAAUCUCAUUCAAGUAUAACUGAGCGAGCCUCUCCCUGGACCAGGUGGUCUGUACUGGUAAGAAGUGAGCAGACUUAGUCAGUCUGUACACAAUAGAGAUGUCAACGGACCGGAUUCGAGGCAGAUUUUUAAAAACCCGAACCCGAACCCGACUCCGAACCCGAGACCCGAACCCGACGGAUUUUAAAAAUUCAUAUCUAAACCCGAACACGACCAAAAAUUCGAAACCCGAACCCGAACCCAAACCCGAAAAUUUGAACCCGAAACAAUUAUUUCUUUUUUCAAUAUUUCAAAAUAUAUUAUAUUAAAUCUAAAUUUUUAAAAAACAAAUUUAAAUAUAACAUCAAAUUUAUAUAUAUAUAUAUAUAUAUAUAUAUAUAUAUAUAUAUAUAUAUAUAUAUAUAUAUAAUACAAAAUAAAUUCUGGUUUGGGUCAGGUUCGGGUUCGAGUCGGGUACAAUCAAAAUCCAUAUCCGAAUCCAUAUCCGUCGGGUUUCUAUUUUUGAUAUCCAUAUCCGAAUCCAUAUCCAUAUCCAUCAAAUAUAUCCGUUUCAUUUGGAUUCGUAUUUGGAUAAAAUUUCGGGUAUCCAUAUCCAUUGACAUCCCUAGUCCACAAUUACCCAAAUCGCAUCGAAACCACCCUGAGCUCUUGGUAAUCCCACGACAAAGUCUAUCGUGAUCUGUUCCCAUUUCUACUCGGGCACUGGCAGACUCUGAAGCUUGCCAGCAGGUACCUGAUGCUCUAUCUUUACCUGUUGGCAAGUCAAACACUGAGCCACAAAUCUGCCAAUGUCUCUCUUCAUUCCAUUCCAUCAGAAGUGUGCCUUCAAGUUCUUAUACAUACCGUAUAAGGUGAGUAGUGAGCCUCUCUCAAAAUCUCCUCUCGGAUCCCUGAAUCCAUAAGCACACACAGUCGGUCCCUAUACCGCAGUACUCCCGAACUAUCCACAGAAAAAGCCGCAGCCUGUCCCCUCUCCAACUGCUCUUGAAUCCUCAACAAAUGAGAGUCUCCACUCUGUUUCUCCCUGAUCCUAUCCAACAAAGUGGGCUGCAAGGCCAUAGACAUCAGUCUUGCAGUAGACCCAGGGGACACUACCUCGAGUCUCAACAGCUGUAGCUCCUCAAGUAACGGCUUCUGCUGAGUAAUCAUCAUGCUCAAGCUCUACACUGCUUUCCUGCUCAACGCAUCUGCCACCACAUUCGCCUUGCCGGGGUGAUACUAAAUACUAAUAUUAUAGUCUUUCAACAACUCCAACCACCGGCGUUGUAUCAGCUUCAACUCCUUUUGGGUGAACAGAUAUUUGAGAUUUUUAUGAUCAGUAAAAAUCUCGCAGUGCUCCCCAUACAAAUAAUGCUGCCACAACUUCAACGCAAAGACCACCGCGGCAAGCUCCAAGUCAUGCGUAGGGUAAUUCUUCUUGUAAUCCUUCAAUUGCUGUGAAGCGUAAGCAAUUACCCUACCAUGCUGCAUCAGCACACAACCCAAACCACUGUGCGAUGGAUCACUGUAAAUCACAAAUCCUCCCCCAUCACAGGAAGGGCAAGGAUAGGAGCCGACAUCAACCUCUGUCUCAACUCAUCAAAGCUCCUCUGACAGUCCUCACUCUAGUGAACUUAAUUUCCUUUCGAGUCAAUCAAGUGAGGGGUGUAGGAAGCUUCGCAAAGCCUUCCACGAACCGAUGGUAAUAUCCUGCCAAUCCAAGGAAAUUCCUCACCUCGAUAACCGUCGUCGGUCUAGGCCAAUCUCGAAUUGCCUCAAUCUUCUUCGGGUCCACAGCUACACCCACUGCAGAAAUCACAUGGCCUAAGAAAGCAAUCUCCCGAAGCCAAAACUCGUACUUCUUCAACUUAGCAUACAACUUCUUCUCCCUCAGAAGUUGCAGCACAAUCCUCAAGUGCUCCUCAUGCUCGGCAUCACUCCAGGAGUAUAUCAAGAUAUCAUCAAUGAAGAAUACUACAAAUCUAUCCAAGAACAGCUUGAACACUCGAUUCAUCAAAUCCAUAAAUGCGGCAGGGGCAUUCGUCAAUCCAAAAGGCAUCACGGUAAACUCAUAAUGCCCGUAUCGAGUCCGAAAAGCCGUCUUGGAAACAUCCUCGGCCCUCACCUUCAACUGGUGGUAACCUGACUGGAGAUCAAUCUUCGAAAAGACACAAGAUCCUUGCAGCUGAUCAAACAGAUCAUCAAUGCGCGGCAAAGGAUACUUGUUCUUGAUGGUCACUUUAUUCAGCUCCCAAUAAUCUACACACAACCUAAGUGAACUAUCAUUCUUCUUCACGAAUAACACCGGUGCUCCCCAAGGCGAUACACUGGGUCUCAUAUACCCCUUAUCUAUCAGAUCCUAAAGCUGCGCCUUCAGCUCUCUCAGCUUUGCCGGUGCCAUCCGGUAAGGUGCCUUCGAGAUUGGUGUAGUUCCAGGAACUACAUCAAUCACAAACUCGAUCUCUCUAUCCAGCGGCAUCAUCGUCAACUCAGGGAGAAAAACAUCUGAAAACUCGCGGACUGUAGGGAUAUCCUCGAGUCCCGGCACUGCCGUAGGUACCUCUACAACCCUCGCCAGAAAAGCAAUACAACCUCUACUCAUCAACUGUCGAGCCCUCACCGACGAAAUUCAAGUGGCAAACAACGCACUCCUGCAACCUCUAUACGUGAACUCCUCCUGGCCUGGCUCGCGGAACGUCACAGUUCUCGCUCCACAGUCGAUCGUAGCAUAGUAUUGCGCCAGCCAAUCCAUGCCAAGCACAACAGCAAACUCCUGCAGCUGCCCUAAGACCAACAAGUCUGCGGGCAUAAUCCACGAAUCCAACUGCACUAGACACGACCAACAACACUCUACCACCUGCAAAGUAUGGUCGGAAAUCUGCACCUCUCGUGCAUGCAACAACGGCCCUACCUCUAGACCAUGCAACAAUGCAAAUGCUCGGCUAACAAAAGAAUGUGAUGCAUCGGUAUCAAAAAGAGUACGAGCUCUAAUGCCAGAAAUCAAAAUGAUACCUGCCACCACUCGGUCGGCUGCUGUAGAGUCCUCCACCUAGGCUGCAUAAGCCCUGCCACUCGGGGCCUACUGUCGCCGCUCACCCUGCCGUGGCACAGACACUCUAUCCUCCUAACGGUAACUCAGUGCUGCUCCGUAAGACCACUGAGAUGCCAGCUGUGCUGAUGCCGUCGAUGGUGCUGGUGAUGCUGCUCGGAAACAAGCUGCCCUCAUAUACCCUGGCCGUCGACAUCCAUAGCACCGGCCUUCUUUCUGCUCAUACUGUCGAGGCCAGUAUGGUCCCCCAUAAAUCACACACUGCGGCGCCCCCUAUGACUGCCUCGGCUGACGUGAUCCACUGGAACGCUGACGCCCCGAAGACUCACGAUCCUGAGAGCGUGAUCGUGGAGACCUUGGCGGACGCCUGCUGCUUGACUGUCCUCCGUCAUCUGGAAUAGGGCGCUUCCUAUCCUGACUCUGCCCCAGCACCUGUACCUAUGCCCACUCGCAGAUCGAUACAUUACCUCUCUCUACCCAUAGAGCCUGCUCUAUAGACGUAUCCAAGGUCCUCAAUCUCUGCGCCUGUACCAACCUGAAGAUCUCUGGUCUCAAGCCUCGCUCAAACAAAUAUACUCGAUGGGCCUCGUCUCUAGCUACAGACGGAACACAGUUUAGGAGUCGAGUAAACUCACAGAUGUACUCUUGGGCUGGUCGCUGCGCCUGCUGGAGUCUCUUCAGAUCCUCCUCGAUCUUCUCUUUCACACUGUUUGAAAAAUACAUCCCAUAUAGCAUUCCGCAGAACUCAUCCCAUCUCAUCUGCAAAGCCACGAACCCAUGGUCUCGCCUCACCCUCCUCCACCAUAGAUGCGCAUCGCCCGCCAAGCAAUGCACUCCCAAGUGUACCUGCUCCCUCUCUGGUAUGAACAGAUCCUCGAAUAGUUUCUCCAUCGCGCUGACCCAGCCCUCUACAACCUAGGGCUCCGUGCAGCUGCCGUCAUAGGUCGACGGAUCAAAACGGCGAAAAUGAGCUAGCUUCUCGGUCAUUCACUCCUGCUCAGCCUCUGACAAAGCAUCUCCAGAAGAUGAGCCUGGCACCGUGGGAACUGUCGCUGGUGGGGGUACAGCUGCUGCUGGUGCGGCCACUGGAAUAGUCGGGGGUGGAGCUGACUGCUCUGGUAUUCUCGGUGCUGUACUCUGCGGCGGAACUAAUGUCUCACACAUCCUCUGUAACAACGUCCCCUGCUGCCUCGUCACCUUAGUUAAGGCAGCCAACUGGUCCCUCAGAUCAGGAGGUGUGCUCGCCUCUGGUCGUGCACUCGGCUCUGCCCGCUCAGGCAUCUCGGGAGGUGCAGCGGGAUCCCUGGUCGACGGUCGACCUCGACGUCUAUACAUAGUUGCAAGAAAAUAAAACAAGAGUCGGAUACAACACAAACACUCUCGACCCAAUCAAGCGAAAGUCUAGAAGGCGGCCCUUGUUUCUCCUCAAAAUUAUGCCGUCUGCAGCCAACAUAAUUUAUUAUUGGCCGAAACAGACACUCCUUCAGUCACUCACUCCACUCUAAGAUGAAUUAAAAUAAUUCAAUUGCUGACUUUCGUGAUAAAUCACGCCUCUUGCGUCUUGCUUUCCUAAUGUUUACCAAACUUAGGAUUCCUAGGUCCCAACGACCUGCAGCAAAGCUCUGAUACCAACUUAAUCUGUCACGCCCAGGGACGAAGCCAGGAUUUAAUUCUGAGGGGGCCAAAAAUAUAUUAUGCAAAAUAUAUUAAUAAUUUAUGAGGCGAGUUUGGUUCUCUACCUACAUGAUUUAGAAAAACACAUCUUUUUCUAUCUUUCACUUUCUUCCAAUUAUGAAAACCAUCAACAGUGAAGGCAUUUUGUGAAGAAUGCCCAUGUGGUUUGUUAAAAAGAAAGCACGGUAGACAAAAUGCGGCAUCUUUGAUUGGAGAAUAUUCUAACCAUGAUUUGAAUGAUUCAAACCAUGAAGUUUGAAAGCGACGUUGAUGAGAAGGAGGCCCCCUUUUUUGAUAUUCCAAAAGUCUCGGUUGAUAUGGACCAUUAAUUAUAUAUGCUCGUCGAACUUCAUCACGUUGUUCUACAGGAUAAUUCCAAAUUUGAGGUCGUAAUUCAGGAUCACGCUCAAAAGACAUGUUAUUAGCCUCUUUAACUUCUAUUCUUGGAGAUUUUGAACGACAACUUUGAGAACCCAUAGCCUCAUCUCUAUAAAUAUCUUCUUGUUUAUUAGCUUCCGAGUUUUCAAUAUUUUUUCUUUUAAAAAAAGAAUCGAGAGUAGUUGUCAUUCCCAUUAAAACAAUAACAGUUUAGAUAUCUACAAAAAUUAUGUCAAAAAAAUCAAGUAUUAAGAUCUAAUUUAUAUAAGAUAAUUUGCAAAUCAUGUAAAACUAUGUAAAAAAAUAAAAUUUAAAAAUAAAUUGCAAAUACUAAUUAUUUUACUAACAAUUAGCCGAGAAGAGAAAAAGUUCUUAUUCAUAAGAAAGAAACUCAUAUGAAUUCAAAAUUUUGGAUCUACUAGACUACUACAGUACUUUUGGAGCAUGCAUUUUAAAUUUUAAUAAUNAAGAAACUCAUAUGAAUUACUAGAAUUGAACAUUUCAUUUGACAUCACUGCAUCAGACUAUUAGAGCAUGCAUAUUAAUAAUUACUUAAAUAGUUAAACAAACAACAAGUAAUAAAUCAACUAAUCAAGAGCAUCAGAGCAUGCAUAUUAAUAAUUACUUAAAUAGUUGAACAAACAACAAGUAAUAAAUCAAGAGCAUACCAUACAAUGACAUAAAAGAAAAUAUUUAGUUAUUCACGAUUGACGGUUCACUCACCGAUCAGGUGGUCCGCGGUCACCAAAAAAUUAUUCAAAAGAAACUAACAGUCCGGAAGGGUGUAGGCGUGCCGUGUAGUUCGAGGCGCCGAGCGGCCCGCGCCCGAGCGGGCGAGCUGCGAGGGGCGAGGGGCGAAGGGCGAGCACCACCGGCGGCCAGCGUCCGGCGGUCCGGCAAGCUAGAGAGAGAUUGAAAUUUGAGAUAAGUUAGAGAAAGAGAGAGCUCUGAGCCUGUGACUCUCGGAGGCUGGGAAUGGAAGUGUGGAAAUGGGAGAGAGAGAAAGAAAGUGUGGAACUGAGAGAGAGAGAGAGAGAGAGAGAGAGUGAGUGAGUGGUUAAUUAGUGUGGAUUGACAGAUUGUGGUGUCAUGGUGUGGGAGGAGGCGCCGAGGUGACUGGCGAGCGUCGGGCAAGCGGGCGGGCGGCGCCUGGGGGUGGGUAUCAUGAUGCAUGCGUCAUGCAUGAAGCGUGGCCCACAAGCAACUUUAAUUUUCAAAACAAUUGCAGUUUGGUCCCUAAAAAUUAUAAUAUUUUAAUUUGUUGAACAACUUAAGACUAAACCUUUUUGUAAUUUUAAAAAGUCUGGGGGGGCCAUGGCCAUUGUCGGCCUAUGCAUGGCCUCGUCCCUGGCCACGCCCCGGAUUACUCAUUUUUCCGAACAUGCGGACAAAUUCGUCGUAUACAAAGAAAUUUUUUCUGUAUACGAAGCAAUUGUUGUAUCUGUACCUGUAAUCGUAUAACACUACAACCAGUAGUUUAGAACUGCUAAAAAGAAAGCAUAUAUAAAUAACAUUGGUUCAAAUACAUACAUAGUAUUCUGGUACAAAAAUACUUGCUCCGGUGAGGUACUAACAACAGUAUGCUACAACUACUUAUAGUUGGUAGAAAUCUCUAGGUCAGCAGCAACUGGGAAGGUAUCUAGCUUGCGACUCCCUUUCCACGAUCUGAAUCAGCAACAGCAGCAGCCGAAGACGAAGGCUCUGCAAAAGAUUUUCAACAACUGGAUGUGACAACUACUGCAAAACGAAGUAGUUCUCAGUGGGUACUGCUACCGACCUCAACGGUUCACCCACUAAGUCUACAGAUAUAUGCUCAAAGAUAGUAAAGGAAGCUGGAACAAAUCUACAGCUAUAUGCCACUAUACUAUCACAAUCCAACACUAGCUAUCUGUAGAAAAAUGCAAUCUCUGACCCAAUAUCACUAGGGACUGUGAACACACCCGUCCCACCUGUUGAAGCUACACUAACUGUCACUACGCUAGGUCGUCAGUGGAGAGCAAGUCCAAACAGGACAAACAGACAUCAAUGCAAAAGCACUAAGUCCGACUCGGAAGUGGCACUCGUGAGCGCUAUCAAACCGAGUAUGCAAGCAUGUCUCUGCCAAGCUCAAUCAGGCUCUAACAGGCUGUAAUCAAAGUGGAAAGGUCUCACUGGUCGAACAACCACAAUCUACGUGCCCUCGGUACAAUCCGAUGCACAAACUGCAAACUGGGUUCACCGUCAACCACAACGGCACCCGACAGUCCGGAACAGUCUGUACACUACUGUAAAAAUAUACUCGGCAUCUCAGCAUGAGCGUAAAUGCAUUCUACACUAUUCUGAAUAUCUACAGCCCACAAACUGCAGCGAUACAAACUAACUACUGCUCCUAGAGCUAAAUCUAGUAGUUUGAGCAAAUGACGGUAUAGAAUCGAUAGUUUUCUCCUAAGUCAAUUCCAAGUCCAAUAUGUAUAAUUUAUGUAAAUCACUACUAUAUGCUCCAAAUUCAGAUUUCAAUAAGCAAGCAAAUCGAUGAAUUUGAGCUAACAUAACAUGAUAUUCAAGACUAAAAAUAUACACGUCGAUAUCAACUAAACUUAGGAGGAAAUCCAUAAAAUUCGGGAAGCAUAUCAUUAACCGACCUCAAAAGCUAAUCCAACUCCAGCGAAAAGUCGACAGGAGAGGAACCACGCGCUCAAACGGCCUCCAAUCGGUGCAACUACGACAUCCACGCGCUCGCCCGGCCUCCAAACGAUGCAACCGUCACGCUCGCGUGCUCGAACGGCUCCCGGGCGCGACGUCGGUGACGAUCCGAGCUCCACCCAAAACCUCUACCACGUACGGCUCAAGAACUAGAGAGAGAGAGAGGGAAGUGUAAGAAAAACCCUCCUCUCAGCCUCUCUACACGUAUAAAAAGGAGUAGGGGUGAGGGUGAAAACAACGAGGCAAGAAAAGACCAAAAGGCCCCUCAUCUACCUUGGAGUACCAGUACCGGGCCGAUGCCGUACCGGUACCCCGCUUCAGCCUUCACAACCUGAGAGCAGCAAACAGAAAUUCUAUAUAGGGGUACUGGUACUCCCAUGUGUGGCACUGGUAUUAAAUGCUGAAAAUCUGCAAUUUGCAGCUUUCAGUGCUAAUUUCCUGCUCUCGCGUUACACUGAGUCUGUUUUGCAUUUAAUUUGCGCCAACAUGACUCGGACUUGUCCCGACACUCUCCAGAUGUGUUGACAAGCCUCAGAUGCUGUAAUUCCACAGUUGUUGGCCACCAGGGAUACUACAGUGGCGAAGUAGGGCGAGGUGGCGUGGGCUGCUAGGAGGGAGGCGGCAAUGCGAAGGGGAGGAGGUUGAGGGUAUUUUGGGUAUACAAAUUAUAUAAUAAUAGAAUAUAAACAAAACCCUAACGGAAUACUGACGGAGGGGACCAAACUAAACAUUUCUGAUUUUUCAAGGGAGCAAGGUACAGAUUUUUAAAUGAUAGGAGGAAAAGUGAAAAAACGGGUAUUGAUAAGGAGAUUUUCUGUAAUUUAGCCUAAUAAUUUUAAUUAAAGAGAGGAAUUUACUAAAUUAUUUGAUAAAAUUUAAAAGUCUAAUUGUCAAGAUUAAAAGCUCAAAUAUUUAUUUACAAAGCAAAAUGCUAAAGUUUGGCGGAUCUUUGUACUUUUUUUUUUUUUGGUGCACCAGAGUAUGGUUCUAUUGUUAUUAUUGGUUACACCAAGUGCAUUAUAUGUACGUUCAUGCCUCAUGCAUUUUUAUCUUUUGCACACCACCCCUUGAGGUGAGUAUUUCCUCUACUUAGAAACUAGAUGUAUUGAUAUAAUUAUGAAAUUACUAAAAAGUUAAUAAAUUUGGAGCAACUAUACAUGCUAAUCUGCGAUGAAUAUCUUACACCUCUCAGAUUCGACAAUUAUCAUUGCUUUAAUUUUUUUACUCAAAAGAUAUUUGUUACAUUUAUAAUGUACCAAAUUUUAACUAAAUUGAAAAAGUCCAGAUUAAAAUCAUGCUAGACAUGAUUAAGAUGAGUUUUGGAGAGUUCAGAGAGAGUUGGGAUCAAAUUAAAACUAAUUCGGAUCGAAACGAAUUUUAAAACUCUGAAAGUUUCAGACAGAUUUCCAAUGCCCAGAAAUAGAAUCGGGUGUCCGAAAAUGGUUUCGGAGGGUCCUUUGUGGAGACCGAAAUAUUAGGACUCUCUUCUAGAGAGUUGGAUUUGGGGGAGCCUAAGUUUCGGAUAAUCGGAUAACUUAGCGUGCGCCCGGACGUGAUUUCAAGUCCUCUUCACAAACGCCCAAGAACUAUUUCGGGCCCUUAACCCAAGAGUUUGGGUGCACACGAAGCCGAACAAUCGGACGUCCGCAAAAAUGUUUCAGAUGGUCCCUUGUGGGUUCCCAUGUGUUUCAAGCGUUCAACCUAAGAGUAACCCGUAUACAAGAUGUCGCCCCUUUAGGACACCCGUAAUACUAUGCGGGCGCCCAAAUUGAGAAAUUGGACGAUACCAGUAGUGCCCGAUCCCUCGGCCGAGAGCUUCUAUGACAUAAUCAAGCACCUGAAAAGUUGGGCGGGCGCCCAAAACUUGGCAUGCAUACAACAUUUCGUUUGUUUGCAAAUAUAAUUAUUUGAUUGGAUUUAAUUGCUAUUGUUGCAACCCUAUAAAGGGCUUCUGUUAUUUUGCCCUAGCCACUACACAAUUGCCACAUCCUCUCUCUUACUCCCUUGCCUUCUCUUCUUUCUUUCUCUCUUCAGAAAAAGGAGAAGAAACCCGUCUCUACCAUUGUUGGAGCUAGGGUUGGAUCUCCUUAAGGGCUUGAAGGAGACUUGGAACUCUAAGAGAAAGCCCUAAAAGAGUAAGGAAACCCCUUCUUUCCCACAUUUGGUAUUUAAAACAAAAAGUGAGUUGAGUUCUUUAGUAUUUUGAUUUUUAAGGUUUCAGAUGGAAAUUUUUGGGUUUUGAUUGUGUUAGAACUAAUUUUAGGGUUCUUCUGGAUAGUCCGGAAGAUCAUGCCUAUUGUUUGGUAGAGAAGAUAAACAAAGGUGUUAGAUAUGUCUCAAAUUCUAAAACUACAUGGUUUUCUAACCCUAUUGUGUUUUGGUUAUACCAUUAAGUUAAAUUUAGAUUAUACCUAAUCUAAUUAAGAUAUUUCUGAUCUUAGUGGAUUUGUAUUCCUAAUCGUAUUAAGAUUUAGCACUAUUAUAAAUAUAUCAUUUAUUCCAUUGAUGUGAUGCAGCAGAUGAGAGAGAGAGUAUGAGUGUAUAGGGUUUUAUAAGAGAGGCGUAUUUUGUACACCACUUUGAUUAUAAUGAAGAUCGCCGUUCCGACUUCACCUGUGGACGUAGGACGGUGGACGAACCACGUAAAUAUUGUGUGGUAUAUUUUUCUUCUCUCUUUCUCGGAUCUCUUUUGGUAUUUUCGCAUUCGACGAAUUAGAUCUUUUCCGCCUUUGGCAUAACAUAGGGUUUCAACCUUUUUCAUGAGAAUGCAAAACUGAUAAAUUAUAUAUAAUAAUGAUGAGAACCUAGGAUAUAGGUUAAAAUGAGUGGCAUCUAAAUUUUGAUCAAAACCUAAGGUAAGACAUAGAGAUAUAUGAAUUCUAGGUUAAUAUAAACUAGAGAACAAAUUGGUGAAUUAUGGGCAUAAGCUAUAACCCUAGAAGUCAUUAAACUUAGAAUAUCAUGUUGUAUUGUGUCGCGACCUUCCAGAAGUGUCUUGGGAGUGCCGAUCACCCUCGACUCCCUCGUGUGCAAUGGGAUAGCCAAUCACUCUCAACUCCCUUUAUGUACCCAAAUGUCAAUCAUCUCGCCUCCGCAUGUGGUACUUGUUGAAACAAUCUCCCUUGAUUCUAAGUCCUUAGCAAUUGGAGAGUAGUACGAUCUCCAUCAACUCUCCUUGAGAUAUAUAUGUCGACCAAUUGGAGAGUAGUACAAUCUUUCUCGACUCUUCAUAAGGUUUAGUGUGAAGUGGAACCACUUGUGUAUAUAGAUAGAGACAUGUGACAAGUUAGGUAAACUUGUAAACUAUGACAUAGUAGUAUAGUGGCAUCUAGUAUACUUAAGGAUUGUAGUUGUAGAGUUCAAUUACUGCAUUUUUUAGUAUAGAAAUAAUUAUUGUUAUUAAUUUCUAUUUAUUAAUGUCUCCCUUAGACUGAGUGAGUGUAUAGCAUCAUUCCCGAUAGUUGCACCUACUGAGAACUUUUAGUAGUUCUCAUUUUCUGUGGUUUACCUCUUUUUCAUAUCCUAACACCGUUGGCGAGGAAUGUGAUCGCAACACAUGCGUCAUAGAAUAGAAGACCUAAAGAACUCUAGUUGUUCCCGUACUUUCAGAAAAACAGUACUUGUAAUAUUUUGGGAUUUAAAUGUGUAAAACUCAAUAAGUUUAUUUUGGCAAAUUGCAUCAAAUAGUUGUAAACUUUAACAAAUGUUUAAAGUAAAAUGUUAACUUAAUAGUCAUGCUCUAAUAUUUCAUGUGUGUGUGUAUAUAUAUAUAUCAUAUAUGAAUGUACAGGUUGAUGUAUGUUGUUGCUUCGUUCGGGUAGGAGAGGUUUUGGCCAUUCGGCGGAUCUGUUCGUGUGUCUGAGUGGCCCAAUUAGUGGUUUCGUAGUAUGAUAGACAAGAGCGGUAUCAAAGUCUAGGAAGAGUCCUAGAUAGUUUUUGAUAAAUAAUAAACCUUAGAAAAAUCCUAGGGGUACAGGAAUAGAAAUAGUACCAUAUGGAUGACCAAGGACAAGGUUCGGGUCCACCGAACCCGAAACGCCUGAACCCUCAGGGGCGGGCGAGGUGCGUAAGUUGCGCAAUCAAGUAGCCGCAUUGUUUGGCAUGGUAUAGUACCAGGUGGAGGCCUCUUGACGACAAGAAGAAGCCUCCUAUUGAUAGGAGGCACAAAUCAAGAGGCUCCAUGACCUUUAUAUGCAGCAGGCAGAGACUGUGCAUGCGAUUCAAGAGCCCACGCCGUCGCUUCCUACAAGGGCGACUGCUAAGGGCAUCGCGGUGGUAGCGGCACCCGUCUUGACGUGCCUUGCACCUUCGAGGGUGAAUGAGAUAGGAGCCUUGGCAGACUGAUUUUGAUGCCUCCACUAUCGAGUACCGGGUUCAGUGGGCAGAAUAGAAGCCAGCCAUAGAGAGCCUUGCCUAAUUUUCACAGGUUCAAUUCGUCGAUCUUCAACGGUCAAGGCAACGAAUCUGAUGGUCGUGGGUCGACACCAUAGAGCAACUAUUUGAAGAUUUUCUGGUAUCAGAACGAGAUCAUGUCCCUUUGGCCAUCCACUUCCUAGACAAGAUGACCCUCAAGUGGUGGAAGGGUGAGAAAGGCAUGUGAAUUGAUGUCGGUUUGCCCCUUCCUACGUGUCAGGGACUCUGUUUUUUUUUUCGAUAGUGCUAAGCAACAAAUGGAGGACUUCAAGCCUCUUCCAGGGGAAUAAUACAGUGUAGGAGUAUGAGUAGAAAUUCUCCCGCAUUGUGACCUACAUCCCGUUUGUGGAGAGGGACGAGGCAAACAAGGCUCCAUACUUUGAGCGGAGGUUGCGACCGAGCAUCUUCUUUGCAAGGUCCAGGUGCUUGACCUUCGGACCUUCAAGGUAUUUAUGGACAACGCUCGAUUAGUGGAGUGUGGAGAGGCUAUCGUGCAUCGAGAGCACGAGGCCUUCGAGAAAGGCAAAGAGAAGGACAAGAAGCGAUCUUUGGGUGGCUCUGGGGGUCAGUCCAUCUCUAAGCAGCCCCCAAAGUAUUUGUGCCUCUAGUCACAUUUGUGGGGAUCAUAUCACCCAUAGUCCCACAACUGAUUUAUGAUAUGCAGUGGAAUGCCCCUAGUCCCUAAGUGCAACAAACGUGAGGGGAGAUGUUUCAAAUGUGGCGUUAGCACACUGCUAUAGAGGACGCAUCAUCGGCCUCGUCUACAACAUUUGUUUUUUUGGCCCCGAGGCAGUUUACUGGGGCACCAUCUGCCACCCCUUUAUGCCGGCAAGUCUCUGUAUCACAACAGCACGAAAGGUCAUGACAACCACCGAGUGGGCGAGAUUUUGCUACUCAGAUAGAGGAGCGAGCAGCAAACGAUGUGGUAGCAGAUAUAAUUUUACUUAAUGGUGUUAGAUAUAGGGUAUUUGAUACAUGUGCAUCAUAUUCAUUUAUCUGUAGGAAAUUUGCCACUACCCAGGGGAUUAGCAUCUUAGAAGCCACCAACACUAGGAGUGUUUAGGUUCCAGACCAUGCUUUCUACAUCACCGGUUAUUGCCUCGCCUGUUCAAUACAGAGUGGUAAUUGGAUCAUAUUAGUGUAUUUUUUCGGAUUGAGGUAAAUGGAGGGUUUUGCCAUUAUGCUAGGGAUAGAUCGACUCUCGCAGUAUUAUGCCACCAUUGAUUGCAAAAGUCGGGUCUUCAAAUUUUGAGAACUUGGGCAAAAAAAGUUCAUCUACUAUAGUUGUAGAAGCUCACUUUUCGUCAUAACGUCUUCACAUCUCGAGCCAAGAAAUUGAUCAAUAGUGGAUACAUGGCCUAUUUGACCACCGUAGUGGAGAAGCAUGCAGAGUCCCGCUACUCGAGGGCAUCCUAUAGCCUAAGAGUAUCUGGAUGUGUCUGUAAAGGAGUUACUGGGAAUGCCAUCACACCAAGAGAUCGAGUGUUUGAUAGACUUAGUUUUUGUGAUAAUGCCGGUCUCCAAGACACUAUAUCGGAUAGCACCGGCACAGUUACAGGAAUUUAAGGCUCAACUGAAGGAUCUGGCCAAGGGCUUCAUCAAGCCUAGUGUCUUUUCGUGGAAAGCCUCGGUGCUAUUUAUCAGGAAGAAAGACGGAUCCUUGUUGUUAUGUGUAGAUUACCGAAAACUUAAUAAAGCCAUACUUGAGAACAAGUAUCCACUACCGCAGAUCGAUGAUCUCUUUGAUCAAUUGCAAGGGUCCCAAGUAUUCUCAAAGAUUAAUCUUCAAUCGGAAUACCAUUAGUUGAAAAUAAAGAUAGAAUACGUACAUAAGACAAUUUUUAGAACACGUUAUGGUCACUAUAAGUUCACCGUAACACCUUUUGGGCUUACCAAUGACCCGAUGGCUUUCAUGGACUUUAAAAAAAUGUAGAAUUAAAGUGAAAGAUGGUAAUUUUGACACCAUGAAAUAAGCAAAUGUGAAACGUCUCUCUUUAACAUUUAUUUAAUAAAGCUAGAAAAAAUAGUAAAGGUAAUUUUAUGAGUAUGAAUGUUACAACGAGAUCGAAUACUCAGAUUUGCCUGACUUUUAGCAGUUACCGUUAUUCCUCUUCAUCUCCUAUACUUUUUGUUUUUUUGGUUGAUAAAUGGUAAAUUUUUUUUUUGCACAUUUUGUAUUCUAGAUUUUUUUUUUAAUUUCUACUCACCGCUGUCACGCCCGGAUUACUACGUUACUCAGGCUCGCCAACAGACACACCGUAUAUAUAGAGAUUUCUCAUGUAUACGAAGCGAUAGCUGUACCUGCAAACAAAUAAAAACUACAAUAAGAAGUAUAGAGCUACUAAAACUGAAACAUAUAUAUAUAUAUAUAUAUAUAUAUACAUAUAUAUAUAUAUACAUAUAUAUAUAUAUAUACAUAUAUAUAUAUAUAUAUUUGAAAUUUAAAAUUCAAAUUCAAAUUUCUUUUAUUAUUCAAAUCUCAGAUAUUACAAAUAGGGUCCCUACAGCCUCUCUCUCUUUCCCUUCACCCCACAUGAGUGAGAAAGGGGAGGAAACACCUUUCCCCCUCUCUAAUAAUUUUCUCUCUCUCUUUCUCUCUUGCAACCUCUCUACCAAAGACGAGAUUGGAGGAGCUAGAUAAAGUUUGCUUGAAGGUAAAGCAAGCUCUUUAUGGUGGAUUAAGCUUGGAGAGCUAUGUAGCAAAUGUGAGAUUUCAUGGAUUUGAGUUAGGGUUUGAAUUAAAUCCUUUAAAAUUGAUGUAUUGGAGAUCUUUAGGUGAUUCUAAACUAGUUUAAUCUAAGGAUUCAUCAUGAUUUGGGGUUUUCUUAUAGAACUUGAAACCCUAGGGUUGGAUUUUGGGGUUUCGUCCAUAUGAGGUUUGGAACUAAAUUAACCUUACAAAUCUCUAAUUGAAGGGUAAAUCGACAUGGGGGACAAGUUUGAUUUGGAUUACAAUGGGAUUACAGCGUCCGAAUGGGAGAGAUUGCUGAAUUACGUUUGUUAGGCCUAGGUCGAGCCGAAUCGGCGUCGGAAAUAGAAUUGCUUGGAAACCCUAGCAAUUAGUAAUUAAACGAGGUGGGUGGUGCAUGCUCUCCGAAAUGAUUGGAUUUCUCCUUAUGUCUAUGUUGCCAUUUUGUUCAUAUGUGUACAUAUGUGAAAAUUCUAUGCAUAUAGGGUUAUUGUAAUAACCCGAACUUCUCCAAUUAUGAAAAUCUGGUGGGAACUAGCUUAAAAAGCUAUUAAAUAAGUUCCAGCAAAGCUUGGAGAGCAUUGAGUGUUUUCGGAGCAAACUAGACUCGAAAGCGGGCUCCAAAAGCCGAAAUCUACCUAAGUUGCAGAAUUUGUAUUGGGUAUCGGUACUGGAAAACUGGGUACCGGUACGUAGUGUAAAACUAAGAAUAUGAGCUCUCGGGUUUUGAAGUACUGGAAUGGGGUACCAGUACUGGACUGGCCGAGUACCGGUACGCGAGCCCGAGUACCGGUACGCAGCCUCCCAGAAUGCUAUUUUUGAGGGGUAAAAGUGUAAUUUGAGUAUGGGGCUUAUAUAAGGGGGCCCCAUCCUCUUCCCCUAGCAGAAACGCGCACACACACACACGUAUAGAGAGAGAGAGAGUUGGAGCUCAUCUCUCUCCCUCUCUUCUUCAUCCUCUCCAAAUUGGAGAUCUUGGUGGAGAUCGAGCUCGGGAACGCAUAGGGAGCGGUGGUUCAAGCUCUCGGGCGCUUGGUGGCUCGAUGUGCUUCCGACUCGAGGUUCGUCUUCAAGUCAAGAGGUUAGGGUUUUGCUAAAUCCUUUGGUAUUGGGAUUCUAAGUUUCCCUAGAUGAUUCUAACUGGGUUAAUCAAGGUUUCUCCAUGUGUUUUAGGCGUUUUGGAGAAAUGGAAAACCUAGGGUUAGAAUUGGAGAUUUUAGGGUUUGAGCUAGGGUUUUGGAUUUAAACCUUCUAAAUUGAUUUCUAGCAAAUCCAAGGCUAAUCUAAGCUACAAAUGGUAGAGAUUAGCAUGUGGAUUAGGGUUUUAUCAUAAGUUUGGAAAACCCUAGGUUAAAAAGAGGGGUUUCUUGGUGGAGGGUUGUAAAAAUAUUUUAACCUUUUGGAAACCUAAUUGAGGGUUAGGAAAUCAUGUGAGACUAUCUGAUUUCAAGUAGAGAGAUCAUUUAGUGGUUCAAAAAUGGUAACGAAGGAUUUCUUGUAUAGGGCAAGGAAUGCUUGGGAGAAAGCUUGGAAGUCCAAGUAGUUGGCCUAAUUGCAAGUGAUUACAAGCAAUUAGGAAGCUUAAAAUGUAAGAAAGUGAAUUCUCGAAAUCCAAGAGUUAUACUUCGUCCAGGAUCGACCAAUUGUCGAGUUGGUAGGCUUCGGAGGAGCUAAAGAUGUCCAAAACACAAAAAUUGCUUUGGAGUCGAGUCCGCGAGAGCAAAAGAAGCAAAAAUAUGCAUUUGGCAGAUUCUGCUCUCGGGGACCGGUCACUGGCAGGGAAAGACCGGUCCCCGUUAGCUGGGGUUGCAGUGGACGCGCAAUGCAACCGGUCCCCCGACCGAGGGACCGGUUCCCGUAAGCGUAACUAGGCAGAAGGCUCUCGGGGACCGGUCCCUCACCGGGAGGACCGGUCUCCCAGGCACCGGUCUCUCGGGUAGGGACUGGUUCUCGUACGCGUGGAUUUUGGAAGGUCCUCGGGGACCAGUCCCCAAGGGGGAGAGACCGGUCCCUCCGUGCGAAAUCUGCCCACUCUGGGCAGUAUGAAGAGUGGAAAGUUGAGGGACUUAUAUGGAUAUUGUUACAAUAGAGGGUUAAGAGAGGGGUUUCCUCUCUCUUUCUCUCACUCUCUCACUCUCCCUCACCGCUCCCUUUCUCUCUCUGUACGUGAAGAAGAGAAAGAAAGAGAAAAGGAGAAAGAAGAAGAAGGAAAAGAAAAAGGAGGAAAAGAAAGAAAAGAAGGAGAAGAAGGCUAGGAAGGAGAUAUUCCUCAUCUUCUUCAUCUUCUCCUUGGUUGGAGCUUCUUGGAGAGGUAAGCUUCUAAGCCCUCUCAUCGUAGAUCGUUAGAGAUAGGUUUUUGAUCCCUAAAAUUCGUUUAUUUGGAACCCUAGCAUGCUAUCUAGAUGGAUUUCCCCCAUUUCAUAGAUCGAUUUGGUGGAUUUGGCUAUAGUAGCAUCUAGGGCACCCAAAAUAGGAUUUUGGUAUUUGUGAGUGUUUGAUCUCAUUUGACCAUCUGUAAAUCUAAUUGAUAGGUAAUGAAAUGCGUUUGCGAAGUCGGUUCGACGAUCCGACGAGCCUACAAGAAGAUAUUGUCGAAUUAAGGGCUUUCGGCUUCGUUAUCGCCUGGAGGGCCGAGGCGACGUCCAUAAAUCGCGAGAUUGGGUCCUGAGCACCGUAACAACAAAGCGAAGACCUUUAAAUCUCGGAACUGCAAAGCGGCGCGCGAUUGGAGCGCAACUGCGAUAUCGAGCCAAACCGGGUGUCGAGUACCGCGGGAGGCCGAUUGCAAGUGUGGACGAGCAAUCGGAAAGCAAGCUAAGGUGCGUUGUGCUUACCGAAGCGACUAGGUCGCCUGUAUGUCUAAGUAAAGUGAGUUCAUAUUGAUGCAUGUUAACAAAAUGACAUAGAUGAUGCAUGUGGUAAAAUGUUAAGUAGAUGUAUAUAAAAUAACGCUAGAUAAAUUAAAGAAUGCAUGAUUAGCAUUGUGAGAAUAUACUAGGUAGAUAUGCAUGUGAACUAGAUGAUAACUCUAGAAUGAGUAGAGUUGAUUGACAUGAGAACUUUAUGGUACUCGAUUGGACAACUAGGAUGUCAGGUAGAUCAAGUGGCACCUAACCUAGUGUUAAAGAACAUAGGUUGAACAAGUGAACCUAGAGUCGAACAAGUCUAGGUGUGUGGCAUCGAACCUAGUAUUAGUAAACAUAGGUCGAACAAGUGAACCUAGAAGUUGACCUCUAGGUAGAGAUGAUAUAGAACCUAGCAAUUGUACCUAGGUUAUGUGACUGAGACCUGGAACCUAGAGUGAUAUUGAACCUAGGUUGUUGAGUAUAGUGGUAUUAGCCACUAGGAUGUUCUAGGUCGACAGCAUAGGGUUGGUUAUGGACCCUCGACCUGUGGAAGUGGAUUCUGGAAUCCCAGGACUUGUGACGACCCUGGUAUCAAGGCUAGGGCGUGUGCGACGAUUUCGCCGCCGAGGUUGAUACCGAGGGAGGAUUGGGGGCGAUCACAUGGAGAUCACCGCCCGAGGCUUGAACCAUUGUUGUGGCGUGUACGACGAUUUCGCCGCUGGAUGGUUAAGCCGAUUGUGGAUCAGACCGCCGGGAUUGACUGAAACCAUUACUGGGUAAGUACGAUACGGGUGCCGCCAGGUGGCUGAGUCGUGACGGAAACCAUUGUUGGGUGAGGUGCAAUUAGUUCGCCGCCAGAUGGAUAGGUCAUGACUUGAGUCCUCGCUGGGUAAGUGCAACGUGUUCGCCACCAGAAUGGCUAGGUCAAGGGACUUGAGCCUGGUUCAGCGUGUGCGACGAUUUCUCCGCUAAGAGGCUAAGUCUCGGAGAGUGGUAGGCUGUUGAGCAGCCAGAGCGCGGAAUAUCCGCGGGUGUUUGACUCGAAGCCGAGUCGGGUGGAUAGCUUCGAUAGGGUAGUGGAACCCUUAUAAGCUAGUGAUAGAGGCUAGAGCUAAGGUAAUAGAGACCUUAGAAGCCAGUGGACUUGAGUGUGAUCCUAAGGUAAUAGAAAUCUUAGAGUUGAAUGUUAUGAGCUAAGAUUAGCCAAGUGAAUGUAGAAUCAAUUGAUCUACUAUAGUUGCAUGAUUUUCAUAUCGCAUAUUGUGAGGCAUGGCAUGUAUUUCAAUUUGAAUAUAUAUUUGUUGUAUAUUGUUGAACUAACAUGUUGCAGUGCCUCCUCGGACCUAUUGGUCAAGCUUUUCCCUUGGGUGGCCGUACCCACUGGGAACCAUGGAGUUGGUUCUCACCCCACGUUGUUUUGAGGUGUUUUAGGUACACACGUGAGCGGUGCGGCGGUGCGAGGCAAGGGCGUAGCUUCGUAGAUAGCGCCCUACCCCAGAGACUGAGAUAGCAGUACCCCAAGUCACCAGGGCCUAGAGGUUAGAAUGGAAUGACAACAACCAACUUGUAUUAAAUGUAACAAUGUGAUUGUAUUUGGAAGUUAAGCAAAUGUAAAAGAAAAUUGUGAUGUAUAAAGUGUAUGAAAUGAAUGCUUGUAAUAGCAGUUAGUUUUAUGUUAUUGAUACUUUCUUAUGCAAUCUUGAUUGAGAUCAGUUUCUGGUUGGAACCCUUGUAUUGUACAGGUUGCGACGCCUAGGACGUACAGGGGAAACUCUGUCUGUUCGGCGGUCUGUUCGUGGCGCCGCGACCCGGCCAAAUAGGCGGGAAGUCACGGGGCGUGACAUAAAAGGUGGGUUGUGCUUCACCGAAGUGACUAGGUAGCUUCCAUGUCAAAGUGAAGUAUAGUUUUAUUAUUGAUGCAUGUAUGUUUUGGUAGGUUGUAUAUGGUUAAGAUGAUUGUUAUGUCAUGUUACUAGAUGAAAUUACCUACCAUUGGAUGCUGAUAACAUAGGCAUGUGGGACAUAUAGGAAUUAUCUGUAUGCCUAGGAAUGGACAUUGAAUAUAGGUCGAUGAACUCUUGGUUGAUUAGAGAACUCGACAAUUAAAAAACAAGUACAUGUAAAUUACGAGUCCUAGGUGUGGACAACUAGAAUAACAAGUAGAUUGAGUGGCAUUGAACUUAGUGUCAAUAAACAUAGGUUGAACAGUAAACCUAGAGUGGACAUCUAGGUGGAAAUGACAUAGAACCUAGCGUGGUUGAACCUAGGUUGUGAAUUAUAGUGGUAGAAGGGCCACUAGGAUGUGCAUGAGUCGGACCUAGAGAGGUUGACAUUAUAGAUGUAGAAAGUGGAUUCCGGAAUCCCUAGUAAUGAUGGCCGCGGAAGGAGCGGUUGAGACUUGUGGCUGAGUGCAAGUGAAUCAUAACUACGGGUAUGUUGGUUCUCCUCGCCCGACAGUGAUUCAACAGGUAUGUUGGUUCUCCUUGCCCGGUACGAGCUUUGUUGAAAUGGGUAUGUGUGGUUCUCCUCGCCCAUUGAGCUCGAGCGACUUGUGGUCCGGGGUUCGAUGGUAUUCCUCACCCUGUGGUAGACCUAUAGUCAAGUGGAUUUAAGGCAGAGGUGCAUGUGAGACGUCCUUCACCUCGAGCCUAGCUAUGAGGUAUUCCGCAGAUGAUUGAUUCGAGACCGAGUCGGGUGGUUAACUUGGCUAAGGUAGAAGAAACCUUAGGAACAAGUGGUAAAUGACAUGGAUCUAAGGUAGAGGAACCUUAGAAGUUAGUUGGAUAAGCUGUGGAUCGAGUUAGAAAGUAUAAUCAGUAGAUUUACUUAUAUGGUUGCAUGAUGUGCAUGUUGCAUUUUGUGAGGCAGAUGCAUGAUAGCUAUUAGUUGCAUAAAUUAUAUGAUGAUAUAUAUCUGUUGGACUAACAUGUUGUUUUGCCUCUUUUGGACCUAGUGGGUCGAGCUCUUCCCUUGGGUGGCCAUACCCACUGGAAACUAUGGACAAUAGUUCUCACUCCACGUUUUUCAGGUCCACACCUGAGCGGCGCGGCGGCGCGAGGAAAGGGCAUAGCUCCGUAGAUAGCGCCCUACCACUGUGACCAGAGAUAGCAGUACCCCAAGUUGGUCUAGCUUAGGGGUGGAAAUGAAAAGAAAGAACGAAAUUGUAAUAAUUUGUUGUAACUUGAUUGUAUUCGGAAGUUGAAUGUAAUACAAAUGUAAAAAUUGAGAUGAAUGCUUGUACUAGCUUAGUAUUUAUGUUUUCGAUACCUUUCUUAUGCAAUCUAUGUUUAAAUUCUGUUCCUGGUUGGAACUUCGCGAAUUGUAUGGAUUGUGAUGCCUAGGACGUACAAGGGAGACUCUGUCCGUUCGGCGGUCUAUCGGCGUGCCCGAAUCCGACGAAAUAGGCAGGUCUCAGGGCGUGACAGUUAUUAUUAUGUUUGAGCUUUCAUUUUCUUUGCAUGCUUCCUAAAGUAGGGUUGGUCAAAUUGGAUUGAGAACUCGGUACUUGGAUGUAUGAGGAUUGGGUCAUUGGAUAUUAGAAACCCUAUGAGUGAGUUGAACUAUAAUGUGAACUUAGAAAACAUUGUGGAAUCUUGAUGGCAUCUUGAUUAAUUGUUUAGACAUAGAAAAUAAAGUGUGGACAUUGGAACAAGCUGAAAUACUAGGUGUCAUUGUGAGUCUAAACGUGUACCUAUUGAUGGACAAAUAGAUUGAGUAUCCUAUUGUGCAAGUAGACAAUAUGAACAUUGUGUGUCCUGAUUGUACAAGUGAGUUGUCACCAUAGUCGCAUAGGAUUUGAGAUGAGCAUGCAAGGGAUUGAAAUAGAUCCUUUGAACCAUGCUAGGGAUUGGUGGAUUCUCGUAUGUUGCUACCCUGAUUAGUAGGUAUUCUCAAGAUGAGAAGACUGGAUCGUACUCACAUUGUCUGUUUGGCUUGCAGUGGGUUGCGACGCCGCAAGCAGUGAGCUCCGGAGUUGUCACACAUGGGUUAACGUAUCUACCCAACAUACAGCCCUAGAUUGGUGAUAGUCCCCGUAGGCCCUGGUAUUGUGAGUUUGGCUUGACUUCGCGUGAGCUGGCAUGAUUGGCUUAUGAGGUAAAAGAGGAAGUCAAUUGAGCAUAGUAGAUCAUGUCUUUGGUUAUUUUGUGAAGUCUUGUAGUAGCAUCACAUGACAAGUGAUGAGUCAAUUAUGCCUCCUCUCUAGACGGUCUAUGUCAGGUUGAGCGGAAUUCUCACCAGUAGACGACUUAGAGGAGGGAGUUGGGCUUCAUGUGAACCAGUAUAAUUAGGUUAAAAGGUAAAAAUGGUAAGCAUCUUGAGCAUAAUAGCAUUUAUUGUUUACCUAGUUUCAUUUUGCAAAAGUAUAAUAGUGUUUAUUCUAGUUUAUGCAUGGUGUAGUUGUCGUACUACCUUCUUGUUCGUUUAUCUAUUUAUGCCUUCAUAGACCUAGUAGGAAAAUCGGAAAGAUUGGCGGCCGAACCCACUGAAAACUUCUUUUAGUUCUUACCCCCUGUUUUUGCUAAGCUAACCAUUAGCGGAGCGGCAUUGGACCGAGGCGUGGACAUUGCGCCCUAAAUAGCAGGGUCACUAGGUGUAGUCACCCUUGUACAAGCAAAUGAAUGUAAAAGAUAUUUAGAAAUGGAAAUGUAAUCGAGCGAGGUUAUAUUUUGAGGGGAAGUUCAUGAAAUGUAUAAAGUGGAGAAAUAUAUGUAAAAUGUGAAUGUUCCAAGUGUUGUAAUAGCUUGGUUUAAAUUCUCGCUCUUAUGAUAUGCCCUGGCACAAAAUUGUAUUAUGUUGUUUUUCCUUGGUGAAAUUCAACAUAUUUGUUUUGUUUAUGCAUUGGGCGGAUAAGGAAAACUCUAUUCGUUCGACGGUCUGUGUAUGUGGCCGAAUCGACCAAAGUGGCAGUCUCGGGGUGUGAAAACAAUGGCGGUUACUACUUCACCGCCAAAGGUCCUCAUAACGACUACGUAGAUGACCGCGACGAAGGCAGCCGCUGGUCUUGUACCUUUGACUGUUGGGGUGUCCGACACUACUACUGUGCCUACCUGACCUCUAUUCAAUAGGUGCGAGAAACCCGCCAAUAGUAGAGAAAGCUAAGGUGAAGGCGAACUAAGCGUAGUUCAAGCAUUACAACCCACCCUUCUUCAUGGCCAAAACCGGGAAUCCAGUGGUCGUGCAGGGAGUGGGUGGACACGAUGGAGAAACUCUUCGAGGGUUUAUUCGUCGAGGAGAACAAGUGGGUGCCAUUGGCGACACACUACUUAGAGGGUUCAGCAAGCAUUUAGUGGAAAAAUGUGCGACCGAACCACUCGUUGAAUGACCCCUUUACCUCUUGGGGAGAGUUUGAGGAGAAAUUGUUUGACGCAUGCUUCUCUGAUAGCGUUAAACAGAAGCUCGAGGAUGAUCUUAAGAACCUUCGUUAAAGUAGCAGAACAGUGAUGGAGUACGCGUGGGAGUUCUCUCGACUUGUCAACUGUAUUCCUUUCGCGGUUUGGAGCGAGAAGUACUUUCGCGGUUCGGAGCGAGAAGCAUAAGUGUAAAAUGUUCGUGGACGGUCUUCGAUCGAAUAUCCACUAGGUUGUGUACCAGGAAGAUCUCAAGACGUCUUGGGAGAACGUGGAUAGCACCACAUUGGUGGAGCGCGGAAUUGUGGUAAUGCGCGCCGAGCACAAAAGGAUAGACAAAGGCACGGAUAAAAAGCAGACUCAUAAGAAUUCUGGGGAUGGUCAAUCCGGCAAUAAGCAGUCACAGUCGGGGGCAAGGAGUGCCCCUGCUACAAUCCAGAAGUAGAGCAUCGGGGCUUGUGUCUUCCACGGCAAGGGCCAUAAAGUCAACGGGUGCCCUCGGCGCCACAACCACUACUUAAAAUAUGGACAGCCAGGGCACCUUCGCGCGAACUGCCCCAAUGGGCUGGCACUGCAUUGACAAUGGCAUCUACUCUAGCUACCCUAUGACAAAAUCACGGCAGUGUAGCGUCCUCUGCAUAUAGGCAUCCCUCGACAUCCCGUUAGGAAAAGGGGGCGCGCCAGGCCACCGGUGGAUGCAUCUACGUUAUGACACGUUAGGAGGGUGAUCAGCCAGUUGACAUCGUGUAACACACUGGACCUUUGCAAAUUGCGAGGUUCGAGUGUUUAGAUAUAUUUCGAGCUUUUCCACACUUGGUGGAGGGUUGUAGAAUGUUUUCCGACCUAAAAAGUUCGAAAACUAGAAUUCUGGACAAGUCCUGAGAGUUUUUACUCUCGGGGACCGGUCCUUGAAAGGAGAGACCGGUCCCCCAGUGAGCAGUGUUGCGGCAGCCUUGAGGCAACCGGUCCCUGGCAGGCGAGACCGGUCCCCGAGCGCGCCUACGCAGUGAGAGACCGGUCCCGCGCAGGGAGAGACCGGUUCCCGAACGUUGGUUUUUCGGGUUCGCAGCGAGAGACCGGUCCCUGCUGGGGAGAGACCGGUCCCUCUGGACGAAAACUGCCCAAUUCGGGCUGAUGUAAAUUUGAGUUUUUGAGGAGCCUCUCCGGAUUUUGUUACACUAGAUGGGCUUAUUAGCCAUUUCCCUCUCUUCCCUCCUCAUUUCUCACCCUCACCCUACACCUUCUUGAGAGAGAAGGAGGAGAAGAAGAAGAGGAGCUUGCUUGAGGGAGCUUGGAGCUCAAUCCCUUUCUCCCCUUUCCACCCUUGCUUGGCUUGGAUGCUUGCUUGUAGAGCUUGGUGGUGGACCAAUCUUCAACCCUAGAAGAUUUGGAGCUUGUUUGGACGCAUCUUGGGAGGUUAGUACUUGGAUUCUACCCUUUGAUCCUUGAUUUGGUAGGUUUUACCAUAUGGAACCCUAGAUUUGAUACUUAGGGUUUGAUUUUGGGGCUUUUUGAUCUAGGGCUUUUGGAGCUAGAUUGUUUGGAUUAGAACACUCCUUGAGCUUAGAUUGGAAGGGAUUUAGCUCUCUUUUGGAGCUUGAGAGAGAUUUCCCACACAUUAGGUGAGUUUUAGCCCUUUUGCCAAGUUUGUUAAAGUUUGAUCUUAUAGUUGAUCGUAAUGCCCGUGUAUCUCUUCGCUCGAUACUUUUAGGGUAUUUUGAGACUCGUGGACAACCUCGUUCGGCGAAUCGAGGGAGCACGCGACAGUUCGGUGGGUUUGACCUAGCCUGGCAUAUGAGAAAUUCUCAUAUCUCAUAUUUUAUACUUGUAGAGUAAAAAUUCAUGCAUUUCCAUGAUAAAUGUAUUUAUUGUGAAUUUUGGGAUGCUUAACAUGCCUAUAAUAUGUGUAAGAAAUUUCGGACCCCUAUAUAGUAGAGGGCUACCGUGUGAGACUUGUAUAUGAUAGGCACCCUUUUGAGACUUGGAAUCAUAUUUCCUAUUGUGAAAGUGAGCAUUACCUUCAUGCAUUUUAAGUUAUUCUUACUUGAGACUUAAGGGAUCUUAGUAAGCCAUAUAGAGGCAUAUGACAAGAUCGACAUGUAAGAUUAUGAGCUAAUGUCAUAAAGCGGCAUUGAGCUCGGAUUGUGUGUGAACCUAGUGGAUAGGACCAUUGAGAGAAUUGGAACAUGUUUGUACAUCGAAAUGUCUAAGUGUCAUAAAGGGGCACUAGACCCAGUGAAUGAUUGGAGCUUCUCAUUGUGACCUAGAACUAGAUCAUUGAGAUGCUAGUGACUAUUACCAUGUUAGAGACAUGAUGAUUGAGUACUUGAGACGCUGACUACGCUUGCUUGCCAUUUGUGCUCAUUCGCACAUGCUUGUGAGGGUCGCUCCCUACAAGCCGGCACUCCGGAGUUAGCCUAUGCGACUUAUGUUCGCUCGUGCGGUAUUGAGAAGCCUACGGGGUCGAGUGGGACAGACACAUUCCAAGAGUAGGGAUGUUGGGCUACCACAGGCACUUAGGCGGCACAAGCUGGACUACCUUUGGUAAGUCCUUAAAUUGGAAAUGAAAAUCGACACAGGGUUGAGAAUGAAUAAUCACUACUAGAUAGGAUUAGUAGUUGGAUUACUAUGACAUGCUUAUAGCAUAGUGUUGAGACAGGUAGUAUACUUGAUAGUCCAAUUUAUUGCAUCAUAGUUAACUUAUUACCAUGAUAGAGCAUAUUCUUCGUACAUUGUCAUAGUAGAUCAUGUUACCUACUUGCUCGCUAUGUUGGGAUAUAGCAUUCAUGCUUGGACAUACUUCAUUUGAAUAUAGUAGAUGUACAACCAUUUGACAUCUUGCUUAUGUGCAACAUAGUAGUUAGCAUUUUAUUUUGCUUUCUUAAAUGCAAACCGUUUCUUUUUAUUAUUAUUCUCAUUACUGCUUAUAGUACUUAUCCGUUCCUUUUGGGGCCUAGUGGUGCACUGAGCUGAGGUCAGUAAUUGCCCACUGGGAACUAUAAAUUAUAGUUCUUACGCCCUCUGUUUUAUGUUUUCUUUCAGAGCCUUCCACGCCGGGAGAGGCCAGGGACCGUGGGAAGGGCGUGGCUUCGAGCUAGCUCUUCUGCGAGAGACGAGUCGCUAGGUGGUCCACCUCUCGAUGUUUUAUUUUGGAGAGGUUGAGAGCUGUACCAGUGUACUAGAGACCACCCUUUUUGUGUACCUUUGAGACAGAUAUUGUACUACUUUAUGGCUACUUUUGUUGCCUAGUUAUGUUUCUUUUACUCUGGUUUAGAUGAUAGAACUUUACUCGCUCUGAUAUCAUUAGUUGCUAUUUAUUCUAUUUGUUCUAUUUCUUACUUUUACUUCCGCUUUUAUUAUAGACGCCUUAUAUGUGUAGACAUAUGGCGGGUCUGGGCACGCUACCGGGAGGGCCUCCGCCGAUCCCGGGGCGUAACAGAUUAAUUUCGUAUCAGAGCCUAGGGUUGAGUCUUAGAGGACCUAGCAAACCUUAGGCCGGUUGGACUAUAGGAAUUAGGCUCGUGAGAGACGAGGACUAAUGACUUGUGAGCGAAAGUAUUGUGAUUGGGUUUAUGAUAACUCUAAAAAGUUAGAGUUUGAUCGGAGUGUAUGGCUUCUAACUUCGCGGAGGGUUACGUUGGCGGCCGACAACGUAACAUCGGGAGUUAGUAGUGAAGGACACUUCCUUACUUUCACAUGAUUUGGGUUUUAUUUAUUUGAGCGGGGUUGCGAUAGCGUGGGUUACUAACUUGCACUUUUAUAUUCUGUAGUGACGAUGCCGGUUACACGCUCCCAGUCUGCCGGGGCGGAUGAUGCGGCACACCCCGAGGAGGUCGAGACCUCCGCUAGUUCCGGAUCUAGUGAGGUCCGUGACUUGAGGGCCCAGCUUGCGGUUCUCACUGAUCUGUUGGCGCAGCAGACGGCAGCGGCGCAGCGACAGGCUGAGGUGGCUCAGCAGCAGGAGGCGCGGAUGAAGCAUCUGGAGGACCUCCUACUUCAGCAGGCGGCAGCUUCGAGGGAGACCCAGGGUCCCACACCGCCAGCACCCGUGGUGGACGUCGCACCGAGGGUGCAGUCCCCCGCGCCUAGUUCUUCACGUGCGGCACCGGCAACCGCACCUCGGGAGGAGGUGGCUGCAGCACUACCUGUUAAGAGACCAGCGACUGGGGCGGCAUUCCCCGUGAUGGCCGAGGGAGCCGAGCGGGAUCGGCUCAUGGAUCGCCUCAGUAAGUUCAGGAGGUGCAGCCCGAGGAUCUUCGAUGGCGAGAACGUCGACCACUGGAUUGUUGAGAAAUGGUUGAUGCACAUGGAGAAGCUUUUUCGAAACACCUUCGUGGAGGAGCGGGACAGAGUUUGGCUCGCCACUCACUUUCUCGACGGCGAGGCCUACCGUUGGUGGUUGGAUAUCCAGGACAACCCCAACACCGAUUUGGCAGCGAUCACUUGGACGAGGUUCAAGGAGCUUCUUCUGGCGCAUUACUUCCCGACCAGCGCCAAGAGAAAGAUGGAGCAGGAUUUGCGCAGCUUGCGCCAGGACGAGCGGUCAGUGGCCGAGUACGAGAGGGAGUUCUCCCGGCUGCUUCACUGUGUACCAUUUGUUGUGAGGGACGAUGAGGACAAGGCCCGCAUUUUUUAGCGUGGGUUGCGGCCUUCGAUCUUUCGGUUCGUGCAGUCCUCCAACCUCCAAACCUACCAGGAGGUUGUGGACCAUGCACUCAUUGUGGAGGUUGGAGCGGCAGACCUUCAGGAACGACGCGAGGCCCUAGAAAAAGGCAGGGAAAAGAGGCCCGCGGCUGAGGGUGCGAGCCAGACGCACUCGCGGAGGCCGCCGAGGCACCCCAGGUGCCAGAGCCAGUCGCGGGGAUGUGGCUCAUCUACCCAGCGAGGAGGACCCGAUCAUCGCCAAGCCCCCCGCUGCGUGAUCUGUGGCGGUCCUCAUUACCCGCGGCAGUGUUCACGCAGCCGGGGCAGGUGCUUCUUGUGUGGCCAGUAGGGCCACUUCCAGUCGGACUGUCCGAGGAGUCCAGCGCCAGCGCCAUCCUCGGCAUCUGCACCAGCAUCGCCAGGUCCCAAUCAGGGGACAUCUUCUGUGCAUCACCAGGCAGGGCGGCCGCCAGUUCAGCGGCAGGUGGAGGGGUUACGACAGGCCCCGAGCGGGCGCAUGUACGCGGCCCAGACUGAGGAGGCGGCGGCAGCCGAGAAUGUGGUCAUAGUUAUCAUUUUACUUUAUGGUAUUCGAGCUAGAGCUUUAUUUGAUACCGGUGCAUCGCAUUCAUUCAUAGACCAGCUGUUUGCCGAGUUGCAUGGCAUCCCACUUGCAUCCUUAUUGCAUCCGGAAUGAGUUGUUGUACCCAUUCAUUCUUUGGACAUUCGGGAGUUUUCCCCCAGUUGCCCGAUUCGAGUUGGAGAUUGAAUCAUGCCCGUGGACUUGCUAGCUUUGCAUAAUGUCACGUCCCGCUAUCGCCAAUUUGGUCGAUCCGGGCCCGUACACAGACGCCGAACGGACAGAACCUCCACUGUCCGCCCAAGGCUCAACAACAACGAGUACAUGUACAAAGAAAUAAACAGUUCCCAGGAUAAUAUUUCAAUAUACAUGGUUUGCACGAGGGAAAGCAACAACCACAAGUGAUAGUAAGCUAACUAUACUGAAAUUUCACUGUACUUUAAAACUUUCAAACUGAACUGGAUAACUGAAAUAUUUAGUUAUUUACAUGCUCUAUAAUACAUUCAUUUACAUGUCUCUGUACAUCAAAAUGUCUCACAUGAACUCAAAAUGGUAAACUACUAUACUCUGGUGUCAGCUAGCUAGGCUGCGGGGCUCUUGCCACGAUCCUCGGCCACACCGCUCGCACUGGAACCUGUAUGGUUAGUGGUGUGAGAACUAUAGAAAAGUUCCCAGUGGGUUCGGCCGCCGACCUCGCCGACUCACCCACUAGGUCUACUCAGGCAUAUAUGUAGGCAAGAAAGGUAAAACAGAUAGUAACCAACUAUAUAUGUAACUACUACAAUGCCUGUACAAAGCUGGAAGAAAGCAAUAUAUGAAAACUGUAAAUAUACAUGCAUGCUUUUACUGAGUUUACCCAAUCCAUUUUGGUUAACCCUUCGGUUAACAAUUACUCACUGACGCUAUCCCAAAUAUCAGGGAGACGCACAUGCACCCGAUGGGACCGUCAACUGGGGGAGACGCACCUCCUGGUCCAGUAAAGAUGACUACUCCGGAGCUCAUCGUUCAAGGAGGAGCGACCUCACUUGAACCACACAAAUGUGAGUAUGAUCUGAUCCCCUUUAGAGGAUUCAACUGACAAACACUGUCACACUUUACUCUAACUAGUUCUUUAUACUAGUUUCACAAUUCCAUUUCUCGAUGCUAACCAAAUCUCUAGUUGAAUGUCACCAAGUUUACUAUUGCUAUAGUCCAUACAUUCAUAGGGUUCUAUGUUCACAUUCUAAGUUCACAUUUUCUCAACAUUGAUAAACAUUCACAUAUUCAACUAUCACUUGCAUAAUAUCACUACCCUAUGAUGCAUGAAUACAAGUAAUAUGCUCAAUGGAAAACCAUAGACAUAAAAGGUGAUUCAAAGACUUCGGAUAGCACCACCCACCUGUAGUGGUGUCAACGACUAGAAUCCACGUCUCGGAAUGUGUCGACAACUAGCUCUCGCGACUCAGUGCAAAUAGAACUAGAACAGUCUCUACCGUGAUUAGCGCGUCGUCGACCUGUCGAAAUGUCAAUUUAGACUUUUGAGCAUGUUUAACUUUCAUUUAUAUAAGAAUAAAAGAGAUUAAAAUUGAGUUACAUACUCAUUUUCCACAACUUUGCAUUUCAAUUCUUACUUGUAUAUAUGUAUAUUCUAUGACUAUAUACAUUUACUUAGUCUAAUUACUAAGCUUCCCUUUAUCAACUCUAUACUUUAAUAGCCUCCCAAUUCCCUCUUUCUACAGCAAUUAUGCUUAUUCUGAUUCAGAAUUUGAAUUAACUCCAUUCAAUCUUCCUUCUCAACUAUUCUCUAUAAAUGCAUAUAUAUACAUAUAUAGUAUAAUUAGUAUUAUAGAGUUCCAAUUAGGAACUAACCAAUGCAGUUUUGCAUUCGUAUUAGCUCAAUUAGUUUGAUCUCAGCUCUAAUAAUAAGAAUUUCAAAUGCUGAAAUUCAGUUGCUGAAACUCAAUUGCUGAAAUCUGCACUAUGCUUCCAUUCUUCUCAGCUUAAUUCUUCAAAAUCUGCACUAUGCCUCUACACCAACUUCUCUUCACUUGUUACCUUCUUUUAGGCUAAUUUCUACUACCACUAGUAGCCCUUCUAUGCAGAAAUCAAAGUGGAUUUACCUCAGAUUUCAUUUACAAUAAUCUAACACCUACAUUUCUAUAUGCAUGUAGGCAGUUUGCAAGUACCAGUUUGCAUACUUGAAAUUGUUAAAUUUCAGCUGCAGCCCCCUAGAAACUAAUUUCAACAAUUGAUACUCUUAACUUUGUACACUCUUCUAUUGGAAUUAACACUUAUCAAUCUUGGGAAUAAGUAUCCAUCUCACCUAAUUCAAGGCUCCAUCAGAUUUGCUGCAGUUGAACUACCAAAGAAGCUCCACCAAGGCUUCUUCAACUUCACAAUCAGAAUUUCUGUUUUAAAAUCCUCUUUUCCAAGUAGUUAACCUUUCUAAGCAUAAAUACUAAUCAAGAUUACCUUGAUUAGAUGCUGUUCCAACAACUAGCAGUUUCAUACUCCUCUCUUUACUUCAGCUUCUUCUGAAAUUUCUAUAUAACCGUAUCAAUUUAACUUAGUUAAAAGCAACUCACACAAUCAAUUAUGCUCAGCCUAAUAGGGAAGCAGUUUACUUACUUUAAUUCCUAAUUUUCCUUAAUCAAAGCAUCAACUUAGCAGCUUCAAUCAGCCUGAAGCUUCAAAUCCCACCUUAAUUAGAUACUUCUUUUAAUUAAUCUCAGCUUUAAAAAGCCUUCCUUGCUGCUCCACAAAAUUCUUCUUAUCAUCAACUUGUUGCCUCCCUCAAUUGCUCGGUUUCCAUCAGCCUAGAGAGAGAAAGAGAUGAAGAAAUGGAUUAGAAUAAGCUGAGGGAAUAAGUCCUUGAUACGUGUACAUCCUCAGCUUCACUGAGUUAAAGGGAUAAGAUCAGAAAUUGCUACUUAACCCUCCUAAAAUGCUGAAACUGCAUUGUAGCCUGCUGGUUUACAAUUCAGUCCCUGCAGUUCGCAGUUUAGUCCCUGCAGACUUACAAUGCAGUCCCUGCACUAACCAAAACCUGGCAGCAGCAAUUUGAAGCCUUUGUCGCGCAUCUAAUUCAUUCUAAGUCCACUUAAACACUUCCGAAACGUACUAACACACUUCCACAAGUUAUCAAAUUAAUUUGGAAACAAUUAAUUUUCAUUUUUGCAUCAAUUUGGCCAUUUUGACCAAAUCGACUAAAAUUUCAGCUUUCGAGUUGCAAUGACAAUUGGAGAUCUUUAACCAUUUCGAUUCCAUUCGUGUCUAUUCUCACACUUCCAAAAUAAUUCGGAGGUACUAUAAUUAACAUUCAUACCUCACUUUGAUCGCAUAGGUUACGUUAGCGUCAUAAUCCGAAAAUUCCCUUUCAAGUUCAUUUCGCGCCCGAUUUGUGCCCGAAUACCCAAUUACCUCCAGAGAUCAUUCCCACACGUCCAGAAACACUCUGGAAUGAUGCACAUCCAAUUCACAUUUCACUUUAAUAUUCCAGAUUAAAAUUAGCAUCGCAACCCGAAAUUUUUCGUAUAUUACAAUCUCCCCUCCUUAAAUAGUUUCGUCCUCGAAACUAAAAUUCAUACCUCAAUCUUCUUGAUCAAAUAGAUGGGGAUAAAGUUCUCAUAUGGCUUAUUCCAAUUCCCAAGUGACUUUUCGUCUCGAGUGACUGUUCCAUUGCAUGUUCACAUAAGGAAUGGUGCGAUUUCGUAAUUUUCGCACUUCACGAUCAAGAAUACAUACUGGAUGUUCUUUAUAUGUCAUAUUCUCUUGCAAAUCCGCUGGCUCGUACUCCAGAAUAUGCCCUGAAUGAUGCACCUAUUUAUGGAGAUUUAAAACGUGAAACAUAUUGUGUAUUCCUUCGAAUUUCGGUGGCAAAGCCAAUCGAUAGGUUACUGCUCCAACUCGUUCUAGGAUCCCGUAAGGUCCAAUGUAUUGAGGACUAAACUUUCCUCGAACACCAAAUCUUUUUUUCUUUUUCUUUUUCUUUUUUUUUUUUUAUCCUGCGCAUUGGCGAUACCCUAAAGAAUACUGAAUCGCCCACAGCAAACUCCAAGUUCUUUUGGCGCUUAUUGGCAUAAUUCUUGGAGCACAUCAGGACCAAGUAUCAGUUUUUUUUUUCUCCUACUUCACUCCAAUGAAUAGGAGAUCGAUCAAAGCUUCAAUUGGUGUCAUUUCGAUUUUUUUUUUUUUUUUUUUGAUAGCUGUUAUUAUAUGCAGCUCGGCCAUUGCCAAGAAUUCAUGCCAACUUCCUCUGAAGCCCACUACACACGCUCGAAACCUAUCCUCCAAAAUUUGAAUCAUCCUCUCAGAUUGUCCAUCCGUCUGAGGAUGAAAACUGUACUAAAAUCGAGUCGUAUGUCACGAGCAUACUGUAAACUCUUCCAAAAGCGAGAUAUAAACUGUGGAUCUCGAUCAGAUACAAUUGACGUCGAGACUUCAUGUGAUCUCACGAUCUCGGGUAACCACUUGUAUUCAUUCUCAUAAUAUAAUUAAUCCCGCACAUCCAGGAUAUACCCUGUUCUUUCCAAUCUUAUUAUUCAAGUCUCCAUGUCUCAACAGCAAUGUAAGUCAAUUUCUAUGACUUACUAUACUCCAAGAUCUUUUACUAUCAAAUGUUUAUUUGACUUGGUUACCACACCAAUUCAAUCCUCACCUAAGUGAUAUGCUUUAGAAUUAGCAUUCUCCUCAUACAAUUAGCGACUACCCGCACCAUCGACUUAACAUGCCUAUAUCAUCAUUCUUAUCAUCAACAGAUGAUAACCAAUUCAUACCAAUAAGCAUCAUUUUACUUCAAAGAAUAACACUAUCUGUUUUUCUCACGGUGGGGAUCAUUCCUGUAUGGCGCUUACUCGAUUCAUAUAUGAACUUAGUCUGUAGACUACCUUGACUCAUAUAUAAACUUAUCAAGUAACAUCCACUAUACCCAUUACUCUCUGGUGAAGUCUAUUUCGACUCUCAACUGACAUCGCUACCUGCAAUUUUGCAAUACCCUGCUCAAUUGUGUGUUUAAUCCCACACAAUUUUCGUUCCUCGUCCAAAAGGUUCAUUCUCAUCUUCACACUCUAAUGAUCUGAAGACAUAAUCCUCCAACAUUUCACGUGGCUUCCACUACACACUAAUCUCAAAGAAAACCUUUUACUUUUCCGGCCACGUUCACAAUAUAUCAAUCUCUCGCCACGAGUUUCCACGAACACCUCGUUCGUGCUUCUAAUCUCAAUUUCUCAUCGGCGCCUAACUCGGCGGUUCAAAAUAGGCAAAUAGUAGGACCGAGCCUCCGCUCCUAAGGUCACUAUCCUCAAUUUCUCUUUAUCUUUUGAUGCUACAAGCCACGAUCAAUGUCCAUUCGUUCUUGCAACGAAUUUAUACGAACCCGCCAUUCGUGGUUCAGGCCAAAACUCGCUAACAGAGUUAUUGGCCGCACCGACCAUCGGUUUCCAUAGGUGGACCAAGGGCCACCAAUCCUACGUAGGCCUACAGCCUAAACCGAUCUCAACGACGCCUAGCGUCUCUCGCUCGCAAGCGCAAACCCAAUCAUCAUCGGGCGACAUUCUCGUUGGAGAAUUCGCACACACUCCCACUAGGAGCAACCAAGACCCUAAACCACGUCAAGUCCUCGAGUUGGGUCGCUAUACACUCUGUGUGUCCUCGAUCUCACGAUCUAACACGUGGCACUCCACGUACUUGGGUUCAAGCUCGGACUACCGUCCUGACCAAAUCUCUGCCCUACCCGUAGGUGUCGGGCCGCUGCCGCUGCCUUUCGCAGCUGACUGUGCCUGCCCAAUGGGCCCAGGCUCCACAGUUCACAAAGGGUCCAGGCACGGGUCGUCACCAAGCACUACCCGCCGUCGUCGUCCUACACGACAUGCUCUACAGGGCUACACACUCUAGCGGCUCAUAAGCACCAAGUGCGAGCCAACAGUCCUACGAGUGAUCCAUGGCACGCUUCACACUUAGCAACGCUCGAGUGUUACUGCCAACACACUCCCCGGCUAAAUCAUAAUCUACAUUCUACGGACAGCUAACUCAAGUGUCCAGCAUUAUCGCGUCUCUUACUAGAUAUUACACGUUAGGCAACUCAGCCUACGUCUCGAAUACGCAAACACAAAUUCCCUCAACUUAAUUGAGGUACAACUCAACUAACUCGCCAAAACCAGGCGAUCAUCUAACCAACAACUAACUCGCCAAAACCAGGCGAUCAUCUCGUCAUUCGACAACAACGACGCUAUUAACUUUACACAAUCCCUCGGAAUAUCAUCCGAAUUCUCGAAUUCUAGAGUGUCUUCUGACGUUCUAAUUUAAUUCUCAUUACCACCCAAAUGGUUUAAAGAGUAGGUCCACCAUUUCCAUCUUCAUCCCGAGCCCCAACAUUGGCUCACUAUGACUACUCACUAGCACUAUCCAACCGUCUAUUCUACAAUAGACGAUACAUUUUCUUCAUCCUUGCGUGCUAGUGUCAAAUCCAACGCUCUAUCACACUCUUGUAAGUACUAUUUGGAGUUCACAUCAUUCCCAAGUAUACAAUCUUCCUACUGAAGUCAAUUUACUACCAUUUCACUUAUCCAAUAAUACACGCGGCCUUGUCGGUGAAGGUUACUACAACCACUCCUUUUGAGAAAGGUUAGUCAACAGACCUUUCCGAAUUCCAAAUUGACGACUGCAUUCUCUUCCAGGUGUUGCUUAACACUCGAUUAACCACUCGAGCUCAAUAUCAGUCGCUUAUCCUUCAUUCUCACUAAUCAAUUCGCACCCCUUCUGUGCGAGAUAUCAUUUAACUUCAACCACAAGGUGUGGUCCAUUACUUCACCAGAAGUUCAUAGGUUAGAAAAGCGUAUAGCUUUGACACCUUCUCUGUCGAAGUUUCCUUAUUUCAUAAUCGGCCUUGUUUCCAAUAUCCCACACUGUGUACUAAUCAUAGCUUAGCAUGCAGAAAAUCUCUCUACAUACUCUUUCACUGAGCAGUCACUCUGCUAUAGUUUCUCAAACUUAUCUGGAAGUUCACCUGUCAUUUAUCCCAACAAUAUACUUCAUAUCCUGUCCCUGACACACAAAUCCUUCCAGGGAAGAUUUCCCUGAAGCCAAAUCAUAGAUUCUCGACUCAUGAAUAUUCCUUCAUCCACAGCAGAUGGACUAUACUUUCCUGAAGGCCACAAAGGUUAUCCGACUACUCCACAGUCCUCUGGAGUCCAUUGUCUCAAUCCACCAAAUACACUACAGCCUCUCGCUGACAUUGAACUACGACUAUUUAUCGUCACAACCUUACCACGGUGUGACCAACCGAUACCAAAGCUUCGAGUUUCCUCCAAGCUCGGUCAAUUCAGGGGUUCUACUCAUCCCGAACCACAUCGAUCUCAUUAGAGAUCAACCGCACAUAACCACUAAAUGCGCAACAACGCGACCGAUUCUUGACCUUCAAGGUCAAACACGAAACAACUAUCGUCAACCCAGACUCAAAUCAGGCGAAAGUCAUACAAGGGAGCCUAUUCUCAUCACUCGGUUUCAUGUUGUGUGCACCCAACAUGAACACUCCCUGUUGAGAAUAUACUAAACCUUGAAUCUACCUCUAAGAUCCUUUAUAGAGGUAUACAACACACGACCCAAUCGGUUUAACCUUUCGCCACUUACGAAGAUUCUCGUCUCUCACGAACCUAGAUCCUUAUGGUUUUCCAUCCUAAGGUCCCUAGGUCCAUCCUAAACUUUUACUAUCACUUGCUCUGAUACCACUUUAUCUGUCACGUCCCGCUAUCGCCAAUUUGGUCGAUCCGGGCCCGUACACAGACGCCGAACGGACAGAACCUCCACUGUCCGCCCAAGGCUCAACAACAACGAGUACAUGUACAAAGAAAUAAACAGUUCCCAGGAUAACAUUUCAAUAUACAUGGCUUGCACGAGGGAAAGCAACAACCACAAGUGAUAGUAAGCUAACUAUACUGAAAUUUCACUGUACUUUAAAACUUUCAAACUGAACUGGAUAACUGAAAUAUUUAGUUAUUUACAUGCUCUAUAAUACAUUCAUUUACAUGUCUCUGUACAUCAAAAUGUCUCACAUGAACUCAAAAUGGUAAACUACUAUACUCUGGUGUCAGCUAGCUAGGCUGCGGGGCUCUUGCCACGAUCCUCGGCCACACCGCUCGCACUGGAACCUGUAUGGUUAGUGGUGUGAGAACUACAGAAAAGUUCCCAGUGGGUUCGGCCGCCGACCUCGCCGACUCACCCACUAGGUCUACUCAGGCAUAUAUGUAGGCAAGAAAGGUAAAACAGAUAGUAACCAACUAUAUAUGUAACUACUACAAUGCCUGUACAAAGCUGGAAGAAAGCAAUAUAUGAAAACUGUAAAUAUGCAUGCAUGCUUUUACUGAGUUUACCCAAUCCAUUUUGGUUAACCCUUCGGUUAACAAUUACUCACUGACGCUAUCCCAAAUAUCAGGGAGACGCACNACCGGAGUUACUAUUCACUUAAGUCGAACUUCCGGGUCGCGUAACUUCUCCGUUUUAACUCGUUUUCUCCUGAAAUUUGACGAGUACACUUAUAAUUAUAUUACACACAAGAACAUCGUCAAACAAAAGGGUUUAAUCAAUAAAUCAAAAAUCUCAGUUAUUACAUCAUCCCCUCCUUACAAGAAGUUUCGUCCUUGAAACUUAAAUCAAGACUCCCCCGCAAACAACUGCGGAUAACGCUCCCGCAUAAACGAUUCAAGCUCCCAAGUAGCCUCGCGCUCCUCGUGAUUCUCCCACUGGACCUUGACAUACAGAAUGCUCCUAUUCCGCAACUGCUUCACCUCACGUGCCAAGAUCUGCAACGGAGCCUCAUCAUAGCUCAGAUCCUCCCGUAGCUGAAUGGAUGUCGGACUGGUGACGUGGGACGGAUCCGGAAUGUACUUCCGAAGCAUGGACAUGUGAAAGACGUUGUGCACUCGGGCGAGACUCGGAGGAAGAGCCAAUCUGUAAGCCACCGGACCAACGCGCUCUAGGAUCUCAAACGGUCCCACGAACCGCGGACUAAGCUUGUUUCGCAAACCGAACCGUUUGAUCCCCCUGGAAGGCGACACCUUGAGCAGCACAUGCUCACCGACCUGAAACUCCAGGUCACGCCUCCGCUGGUCUGCGUAGCUCCGCUGUCUACUCUGUGCAGUCUGAAGCCGCUCUCUCGCAAUGCGGAUCUUUGCCUCCGCGUCCUCUACUAAGUCUGGCCCUACCAACCGGCGUUCUCCGACAUCGUCCCAACAGAUAGGAGAACGACAUCGACGCCCAUACAAAGCCUCGUACGGUGCCAUCCCGAUGCUCGCCUGAAAGCUGUCGUUAUAGGCGAACUCCACCAACGGUAAAUACCGAAACCAUCCAUCACCGUAAUCCAGGACGCAUGCGCGAAGCAUGUCCUCAAGAGUCUGGAUGACUCGCUCUGACUGACCGUCACUCUGAGGAUGGAAAGCCGUACUGAAGUUCAGCUUCGUACCCAUAGCCUGCUGCAAGCUCCUCCAGAAGUGGGAAACGAAGCGAGUGUCCCGAUCAGACACAAUCGACACUGACACACCAUGAAGUCGGACGAUCUCAUCGAUAUAUAACUGCGCCAGUCGAUCACGGGACCACGUCGUAUGCAUCGGCAGGAAGUGGGCCGAUUUCGUCAGCCGAUCCACUAUAACCCAGAUCACAUCAUGACCUCGCUGUGAUCGAGGUAAUCCGGUGACGAAAUCCAUAGUGAUCUGCUCCCACUUCCACACAGGAAUCGAAAAUGGUUGCAGCUUUCCUGCCGGUCGCUGGUGCUCGGCUUUCACCUGCUGACAAAUCAAGCACCGAGCCACGAACUGGGCCACAUCAAGCUUCAUUCCAGGCCACCAAAAGUUUUACUUCAAGUCGCGGUACAUCUUAGUUCCGCCUGGAUGAACUGUGUAAGGGGAUCGGUGCGCCUCGGAUAGGAUGUCGUUCCUCAGCUCCGAAUCACUAGGCACGCACCAACUGCCUCUAAAGCGCAGAGAUCCAUCAGAGUGGAUGGUGAAAUCCCCGUCCUGGCCCUGCUCGACCUCCGCCCGUACUUUAAGCAAAUACGGGUCGCUGUGCUGACCGAACAAAAUCCGCUCAGCCAAAGUAGGUUGUACCACCAGAGUCAUCAAUUGAGCCGUAGCUCCGGUAGGGACAACCUCGAUCUCAAGGCGGCGGAACUCCUCCACAAGUUGAUCCUGGCUCGUGAUCAUGAAGGACAUCUCAACUGAGGGCUGCUUCCGGCUCAAGGCGUCCGCCACCGCGUUCGCCUUUCCCGGAUGAUACUGGAUCGUGAUGUCGUAGUCCUUCAAGAGCUCGAGCCAACGCCUAUGCCUGAGGUUCAACUCUUUCUGGGUGAAGAGGUACUUCAGGCUCUGAUGAUCAGUGAACACCUCGCAGUGAGCUCCAUACAGAUAAUGCCUCCACAGCUUAAGGGCAAAAACGACCGCUGCAAGCUCCAGGUCGUGAGUUGGAUAAUUCUGCUCAUAGGGCUUCAGCUGUCGAGAGGCGUAAGCGAUGACUCGAUCCCGCUGCAUAAGCACGCACCCCAAGCCGACCCCGGAGGCAUCACAGUAAACCACAAAGUCCUCACCAGGCCGCGGUAGAGUAAGAACGGAUGCGCGAGUCAAUAGAUCCUUCAGCUCAUCGAAGCUCUGCUGACACUGCGGAGUCCACCGGAACCGCUCUCCUUUCCUCGUAAGCUUGUGAAGCGGUGUGGCGAUUUUGGAGAAGCCCUCAACGAAUCGCCGAUAAUACCCUGCCAAACCCAGAAAACUCCGGACUUUGGUCACCGAAGUUGGUUCAGGCCACUCAACCACCGAGGCUAUCUUCUUCGGGUCCACCGAAAUGCCCGCCGGAGUUACAAUAUGCCCCAAGAAUGACACCUCACGGAGCCAGAAAUCGCACUUCUUGAGCUUAGUGUACAAUCUGUGCUCCCGAAGUAUCUGCAAUACUCGUCGGAGAUGAUCCUCAUGCUCCUCAUCACUCCGCCAGUAGAUCAGGAUGUCAUCAAUGAAAACCACGACAAACUGAUCCAGAUAAGCCCGAAAGACCCUGUUCAUCAUGUCCAUGAAGGUUGCCGGAGCGUUGGUGAGCCCGAAAGGCAUCACCGUGAACUCGUAGUGGCCGUAACGAGUCCGGAAGGCGGUCUUCGGCACAUCCUCAGCCCGGAUCUUAAGCUGAUGGUACCCGGACUGCAGGUCAAUCUUGGAGUACACCGACGAUCCUUGCAGCUGGUCGAAAAGAUCGUCAAUCCUGGGCAGGGGAUACUUGUUCUUCACCGUGACCUUGUUGAGCUCCCGGUAGUCGAUGCACAGACGAAGACUACCAUCCUUCUUCUUGACGAAGAGGACAAGGGCACCCCAGGGAGACACACUAGGUCUGAUGAACCCUCUGUCAAGCAGAUCCUCAAGCUGCGCCUUCAGCUCCUUCAGCUCAGCGAAGGCCAUAGAUAGGGGGCCUUCGAGAUCGGUGCAGUGCCUGGAACAAGCUCGAUGAAGAAUUCGAUCUCCCGGUCCGGAGGCAUUCCCGGAAGCUCGGCUGGAAAAACGUCCGGGAAUUCCCGAACUACAGGAAUCUCCUCCAAAGAUGGUGCAGCUCGGCGAGAUACGUCUACCGAAGCCAGGUAAGCCACACACCCGGCAUUCAACAACCUUUUUGCCCUCGCAGAAGAGAUAGUCGCAGCGAAAUAAGAGCUCUUACAUGCUCGGUAGACGAAUACUUCACCACCAGGCUCGGCAAGAAUCACCAUCCUCCGCUCGCAGUCGAUAGUAGCGUGAUGCCUGGUGAACCAGUCCAUCCCAAGCACCAGGUCGAAUUUCUUCAUCGGGAUAACCACCAGAUCAGUUAGAAAAGACCGAUCAUCCAAGAAGACGGGGUACGACGAGAUACAACUGACAGCAGUAAGAUCAUCUCCAGGUGUCUCGAUCUGAAGUGAUACAUCGAGUGGUUGCGAGGAAGACCAUGCUCACAUGCAAAUGAAUGCGAAAUAAAAGAGUGCGAUGCUCCAGUAUCGAAAAUGGCUCUAGCACUAGUAAGGCUGAGGGUGACAAUACCUGCAAGGACAUCGCCACCAGUGCCCUCGUGCUGAGUCAGGGCGAAGACUCUCCCACCAGAUGCCUGGCGCGUCCCCUCAGUUUGCCGAGGUAAGGGGGGACGCCCAGAUGAAGCAGCUGCACUCGGGGCUCCGCGGCUCUGUCGGGGUGCAGCCGGGGAGGAGACAGCACUCAGAGAAGUCCCGCCACCUCUAGGACACUGAGCUCGCAGGUGGCUCGGCUGGCCACAACGGAAACAGUGGUCCCUCCUCUGCGGACAUUCGACCACCCGAUGAGCCUGGCCGCAGAUCACACAAGGUCGAUCGCCCCUCUGCUGGUUGCCGGAGGGCGCACUCUUUGCCGCCUGCUGAGUGCGCGGAUGCUUUGGCGGUUUCUUGCUGAAGGAAGAAGAACCACCACCAAACUUGGCGCGGGAACGCUUCUUAUCACCUGAUNUCAAGAAUAACGAAAAUGAACAAUAAUCUUUAAUCAAAUUAGUACGAGACUUUAGACAUCUGCGGAAUAUACACAUCUGCGGAAUAUACACAUCCGUAUACCGCCCAGACCUGUGCGUAGCCUGCUCGAACGUGGUCCAGGGCCCCGUACUUUCCAUGAGUUGUGACUUUAGGACGUGAAACGUCUAAAGUCACAGUCUUGAGAUGAGAGCGUGACGCGGCUCAGGCAAAACGCAGGUUAAGGUCUGCACAGUUGUUCGGUGUUUACGACUUCAGAGCGUUUGUUGGGAUGUGGUCCCUGUGACGUACGACCAUCUACGAUGCUACUACUGCUCGGUGCUGUUGCUCUUAUGUACCUAGAUUUUAUGCGUUCGCUGUGAUCACCACCUUCGCUCAGUUUGCAGCUUCUUUUACAGCUUCCCCGUAGCCCGUAUCGAGGUUGUAGUAACCCUCUAUCUCUGGCACUGUGGAAUACCGAGCUACAGUUUACUCUAGCUUAUCUUCUACCUCUGGCAGCGUAGAUUACUGAGCUAUAGCUCCGUACUCGUAUUAGAGCUGUGGUACAUUGAGACUGUUAUCCAUAUCGUCCUUGUACGAGGUCAUGUAGAGUUAUAUCCGUGUAUACGGGCAGUUUCAGAGAUCGUAGCAUACCCAGUGUCCCCUUAGUAGUUGAUCGACAGACUACGAUAUCGCUCAAACAGCAUUACACAGGUGGACGUAAUAUAUAUUUUUGAAAAAAAGAUAAAUAUAAUUAAUAUUCUAAUUUUAUUAUUAAUUAUAUCCCUACUAACAUGAUUUCGAGAGAGCUAGACGAUUAUUCCAGCCUUUCAGUUGCUUACUGCGACAUGACCUGCUUUUUAGGUAGAGGAACAAUAGCAGGUUAUGUUAACGUACAUUUACCUCCGGCGGAUAUAGCCUAGUAGUGGUUGUUAGCUGUCGACCAACUUUUAUAAAACAUUAGAAAGAGGGGUAGAUAGUUAUACACGCCACACUUUCUAUCGGAUUAGGAGUAGACCGGCGGGGACUCUUCAGUGUACUGCCUACCAGAGGUGCAAUUGCUCCUAUACGACCUCUUCUGGUUUAACAGCAUCCUGAGCUAGGCUAUGUACGUAGAGAUGUUAUACUUUUGUUUAUUUGCAUCAGGAGCUAGAGGUUUGGACUGACGGUCAUGUGUUUUACGAUCAUCACACCGAUAUUAUAAUAGCCACAUGCUGGAGGUAUAUUAGACACUUGUUCGGUUAUCAGUCAACCUACGUAAUUAAUGUAAACAUAUUACAACUUUUUCUACCUUCUCUCUCUUACGAUUAUAGAGAGCCUAUAAUUAAUGUAAUUAUAUAUGAACCCUGAGAGAGACGACUAGAUUGAGUAGAGCUAUUUUGAGUUAUAGGCACACAAUUUCGUAUUUUUUUUUUCUCUUUCUCUCUUUUAAACUUAGGUUGAAAGCUUAUCAUCUUUUAAAUCCUUGUACCACGUAUCCAAUUAGAUACGUGCUCCACGUAUCUGAUGAUUUUUUUUCCUUCUCUCUCUUACGAUUAUAGAGAGCAUCCGUAUACCGAUAAGGUAUAGAUGUUUAAUCAUUUAAUUAGGAAACGGAAAAUAUAUAAACACUCCACGAGUUGAAGUUAUUUUCGUAUUUUUAUAAAACGAAACAUUAUUUUUUUUUCUUCAUUUAAUCAUUUGUGUCCGCAUAGGUAUAUGUAAAAAAAUUUAUUUAUAUAUAUAUAAAAAAAUAAUAAAUGAAAAUUUUAUGAUAUUGACUUCAUUUUUUUUUUCUUUUUCAAUUAUAUUUGUUUAUUCUCCCCGAUUAAACGUUUUAGUAUAGGUACUAGGGUACUGGUAUAUUUUCUCCGGUUUUAUAUAGUUUGAGGGUUUAGAGGGUGUUGGGGGGAUAUACGUGCAAAAAAAAAUUUUUUUUUAGGGUUCAUUGAUAUUCAUGAACCGGGUAUUUAUAGUGGGUGUUUUUUUCUCUUGGAUGAAAACUUGGAUGAGAACUUGGAUGAGAGAUUGGAUAAGAGUUGUUUUUUUUUUUUGUGGAUAGGAUAAUGGAUAAGAGAGAAGUGUUUUCUCCUCUUCUUUUUAUCCAUUAUUAUUAAAAAAAAGGGUAAUUACGAAGUACUGUUUCGAGAGAGAGAGAAGAUUUUUUUUUUGUUCAAGAGAGAGUGAAGAUUUUUUUUUUCAGUAGAGAGAGAUAGUACCAACGUACGGUACCGGAGUUAAGAGUAUAAUAGCAUUAACGUAGUUAGAACACGCUCGUUCCGCUUCUACUAACUCGAGUUGUGGCGGCAGUUACCUCACGGGAUCAGGUGGCGGGAGCUGUGGUUGGACGUACGAAAGGUUGGGGUAGAGACUACGGCAACGCGGAGCUGAAUGUACAGCACUGCCGGAAGUGGAAGCUAUAACAGCGACGUAGUUGAGAUAGUAUCGGCGCUGGAGGUUGAGAUGGCACUGGAGGUAGACGUUGAGAUGACACUAAGGUUACGUUAGCACUUUGGCUACAACGCGUUACGUGGUGCGGGUGGUUGACAAGCUACUUUACGGGUUCUACGUAAAAAGCUGCCGCUUGGAUUGGACGUAUAUCUCUCUCUCGCUACGGGAAGAGAAAUAUUUUUUUACACAGUAGUUUUCUCUCUCUCGCCACGAAAAGAGAAACACUCCACGAGUUGAAGUUAUUUUCGUAUUUUUAUAAAACGAAACAUUAUUUUUUUUCUUCAUUUAAUCAUUUGUGUCCGCAUAGGUAUAUGUAAAAAAUUUUAUAUAUAUAUAUAUAAUAAAAUAAAUAAUAAAUGAAAAUUUUAUGAUAUUGAUUUCAUUUUUUUCUUUUUCUUUUUCAAUUAUAUUUGUUUAUUCUUCCCGAUUAAACGUUUUAGUAUAGGUACUAGGGUACUGGUAUAUUUUCUCCGGUUUUAUAGAGUUGGAGGGUGUAGAGGGUGUUGGGGUGAUAUACGUACAAGAAAUUUUUUUUUAGGGUUCAUUGAUAUUGAACCGGGUAUUUAUAGUGGGUGUUUUUUUCUCUUGGAUGAAAACUUGGAUGAGAACUUGGAUGAGAGAUUAGAUAAGAGUUGUUUUUUUUUGUGGGUAGGAUAAUGGAUAAGAGAAAAGUGUUUUCUCUUCUUCUUUUUAUCCAUUAUUAUAAAAAAAAAGGUAACUACGAAGUACUGUUUGAAAGAGAGAGAAGAUUUUUUUUUUUGUUCAAGAGAGAGUGAAGAUUUUUUUUCAGUAGAGAGAGAUAGUACCAACGUACGGCACCGGAGUUAAGAGUAUAAUAGCAUUAACAUAGUUAAAACACGCUCGUUCCGCUUCUACCAACUCGAGUUGUGACGGCAGUUACCUCACGGAAUCAGGUGGCGGGAGCUGUGGUUGGACGUACGAAAGGUUGGGGUAGAGACUACGGCAACGCGGAGCUGAAUGUACAGCACUGCCGUAAGUGGAAGCUAUAACGGUGACGUAGUUGAGAUAGUAUCGGCGCCGGAGGUUGAGAUGACAUUGGAGGUAGACGUUGAGACGACACAGUGCGGGGCCCCGGGUCGCCUUCGGGCGGGCCGCGUACGGCUCUGGGCGGUAUACAGAUAUUGUAUGUUCCGCAGAUUUUAUUUUACUAUUUAUUUCAUCAUCUUGUUUCCCUAGAUUACUAUAGUCUCGUUUCAUUAAUUGAUUCAAGAUGUUGUCUCCCUAUUCAUAUUUUGACUUUAGGUGAUUAUUUCGGUAUUUCAUCAUGUUUCCUUUAGGGUUUGUGUUUUCGCUUUGUAUUCCUCAUGUAUCCACCAGAGAGAUAUGUACCAUGAGUUUUAGAGAGCGAGUGUUGUUGUUUUCUUUCUUUCUUCCUUGUUGGUGGAUCCUCGCUUUGUUCGAGGAGAGAUAGAUCGAUCCGCUGUGGGAACGGCGUUAGGGCACGGAGACGAUCACGGCUUCCGAGACUUCUUUGGUAUUUUGUCUCCCGCACUCUUGAUAAUUUAUUAUCAAAAAGGUCACCCGUUAAUGACUGAAGUCACUUUACGCGGUGGUCCGGGUUUUCGAUGUUUUCUCCCAGUCAUGUUUAUAUUUGCUUUCGCUUUAUUCCUUGUUCAUACAUUGGUACUCAUGAUAAGAUGGUACUAUAGAGAUGAAUCGUACUUGACGUAUUCAUUAUUUCGUUGAUGUUGUUCAUACAUGUACUCACACUGACUGUACAUAUUUGUACCCAUACGUUGGUUGUGCUACAGGAGCUACGUUUAUCAUUUCUACAGUAAUAAAUGAUAAGAUCAAUUACAGGUAAAUAGUGAAAUUGACAAUUUUCAAAUUAGAAUAUUCUGGGUGGGUUUCCGACAGACCGUACUUCUGGGUGGGCUUCCGACAGAUCGGACAUUCUGGGUGAGCAUCCGACAAACCGGCCACGGCACGGAUUACCAGGGCACCAUCAGUUGUAGGGAUGAGAUCCUUACUCGGAAAGGAUACCGUUAGGUGAAGCCGCGGGUUAGGGCGUGUCGCUUAUACAUAGCGUUACCGAUUGAGGCCUCACGGCCGAACAUCCCUCGCUGGUAGUUUUCGUACACGCUUACUUGUGUUACCGUUCGUACGUAUAUUCAGACAGAGUUCAGAGUUCAGGAAUACAGAUUCUUGUACCUUACAUAGCUUACAGUGUUUCCGGAUAGUGAUACAGUAGUACAGAUAUUGUACCUUAUAUCAUAUACAGGUUACCGGAUAGUGAUACAGAGAUAUAACGUUAAAGUAUCAAACGAUCAAAGUUCACGGGGAAAUACUGUGAAAACAAGUUGCUCAGGUUCGUACUAUUAAUACAAGUACUUAUGUAUUAAGAUUAGUAAAGAUCGUAUUCUUUGUACAAGAGUUGAACGUUUCUACGUGUGGAAAGUAUACGUACGACAGAUGUGUAUAUCGAGAUGAUAUAUCUCACUAUAAGUAGAAUGUGUAUCGUGUACGUAAAGUUCCCAAGAUUUUAAAGGUAUUUAGGAUAGAUCGUACCUAAAUGUAAGUUUUUCUGAAAUGCUACUCAUACAUUACGUGUCCCCGGUAAAACGGGGUAAAAGUACUUCAGUUUGGGUGGCAUCCAUGGCUUUGGGAAGCAUUCGAAGCUGCUUCCACAGGUGAUCAGAGGAUCGUGGGAUUUCUACAUCCUUGUUCCCAAUUUGCUUGGAAUGCUAAUUGGGAUUUGAGUUAGUUUUCGUUGUAUCCGAUUCCACCCCUUUUUGAGUGGAUCCACUUCUUUAAGAGUUUAUUUCGAGUUUACCUACGGUUUAGGGUAGGUUUCGUUGGAUUAGGUUCCAAGAUUAAAGUAAUCUAAUCGAGGUUUUCGGUGGUUUGUUUUUCGGGGUUUUAUUUGGGAUUUUAGGUUUAGAUCCUAAAGUAGAAGGUUUUAGGUGGUUUUUAUCCAGAUCUCCCCUCUUUGUUCGUUGAUUGGAAGAUCCAUCGAGGUUUGGUUCGAGUUUUACGAGAUCCCAAUUUCUAACUGGGAGAUAGUUCGAAGAUCGGGUUCGAGGUUCGGAGGUUACCACUCGUUUGCCUCUCCUUCUACGAGGUUUCGGAGUUCUAGAAGCAACUAUCAUAAUCGAAAAAUAGAUAGGUACGUCAAAAGACCCACAAAGAUACAACUAAAUACAAAAUGGUGGUCUCUACAUAAAGGUACAAAACUGUCAUCCUCUCCAACUAUACAAAAGGAGAAAAUGAACCACCUAAAGCAAGACUCCUUGCUAUCUAGCUCGAAGUGAUGCCUUUCCCGGGAUCCCGAGCCUCUCCCGGGGUGGAAGGCUCUGUAACAGCAACAAAACAAAGGGUGUGAGAACUAUUAUUCAAUAAUUCCCAGUGGGCAAACCGCUAACCUCAGUGAAGUACUCCACUAGGCUAAAGAGGCAAAAGUAGUAAAGGAACUAUAAUAAACAACAUGAAUGAUCAACAAGUAAUAAUUGCUACACUACUAUGCCUCAAUUUUAGUCAUAAUGUCAACAUGAUAUUCCACUAACUAAUUAUAAACAAGUAUAUCCAAUGUAUAUGUGUCACGCCCCGGGGUCCCUCUUUAGUUUGGAAAUACAGCGGAAACGACUAGAAAAUUUUUUUUUUGAAACACCUGACCCCAGAGUAUAUCAGAUCCGCCACAAAUACAGGAAAUCCACUGUUCACACGGACAGAGUCUCCCCUGUAUUUGCACGGCGUCGCACAAGUACAUUAACUCAACCAGAGUACAACCACAACCAUAUGAACAUACAACGACCACACAUACAUACGUCCAUACAUUCACCAUUCACAACAUAACCAUAUCCAUAAUAUUAAACAUAAAUCCAGAUCUAUCAUUUGAAACGUUUCCUUCCCGGAAACAAGUUUUGAAAUACUAAGUCUCAGAAAUCCAUUGAAAGCUCCUUUUAAAACUGUUUUCCACACGGAAACCUUUAUCUUUUAAAACGCUACCACGAGGGGUAGAUAACUAUCGAAAACUGUGUCGCAUAUGAAAAUCCUUUUCUUUUUAAAACAAGCGCUACCACGAGGGGUAGAAAACCAUUUUACUUUGAAAAGCCCAUAAAUCUCUUUUUAUCACAAUACGUAAAGCCAGCGGAAAAACCAAUUACUCAAGUACAGAAUGAAACUGAACCAUAAUAAAAGUUUACUAUUUAUUCAAGCAAGGGAAAAGAGAUAAUCAAACGGGACGGAGCUCUAACGCGCGCUAGACUCGCUCCUCACCUGCCGUCCCACUCGGACCUGCGACGUCACCUGUAAUGGGGGCGGGGGGUGAGAACAUGUAAACAUGUCUCCCCUCCCAGGGCGAGGGGGGCGAGGGUACGCACCAGCAAAGGAGGCUAAACAACAGUAAGGGUAAACAACUACAGCAGCUACUAUGAUAUAAGAACAGAAAGUACAAGGAACUAAUGUACAAGUAAUGAACUACUGCUACUGUAUGUAUGCAUCAACUGGUGGAUAGUCCAAGGAUACCCAAUCUAAACCUGCCUUGUUGGUCCGGAGACCUCAGGCUAAUGCCACAAUCACUCAACCUGCAUAUACCCAGUCGUAACCUCUGAGCUCACGGGUGGACAAGCCCAACCACUUUUCCGGAAAAGAACACCCCCUGCGGUGGAUCAGACCGCUGGCGUUCGUGAAACGUGAACGAGUGGUGACGAUCGAUGCUGAGAUGCUCAAUAGCCAACCGUCGGCAACCAGCCGACAAUCACUGCCCCUCUGGGCAAACCGACCGUAUAGGUCAUCAAGUACAACGUGAACCGACUGAGAUAGGUCAAUGUACGUAAAGUAACGAACGACCAAACAGGUCACCGAUGCAACAGGAGAACCGACCAAGCGGGUCACAUGUAUAGUAUAUACUAAUGCCAUCUACUCCACCCCUACACAGAAUACUACGCAUAGGACAACCGGGCAGAGUAAAUAAAGACAGUAUGGUGCAAGGCUCAAUAUGUAAAGAGUAAGCAAUAUGACUAGACGAUGUAAAAGAUAGGGUAAAGGAAGACAUCACCGAGCGUGCACCACUGUACCGACUUCGGAUCGAAGUACCCACCUGUAUAAAGCUGAAACGGUCUCGCGAAGGCGGAGACGAAGCGACCGGACCUACGAAGGGUCCACCGGGUUAGAGUCUAACCCACAAACACAAUAACACGACCAUUCUCACACAAAUCCCAAAAUCAUAACCCCUCGAAAAUCGGUUUCUCAAACGCAACUACUGAACCAGCCGGAAGUCCCGAAAACCGUACCGAAACUCCACCGUCGCUCACCCGUCGUUUCCAAACCCUCGAGAAGAUGCGGGUGACCAGCCAACAAGGCUCAGCGACGCUACAAUUAACCACGAGGCACCGUCGGAUGAAUUCCGAGUCGAAAACGCGUUCUAUCGGCGGAUUUCGUCGAAAAAACGCUCACGGAAAUGGCGAUAUGAAUUUCCGCAGUAUUAUUGGGCGUCUUGACGAUCAGUCCAGAAGUUGUCCUGACCCCUAACUCUGCUGCCGAACAGCAGCCACGACGAAGCGAGAAUGCAGAAAGAUACCUCUAACGGAACAUGUAAAUCAAUAUUGUUUGUGAUUUCCAUGCUCCAAGGGUCGUCACCAGCAAACCAGGGAUUACGGAAGGGAUGCCAUCGACACCUUGUUUUGCUAGGUUUCAGCAUGCCUGGGGCCGUGAAUACCUUUCGGAGCACUGCCGGGGCCAACAACUCGCCGCGCUACCGAGCGAGGCGCGAACACAGCGAACCGAGCGCGCAUCAGCGCGAAGAUCACAACAUUACCAACUAACCAGGCACGUAACCUAACAAUGGAGUGAGCAUACAUGUUAGCACGACCCCACGAUCUCGUGCUGCACGCUCGCGCGAGUGCCAGGAGUCAUCGGAUCACUCGAAAAAGUGAUCGAACACAAAACGUAUGCUGGAAACCGAUAAAUGGCUAUACAGCCCGAGAGCAAGUGGAGCUAUGGAUGGCCGGCCGCGGAUUCGGCGCGGCGCUCCGGCCCGGAGUCUGGAGCAGCCGACGGUAAAAGUCCGGGGGAGGUGCUGGUGCCGCCGGCGAGGCAGCAGCCGGUGGCGGCGGCGGGGAGGAUCGGCGCCGCAGACGUUCCCAGCUCGGGUUGGAGGCUUGCCGCCGGCGAGGCGCGCGCCGGGGGAGGUCGAGGCGGCCGAUGCAUUCGUGCCGGAGACCGAGAGGAGUGGUGCUCGGCUAACAAGCCCUCUCCAGCACAAGGCUAGCCGGUGAUGAGGUGGUCCAAGAGAGGAGGAAAAUUGGCUGCGCUUGUUUCCGGCCGGGCCGGGGCUGCUCGGCGGCGGCCGGAACGCGAGCACUGGCGGGGGCAGGGAGGUGCCUGGCCGUGACAGGGGCGGGCCUGGGGUCAAGCUGGGGGGUUCUAGGUUGGUUAGCAGUUCACGAGAACCCUAGGUCAACGCUAUAUAUGGUCGCUCACAGCGACUGUCUUGUGGCGAAAAACCCCUGUCAAGGACUGAAACCUGUUUAAACCAGACUCCCUGGGCCAGCACGAGUGCUUUAAUGCACCGACAGUGACCGCUCCGAGUUCGAAAACUCGCAAAUCGACUGCAUAAAAUAUCGGUCUUUUCUCGCGAAAUAAUCCGAUUAACUCAAUCAUCGCCUUGCGAAUACUUUUGUCGAGUUCCGAAGAUUUCCGUACCGUCGGGAUUUCCGAUCGUAUCAUCAGCAGCGCGAUCAGCACGAAGCCAGCAUGGCACGAAUCUCGCAUCUCAUUUCGGACAUUCCGAAAUUAGGGUUCCCAAGUUGCGGACACGAAUCACAUCUCCUAUGUUGCCAAAAGACAAAAAUCAUAUAGACAAACUAUAUGUUAGAAACGCAUUUAAACCCUUUUCUUCUAAAACCUACGUGGCAUCAAUUUCAAUUCCGUCAGUGCCAUUGGGUCCGUAUAGUGAGGCGGUUGAAAACGAGCUAUUGGAAGGCUAUAUUCGGAGUCCGAUACGCGUCGAAAGUCCACUCUACUCCGCGGCCUCUCCGAAAAAUCGGAGUUACUAUUCACUUAAGUCAAACUUCCGGGUCGCGUAACUUCUCCGUUUUAACUCGUUUUCUCCUGAAAUUUGACGAGUACACUUAUAAUUAUAUUACACACAAGAACAUCGUCAAACAAAAGGGUUUAAUCAAUAAAUCAAAAAUCUCAGUUAUUACAUGUAAUUUCUAAUUUCUAUAAGGAAGAAUCCAAAACCUCUAUAAAUGAGUGAAGGAUCACUCCAUAAUCAACAAUAGGUUCGCCAUCAAAAUCUAGAUCCAAAAAUUUAAGAAGCUUAAUUAUCCAAAAAUCUGAGCUAAACUCACAUUCCAAGUUGCAAUUCAGGUGAUAGACAGGUUCAAAACCAGUGGAGGAUUUCAAAAAUCCAGCUCCCAAGGCAUUCGAAUCCAAAAACAUUAAGAAAAUCUCAAUCUCAGCUCAACAACACCAAAAUCCUAAGAAAACAACAAUUUGAUCAUACUAACCUCAAUUGCUUGCUGUUAAAUUGGUUCCACACACUCUCCAACAAGUCCACAAUCCACAAAAUCCUUCUUCACAGCAAUUGGAGGCUCCCACAAAGCACACUUCCAAACACUAUCCAAAUUGCUGCUGGAAAUUUGCAGAAAUUCCAAGUCCUCAAUGCCAAAAGUAAAUAUUUGAAGGAUUGGAGGGGUUAAAAUGCAAAAUUACAAUCUCUCUGUGAAGAAGAGAUGAAAAGAACUCUCAGUUGACGUCCAAAUCUUUUUAUAGAAGUAUAGGCUAUGUGCAAUAAGCCUCAAGAACAACCUUUGCUAACCUAUACUGCUACAGGAAACCCCAGAUUCGGGCGCCCAGAACCCAGAACUGGGCACCCAGAACUUCCAACUUGCAUAACUCAGUCCUUUGGGUUCUCAGUCCGGCGGUCUAGUGCGCCCUAAUGUGGUCCGGUGGACCUCACCUACCACAGCACAUGUGUCAAAAGGAUCGACAUUCACGAAGUGAACUUUCGGGCCCAACUUCCGGAUGCCUUAAAUAGGGCAUGAAAUGACUUCAGUAUCUAAUACAAAACAACCCUCAGGAUCUUGGCGCCCUAAACCACUUCUGGAUGCCCUAAACCGCCAGAACUUCAGUUUUGGCUUAUUUCAGUGCGUUGAAUCAGUUUUCGCAUCCAUUUCGUGCUAAAACGACUCCGACUCGUCCCGACAUUCUACAGAUGUGUCGACUAGUCGCUGAUACUGUAGUCAUUCCGAUCGCUAAAUCCCAGGGAUACUACAACCGCAUUAUGCGAGUCCCUAUAGUAGUUAUUUAUAAUUAGAUAUAACUAGCAACAAAUUUGUUUAAAACUCUUAAUCAACUUAUUUUUUAUAUAAUACAAUAAUUUAUAGUUACAAAAAUAAUAUUGACAAUUUUAAAAAAACAUCCAUAAUAUUAUGAUGUUGAGCAAUCAAGGGGCAUGCUUGAAAUUUCCUCAAAAUUGUAAUAAGGUAGAGAACUAACCAAACAAGCAAUGGAUAGUAUAUAAAUAUACAAAAACUUAAAUCCCUUGUUAUUAAAGAUGCUUAAAGAAAAUGGGAAUUGAAAAGCUAUAUGUUAUGAUGAUAUUCCGAAAUUUAGGGCAUGUUUGGUUGUCCGAAAGUGAUCAAAGUAAAAAAAAUCAUUUUUCAAAAAAUGACUUUUUAUAAAAGUUACUUUUGAGUUCAAGUGUUUGGUUUCAAAAAAGUGAAAGAAAAAAAUACAGUUUUUAUGACUUCUAUUAUUUGGUUCUAUAUAAGAAAAUGAAAAAAUAAAAUAAGGCACGUUUCUUUCUUUAUUUUUUUUAAAAAAUAUGUUGUUUUUUUUUUUUUAAGAUAUGGUGGUUUUUUUUAUUUUUUAUUUUUUGUAGAUGAUAUGGAAGAAGGCUUUUGGAUACAGUUCGUAAGUCGCGUGGAGGGAGGCGGCCUACUUUCAACGACUUCGAAAUUUUUUUUGCCAAAGUCAAAAAAGUGGAUUUUAGUUAUAAUCCACUUAAUGAUUCACUUUUCAAAAAUCACUUAUAUGUUUACUUUUAUAAUCCAAACAACCGAAAUAAUCCUAUUUCGUCAAAAUAUUACUUUUAUUGUUUCACUUACGGGCAACCAAACGUGACCUUAGAUGCUAAAAAGAAAAGAAAAAAUAUAUGAUAGAAAAGUAUGUAAGGACAACAUGACGAAAACAUAAUCAUGAGGGUACAAGAGUAAACCAUCUAAAGUCAAAGUACUAAGUUGUCACGCCCCGGGACCGCUACCCAUUUGGUCGGGUUCGGGCACGUCGAACAGACGCCGAACGGACAGCACCUUCCCUGUCCGCCCAAGACUCAAGCACGGGAUCAUGUACAAGAAUUCGCCCAGGAACAAUUCAAUACAUACAUGAUCCAUACAACGACAAUAGAAGCACCACAAGUGCAUAACAACAAGAGCAAGUAACACAAGUAUCUAUAUAAGUGCAUAAAAAGAGAGAGUUCUAUCUAUUACAUCAUGAUUUGAACAUUUAUACAAUUUACAUGUUUGUUUCAUCCAAAAUAUAGGUACAAGUUUAUUCACAUCUCUCCAAAAUGCAUCUCACAACCUAUACAUCAUCUACUCUCAUAUGUGUAGGCACCUCUAAUGCAACUGGAGGGAUACUAAUGCUAGGGCGCUAAGCCCUUACCGUGAUUCUCGCCCGGAGCACUCGUACUCGGCCCUGCAACAAAGUGGGGUGAGAACUAUUGUCCAUAGUUUCCAGUGGGUUCGGCAGCCGACUCCGCCGAUCUCCCCACUAGGUCCAAGUGGGCACAAACAGAUAGAUAGAUAGAUAGAUAUCAAAGCUAAAAAUACGAUAGUAGGAAAACUAUGCUACUAUGCCCAAUCAUCAAUAAUAUAUGCAUGCAUCAUAUAGUAAAUGGUUUACUAACAUGCCACUAUGUCCAAGAAGUAAUGUACUUUACUUGUUCAUCAAUUCUUUUGGCUUAUUCAAUCCUUGGCCAACCCUCAGGUUCGCCCACGACUCACAUGCAUCUCAUGGUAAGGAAACUCAACUCGUUCACAAACCCGAGACCGUCGCGGGACCCCAUAAGGAUAUCCCAGGGACCCCAUAAGGCUAUCCCUCAUGUGACAAAACUCCGGAGCGCACGCUUGUGUGGAGCGACCACCACUAGCUCUGAACAGACAGUGAGUAUGAUCCAAUCCUCUCAACUCGAGGAUACCCUAUCCACUAGGGCUAACAGUCACUCGGGAAUCCACCUAUCCCAAUGUCCAUAUGCAAGUGUUUAAUUUACACUAAGUUUUUAUUCAAUGACUCAUCACUAGGGAAUCCACCUAUCCCUAAGUUCACAUGUUAAGUGUCACUUUUACACUAAGUUAUAUGCCACUCGUUCUAUUGUCAUUGUUAUUUACAUGCCACUCGUUAUGUCUUAUCAACCAUCGAGUCCAUCUUUUAUCUCAGCACUAUAGGAUUCAAUGUCUCGACCCAAUCCUUAUCUAUCCACUAUAUCAAGUAUUCAACUCACACUAUGAUAUCAUCUAGGAAAGCAUAAGGAAAUGAAAAUGCACAUUUAUCCUACAAUGCAUAUAUACAAGAGAUGCAAGAUUUAAAAUACACUAAGACAUAAAGAGGAGCCUGGUUGCUUCGGGAUGACACCACCCACCUUCUGGCGUUGUCACAACUCUAGGAAUGAAGUUCGCCGAUUUUACGACGUCGUCUCGGCCUCCUAGGCACAAACAAAACUCGGAAAGUCCCUUUCGCCAAUAACUUUGCACCCGCUCGACGAAUCGUCGAACCGUCUUCGCCUACGCGUUUAAACACCUAGCAAUUAGGUUUACACUUGAUCAAUUUAGAUCAAUAGCCAACAAAUCACGAAACCCCAUUUUUGGAGCCCUAACUUGCAAUCAUGCAAGAAUCAAACUCUAAAUCCUCAAACUCAUGCAUAAAGCAUCUCCUUAGCAUGCUAGGGUUCUAUUUAAACCAAUUCUAGAGUAUAAAGUCCAAACCCUAGAAGUUCACCAUGAUUGAGCUUCAAGCUUACCUCCAAAAGCUAGCUCCAAGGUGUAGAGAAAGGAGAAGAAGAUGAAGAUCCUUCUCCUUGAUUGAUUCUCCGCCAAAACCCUUCUCUUCUUCACCUUCUAGAGAGAGAGGAAGAGAGUAUAGAGAGAGAGAGGGAGUUAGGUUUGUGUUUGGGGAAGAAAAUGAGAAGAGAGAGAGAGAGCUCACUCUCAUAUAGCCCCAACUCAUGCUACAAUUGCAUAAAAACCCCUCAACUUUGCCUUCAUGACACAGCCCAUCUUGGGCAAUUUCGGGCUACGGGGACCGGUCUCUCCCUACUAGGGACCGGUCCCUGAGGACCUCCCCAAAUCCACGCGUUCGGGAAUCGGUCCCUCUGGCCCGGGGACCGGUUGCAUCACGCAUCACCGCAACCACCAGCCGAUGGAACCGGUUUCUCCCUGCCAGGGACCGGUCCCCGAGAGCAAACCCGCGCAGACCAUAUUCGAGAACCGGUCCCUCCCGCCAGGGACCAGUCCCGGAGAGCAAAUCUGCCAAGUGCAGGUUUUUCACAUCAUUUGCUCUCGCAGACUCCAUUCCAAUGCACCUUUGGCCAUUUUGAUGCCUUCGGCUUUUUCGAAGCACACAAGUCGACAAUCAGUCGAUUUUAACCGAAGUCCAACUCUCGUAUUUCGAGAAUUUACUUCCUUACAUAAAUGAUUUUAUAAGCUUAUAAUAGAAAAUAACUAAAUAAAAUUAAGAAGCAAAACAAAAAAUAGUAUAAAAUCAGUUCGGUUUCGUUCGGAAUAAAUCCGCUGAUAUCUACUAAACUUAUUAGCGUAAAUGAAAAUAGAACAUCCACAUGGCAUUAUUGAUUUAUCACCUAUUUGGAUAAAAAAAAAACUAGUUUUUUUGAAAAACUUUGUUUUUCAGAUUUCAUAAAAGCUAGUGAUUUAGUUUUACAUUUCGUUUUUUCAGAAAAACCUACUAGUUUUCUAUAAAAUAUAAAAAAAUAAAUAAAAUAUGCUAAUUUUUUUCGAAACUGAAUAGGCGAAAACUAGAAAAAAAAAAGUUCAUGAAAAAUUUUCAUACUUUUCAGAGGAAAGCAAUUAGCCUCUCAAAGAUUAUAUGUCGAAAAAUUAUAAAAUUUAGUUUCUAAAUACUUUCAAUAGUGUAGAUCAAGUCUAACGGAGCCGAUCGUCAAUUUGGAAGCUACAUAAUUAAAAAUAACUUGGUAGCACGGAGGCCUCCGUGCUACCAAUAGUAUACCAGCCUAGCUUUAUAUAUAUAUAUAAGAUAAUCGUAUUGAUGAUAUUUUGAUGUAGGUUUAAAGUGAUCAUAGGUUUUUUUUUUAGAGAAAGAUAGCAUGCUAUCCGCUUCGUUUAUUUUCUUUAGAAAUAAACUUAUUUGGAAAUAUGAAUCAACUAAGAUUCAAAUUUGGAACUCGGGUAUCAACCACCAACUCUUUGCCACUUGCGUUAGGGACCGAUAAAAAUGAACCCAACAUUCAAAGAUUUUUCCAUAUAUCGUUUUUGGCAAAAUUUUAGGAAGAUAACAUAAGAAUUUCUUAGUUGUCCCUUGGCCAAUUUGUUCAUUGCAUAGUCCUUGAUGAUGAUGGUUUUAUCUUAUCUAUGUACAAAUCCGCAACGCGCACACUUGGUUAUUGACUAUAGAGUCCUAUAAAAUCACUGCUAAAGAGAGGAGACUAUCUCACUGCUUUCUCUCUUUUUCAUAAAGUACCCAGCCUUGUGAUAGUACAGUUGAAUAAAGAGAGAGAAAUUUUCUAUAAAAAGAUUCAUGAAAAAGAAAGUCAAAUUUUGUUUUGGAUGAUCGGAAUUACAAAUUAUUAAUCAAUACCACUAAAUUUGAUGUAGACUAAUUGAAAUGUUUAUAAACAAGAUUUCUGUAAGGUUUAAACCCUAAACUCUAAAAUCCUAAACCAUUACAAAAUUUAUCAAAGAGCCCCAAAAUGAAUGACCAAAAAUAAAUAACUUACACAAAAAAAAAGUUAAACAUUCUCAAUUGGAGAUCAAAAUUUUUAAAUGUUAUCUAAAAAAAAAACAACAAAUAUUCAGGCUAUUUGUAAAUGUGUAAACAAUCCAUAUAAGCCAAUAAAAAUUAUCUAUUCUUUUUUUUUUUUUUUAUAUUUCACCUACAGUUUCUAGUGCAAGUAACAAAACACUUGAUGAUUGGAAUCUGAAUUUCUAAAUUCGAUAUUUUAUUACUUUAUAUUUCCAAUUAGAUCCAUUUCUUUUAAAAAUAGGGCCCGAAAGCAUCCACAAAACAAUAAUAUAUAUAAAAAAAAAAAAGUAGAAAGUCGAUUUUAAGGGACCCAAAAUUUACAAAAUCCAAAGCUAAGAUCUUUAGGUGCUUGCUCAACCACUCUGUUAUCAAUGCAACCACUUAGCCCACCUCUUUUAAGCUAAUUAGUUUACAACUAUAGCUGCAACACGACGUAUAAUCUAUGGCCUUUCCUUUAGCUACUAUCUUAUCCCUAACAACUACUAGCCACAUCUUUUUCAAAGUACUUAAUUUUAAACAUUAAUAUUUUGCUAUUGCUAUUGUAUCCCUUUAUUUUGAGAUUGUAUCCUUUCUCACUUGGGUGUACCUUGUCCUUAGGCAGUAUUUGGUUGGGGAACAAGGGAGAAAUAAUCCUUGUUUUCCCCUUGUUCCUAAAGAAAAAUUUGCAUACCUAAGAUGUAACGACCGAGCCCACUAGCAAACGAAAAUUUGCGUACCUAAGAUGUAACGACCCAGCCCACUAGCAAUAAUAACUCGUUGGGCCCAACCACCGGCCCAAAAUACUUAAGCCCAGUUAUUAUUACAAGUGUCUAACUCUCUUAUAAACCCAAUGACAACCCCAUUUCCAUCCGAUGUGGGAUUAUACCCUGGCUCAGUCGAGACUCGCCACACAUGUCCAGCUGGUGAACCGGCUCUGAUACCAAAUGUAACGACCCACUAGCAAUAAUAACUCGUUGGGCCAAACCACCGGCCCAAAAUACUUAAGCCAGUUAUUCUUACAAGUAUCUAAGUCUCUUAUAAACCCAAUGACAAUCCCAUUCCCAUCCGAUGUGGGAUUAUUGGGGUGUCACAGACUCCCCCGUUAAGGUCCUGACGUCCUCGUCAGUCCAAUCACACACACAGCCCAAGAUCACCAGGCGAUGUGAGACUCGUCUCGCUAGCCCGUCAUCCAGACCCUGGCUCAGCCGAGACUCACCACACAUGUCCAGCUGGUUAGCCGGCUCUGAUACCAAAUAUAACGACCCAGCCAACUAACAAUAAUAACUCGUUGGGCCCAACCACUAGCCCAAAAUGCUUAAGCCUAGUUAUUAUUACUAGUGUCUAAGUCUCUUAUAAACCCAAUGACAAUUCCAUUCCCAUCCGGUGUGGGAUUAUUGGAGUGUCACAUAAGAAUAAUAGUUAUUGGAUUUUUGAAAUAAAUUGAUAUAACUCAGUACAAAGCUAGAACAGCCGUUCCACCUUUUUUUGGAACAAGCUUGUUCCCAAGUGGAAAAAAGAUUAAUUAAAGCCUAAAUUUAAUUAUAAUUAUGAUAUUAAAUCAUUAAUUAAUUUAAUUUAUAUAUUGAAAUUAUUAUUUAUUGCUUAAAUAAUAAAGUAAUUAAUUAAUUUAUUACUUGUAAUUAAUUAGCUAAUUAAUUAUUAAUAAUUUAAUAUAUUUAUCUAUAAACUAAUAUUUAUGUUGAUGAACCAUUAAUAUUUUUAUUAAUCUAAUUAUUUUUUUACUAGUUAUCUAACUAAAAUAAUUUACUAACUAAUUAAAAAGUUAAAUUAUUUUUUAUAAUUUAAUUAAUUAAUUAAUAUAUUUUAUUAUCUUAUACAAUAUUCAUAAUUAAUAAAUUUUUUAAUUUAUUAAAUUAAUUUUAAGUAAUAUUUUUAUGUUAAUUAAUUAGAUAACAUAAUUUUAAUUUAAAAUUAUGACUCUUAUUUCUCUUGUUUAUCUUAUUCACAGGAAGAAUUCAAUUUUCAUCCAAAUACUUACACCUGAAUUUGUAGCUAUUUCUGAAAUAAACAGUUCUCACUUAUAGCCGAACCAAAACGCAGCCUUAGUUUAAGAACUAUUUUGGUAUUUUAAAAGAAUUACUUAAGAUUAAACCAUGGCCCCUUUUUGUGUUUUAUUUUCACAUUUCCAAACGCACAAUAAAUAAUGUGUCGUGCUUUUUGGCCCAAAAAAAGCUGGGGCAAACGGCUGCUUAGACUAGAGAUCUAUUUCUUGCUUAAACUAACUGGCAAAAGUUCAAAAGUUGGGAAAAAGUUUCAAUGAAAUUAACUUGGGCAAAUGUUUACAUUCACUCGAACGACGUAUUUACAAACAAAUAGGAUUAAGGCUUGGUCAUGCUAGACCUAUAUAUGUAGAAAAUUCUCGUCCAAUGUUGCAAAUUUCCAAUGUGUAAUGCUGCUUGGAAGGGAUAAUAAUCCUUUCUCGAGUUCAGACGUUAUCAAAUCCUUAAGGACAAGACAAGCCCAAGUUAAAGUUUAGAGAUAUAAUAGAAAAAAUGUUUAAGUUUCAAACUAAAGUGUGAUUAUUAUUUGUUGGGAAGAAGGUAGUAGCUAAGAGAAAGGCGAUGGAAACAAAAACUUAAUUUAGUUUAAUUUUUCAUUUUUUUAAACGUUUGUGGAAAUAUCAUGAGGCACUGAAAGAGGAAUUGUAGGUACAAACUAGUUAGCUUAAAAGAAGUAGCGCAAGUAAAUACAGUGAUAAUUAAAAGAGUAGCUGAGGUAGUAAGUACGUAGGUCCAUAAGAUAUUAGGUAUCAUUUGGUCCCUGGAGUUUAGGGAUAUUUAAGUUGUACUUUAAUCCAUGAAAUGAAGUCAAGGGUAAUGGAAUUCCUCUAUUAUUAUCUCUCUUGAUUUUCUUCUUAAUUAGUGCCUAAUCUAACUACAAUGGACAGCACAUUUGACUCCGAGAAGGGUACUCGAAGGGUGGUGCAAAUAUACACACUAAUUAAUUAUUUUAAGAGAGGUCCUACAAGUAGUUGCAAACGUUUGAGUAGCAGCUAAGAGAGAAUAACUAUGCAGUUAAUUAGAGAUUAGUAGCUUCAGUUGGACAAAGUUUUGGUGUUAUCAAGCGUUUUGAUUGCAGGCUAUAUAUUUUUAAGUACCUUGAAAAAGAAAAGUGCUAUUUAAAUUGUACUCAAUGUCAUGAAAGAGGGGGGAAUGAGUACUUGAACUCCACCUCUUUCCUUUUCUCUCUACUCUUCUGUUUCAUUCUCUCUCUUUAUUAUAUUCUUCUCUAAAGUCAAGUUUCAUCAUGAGUGCACAAAAGUUCCCUAAGCCUUUACCAAGAUGAAAAUGCUGUUGACUUGAAGCAUGUGUUUGCAAUCCCAAGUAACGAAGAAACUAAGGUUUUAUCUACGUGACAGCAUUUUAAGAGAGAGAGAAAAUUUGAUUGAUGGAAAAUUUUUCAAGUCGGUUAGAUAGUAAUUGGAAAAUAUUGCAAAAUCUAUAUAUGCUAACCAAAGAAAUCGAUGAAUAAGUAUCUAAGCAUAUACUUGUGUGGUAUAUCUUUAAUUUGAACAGCCAACGGAGAUUGUUUAAACGAGAACUACACCAAGCAAAAAAUUUUGAAGACUAGAGAAUAACAUGCUUCUUGCAAAAUAAUAAGAGUGGUAGUUUUGACGAUGAAACAUAUAAGUAAUGCUGCUCGGAAGGAAAUAAGAUCGAAUUCUAUCUCAAGUUGCGAUCUUACCGUUGUCUCUAACACCCCAUUUGGUUCGGGAAUAAGGUGAGGGAUAAUCUCUUACCCCCCUUUAUACCCAAACGUUAUUUUUUGUACUCGAGAAUAGUAGUUUUCAGAUAACUGGAAUAAACUACAGGAAACUUAAUAUUUAACGAAAGGAAAAAUCGUCGUUAAUAUUCGAAAUUACGUCGUUAAUAAUAUAUAGUGAUGAAAAAAUAUCUCGUCGUCACCCGUCGUUAUAGCCUUUCACGUUAAAAGAAUUAACGAUGGAAUAAAAAAAUCGGUCGUUAUAUAUUUCAACGACGGAGUAAGUUACCGUCAUUAAUUAUUAUUCAUUAGUAACCAUACGUUGUAGCAAUAGCGACCUAUUUUUCAUCGCUACAAAGCUUAAUUAUGCGAAAGUUUAUGGGUUUAACGACCAAUAAAUUCGUCGCUAUUAAGCUUAGUUAUGUAAGCUUUGUAAGUUUAACGACCAAUACAUUCGUCGCCAAUAAUUAGAUUAUUGUGAGCUAAGUAAACAAUAACGACUAAGAUUGUCGUCGCUAAAAGUUAGUGUUUUGAAUAGCACAGAGUCGUAACGACCAACAUUUUGGUCGCUAAAAAAUAUAUAAUAUGCAUUAUACAAUUGAAUUACUUUUUUUGUGUUUCUACAUGUGAUUUACCAAAUUAAAACAUAUUGACAAAUACAAGUUAGAAGACAUUCACAUUCAGUUUAAAAAGCAUUCACAUACAAUAUGAUUCACUAAUUUAUCAAAACAACCAUAAAAAGUACUUUCAUCGAACAUCAUCCAUCAUUUUUAAUUUAAUUACUACAAGUCCACAUAUGUAGUUGCCCAAAAGUUUACUAAAUUAAAAGUAAAUACCCCAAAAUAAGGGAAAAUGACAAUUAAACAAGAUGACAAAAAGUUGUCAUAUAUGUUCCGUUGAGUUUUGAAGCAAAAACAAAAAAACAUAGGAAAUCUAGCUAAUAGAUCUGUUGGCUUCAAGUCCCCUCUGCUCAACAUCUUUUGCUAUCUACAAAAAAAAAAGUAAACAUUAUUAUAAUAUUAAUAGAGUAAGAUAAAAAUAUUUGAAACUAAAUGAAGACAUAGUUUGGAGAAUACUACUAACAAAGCUAAGAUGGUAUUUCCUGCUCUUCAGAUCGAGACGGUGGUGGAGGAGCAUUGAAUUGUUGUUGUAACAUUUCCUUAAUUGCUUGAAGUUCAACCUCUGUAACGUAUCGAAACCCAAAAACGAUAAUCGAACUUUAAUCAAAUUGGUUAAAGUGUCGAGAGAAAUGGAUUGGUGAGUUUCAUUUUUGCAUUCCAACAAGGUUGGAAGGGCAAAUAUGAGUUUAAGAAGUGUUGGAAUGGUAUUGGCAUCGAACGGCGCGAAGUAGAGUCGAAACGAUGGAAAAACAGCAUUCUGGAGCAUUGUGUACCGGUACGCCAUGAUGGCUGUACCGGUACAGCAAGCGACCCGAGCACAGGUUGCUCUCGGGUUUGAGUCUGCGCGAAGGUGUACCGGUACGGGACCCGUGUACCGGUACACAAGCUGCGAAACCGAGAGACCUUGCUCUCGGGUUUGGACUUAUGCGCAGGCCUGUACCGAUACACAAACCCGUGUACCGGUACACAGGGGCUCUGGCAGCAGGGGUGAAGUCUGCUACAGAAUUAAGUUGAGGGGCCUAUUUGCAAAUGUCACAACAUGAUAUUUGGCCCACCCCUCUCCCAUUUUCACAGCAAAACCCCUCUCCUCUCCUCUCCCUCUCAUUUCCUCUCUUUCUCUCUCUAAAAGCUUGGGCUAGGGUUUGGGAAAGAAGAAGAAGAAGCAAGGAGGAGAAGAAGAAGAGCUUGGAGAGGAUCUUGUGGCUCUCCAACAAGGUGGACUUGGGUGAGCUCGUGGCAAGGGUGAGUCCUUUUGCUCAUAGAACUCUAGGGUUUGGUUUUAGACCAUGGAUUUUGGGAUUUUGAUCCUCUAAUUAUCCUAGAAACCCUCUAAAGGCAUUGGAACACAUGGAAACUUGAGUUCUUCAUGGUGCUCCCAUGGUGGAUCACUAGGGCACCAAGUGGAUGCCCUAGGGAUGAGUAGAAAGGCUUUGUGAUGGUAUUAGAGAACUUCUUGGUUGAUUCUAAGCCAUUUUUAGCUUAGGAAUGAGAUCAAUCCAAGAGCAAACCAUAUAGGGCUUGGUUAGGGUUCAAAUUUGGGGCUUUUGCCCUAGGAUUUUUCGGGAACAAAUUGAACCCGUAGAAACCUAAUUGGGGGUGUCCUAAACGCGUAGGACAACUCCGUUUGAGGAUGCGAAAAUGUUUAAAUAUAGUUCAUGUAUAAAGGGGCUAAUUUAGCACUAUUUGGGUUUUAGGGCGCAAAGUUCGGCGUUCGUAACAUUCGGGAGACAUCGUAAUCUUCAUCCACUACCUCAUUAAGGUGGGUAGUGCAUUCCAAGGACAUCGAAAAUCCCUUUAUGUCUAAAGCGUCAUAUUUGAGCAUAUGUAUUUAUAUUGUGCAUGUUGCAUAGUAGGGUUAAUUGUAAAUUUCCUUUGCAUAAUAUGAGUUCUAAUGCUUGAGAAAUAGUAGUAAAUGAAUGAGAAUUGGUAACCCUAUAUAUGCACGAUAAGGGACAAGAACCUAGAAGGGUUAGUAAACAAAUGUGACAUAUUGACAUAGACAUAGAGUGUGGCAUGAGUACAAGAACAUAGCACUUAGAAAACAAAUGUGGCAUCAAUGACAAAGAACAAGAACAAGUAGUGUACAUGAGAUGCAAGUAAAUUGGGUUAGUGACAUUAUGACAUAUACACCUUAAAGUUAAGGGUCAUAUGAACAUGGUUCUCCUUGCAGUCAAGGAAUGGAUUGAACUUGGAGUCCUUAAAGUUAAGGAUUGAUCGUACUCACCUAAUAGUCCUUGCUCGAGGGCGGUAGCUCCCCCUCGGGUGAUGUGCUCCGGAGUUGUCAUUACUGGAUCGUAGCGGUUAUCUCCCUAGAGGAUGGUCCCGUCGGGUCGUAGGGGUUAUCUCCCCGAUAAUAGGGAUUUGGGUUGGUGAGUUUGUGAGGGCGAAACCUACGGGCUAGCCAUGAGAUUGAGUAAUGAAAAGUUAAUCUUGCAUUCAUCAUGAGCAUUCUAUCGAGCAUAGUUUUAUUUAUCGUUCAGGCAUAUUAGCUGCAUUUGUUAGUUGGUUAUUAUCUAUUCUUUCUUCUAUUAUGCCUGAUUAGACCUAGUGGGAUAGUCGGCGUGGUUGGUUGCCGAACCCAUUGGAAACUUUGUUGUAGUUCUCACCCCACUAUUUCCACAGAGCCGGGACCGAGCGAGCCGGUAGAUGAUCGCGGUAAGGGCAUCGCGCCCUAAGUAGAGACCGCCCGAGAUGGAUUUCAUUUUGUAGUUGCACACCCUUUACUAUCAUAUUUUGUAUUUGAUGAUUUUAGUAUUAUGAACUUGCUUUAAUGAAUGAUGUAAAGAAUAUUUACUUUAAAUGUCAAAAGUUACAUUUUGGGAGAAAUGAGAUGUAAAAAGAAAUGAUGCAAGAAUGUAACAGAACUUGAUUAUAGUUGGAUACAUGUAUGUGAUUUAAAUUUAGUCAUAUUACUUGUAUAUUGAAUUGCUAAUUCUUUCACCUUGGCUAUUGCUUGCCCUCGUGCAAGCCAUUGUGUAUGCUUCCGCUUAUACAAAUUUGUACUCUAUUGAUACUAGUGUUGAGCCUUGGGCGGACAGGGGAAACUCUGUCCGUUCGGCGUCUGUUUGACGCUCUCGAACCGGCCAAAAGGGAUCGGGCUCGGGGCGUGACAACCUCCAUUCCAUCUAUGCGACUUUUAAGUGACUCAUUUUCCUUAUGAGUCUCACAAAGUUUAGCAUGAAGUUCCGCUCUCGAAGAAGAAGAAGGUUUCAAAUCAGUUGAUUUUACACCCCCUCCGAAACAAACCACAUGAUUACGACAUUGAGAUCCAAAGCAUUUUUCAAUAAGUUCUAUAUUGGAAAAUGUUGGAUUUGAUUGCGACGCCACAAGGAUUUCAUCCUUCAAAAUGUAAAUAACAAAACAAAUAAAAUGAGAUAACAAAAGGAGAUAAAUUAUAAUAAACUAAAUGUAAAGAACUUACAUAUUUCUUAAUAGUAUCUUCUCCUUCUAGUUGUCCACCUUUCUUUCUAGUCUCAUAAAAUAUUGUUGCCAAACUUGGCGGUUUAUCAUAUUUUUCUCCCUAUGCAAAAUAUAAAUUAGGUUCAACCAAUGCCGAUAGUUGAAUAUAGAAGUAUGAUAUUUACUUGCUAGUACCUUUUUCCAAAUAAUUUGUCUAAAAGGCCUACUACCCGUGCGAUGUGGCAUUGAUAACUUUGCCCUAUUUUCUGAGUUUCUUUUACUUAUCGCCUACAUUUUCAUCCAUUUUAACUUGAUCUAAGUAGAAAUAGAGGAUGAAAAAAAAUAAAAAAUGAACAUACUAAAAACUUUUCACUAAAAAGAAUGCAUAGUUAAAAAAAAUAAAUUAGCAUAUUCUUGUAUCAUUAUGAUAAGGAAAAACAACAUACCAAAAAUUUUUCACUAAAAAAAUGUUCUUUGACAAGCCACUCCCAAUUCUCUCGAUCAACACCGGGAGGAAGACUUUUUAGAGCAUCUUGUAUGGUCUUGCAAGGCUUUCUAAAUUUACGAUGCAAAUCUCCUCGCCAUUUGUUCCACAAUUCAUUCAUAUGUUCUAAAGUUUCAUCACGAUAUGCUUCUAUUUGCUUAUUUUGAAAUUUGUCCUGCAAAUAUAAAAUUGUAAUAUAGAAUCAACCAAAACUCGCAUUAUAACUAGUUUUAUAGAAAUAUUUUUGACAUAUGAUGAUUGAAAUGCAAUAGUAAACUUGUACAAUCAAUUCAAAUUUAAACUCAUACUAUAAAAUAUUACCGUCACCGCUGCCCACAUGUGGUUUUUAUCGUCUUCCUCAAUUUCCUUCCACGAAUGAACUCGAAGCGGACAAAUAUUGCGAUUACGCACAAUUUUACCCAAAUGUCUUGAAAAAACCUUGUGAUUUUUUCCAGUGGCACGGUUGUUGUAGAAUUUUACCUCCAACUUUUGACCUUUUUUAAUUUUGCAACUUUCUUACACUUGUUUCUACCUCGGACUUUUCUUUUCUUUUGAGAAGUUGCCAGAUCUAAAAAUAUCACUCAAAAUCCAUAUAAAAUUGCUUAAAUACACAAUUGUAUGAAAAAUAUCACUCAAAAUCCAUAUAAAAUUGCUUAAAUACACAAUUGUAUGAAAGUUUUAUAGACACAAAAAUCUGAAAUAAGAUAAAUAUGUCUAAAUGAGAAAAUUUUACCACACUCUAUAGUUUGUUCGGCACUUUGGAUAUCUUCUACAGACUCGAAUUCAUGCGGCAGAGAGGCAUCAUUUGGUGGUUCUGUUGGAGUAUCAUUUGGUGAUGUACUAUUGUUGAUAGCACCAAUUAAAGCAUCUCGUGAUGAUGAUCUAAGAGAAGGUCGUAAUCCUUUUCCACGACCCUUCCCCAAUGCACCUGGUGCUAUGAAGAGUUGCUUUUCAUAUCUGGAAGUGACCAUGUUUCCUCUUUGUAACCUUGAUGAUUGCAUCUUUCACCUACAACAUUAAUGUAUGAAAAAUGCAUUUAACAUAUUAUGCUUUAUGAAAAAUAAAUAUACCACUAUAUAGCAAGCUUGGUAAUAAAAAAUAAUAGCAAGAAAUGCACAAACUUGAUAAAUUAGAAUCAUCGUUUUCUCUUUUUUUGCGUUGAAAAUGUAUCAACCAUCCUUGGAUCCACAUCAUUCCUAUUCCAACUAAUCUCGUUAUACAUGCUCAGUGUUGUGCAUGCAUCAGUUAUAGGAUUGAAAGAUUCUCUUUGUUGGUAGGCUUCAUCCCUAUCUUCAACUUCCUCAAGAUCAUUAUUUAACUGCAAUGGUAUCAUGUACGUAUCACGAGGUUGAGUCUUUUGCACAAUAUGCCAACCUUUAGUAAUAUGAUCAGCAACAUAAAAUACUUGUGAUACUUGUGAUACUUGACUGGCCAAUACAAAUGGUUCAUUUGUUUUAAGCAAACGUUGGCAAUUAACACUGAUAAACCCAUAUUCGUCUGUUUUAACUCCUUUUCCUUUGUCAAAUACGUCCAACCAAUUACCUCUAAAUAAGACCACUCGACGACCACCAAGAUAUUGUAAUUCAAGAAUCUCUGUUAAGAUCCCAUAGUAAUCUAUCUGUUCAGUUUCACUACCGGUGUCCCCAACUACAACUACUCCACAGUUUUGUGUUCUUAAACCUUUGUCAUUGUUGGGCCAAUUCGGCGCGGACAGUUGGCAAGCCGAGACUAUAUACAUGAUCCAUGUCAAAAUGGUGAACCAAGAGCAUAUGAGACAAAAACGGAAAAGAUGAAGGAAAGGAAAGCGAAAGAAGAGUUUCCUGGAAAAUGAAGAAGGAGUGAGUUUCAAAGUCCGUCGCAUCGAAGAAGAAAGGCCGUCGUAUCGAACCGUCGCAUCGAAGUGAGUUUCAAAGUCGGCUUUAAUGAUAAGUAGACGGCGGUAAUUAAGAUGACCUAAUUAAUGCCGCAUAUGAGACAAAGGUAGAGAAUGUGAUCAAGGCCGUAAAGAAAAGAAUCAGCGGCCAGGAUUAAACCGUACAAAAGAUUGCGCUACAGAUUAUGUCAGAGAAUUUGAAUUUGAUUGUACCGAGGAAUACGCCUCGGAUUGCAUUCGUUUUCAGAGGUUAAGGCGAAAAGUUCAAAAAAUAACGCCAGCUACCGAAGCAUCACUUCGAAAGCUGCCGAGAGGGCAAUUGUUGGGCCAAUUCGGCGCGGACAGCUGGCAAGCCGGGACUACAUACAUGAUCCAUGUCAAAACGGUGAACCGGGAGCAUAUGAGACGCGCCAGAAGAUAUGAGCCGCGUUUAUUCAAAAAAUUGUAACAACCGCAAGCGGUUAUGAGUAGUUCUAAUCGGCCGAAGGUGGUCCUCCAAAUCAAGAGAUAGUGGCCGAUCGUGCAGUAACGAUAACUGAACGCAAGGGCAACUUUAUAAAUAGGCAUACGGCACCCUGAAAAAGGGUCUUCGCCUCUGCGCACAAAAGACCACUUUUAUUUUUCCUGGGUCUUUCUUUCCUGCAUUUACCGCUUUUCAUAAGAGUAGUUCUCAUAACUUAGCAUACUUGGAGUCUGUCUACCCUACGGGCAUCACUCCCCUGUUCUAUUCAAUAGAAAGUCAUUUUCGGCUCUUCUUGCCGAUCAGAUCUCGAGUUGUUUAGUCAUUCGGCUCAUCAGUCGAAUUCUGGGCUUCCCCUCUUCAUUCGGCUUAUCCCGCCGAAGCGAAUUUACUGUGGAGGUCUUCGAACCCGGUUGAUUCGAUCCCUCAUCGGCCGAAUCGCUUGAUUCGUCGUGGGCGCAAACUUCAAGGGUCACCAUCCGCGGCCGCUCAUCAUCCCGACGUUCUUCCCGAGGAGAAUUCUUGACCGGGUCAAGGGUCGGGACUUUCGGCCACCAACAGUCAUGUUCUUCUGUAUGGAACCUAUAACCAUUUACUAUAUAACCACUAUAGCAAGUCACAUAUUUUGUAGGUCCACGAGACAAGGAAAGCAAGUCUUGCAUAACCAAACUUUUGUCCUGCUUGUGUAUUUGGGUAACCUACAAGUUAAAUGUUAAAGUAUAGAUAGUUCAGCAUAAGUUUACAAGGAAUGCAAAUUAUACAAAUAAUAAAAUCAAGAUUAGUGCUUACUCUGUUCUUAAACCACUUAAUAAAGCUUUUAUUCCUACACUUGUAUUGUGCUUCUAUUUUGAAUCUCUGUAUACUGUUUGCAUAUCAGAAUAAAGUAGCUAAACAUAUAAUUUUCAACGAAUAAGAAAAGAAUGUGUGAUAUUUAUAUAUAAAACAUACUUCAAAAAUGGUUGUACUUCUUCACAGUUCUUUAAAAUAUAGAUAUGCGCUUGCUCGAAAUCAUGUGUAUCUAGAUCAUGAGUUCUACCAGCUCCAAGUGUCUUUCCGGCUUGAGAAAAGAUAGACAAAUAUCCAUCAAAUUUAUUUCGUCUAUUGUCAUAAUUGCGCUCUGGACAAUUAAAUUUUGUCUCAACACCGUGAAGAUAUAUUGAGCAAAAUAUCAUACAUUCAUUCGCAAUAUAUCCUUCGGCGAUUGAUCCCUCUGGAUGAGCUCUAUUGCGUAUACUAAACUUUUGUGUGUACAAGUUUCUCUCUAUUGGAUACAUCCAUCUGUAUUGGACAGGUCCACCAAGCCUAGCCUCAUGCGCUAAAUGGAUUGGCAAAUGUAUCAUGACAUCAAAAAAUGAAGGUGGAAAAACUCUUUCCAACUUGCAAAGAGUUAUUGGAAUUUGGGCUUCAAUCUGAUUCAAAUCAUCCAUACUUAUUGCCUUAGAACCCAAUAUUGUAAAGAAUUGAGAUAACUCAAGAAGUGGCUCAUAAACUGUUUUAGGAAGGAGACCACGCAAUGCUAGACGUAGUAGUCGUUGUAGAAGAACAUGACAAUCGUGACUUUUUAGGCCUGAAAUCUUGUGCUCUUUAAGAUUCACACAAUGAGAAAUAUUUGAUGAAAAACCAUCCGGAAGUUUUAGCUACUUAAGAAAAAGGCAAAAUCGAUGCUUCUCUUCUGAAGAUAAUGUGUAAGAUGCAGCAGGAAGUAUAAACUUACUCCCUUCUUGAAUUGGAUGUAGAUCAGGCCUUAUGUUCAUUGCUUGCAAAUCAAGACGCGUAUUAAUGGUGUCUUUAGUUUUUCCUUUAAUAUUCUUGAAUGUCCCAAAAAAAUUAUCACUUAUAUUCUUUUCAAUAUGCAUCACAUCCAAAUUAUGUCGCAGCAUAAGAGUUUGCCAAUAUGGAAGCUUAAAGAAUAUACUCUUUUUAUUCCAAUUAUCUCCUCGAAGGUCAUGUGAUAUUUUUUUCUUUUUAUUAGCAGCCUUAGUUAAAUUUAUCCCUUCAAGAUCUUGCACCUGUUCAAGAACAUCAUCACCAGUAAGUAGCUUUGGUGGUAAUCUCCUCUCCUUUGUGCCAUCAAAUGAAAAUUUGUCAUUCCUCCAUUUAUGGUUGGUAGGUAAGUAGCGUCGAUGUCCCAUAUAACAUUGCUUGCAACUAUUGACUAAUCUUAAUGAAACAGUGUCCUUGUUGCAACAAGGACAUGCCAAUUUACCCUUAGUGCUCCAUCCAGAUAAAUUGCCAUAUGCAGGAAAGUCAUUAAUAGUCCAUAACAAAGCCGCACGCAUUUGAAAAUUUUGACGAAUUGACGCAUCAAAUGUUGUAAUACCCACUUCCCAUAAGUUCAUUAACUCUUCAAUCAAAGGCUGGAGAUAGAUAUCAAUUGCAUCCCCAGGACCGUUAGGUCCUGGAAUGAGCAUUGACAAUAUAAGAUUAGGUUCCUUCAUACAUAUCCAUGGUGGUAAAUUAUAUGAAAUUAACAUUACUGGCCAAAUGCUGUAUGGCUUUCUCGAAUCUCCGAAAGGUUGAAAGCCCUCACUAGCAAGACCAAGUCUUACAUUUCGAGGCUCUAAUGCAAAUGAUUCAUAGAGUUCAUCAAAAGAUUUCCAUUCCAUUGCACCAGCAGGGUGUCUCAUUAUUUCGUCAUUUACUCUUUUAUCAUAAUGCCAUCUCAUAAGAGAAGAUAUCUUUGUGAAUAUGAAUAACCGUUGAAGCCUAGGCUUUAAUGGAAAAUAACGCAAUGUCUUUGAUGAUUUGUUUUUACUAUUUGCAUUGUGCUUGAUUUCCUCAUUUUGUUUAUCAUUCUUCCAUCUAGAAGCACCACAAAUUUUGCAAGUAUUAGAUUCUUCAUCGUCUUUCCAAUAUAACAUACAAUCAUUUACACAUGCAUCUAUUUUUUUAUAGGAGAGCCCCAAAUCCUGAAUAAUCUUUUUCGCUUCAUAAUAUGAAUCUGGCAAAGUUGAUCCUUCAGGUAGAAACGUUUCAUUUAAUAAUUGUAGUAACAUGGUAAAUGAUGCAUUACUCCACUUUCCAAUACUCUUGAUAUGAAGUAAUUUUACUAAUACAGAUAAUUUAGAGCUCUUGGAACCCGAGUAUAAUGGUUGAUUAAGCUCCCUUAAUAAUCUAUAAAAUUUUCUGGCUUCAUCAUUGUGUUCUUCUUCAUGUACUUCAUGGCUUGAGAUAUUAACAUUUUCAUGAUUCAUAACGAGAUCACUAAAAUCUGGAUAUAAAUCCCUUAUAAUAUCCUCCAUCUCGUCAUCACUCUUAUCUUCUUCUAUUUCCUCGGUAUUUUCAUCAUCAGAUUCGGAUUAAGGCUCUCCUGACCUUUCUCCGUGAUGAUACCAAAAAGUAUAAUUACGGACAAUUCUAUAAACCUUUAAAUGUGUCUCAACUAUCUCACGAGUUCCUGAAUAAGUGUCUACACUUAACGCAGGGACACCUGAUUUCAUUAUUAUCUCCCGUUCUCUUAAAUGCAUAAUUGAGAAAACUUUGAACACCUUUAUCAUAUGCCUCAUUAAGCCGGUCAUCAACCAAAUCCAUCCAAUCCUUAUUAGGUGCCAUUAUCUUCUUGUAAGUUUGAUAAAAAUUAGAGCUCAAAAUUACCUAAGCAACAUAGAGUGGUAAUUAAGCAACUUCACAUCAAAUUAAUAUAAUGUUAAAAAAAAGCAACAUGUAUAACCUUAUAUAAGCCUAAUUACAAUAAUUAAUGGGUGUGAGUGAAAGACUCUUAUUUAAAAUUAAGAAGCAAGCAAACUUCUACAUAUCUUCUAACUAAUUAUUGGCACAAAAAAAACCCAAUUUAAGAUAACAUAGCAAAGAAUAAAGUCAUAAAAAAAUUUUCUUAUUACACAAUGAAGACAUUAAUCUGUUAUAUAGUAUAGAAAGGCCAUGUAAAUAUGUGGUCACCCAAGCACCUGGACCUAUGUGUUACUAUCACACCACAUGACAGACAAAAAAAAAUCAUCUAACCUUUUUCAUACUUGGUUAUCAAAAGAAGAGUAAAAACUUAGUAUAACAUUCAAUAUAUCAACCACCCAAUAGUGCUCUUUCCAACAGUAGAAACUACAACAAUACAAUAAAAAAGAAAAAUAUUAACAAAAAAUAAUAAUACAAACAUGAAACUAAAUCAACUAGUAUGCAUUGGCUAAGUAAAAAACUAAGUGAAGUUAAUACCUAAGCUUUGGCGGCGGCGGCACAGAGGAUUUUAGUGGCAGAGGCAAUAAUAAUCCACACCAAUCCACGCAAUGCCGAGCGACUACACAGUUUCACACCAAAUGUACCUAAAAAGCCUAAUAAAUAUUAGGUUGAAAAAUAUGAGAUGGACAGAAUAAAAAUAUAUGAACAAAAUAAAUACAAAUAUCAACAUUUCCUAUAAAGAAAAGAUUAAAAUAAAUUACCUCUAAGUAUUUAGGGUUCCAAAUAUUAAAUUUAAAAAUUAUAAAAGUAAUAUGACAGUUGAUAGAAAAAUCUGGCACGUUCAGAACUAUAUUAAUUAAAAAUUGAAAAUUUUAGACCUUUACUAUUUUUUAUAUUCUAUAACAAAAAUGGGUCCCUCUCAUAGGCAUUUUGAGAAAUACUAACUAAAAUUUGGGGGCUUCAAAUUUUCUUCAUUUUUCAUUUUUUAUAACACAACAGGUCACCUAGAAAUAUAUUAAUAUGAAUAUUCAACUGAAGGAUCCUCCCACUUUGGAAAAAAAAACAAAAAAACAAAAAACAAAAAAAAAAAUUAGAAACAAAAAACAAAAAAAGCCUAUUUGCAUUGGACUUGGAAAGUCCUUCCUUUGACUUUUCCUUUCAAUAAAGAUCACAAAUUUAAAGCAUAAAACGACAUUGCAUUGUGGAGUUGUUAAGCAAUUAAGGAUAUUUUUUUGUGGGUAUCGAUAGUCUCUUUUCAUUUGUAGAAAUCCAUACAAAUGGGACCCAUCACAAAUAUCAUAUUAAUAAAAUAAAAAUAUUCUGCAGAUGAAGAUAAAAAUAGAGAAAGAGCUUACAAAGGGGACCCAUUACAGAAAUUCCACCUUAUAGUGGUGGAAAAACUAUAUAAAUAAAGAAAAAAACAUAGUAAGAGAGAGAUAAAGGACCACAGUCAAAUGUAUAUGAUAGCGGCUCGUGAAGCGUCGGAGUAGUUCGCCCUUCUAUAGCGUUGGAGAGCGCGUGAACAUUUGCUGGCGAGCGAGCGCGUGGGUAUAUUUGCCGGCGAGCGAGUGCGUGAGUAGCCAACGGCAAGCGAGGGCGUGGGUAGCCGACGGUGAGCGAAGGUGUGAGGAGCCGACGGCGAGCGAGCGUGUGAGGAGCCGACGGCGAGCGAGCGCGUGAGGUGUUGGGAGAGGAAUCCCUAUGGUGACUCAGGAGACAUUAGAGGAGAUUUGGGGCUAAUUUGGGAGCUAGGUUACUUUGUCCCAAAAGGAUGCGGGACUGGGAGAUUUUAGAUUUUUUUUUGUUUUUUGUUUUUUUUUUUACAAUUAGGAUGCAUUUUGGGCCUGCCAAAAUUCUUUCUAGGCCCGCCAAAUUUUUUUGUUGAGUAUUAACGACCGGGCCAGAUGACUAAUAACGACGAAAUAAAUCUUUCGUCGCUAAUUAUUCGUUACCAAAUAAUAUUCUAUUGAGGUAUAUUAAAUUUUCUCUUUUUAGCGACCAUAUGUAGCGCCCGUCGUUAAAAGUUGGUCGCUGAAAACUCAAUUUGCUGUAGUGAUAUAAACUGGCAUAAUUCGGUAUAAAUCUGGAGUUGUUGUUCCACCUUUAUUCCUGGAACAAUCGAGAACAAGAUUAAUUAAUUUCUAAUUAAUUUUAAUUAUAGUAUUACAUCAUUAAUUAAUCUAAUUAAUAAUUUUAAAUCAUUAAUGAAUCUAAUUAAUAUAUUUAAAUCAUUAAUUAAUCUAAUUAAUAUUAAUUAAAUCAUUAUUUUUGGAUAACCUGCCAACCUAUUUUUAUUUUUAAAAUUUAAAAUUUUAAAUUUUAAAUUUAUAAUUUGUAAUCUCAAAAUUAAAGUUUAUAAUUUUAAAUUUGAAAUUUUAAAGUUUAAAUUUGAUAUUUUAAAAUUUUGAAAUUUAAAAUAUGAUAUUUUAUAAUUUUCAAAUUUAAAUUUGAUCUUAAAUUUAAAGUUUGAAAUUUAAAAUUUUAACUUUAAAAUUUAAAAUUUGAGAAUUUAAAUUUAAAUUUUAUUUUUGAAUUUUAAAAUUUAAAAGUUAAAUUUUAAAUUUAAAAAUAUAAAUUUAAAGUUUAAAAAUUCAAAUUCAAAUAUAAUUAGAGAGGUAAUACCAUUAUUUUCUAUUUACAANAAUAUAAUGAGAGGGGUAAUAUAAUAUUAUUCUUUUUUAUUUAUAACUAACUACUAUUUUUCUUAUUCUAUGUUAUCUAUCAAAAUAUUAUUUUUUUAUUAUCGGGAACAAUUCAAUUUUUAUCCAAAUGCAAAAUUGAUCUACUUUUACUUAUAUGUAAACUUAUACCUAUCCCGAAAUAAGUAAUUCUUAUUUAUACUCAGAACCAAAACGGUGCCUAGGAGCUCGCCAUAUGGAAUAGAUAAAUGUAGGCAUGCACGUGUUUCAACGAAAUUGUGAAAUUAUUAUAUAUAAUGUAAGGGUUUCUAUUUUCAUUUCUAUAGAUAUAGAUAUAGGAGAGAAAAAAACAAGCUAAGAAUAAAAAAUGGCCAAUUUGCAGAAAAAAUCCACUAAUUUUAGGUUUUUGCAAAUAUGGACUACCUUUUUCGUUUUUGCAGAUUUAGACCGAAUUUUUUGCCAUCGGACGAAAAUACCCUUCUUCCUUUUCUUUCUCUCCCUUCUUUUUUCUCUCUCUUCUUUUUUUUUUUCUUCAGUAUGUUUUCCUCCUCCGCAGCGCCCGCCCUCCCCAUCGCCGCCACGUCCACCGCCUCGCCUGCGCCUCGUGCCGCGCUGCCGACUCUGGCCGCCGUUUCUCCCCACCCCUGGCGCCCCUCCACCCCCCACCAUCCGCGCUUUUGCCCCUCCUGCCGGCCCCACGACCCCCCUGCCCCUCCCCCUUUGGCUCGGCCUCCGCCCCCUCCUCCGCCACCGAUGCCGACAACGGCGAGUCGGCGGCCUCCUUACUCGACUACAUGCUCCACCACGGCCUCCCCGACGACCUGCCCCUCCCCCUUCGCCCCCGCCUCCACCCCCUCCUCCGCCGCCGACGUCGACGACGAGGUCCUCGGUGUUGGGGUCGUCGUCGAGCUCCCGCGUCCCCACAGCGGUGCUCUCGAGCAGGAUAGGCAUAGCCCUAGAUGGGGCGGCACUGUCGUGCGUCGCGAAGCUCCGCGGCGGCACGGGCAAUGCGGGGAUCGCUCGCGCUCGCGCUCGUUCUCGUGCUCGAACGGGAGUGGCGAAGGCGACAAAGGACGGAUGGGGCGAGGCGAGUCGGCAGCGUAGGCGAAUCCGGCUCGAUUUUUAGGAGAUUUUUAUUGUUAUGAUGUAGUGGUGUAAUAGUGUAAAAAAUAAGAAGGAAGAGGAAGAGGAGGAGAAGGAGAAAUUGUGUAAUUUUGGGUGAAAUGGUGUAAAAUUUGGUGAAAUGGUGCAAGUUUGGGCGAAAUGGUGCAAUUUUUCUUUCAAACAGGGUAAAAUUUACACUAUUUCGCUCGUCCCUUUUAGGCGAACGUUGCACUAUUUGGGUGAAAUUUACACUAUUUUUUAUUCUCUUCUUCUUCCUCCUUCUUUUUCUCGGUUUAUUCUCUUUUUUUUUUUUCUUCCUCCUUCUUCCCCUUGGUUUAUUCUCUCUCUCUUUUUUUUUUUUUUUUUUUCCUCCUUCUUCCACCUCGAGGAGCUCUAGAGCCGCCUCGCGCGCCUCCGUGCUGAGAACCGCGAGCUCGCCGCGCGAAUCGGUGACGCCGCCCACCUCUCCGCGCUCCUCCCCCGCAACUCCGACUGGCUCCGGGCCGAGUUCGCAUCCCUCUGUCGUCGUCUCGCGUUGGCGCGCCGACGGAGAAGGAGAAGGAAGAAGGAGGCCGCAGUGGAGCAUAUGUCGUCGAGCAGGGAGGCUGCAAAGCGGGGCUGGCCGCGGCGGCAGAGGGCCUAGGCGAGGGCGCGGUAGGAGGAGGGGUCGGGGGAGAGGCCGAGGUGGGGGAGGCAGGCUCGUCGCCCGCGACGUGGCCGGAGCGGACGAGGGUGAUGUCGCAGGGGCAAGGAGCAGGGGGUGCGCGGGCGAGGGUGAGGGUGCGCCGAACAGAGGUGAGGCAGGCCGCCUCCGCCGCUCUCUGGAAAAAAAAAGAAAAAAAAGAACUAGAGAAAAAAAAAAGGAGAGAGAAAAAAAUACAAGAAUAUUUUCGUCAGUUUGCUGAAAAAUCAGACCGAAUCUGCAAAAAAGAAAAAUGUGGUCCACUUUUGCAAAAGCCCAAAAUUAAUGAAUUUUUUAUGCAAAUUGGCCAUAAAAAAUUGAAACUUUGAAAAAAAAAAAAGAAAAAAAGAAAAAAAGGAGGAAAAAAAACAGAAGAGCCGGUAUGGAUAUUGAGUACAGUGAAUAGGCACCCCCUAUCUGCAUUUUGUGCGUUCUUCCCCCCACUACGGCCAUGGCAGUGGCGCCUGCCUCCUCCUCCCUCAAAUUCUCCCUCUUCCUCCUCCACCCCCGCCGCUUCCCCGCCGCUCCUCCGGCCUCUUCCGCCUCUCCACUCCUCUCCUCCUCUCCUUUCUCUUCCCCCCUCCCUCUCUCUCUGCCCCGUGCCCACGUCCCUCUCUCCGCUCGCCCUCUCCCCGCUUUCUCCAAGCCCAAGAAGCCCAAUCCAACCCCGAGGGUCCUCGCCGUCUCCGAUGGAGAGGAGAAAGUCUUGACUCUUGCAGAAGAGGAAGAGGAAGAUGAAGAAGAAGAAGAAGAUGAUGCUGAUGAUGAUGAUGAUGAAGAAGAGAAGGCCGAGGAGGACGGAGCGGCGGCCGCCGGGAAGUUCAGACUUCAGGUCCGGCCCUGCGAGCUCUACGCCUGCAACUUGCCACGGAGCACCGACAUCUCCCAGCUUUUGGACCUCUUCAACCGCUACGGCACUGUCAUUUCCGUCGAGGUUUUUUCUCUAUUUCAUUGUCCGGACCGUAGCAUGAAAUAUAUACUUCAACUUACAAUCUUACAGUGUUUUUGAAAUGUUUUGAUCUUACGUUGCGUCUAACCUUCUCAAUAUUUGAAACACUUUUAAUGGAGCAGUCUGUAAUGCGAUGGAAUAUUUUGUUACUUGAUGAAUUGUUCUGCAAAAAUCUUGCAAAUGCUUUACCGUUAGGAUGCACGAUUUCAAAACUCUUGAAGCUCAAUAAUCUAUUUAAAAGCAUUAUACGAGUAGCCAGUAAAAUCAAAGCUUUUACGUACCUACUCCAAAAUUUGCUACAGUUCGUAUAAGGUCUAAUACAUUUUUACCUUCUAAUACUACUUACCAGUGCUCCUUCUGUUUCGUGUCGAAAUGAUACUAUAUGUUACUUUGCUGUGCGUUUCUUAUGGAAAUUCUUUUACCUGGGGAGGGUCUUGAAGUCCACAUUUCUUGUACUUUUCUGCAUAUUUCUUGUGAUAUCUUAUUAUUGUUGGACACAUUAAAACACCGACCUCUAGGAUCUUAUGCUCCUAAAUGCAAACCAUUGUUUCGCAUUGUAUCAGAGCUAGAAGUCUAAGUACAAGACUUUUCUGGCAUCUAGUCUAAUUUAAAUUUCUUCUAUUUAUCAAAAGGUCUCAAGCCCAGAUUUUAGUGAGAGUGUCGAAUAUACAAUAUUCAAACACCGUUCUGAAGUAGUUUACACUGCCUGAGGAAAUCGGUUGUUUCACAAUUGUAAUAUGGCUCUAAUUUUCCACUUAUUUACAAUUCUACUAUAGAAUGUUUAGCUGAGAAAUAAACGGCCCAUCGAUUCUUUUCAAUACACGUCAACCUUUUUCUUUUUCUUUUUUUUUUUUUUUUGUCUCUUUGACUUUGGAAUCCCUUCUGUUACUUGAUUUGUCCUUUGUUUAGGAAAUAAGAACGAAAAUACCAAAUGGUUUAAUGUUUGGUUGAUAUCUUAUAGCAUAUAUGCACCCUUUAGUCAAUUCUUCUAUUAGUUAGUUGUGCUCUGGCUAUCGUUGUAUUUUAAAGUUUAACCUCAUUGAUGAUGACAGCGACCUUAUUUUAACAUGGCAAGUUCAUAUUAACUAUCGAAAAUAUCUCCUUUGAUACAGUUUGGGGCUUUUUUUGCAAAUAGCCCUCUAACAAUUUUUUUUUUAAAAAUUGGCCAUGUAAAAAAUUUAUUUGCAAAAAUGGUCCUGGCCCCGCCACGCAAGCGCCACGUCAGCGCCACGCGGGCGGGGCUGGGCCAGAUGGUUAAGUUGAACACGGUGAACCAUUCACCGUGUUCAAUACAAAAUUUUUGUAUUGGACACGGUGAACCAUUCACCGUGUUCAAUACAAAGUUUUUGUAUUGGACACGGUGAAUGAUUCACCAUGUCCAAUACAAAAUAGUUAAGAUCGAAAUAUUUAUAUUGGACACGGUGAACCAUUCACCGUGUCCAAUACAAAUAAUUGGACACGGUGAAUGGUUCACCGUGUCUAAUACAAAUACCUCCAACUUAGCCAUUGUUGGGGUAUUUGUAUUGGACACGGUGAACCAUUCACCGUGUCCAAUACAAAAAUCUUGUAUUGAACACGGUGAAUGGUUCACCGUGUUCAACUUAAACAUCUGGGCCCGCUCUGCCCGCGUGGCGCUGACGUGGCGCUAGCGUGGCAGGGGCAGGGCCAUUUUUGCAAAUAAUUUUUGGACGGGGUUAUUUUUGCAAAUAAAAUUUGUCAGAGGGCUAUUUGCAAAAAAAGCCCUACAGUUUGGCUUUGGGAGCAAUUCCGUACUGUUUUUCUGUAUUUGUAGAAAGAAAUAGCAUAAUCCUUUAGACCACUGUUCUAAUGAAAGUUCCAACUAAACAUUAUAUCUUUAUGAGAAUUAUCUGUAUGGAAUCACUCUUCUGGCUCUGCAAUUACUGAACUUGUGCAUAUUUCCUUGAUUCAUUACUAUUUCCUUGUUUUAGUGUUUGUGACAAUUUAGCUGCUUACUUGCUUGAUAAGUUACUAUUGUCUGAGUCAACCUAAACAACACUGCUGUGCAAUUCUAAUAUUAUCAUUGACUAAUAUUAUUGAAAUAAUUUGUUUUCCUAUUUCGUGUCAUCUUGAGAUCAUUGAGAUAUGUGCUGCUGACUGCUGAAGUAAAUAUUACAAAUUUUUAACCAGUAAAAUGGAUGAUGCACUAUUUUGUUGAUGUUAAAAAUUACUCAACUAUUUGGUUUCCAUGCUGCUGCAAAUUUUAGUUCUUUCUAACCCAUCAUUUUUUUUUUUUUUGAUUUAGUAGUUUUUGUCAAAAAGUACCCAUGCAGAUGCACCAUUUUUAGCCCAUAAUUUUUUUUUUCUUUUUGUAACCAAAAAGUGACAGCGUUUGGUCUGAGUAGGAGGCUGAAUGGGCUUCUUUAUCUCUGUAAGCAGUAAGCUCCAAUUUGAAGUUUUUAUUUUUUUUUGCUUCAGUGUCAAUCUGCUGGAGGGUUUUAGUUCCAAAACUCCUGCCAUUCCAACCUGCCCCUUAGCAUUAGUAGAUGGUAAUCAAAGAAUUCCUGUUACUCGUAGUUGUUUCUUUCUAUCCUUUUGAUACUGGACUGCUGUAUCUGCAUAAGAACAGUGUCGUGCGAUUUCGUAAUUUUCUUGAUUGCUAUAUGGUCAUUAGCAGGUGCUAUUAUAUUUUAACAAUUCUUGUAUAUACAAAAUAUGCUUUAUAUAGCACUUUGGAAUGUGAACAUUUGCAGGUUUCACGAGAUGCUGUAACUGGCAUAAGUCGUGGAUGUGGUUUUGUUACAAUGAGUUCUCUAGCAGAAGCAAAAGCAGCAAUUUCUGCUCUUGAUGGAUCUGUAAGCUCUAUAACAGUUUUUGUGCUAAUUUUCAAAUCCAUUAAAUUUUCAAUUAUUUUAUAGUAAACUCUUUUCUCUUGCUAGGACCUUGGUGGGCGUGAAAUGUGUGUGAAAUUUUCGGCUGAUAUGGUCUCUGGAAGAAAAAAUACAGAGGCCUUAAAUACGACACCCAAGAAAGACAUUGUCUUUGAAAGUCCAUAUAAGGUCUAUGUGGGUAAUCUUGCUUGGUCUGUAAGACCUGAAGGUUUGAGGGAGCAUUUUAGCCAAUUUGGAACUGUUGUAAGUACUAGGGUGCUUUAUGACCGUAAAGGAGGGAAAAACCGUGUCUAUGGAUUUCUUUCAUUCUCUUCAGCUGAUGAACAGAAGGCUGCAAUAGAGUCGAAUGGAUCGGUAUAGUGCCUUUUUUGGUUCUUUUUUCAUUGGAGAAGUGAAUCAGGCCUGAAAAUUUGCUUUUUCUUUUUGUCUAGUUAUUUUUUGCUUUUUUGAUCAUUUAUUCUUCUGUUCUAUUGUUUGUCUUUUUUUUGCAUUGUCAAUCAUGCCUUAGGUACUUUAACAUCAAACUAUUGAUGGGCAUUUUCAUUUAGGUAAAUUCAUUUUUGAUUUGUACAAUUUUGAUUCUUCUUGUUAUGUUGUUAAUAGGUAUUUCAUGGGCGGACAAUGUUGGUUAGGGAAGUCGUCAAUAGGGAAGAAGCAUGAUGCCACAACUUGGUUUCAUUCAACAUCAAAGAAGCAGUUUCAUCCCUAUAUGAAGUAGUACUUUAUGUUGCUGCAAUCUUAUUUAUUGGAUCCUUGGUAUGAUGAAAAGGUGAUCUCGAGUUUCCAUUUAAUCAGCCGUUGUUAUUAUAUCUUGUCAUAUCUUGUAUCUUUCUUAUGUGUUAUGUAGUUUCUCUAUCUUGUUUUAGAGAAUACCUUCAUGUGAUUUUUUAACUGUCAGUAUAUAGUUUUGAAAGUUUGAUUUGAUUCUUUCAAAACUCAAUUUUCUAUUAUAUAUAGUGUCUUAUGAAUAACCGAUGGUUAGACACUUGCAAAAGAUGUUACAGAUGACAUUGGCCUUAUAGUUAGGGGGUGUUUGGCCUAGCUUCCUAAAAGUGAUUUUGAGCCCAAAAUUGAUUUGGGGCUCAGUAGAGCAUUUGGCUAUAAGAGUUCGAAAAUCUGAUUCUAUUUUUCAGAAUCUGAAAACUGAUUUUUCAAUCCCUAGAAUCAGAAGCAGAAAAAAGCUGCUUCUCCAAAACUGAUUCUUGCAAAAUCAGUUUUCCCACUUAAAAUUUUUAGAGAAGUACCCAAACUACCCCUAAACAAAUAACAUAAUUCUAUCUAUCAUUUUAUAUUCAAUUAAUAUUUUCAGCUAUUCUCUUCUCUCUUCUAUUCACUAUUCCCAUUCACUCUUCCCACAAAUAACUCUCUUCCCAACUCUUCCCCAACAAUUUUUUUUUUCACCUUUCUCUCUUCUCUAAUUCCAUCUCUCUCCUUUACUUUUUAUUUAACAGAUUCCCUCUAUCUUUCUCUCUUCUUCCAUUGCUUGGCGGGUUUGGCCGGAUCUGCACCGGCGGGAUCCGUCCUUGCUGGAUCCUGUCGGAUCUGUGCCGGCGGAAUUCGUCCUUGCCGGAUUUGGCUGGAUCCAGCCGGAUCCAUGUUGGCGGGUUACGUCCUUGCCGGAUCCGGCCAGAUCCUUGCCGGCAGAAUUCGGCAAGGCCGAAUUCGACCAGAUUGGGUGCUGUCGGCAUGAUAAAUGGGAAUGUGAUUAUAAAAAAUUAAAAUACGACGGAUUUGGGUCGAUUAAAAUUUUUAUUUGUAUUUCAGUAGAACUUAAAAUUAAAUUUGUAUUAAGAAUAUAUUUUAUAUAUAGAAAAAGUAUAAUUUUUAAACAUUUUGAUUAUUAAUAUACAUUAAUAAAUUAAUAUAAUAUUUUGUAUGUAACCUUCUUUCAUGUUUAAACCUAGAAAAUCACUUCAUUACAAAAUAAAUUAAUAAACUAAUGUUAAACAAUAUUACAAAAUCACUUUCGCAAAAAAAAUUUGCCAAACAACUUUCUAUAAUCAUUUUAGAAAAAUCACUUUUCUAUCAAACUCGGCCAAACGCUUUACAGAUUUUAACCAAAAUUACUUUUUUAAACCAAAAUCAAUUCUGCAAAAAUCACUUUUCUAGAAUCUAGGCCAAACGGGCCCUUAGUCUUUUGGAAGAAAAAAUAAAUACUUGAUAGCUUCGUUCGGAGGUUUUUUAAAGGGUAAAAUGCAAAGAUUGUACUUAGACUUUCACAUUAGCACCUUAAUAUGAAUUUGAAAAGUUUGUAAGUUAUGUAAUUUGAUCCCGUAAUGCCCAGUACUUAGACUUCCACAUUAAGGUGUUAUUUCUAAGCAUGCAAGUGUAAUUAGUAACAUCACAUCAAAGAUGAUCUGAUUAUAGUAGGAAGGGUACAAAGAUCCGAACUUACAAAAGAAAGUUGUAUAGAUACAAACUACUGUUGUAUGUAUGUCAAUCCAAAAGUACUAUAUACAAAGACAUUAACACAACCAUCAAAACGUUAUUUACUAUCUACCUAUGUAUCACGGACACUUCUAUAAGCCUUGCGUGUCCGUGUCAAACGCGCGCGUGUCCGUGUCGGACGCGUGUUCGAUGUGGACACUCCUUGGAUGCCUAUUUAAUGCCGCGCAUACAACUUAAAAAAUAUAUAUAUCUAUUUUUAUUUUACUUUUUCUAUACAUAUAUAAUGUAAGAUGAUAAAUAUUUUAGCUUUUUGAUGAAUGUAUACAAUUUCUUUUUGACAAUAUAAAUAAAUUAUGUAUGGUGGAGAAUUUCUUUUCUUAAAAUAUAUGAACUAUCAAUGAAUUUUACUAACUUCCAUUUGUAUGAGAAAUAUAAUAAUAUUUUACCAAAAUUAAUAUUUUAUACAUAAUAAAAAUAUAUUAUUAUAUUAAUAAUAUUAUAUUCUAUUAGCAGUGUCCAUGUUGUAUCCGUGUCCUAAUUUUUUAAAAGUUGUCGAGUCGCGGUGUUUGAGUCGUGUCGUGUCUCGUGUCCCGUGUCAGUGUCUGUGAAGCCUAGCUAUCUAUGCUAAGUCGUGCCUUGCCUUGUUCUUGUCUCAGCUUCGAAUUUGGAAAAAUGGAGUAGGGCAUCAACACUACAAGAAUAUUGUGUGAUUUCUACACCAUGUGUAGUAAAGAAAACAAAAAUUAUAGAUACUACAAAAGAAUAUCAAGAUAAAAUUAUUGCACCCGUAAAUUAGGGGUGCAUUUGCAGGGUGGAUCAAGUGGGGGAAGGGUUACCCCGGCUCCUACACUGCCAACCAAAACCCCACCCUACCUAUUGCCUCCUAGGAGUGUUCACAAUUUGACUCCAAACUGAAAACCAAACCGAACCAGACAAAAUAAGACAAAGCACAAUAAGACAAUUUGGUUUGGUUUAUAUGGUUUUCAGUUCGGUUCGGUUUUGAAAAUAACUGAAAUUAUGUUUUCAAUUUCGAUUCGGUUUUAACACUUCUCUUAACCGAACUGAACCAAAAAUCUGAUAGUUAUAUUGCUCAUUAUUUUUUUUAUUUAAACCAUAUAUAAUUUUGUUUUUGUGAUCCAAUCGUGAUCACAUAUCAACACACUUUUUAAAAUGGAUCUUGUGAUCUACCCUGCUUCCUGUUGGCGCUCCAAAUCCACCUUGCUAGCCAACUAAUUAUAUUGUCCCAAUCAAAUUGACUUCAAUUAAUUGUUUAUGAAACCAAAUCGACAUAAUUUCUCAACAAAAUAAAGAUGAAAAAAAAAUUGAAGCAUAAUCAACAUAACAAUCUCUGAAGAAAUUUUUUAUCAAAAGAAAAGUACCAUCUAGAUCUUAAAUUUUACGAACUAAUUUUAGUUUUGAUCAUCAAAAAAAAAAAAUGGAAGUAAUAAAAUGUAGAGCACGUGAAAGAGAGGUUGAGGUGCUUGGGCUCUCAGUUGUAGUAAAGGAGAUCGAAGCACUUGAGCUUACUGCAGUGAAUGACUGUAAGAUAGAGAUAGACCGACAAGCUAGGUUGUUCGUGAAAGAUGGGGAUGAGUCACACGUGUUAGAAGAGGGGAAAGUGCAAAAAUGUUGGCCAGAGAGGAUAUGGAGGGGAAUGGAAUGUCGGCAAACAUGAUUGGAGGAGAGGAAGAUUUUGAGAGUGGUAGAGAUUUAAGACUUAAGAAAGAAAAUAGAGAUUAUGGGAGGGCGGUGUCGAUUCCUAGGAGUAGGAGAAGUGGGUUUCUUUGUAAAUAGAUGUUAACUUAAUAGAUAUAUAGAAAAUCAUUAGCAGUUUUAGAGAAAGAUUUGGGGUGCAUCCCAGGCAAAUCUUGGCAUGGCGGAUUUAGGGUGGAUCAAUUUUUCUUCGUCUCCUGCUCUGAAUAUAUCUAGGACUAAGAAAAAAUUUUCAUUUACUACCUGAAUAUGUUAUUUACAGGCCCCCACAUACUGUCCCAUUAGAUGUGGAUUAGGCCGAGAGCUCCGCCAAUCUGGAUCCAUCUGCAUCCCUACUGUAAAUAUAGUAUCAUUUAAGUCUAACUAGUUACCAAUAUUGUGCAUUCUUAGAAUAAAUUCGAAAUCCAAACAUUACAUGCUAUGCUGUCACAUGUAUCCUUUGUGGACUCUUUCUCAUUUCGAGCCGUCAUUGGGCAAUCUUGCUAACGGUACCUCUUGGAAGAUUGCCUACCCAUGCAUAUUGAUCAGAGGAUUGUUCUAUUACUGCUUGGGGUAUAAACAAGUCGAACACGAGCGAGCUAACCCUAGUUGGAGAUCAGAUCUAAAUUACUAUAGGCUGGUUCGUGACCAGUUGAAAAAGCCUCGCUUCUGAUCGGAUUGCAAUUUAUUCAAGCUAGCUUGUGUUCAUCUCGUCAGUUCGAUUAGUUUACCAAGCUGAGGUAGCUCAUAUAUGACUCGAAUUGUUUACAACUCGAAAUUUAAAUCUCAAAUUGAUUAGUUUAGAAAAUUGUCAUUUUUUUGCAUGAAAAUUUUAAAUCUCAACUUUGCGUUUGGAACUUUGUUUCAGUGAAACUUAGACCACCGCGUUUGUCUCUGAGUAUAGGUGUUCAUAGUAUCCUUAACUUUUGAAUUUCGUAAAAUAUUUUAUUUGGAGAUUACAUUCCGAAGGCGAAAUGGUCAGUUUCUUGGAGAUAACUGCACGCGUAGUGCCGAAUUUGGAAACCCAUAAUUUUUUGCUCAAAACUCCGAUUUCAAUGAAACUUGGCUUCAGAUGUUUUGUUUCUGAGUAUACUUGCGUAUAGAACUUUCCUUUUGCGAAAAUUAUGGAAAAAGUCACAUGAAAUGAUGGAUUGAUCACGAGAUGGUCGUUUUUCCGAAUUUUUUCGGUUUUACCGAAAACUUCCAAAUUCCAAAAAAGCAUCAGGAUGACCAUUAAACCUCACAAUAACACUCCAUUUUGUGCUAGGGGCCCUCAAAAGCCGGAGAUUAGUUUUGUUGGAAUUGGCUUGUUUUUUAUUAAACAAAAAGCAAAAUUACAAUUUAGUCCGUUAUUUAUUACAACCAUGGGGUCAGUUUUUGGGAUGUGAUCUAUUUGAUUGCAGAAUUUAUUUUUGGUGAUGGGAUUUAUGGUUAAUUAGUGGUUUUGGGGUUCAUUUGCCAUGAAUAGCAUACGAGCCAGACUGAUCCAGGGCAGGACAGCAGCCUUCACGCUUUGAAAAUUCAUAGGUACUGAAACAUAGAAUGAAGACCAGAGACUUUGGGGAACAGAUCUAAUGUUGAUGAGUUCCAAGAAUGAAUUGAUAAUGUGUAGCACUUUAAUUGAACCAACAAAGAGAAGAGGAUGAAGUUUGUGACUGUCAAAAUGGAGAAUGCUAGUUUUGCUUGGUUACAAGAUCUUUGAGGCUUAGUGUCAGAAAGAAAAAUUUGUAUGUGGUGAAAAUGAAUGUAAGGCUUCGUUUGGGAUUGCGGGGAGAUUGCGUUACGUGCGGUGAGAAACGACGAUGGGAAAAUACCCAGUUUGUUUCCGUACGUAAUAUUGCGUUCCGCAUAUCGCGAUGAGUCGGUUACGAUAUAUUUUCUGCGGUCCCAUCGAAGAACGCAGAAAAUAUCCCUAUAUGCUUUUUUCUCAAUUCCAUUUUAUCUAAUAGUGUUAGAUAGACCUCAAUACCAAACUAAGCCUAAGAUGAAUUGCAAAUAUUUUGCUGCUAGGCUAGCUGUAGCCUCCUAGAGAUUUUCAGUGUUAAUUGAAUAAUAAGUUGGCUAGAUUUUAACUCACUUUGGUUAUGUGUCUUAGACUGAAAAGAUUGUAUGUUACAUCCCUAAAUUUAUGUCCUGUAUCUGAGAUGAUACAAGGUUAUCUGCACUUACAAGUCGAAAGCUAACAUAGAGAUGUCUUUGAAGCAAAAUACUACUAGCGUUAUGAAUGGUUCUGUUUUUAAACGGAAGUUGAACCAAGCCGCUUAAAGUAUUUCAAAAACAAAAAAAAACUGAACUUACAUGAAAGUAGCAUUGUAGUAAAAUCAGACUAACAGAACUUGAUAGAUUGUCUUUCUCAGUUUGGCUUAUCUGUUCCAUGUUUCCAGUAUUGCUUUAUAGUAAAUAUAUGACCCUAUGUUAAAGUUCACAUAGUGUUGUACAGUAUGGUGGUUAGGUUUAGCAGUUUUUAAUGAGAGAAUAAGUUCCUAGUCAUCAGAAAGGUGUGUAUCUGCAACAUAUUAUAAAAACAUAUACACAUUGGUUUGUAUCACGAGCUAGCUGAGCAAAAACUGAAACCAAUUUGAAUCAAAAUGGAUUAUCAUUCUUGGAACCAAAACUAAAACAAUAAUUUUCUUGGAAUUAAACUAAAACCAAGGAUUUAUUUCAUGGUUUGCUGUUUUGCAGGUUAUUUUGCAAAUCUGUAGAUACCACCACCUCCCAAUGCUCAUGCUUCUUGUUGGUUAGGGUCUUGUUACUACGAGUUGGCACUGAAUCAAAUUAUUUAGACGCUUGAAGGAUAUUCUUCUGUUUAUUUUGUACUAGUCAGCUGUACUUUCAUGCAACUUCAUCUUUAGGGCACGUCCAUAUGAGGCUAAAAUUUAAAGCAAAAUUUUUCUAGAGUAAAAUUUCAUUAGGUGAAUGUUACCCUUGUUAUUGUUUGUAAAUUAAAUUUUUUAUUGUACUGUGAACAAGGGGAAAUUUUUAACCUCUUAACAUUUCAUGAAGUUUGGUUUAAUCAAGACUUUGGUGGUAGCUAGUAGAGAUGAAGGUAUUGCCGGUGGUAGUGCUUUGUGUUUGCUGUAGGUGCCAGUGAUGGCCAAAUAUGGGUGAAUAUGCCUGUUGGUGGCGGUAGUGCUGCCAUGGUGGUGUGCUGGUAACAAUUCCUAUUCGUCUUAGUUUGAGAUUAUGGUGGUAGCCGGAUGGUUGUUGCUUGUUGGCAAUGUCUGAUUACUGUAAUUGUGGUGGCGGGCCUAUUAACCAAGAUUGCUUGGGAGUAAUGAUGGUAGCCUGGUAGCUUAUUGUUGCGACCCUAGUGGCUGCCGAUGGUGGCUCGUUUGCUAUUUAUGGUUGAUAGUUGGUUAUGAUAGUUAUAGUCGUCGGCGCUCAUAGAUUCUGUUAGUGGUUGAUCAUCAUUUUUGAUGGGUGUGGCAACUAUAUGUUGGUUGUUGCUUUUGACAGCAAUGGCUAUUAGUGUUUGGUGACUAUGGUCAUUGCGAUAGGUAGUAAUAGCGGUGAUUGGUGAUGUUUGAAAUUUUGCCCUAAGUUGAUGGGAUGGUGUGGGAUGCUGUAUGGUGGUAUAGUCCUUGUGGUUAAGGUUCAUUGGCAGUAUUGCUACUCGUUUGAUGGCGUUUGGGGGUGUUUUAUCAACAGUUGCUAUUACUAACCGCCAGUGGUAUUUUGUGGUCAGUAAAGCCAAACUGUCAUUGAUAAUGUUAGUGAUGGUCAAUUUUGGUGAAGGUGGCUAUUAGGUUGCAUAAUUUUCACAUACGCAUUCGAAUUUGCUCGUAGUCCUUUUAGUUAACCUUGACUCUCGUCAGAGAAAAGAAAAUACAAUGCUUCUUGUGGUUAAAACAUAACUAGUCCUCGAAGUUUCCCUAGAGGCGCAGAAGUCCUUUGGUUUUUUAGAAAAUCAAUUAUUAUGAUGUGAAAGAAUUUUCUGAUCUUUGAUGUUAAAGAGGCUACACAAAUAUACACACAAAGGGAUCAAAAAGAGAGAGAGAGAGAGAGAGAGAGAGAGAGAGAGAGAGCCUCACUAAAACAAACUGUUAGGGCAUGUUUGGUUCAUGAUUGGAACAUGAAUGUGGAAUGGAAUUGGAUUCCUUUGGAAUGCUUUGGAAUGGAAAAUGGAAUGACGAAUCAUCCAAAAAUAUUUGGUUCAUUAUUGGAAUGGAAAUCGAAAUGAGAAUUUAGAAUUUUUGAGUGAUGAUUUUGAUUAAGAGAGAGGAAAGUGAUGAAGCGAGAGGAGGUAAGUGUUAUGAAAGAGGAUUUUAAAUAGUUUAGGAAAAACUUCAAAUACCACCCUAUGGUUUCGCACUUUUUCACUUUAGUAUUGUGGUUGAAAGUGUAUCACUUUCGUACCCUGUGGUUUAUUUUUCUCUUUUUGUUAUCCCCUUCACUAUUUUUUUUCGUUAAAAUAGUGACAAAGUUAAAAUUAAAGGGUACUAAAAUGAAUAUUCGAUAAACUAUAGGUGGGGUAUUUGAAGUUUUUUGUAUAUGAUUUAAUGAAAAGUUAAUGGAGGGGCUGACGAAAAUAGAAAAAUGAAACCAUGGGUACUAAAUUGAUACACUUUAGAGCAUAGGGUACUAAAGUGAGAAAGCGCGAAACCAUAGGAAUGGUAUUUGAAGUUUACCGCAUAGUUUACUUUGGAAUGAGCCAAUUUGAGAUUCAAAGCCGGAUUGGGCUAUAAAAGGAUUUGGCUAUUCCAAUUCCGGAGUGGAAUGUGAAUCGAAAUCCGAUUCCUAUGAAACAAACGACAAUUAUUGAAAUUAAUGAAUUAUAUUUCGAUUCCAUAGUCUAAAAUAGGUGAAUCAAACAUGCCCUUAGUGUAAGAUAAUUCAGUAUGUGUGGUUUGGGCCAAAAUUGCUUGUGAUAGUUGUAUAGAGUAAGUAGCAUUUUCUGAAAGUUUAAAAUCCAGGUAUAAGCUGAUCGUUCACAUGCCUCAUACUCUUUAGACCCUUGCAAAUUUAGUUGCUUAGAAGCUUUCCCUUCUGUGACAAGUUCAAGUUUUUUAUUUAACAAAUUUUGCGUUGAAUGACUUUGUGUAAACUCAAGCAGAGGCUCUAUAAACGUACCUUGUUGAAUUUGCCGUGUGUAUGAGAUGCAUUGCUCAAAGUUGUAAGAACUCUGAACCCUUUCCAUAUAUAUUGGUUGUGCAAUCUAAGUUGCUCAUAUUAAUGCGACUUCACACAUUCAAAUUUAGUUCCACACCAAAAUUCAUCUCUAGUGCCUCUUUUCUUGCUGCAGGAUUUUGAAUGGAAUUACAUAUUGCUGUGGCGAUUGUUUGUUCAUGAGCCAGCAUCUGAUUUGCAGGUCUUAUUGACAGCUGCUCUUUCUUUACCAACUCAUGCGAGUUUUGUAGGUCUUCUGGAUUUGUUGAGUGCAUUACUUCUUUUUCUUAUUGAUUGCAGACAUCUCAAUUCACAGAUAUACUCGAUCACAUUUCAUCAAUUUGUACAAACAUAGUUCGAGGAUCCAACUAUUUAUUAGAACUAAUGAAUUUGAAGCUUGAAUUCCUCUAUUGUGAUUACCAAGAUGAAAGAGAUUUAAAAACACAUACUCUCAUGAUGGGACACAUUCUGAAUGAACAUCAGACUAAGGCGAUCACUUCAAUUGGAACUGUCAAAGGUAGAAAUUCGGUUCAUCUGGAUUAGUUGUACAGCCCAACCGAAGAUUUAAUUAUGAUUAGCAAUUAAGGUGAUUUUUUUUAAUUUUUAAUUUUAAUUUUUUUUGGCAUUUAGUGUUGAUGUGCUGUUACUACAUUGUAUCCAUGUUUGACUACUUACUAAUUCCACCAAGAGCUCAAUAGCUAACAUUAGCAAACAAAAUAAGACAGGCAAUUUAUUGAUAAAAGAGUGAGAGCAUACUAUCAGAUACUACAAUUGUUUCGAUACAUAGUUGUCUUUUGGGUCUGUAUAUAACUUUGUAUGUUUUUGGGAUUUACAUUCCACAAAAUACUCUCCUUAUAUUCAAAUGACCUCUUUAACUUUUUUAGCAUAUUAAAGCGCAAGAAGAUCGGUAUAAUACUUUCCAAGUCAACUGUAUUUGGCCCUGGACAACAAUUUAUGCUGGUUCUUUUCCUUCAUUAUCUUAUCCGUGUUUAAGAUUUAUCUUUUACAUUUUAUACUAAUCAAUUAUCCCUAGUUUGGAUGUUGUGCUUGGUUUUGACACCCUUAUUUCUAGGGUGAACUUCAAACGACCAUUUUGUAGUUAAGAGCUUUUUUACUCUGUCGCUACGUAGUUUCCAUCAUCCAUUUUUCAUACUUGGUGGUUUUAUAUUUAUUCACCUUAUGCAUGUAAUAUAAACAGGGUAGGAAAGUGUUAUGCUCAUCACGGACCACACGGUGGUAAAGUGUAAAUUAUAGGCUAUUAAUAUUGUAUUGGAUUAAAUUUCGUAGGUCCUUGUGAAAAUUUCGAAUAGUAAACAAAUUUCUACAAAGUUUAAGUCGUCAAUUUUAUUCCUUCAAAAAGUUCAAACAGUUUCAAAACUUGGUUUAAGGGAUAAAUUUGUUAAAUAAUAUGAAACAACAGUUUAAUAUUUAUACCAACAUAUGUUUUUAAUAUUUGUAUUCAACACUCUUCGUUACGUUUGGACUUGGGACACUGUACAUCUAAACUCUAGACAUUUUGAUAGACUUAAGGUGUAAAUUUGAAUUAAAUAGAAAGAAAUUAAUAUUUAUAUUUAACAGGAGUUUUUAAUAUUUAUAUUCCACACUCUCCCUUGUGUAUGGACUUGUUACAUAUCGCUCCUAAACUCGAAACAUUUUGAUAGAUUUAAGACUUGGAUUUGAAUUAAAUAUAAUGAAACUAAUAAUACUAAGAGUUUGUCGUGACUCGAACUUAAGACAUUCUAUUUUGAUACAAUGUCAAAUAAUAUGAAAAUACUAUUUAUCUCCAAAAGUUUAAGUUACCAAAAGAAAAGUAUUUUUGAUAUUUACAUUCAACAAUUGUAUUUAAACCCUCCAAACAUUUGUAUUUGCAAUUGGUGCAAUAUCAAGUUUCGUUGUGUUGAGUAUCGGUAUCGAACAUUAGUAUUGGUACAUUUACCCCGUGUACUAGUACUCAAGAGCAGUUUCGCAAAAUUUGAAUCCUGAAAUCAACCACUCACUAUAGUCUACUGGCACUCCCAAUCUUCAGUACUGAUACUCUCAACUUCAGUACCGGUGCUCAGUGAAGUUCUACAAAAUCUAAGAGUUUUUCCAACUAAUUGAUAGCUGAGUACAACUAUCCCAAAUUUCCAUACUAGUAUUAACAACAAAACUGCAGUUGGUCGAUUUUGCUUUCAUGAGUUCACUUUCGUGCCGUUUUCAUGCUGAUAACACUCUAAGACUCAAACACAACUAGAACAAUUAAAAUAAUAUUAAAUACUAUUUUUUACUGGAACUCCGCUGUUUAAAAAAGUUUAGUGCGUUGCAUUUGUAUCUUGAAGAAAAAGGAGUAAUAAUAAAAGCCAUAGACUAAUAUUUCUCAGAAUUUGCACAGACUGCUAUCUUAAACAUGAUUUGUGCAUUUCUAUUGGCGCUUUUUGGUGUUUCCUAUGUAAAACCCUUCUUAAAAAAGUAGGGAUAGUAUCUAAUAAACACUUUAAAACUUUAAGAUGGUGGAGAAAGAAGAACUUUUAAAGAGUUUGAGCCCUACAAAAAUGGAGAUGCCUACCUGCUUGGAUUUCAAGCCCACGUCAAUUUCUGUUGACCCAGUUUUUACACGAUUGUAUUGUUAGGGCCUGUUUGGCCUAGCUUCUGAAAAAGUGAUUUUAGUUUGGAAAAAUAAUUUUAGUAAAAAGCUGUACAGCGUUUGACAGAGUUUAGAUAAAAGUGAUUUAUUUGAAGUGAUUUCAAAAAGCUGUUUGGCAAACUUUUUUUGAUGUUUGCAUAAAUUAAUAUUUUUAUUAAAUUUUAUUUUAAAAUAAUUUAAAAUCUAAAUUUAAAUUUGAAUUAAAAUUAAAAUUUUUAAAUUUCAAAAUUGUACAAAAUUUAAAAUUUGAUAUUUUAAUUUAAAAAAUAAUUUAAAAUUUUAAAAAUUUAAAAUUAUCAUGAAUUAAAAUUAAAAAUAUAAAUAUAAAUUUAAAAAUAUAUAUAAUUAUGAAUUUUAAAUAUAAAUUUAAUAUAUAAAAAUAAAAAUUUAAAAUAAAAUUUCAAACUUUAAAUUAGAAUUUAAAUUUUAAAAUUUAAAUCUAAAUUUAAAAUUUAAAAUUAAAUGUAAAAAUAUAAAUAAUUAGAAAUAUAAAUAUAAAAAUUAGUAUUUAAAAUAUAUUUAAAUUUUAAUUUAAAUAAUUAAAAUUAAAUUAAAAAUUAAAAUUUAAAAUUAAAAUUAAAAUUUAAAAUAAUUAUGAAAUUUAAAAUUUAAAAUUAAAAUUGAAUAUUUAAAAUUUAAAUUUAAAAUUUGAACAUUUUAAAAAUUUAAAAUUUAAAAUUUAAAAUUUGAAUAUUUAAAAUUUAAAAUUAAAAUUUAAAAUUUAAAAUUAAAAUUUAAUAUUUAAAUUUAAAAUUUUAAAAAUUUGACAUUUAAAUUUAAAUUUUAAAAUUUGCGAAUUUAAAUUUUAAAAAUUUGAAAUUUAUAAUUUGAAGAUUAAAAAUUAUAAUUUGAAAUUUGAAAUUUAAAAGUUAAAAUUAAAUUAAAAUUAAAAUUCGAAAUUUAAAAUUUGAAAUUUGAAAUUUGAAAUUUGAAUCUGAAAAUUAAAAAUUAAAAUUAAAUUUAAAUUUAAAUAUUGAAAUUAAAAUAAAAAUAAAAAUUUGAAGUUUUAAUUCAAAAUCAGAAUCAGAUUUCAAGAAGCAGUUUUUUUCUGUUUCUGAUUCUGGGGUCUUCAAAAGCAAUUUUCUGAUUCUAAAAAGCAGAAUCAGAUUUUAAAAGUGAGUUGCCAAACGCUCUAUUGAGCCGAAAAUCACUUUUCAGCCCAAAAGCACUUAGGCAAAACACGCUCUUAGUUUGUUACAGGGAUGUCAACGUGCCCGAUUCAGGGCGGAUUUUAAAAAUACGAACCUGUACUCGAACCCGACUUCAAGCCCGAAAUCUGAACCCGAACCCAAACCUGAACCCGAACCCGACGGAUUUUAAAAAUCCAUAUCCAAAUCCGAAUCCGAUAAAAAACCAAAAACCCGAACCCGAAACGAAACCCGAAAAUCCGAACCUGAAAUAAUUAUUUCUCUUUUCAAUAUUUCAAAAUAUAUUAUAUUAAAUUUAAAAUUUCAAAAUACGAAGUCAAAUAUAAUAUCAAAUUUUCAUAUACAUAUUAUAUAUAAUAUAAAAUAAAUUCCGGUUCGGAUCGAAUUUGGGUCGGGUUCGGAUUCGGGUUGGGUAUAGUCAAAAUCUAUAUCCAUAUCCAUAUCCGUCGGAUUUUUAUUUUUGAUAUCCAUAUCUGAAACCAUAUCUAUUUAACAUCAGAUAAAUUAGUUGCAUUCGAAUUGAGAUUCGGAUAAAAUUUCGGGGUAUCCGUAGCCAUUGAAAUCCCUAGUUUGUUACCAUGUACGAGUUAAAGCAUGCACUGCUGCCUCCGUCUCCCUAUGCUUUCCCUGUAUUUUAUUUAUUUUUUCUUUUUUCGGUUUUUAGUUUUUCACUUUUGUUGCCUUUUUCACAAAAAUCAAAUAUUUCUCUUUCCCAUUAUAUUUUACCACUUUUACUACCUUCCUAAGUUUGGUCUAUCUUAUUUUAUUUUAUAUUUUGACUCGCAAAUAGCAUGCCAUCUAUUUGGUUUAUAUUUUAAGGUUGCAAUUGAUUUCGGUAUAAAAAUUACUUAUUUCAGAGAAAGGUACAAGUUCAGAUAUAAGCAAGAAUUAGAUUAAUUUGCAUUUAGAGCAAAAUCCGGUUAUUCCUGAAAAUAAGCUAAAUAGUGUUUAUAUGGUUAGGCUUAGUUUGGUAUUGAAGCCUAUCUAAUGCUAUUAGAUAAAAUUGAGUUGAGGAAAAAGCAUAUAGUGAUAUGCUUCUACGUUCUCAAGUGGGACUGCAGAAAAUAUAUCGUCUCAUCGUGAUAUGCGGAACGUAAUAUUACGUAUGAAAAUAAACAUGAUAUUUUUCAAACGUACUUUCUCACCGCAUGUAACGCAAUUUUCCUGCAAUUUCAAACAAUGCCUUAGAUUGGAACAUGAGGAAUAAGACUUACAAAUUUAAAUUAAAAAUAUUUUAUCUAAUUAAUUAACAUUAAAAUAUUAAUUAAAAAAAUUUAUAAAUUAAUAACUUUAUUAAACAAAUAUUGUAUAAGAUAAUGAACAUAUAUAUUAAUUAAUUAAUUAAUUAAUUAUAAAAAAUAAUUUAAUUUUUUAAUUAGUUAGUAAAUUAUUUUAAUUUGAUAACUAAUAAAAAAUUAACUACAUUAAUAAAAAUUUUAAUGGUUGAUCAAUAUAAAUAUUAUUUUAUGGAUAAAUACAUUAAAUUAUUAAUAAUUUAUUAACUAAUUAUUUAUAAGUAAUAAAUUAAUUAAUUAUUUAUUAUUUAAGUAAUGGAUAAUGAUUUAAAUAUAUUAGUUAGAUUAAUUAAUGAUUUAAUACCAUAAUUAAAAUUAAAUUUAGAUAUUAAUUAACCUUAUUCCCAUUUGAGAACAAGCUUGUUUCAAGAAAACGGAUGGAAAAGCAGUUCCAGGCUUAUACCGGAUUGUACCAGCUUAUUACAAGGAUCCAAUAACUACUGUUCCCGAAUACGAAAAUUUACAUUUGGGAACAAAAAGGAAAAGAAGGGUUUAUUCCUCUCUUGUUCCCAAACCAAACACUGCCUAAAUGAAUGAACUUCGCAAAAAAUGUAAAAUAACUAGACUUCAAAUGUACAUGGGAUUUCGGAUACCAACCAUAAAGCCCUUUGGGAUAUUGCGUACCUAAAAUUCUCUUCUAUUAUUAUCUCACUUUAUAAUAUUUAAAUUAUUUUUAGGAAAAACUUCAAAUACCACCCAUGUGGUUUGGUGCUUUUUUAUUUUACUACCUUGUGGUUUAAAGUGCAUCAUUUUGAUAUCAUGUGGUUUUGUUUUUCUUUUUUUUAUCCUCUUCGUUAAUUUUUUUGUUAAAUUAGUGAAAAAAGUUAAAACCAUAUAGUACUAAAGUGAAAAUUCGGUAAAUCAUAGGAUACUAAAGUAAAUAUUUGAUAAACUAUAGGGUAUGUAUCUGAAGUUUUCUCUAUAAGUUUUAAUGAAGAGUUAUGCUAACGGAAAGAGAAAAAUAAAAUCGCAAGAUAUUAAAGUGAUACACUUUAAAACCAAAUCAGAUCGAAACAAAAUCCCAAAAAGAAGGAAAUCUGAGUUGCAGACUUUUUGGAUGCAUAGAACAGGAUUCGGGCACCUGAAAUGAUUUCAAAUGGCCUAGUAGAGCACCUGGAACUAACGGAUGCACUUCCAGAGAGUAAAGUUGCGAGGAGGCCAACUUUCAUGCGUCCGAAUUUUCUUAUGGGCGCUCGGAUCUUUUCAGAUCCUACUUGAGGGUGUCUGGAAGUGUCACGCCUUGGGGUCACUUUUUUGGAUUUAAAAGCCGAUGCAAAAGUGCCUUUUUUUCUUUUCUUUUUUUUAAAUCUUGACCCCCGAGUAUGUCAGAUCCGUCACAAAUAUAAUGAAUCCACUGUUCACACGGAUAGAGUCCUCCCUGUAUUUGCACGGCGUCGCACAAGUACAAGAUACAACCACAUAGUAUGAACAUCCAUAUACAAUCACCAUUCACAUUCACCAUUCAUUUCAUCACAGAUAAUCAUAAAUUCACAUCUAUUAGUUUAAAACGUUUCCCACCCAAAAACUUAUUUUAAAACAUUAAGAAUCACGAAAACCAGAAAAUUCUUUUUAAAACCGUUUUCCACACGGAAAGCUUUUCUUUUAAAACACGCUACUACGAGGGGUAGAAAACCGUUUUCAUCUCAUAAGAAAAAUCAUAAGUACUUUAUUACAUUCAAAAACCACAUGAAUUCAAAUAAAGUAAACCAACUUAACCAUAAAUACUAAGUCAAUUACUUUGAGAAAGACAGGUUAAGAAUUAAACUAAAUCAACGGGUUGGUAGCUCUAUCGAUCGCUAAAAUACGCUCCUCACACACUGUCCCGACUCGAACCCGCGACGUCACCUGAAAGGAGGGUCGGGGGUGAGAACAUGUAUAUAUAUCUCCCCUCCUAGUAGGUACCGCAAGCCGACGAGGACGAGGGAUACUCACCAGUCAAGGAGGAUAACUACAAGUAUAGAUAAUGGUAAUACAGUAGCAAUGAUAAAAAGGAACGAGAUAUAUAUAUGAAUCACUACUGCUACUAUAUGCAUGAAUCAACUGGACGAUAAGUCCAAAAGUACCUAAUCAGAAACCUAUCAUGUUGGUCCGCAGACUUUAGGCCUGUGCCACUGCCAAUCUACCUGCAUAUAACCCAGCCUAGGCCUCCGGGCUCACGGGUUGGUAUGUGUAAUAUUUAAAAUUUGAUCAAUGAAGGAAAUUCGGAUUUGAAAAUUUGAAAUUCAAAUAUAUAUAUAUAUAUAUAUAUAUAUAUAUAUAUAUAAUGUGUUCGUGGGUGUGUGUGUGUGUGUGUGUGUGUGUGUGUGGUUAUAGUGUGGAUCGCGGAGAGGGUUGGUUUUGUCGCAAAUUGGCAACCAAAUCGGACGAAACAAGAUUGUAGAUUUGAUGCCCCAGUCGUACUGAACGCGCCGGUGCGAUAUGAUCGAAAAUCUGACGAACAGAUCUCAGGAAAUCGCGAAAUGUUCGCUGAGGGGUCGAAAUUGGCAAAACGAAAAAUUUGCGAAAAGCCCACAUUUUAUGUACAGUUUUGCGUGAUUUCGAAUGUCGAGGUUCGUAUGCGCAAAACGCUCGUGCUGUGAGGGACUUGGCCAGAAAUAUGCAGCUUUGGAGGACUAAACUGCAUUUUGGCCAACCUGUAUAAAAGCUAGUAUUAGGGUUUUCAAGAAAACCCUAACCCUAGCUGCCUCUACUUCCUUUAGCUGCACCCCCUGUAGCCUCCACCACUUCCCAGCACCUCACCACGCGCACCUCGGCCGUCGAAAAAGGGCAGCAUUGUCUCCCUCGACCUUCACUCCACUCCUCGGGACUCCCCUCCCUGGCUGAGACCCGACCUCCGGCGCCGUCCCCGCCGGCCCCACCGUUCGCGUCUACCGCCGGCGCCGCCUGAGCCAUCCGUGGCCACUUGUGGGUAGCUUGGGCCGAGCUUGAGCCAGCUCCUGGCGACGAGCUGCCGCUGCCUCGUGGUCGGCCGCGCCGCCCUCCUGGGCCUCCGGCCCGCAGCGUCUCCACGCAUCGCCACCGCCCACCGUCAGCCGCGUUGCCCUCCCUCGGCCUCCGGCGAUUAGUCGUCGUUGCCCCGGCGCUCCCCCGGCCGCCGCCUGGAAGCCGUUGCACCUUGAACCCGAGUCGAGGCCGCACGGGCUCGUGCAGCUCCACCGCGCCACCGGCCGCCUCCUGCCGCCGACCAGCGCAUGCCCAGGCCGAUCCCCUCAUCCUGUCGGCGCAAAGCCUCGGCUUGAAGUAGCGCUACGCUCGACUGUCGCUCCACCACGCCAACUAAAGUGGCCAACUGCUCUCUCAACUCCCGAAUCUCGCCGGAUCGGAGGGAUGCAGGCUUCUCCGGCUUGGUCGCCUCGGCUGCCGUAGAGUGUAUCGUCGACAUCACAAGCUGCAACAAACAUAACAAGCACAGGUUAAAACAACCCAUGCUAUCGCAGCCCCACUCAUAACUACAAUAUCCCAAUCAUGCGAAAGUAAUGAAGUGACCUCUCACUAUUCCUCGAGAUCAUGUUAUCAGCUGCCAACAUUAUCUUACAAGGACAUAGAUGUUAUCCAAUUCGAUCCAACUCCAACACCUUUGGAGUUACAAAUAUGACCCAAUCAUAAUACUUUCGCCGACAAAUGGUCCCAAAAUACUCCGUCUCUCACGUUCCUAUUCCUUAUCGUCCAACCGUCCAAAGGUUUGCUAGGUCCUCUAAGACUCUACCCUAGGCUCUGAUACCACUAUAAUUUGUCACGCUCCGGCCAAGCGGAAGCCCACCUGAACGCGUGCACAGACCCGCCGUGUACACCAAACAACCACGAUGCACACAAGACGUCUACUAAAUAAGAACGAAUAAGAACAAGUCCUAACAAGGCUAUCAGAGCGAGUAAUAUAAAAUGACUAAUGUUCUAACACAAAGAGAUCCACAAAAUAUACAAAAUAUAUACAACUAAAUCCAAAAGCCUAACAAUAUCUCUAAAUCAAAUACAUAAUACAUCUUUCUACAAGAUAGAAAAAGAAAGAUGACAUCGGGUCCCUCUAAAUAUCUCCGUAGGGACUUUAGCUAGUCGUUAACCCCUUGCCACGAUCCCUAGCAUCUCCCACCGCGGAAGGGUCUGAAACAAAAACAAUCAACAAAUGGGGGUGAGAACUAUUAAACAAUAGUUCUCAGUGGGUAAGCCGUCGAGAGUGGCGAAAUACACUACUAGGUCAACUGAGGCAUGCUAUAAAGGGGGAAGUAAACAAUAUAUAUGAAUGACAAGUAAAUAAACAUAUUCAUUUCAUAGUUAUGCCUCCACUAAAGGAUUUACUAUCAAGUACAUGAUAUUCUAAUUUCAUUUAUUUAACUAAGUGCCAAUGUCCAUUUACAUGCACAUUCAACUAUAUGCCGAUGUUAGUUUACAUGCAUGUUCAUUAUGUCCAUAAUGCUACAAAGAGUAAAGUAUGCUUUUCUUUGCUAUUCUAGCCAUGUAUUUAUACCAAUCCACAUAGGUGUAGGUUUACUACCACUAAGGUGGUCAAUGUCAUAAUAUCCCAAAAGCGUCCAACUACUAUGAAUGCAUCAAGUAGUAAAAUAAGGUAGCAAACCACAAGUAUGAACAUCUACUAUGUAUGCAUCAACUACGGUGAUGUACAAUGUCAAAUUAAGUCUCAAUACCCAAUUUACAUGGAACGUACACGUGGUAACGUCCCGGCUCGUGCCGUGCCUUAGUAGCCCCGUGGGGGUCAUCAUUUUCUCCGCAAGAAAAGAGACUCCGCCCACGGCAUCCCACUUCGGUGCCCAAUCCCGCACGAGCGAUCUAUCGUUACAAGGCUAAACUCCGGAGUGCCGGCUUGUAGGGAGCGACCCUCACAAGCAUGUGCGAAUAAGCACAAGGGCAAGCAAGCGUGAUCAUAACAUAGGGUCCACAAUUUGGAAUACUCAAUCAUCAUGUCUAAAACAUGAAAAUUUUCACACAUCGCCUCGACGGUCGGGUACUAGAUCAUUCAUGUCAUGUCAUGUCUUGUUCACAACUACUUGGGUGGUAUGUCCCUACCAACACAUAUAAUGCCUAAAGCAUGCAUAGUUCAUAUGACAAUAUCCUAUCUAGGAUAGUUCACUAUUUUAUCCAAGACUCCAAAGAGAUUCGUAACAUGCAAUUUUAAUAAUUGUUAAGAAGCAUUUACUAAUGCCAUAUGCAAGAGGAUUAUGAAGUGUCCACAAAUACCACAAUGCAUGUCAUGCAUAUGUCUUUCCACUAACAUCCCCACUACAUAGAGUAGAAGCAUUAUGAUGCAAAUGAUUAAUUCCACUAGUAUUACAUGAAAUCAUCUCUAUUAGGGUUCGCACCAAAGGCUUUAUACUCUCUUUCCCUCAUGUCUAAAACAUGGAAUAUAGCUAUCGAACCCUAGAUCGAAUGUAAUGUCAUAAUGGCAAAUACUAGUUGUUCUACUAGGUUAAAUGCACCAAGUUACCAUGUCACAUGUUAAGUUCUAGUUGUUCAACUAGGUUGAAUGCACCAAGUUUAGCUUCAUGAUGACCUUAUCAUGCACUAUGUUACAAUGUUCCAAUUACCUUGUCUACAACAAGUAUAAUAUUAUCAUGCAAGUAAUGCUAAGUUCCAUUCAUCUUGUCUAUAACAAGUGUAGUAUUGUCAUCAUGUAAGUUAACUACUUAUUUAACCCAUUCACUAGGUACCCCUUAAGAGUUAUACCAUCAUUCAUACUCUAACAUGCUUUCUAUGGUUGCAUAAGAGAGAAAUCAUCAAGUAGUGCUAGUUCAUGUACAAGUCCACAUAUAUGUCUCUACUACAUAGAGCAUUAAAUUUACUAUACAUAACAUGUAUGUUUUAUAUUUUCAUAAAUUCUAGCAUGUCAUAUUGAGCAUAAAUAAGCAUUUAAAUAUGUCUUAAAACCAUAAGGAAGACAUAGGGGGAGUUCACCCAUUUCGGUGAGGUCAAACCCACCGGAUGUUCUUCGAACCCUUUAGUUCCUUCGAACGAAGUUGUCCACCAAGCUCCUAGCACCCUAAAAGAAUUUCUAAGAGGGUUAGGGGUAAUGAACGAAUACCCCGCAAGCUCAACUUUAACAAACCCAAGAAUAGGUAGAAAAUUACCUUUGAUCAAGCUACACUUGUCCAAAGCUCAAAUCAACCCAAAGGAUCUUCAAAUCCAACCUAAAGGAGAGUUCUACACUCAUCAAUUAGAUUCCAAAAGCCUCAAAUCAAAAACCCCCAAAUAAAACCCUAAAUUUCUCAUUCUAGAUUUUCAUCACAAAACUCCACAAUAAACAUGAUCUAAAGAGAAGAUCAAGGUUACUAACCUCUCUUGAAGCUCCAAACCAAGCUAGGAGUGAGCUAGGGUUAGAAAUCUUUUCUCAAAGAAGCUCCAAUCCAAGCUCCAAGGCUUCUCCAAUGGUAGAAACCCAACAUGAAGCAAAAAGGGCAAAGAGAGAAGAUCAAACCAAGCUAAAUCCAUAAGAAAAGAGAGAAAAUCAAGAGAGAAGAGCUCUCACCUUGGUCUCCACGGUUUAGGGCUCAAAAGAGCUCUCAUGGCUGAGGGGGAGAGAUAUAUAGAGUUGUGACAAACUCAAAAAGACCCCUCAACAACGUGCAGUUUGCAUCUGCACUGCAUACCAGUGACACCGGCUGGAGUACCAGUACCAGGCAGCAGCACGCGCAAACCCGAGCCUCGGGUAAGCGAGAAAAUACACUACGUACCGAUACUCUCGUGAUGUAGUACCGGUACCAACUCCAGUACCGGUACUCGGGCAAUGCAGUACCGGUACUCUGCCUCGCAGAGCUCAACCUGAGAGCAGCCCAAAUCCUACAUUUUAGAGGUUUUGGUGCUAAGUUUCCAUCAUCGCUCUAGGGAUGCGAGUCAUAGGUUGGAACACAGUCAACGACCUUCCAGAAAACCCAGAAAAGCUUAGAACACUAAUUAAACACUCAAACCUUGCAAUUUGCUAAAGUUCAGUGUGUUACAUUCUCCCCUCCUAAAAAGGAGUUUCUGUAAGAAUUUAUCCGGCACAAAAAAUCGCAGCGGAAAAUAAAUAUCGUGUUUUCGAAAAACAAAAAUCCAUAUCACAUAUGAACCAAAAUAAAACAAAUCAAUCCAGUGCCGGUGGAUCAUUCUCAUGUUGCAAUGUAAAAUAAAAACUAACCUAAACAGAUUUAAAGUUCAGGUUACAUUACCUCGGACCAGUUAAGGUCUCUUGAUCUACUGUAUUAACUGGUUACUUGAUCUACUGUACGGUUGAAACUGAAAUUUCGAUCAGCCGCACACGUGCCCGGCCUCUACGCGUAUCCACACGGAAUUGAUCCAGAUCCAAUGCUUUCCGUCGCACGGAAUAGAUUAGUCGCGAAUUACAAAGACGGUGCUAGCAGUCUCGUGAUAUCCACGUUCGCCUUUUGUGAGAUGUACUGAUUUUUUUUUUGGAAAAAUUAGAGAGAGAUGGAUGAUCUAAUAUUUCUCAAGAGGCUAUUAUUAAAUUCCUCUCGUAAAAGGAUGUUAUAACAUGUUCACAUAGCCGUGCAUUAAUAAUUGAUUAAGCCACGCCUAGCCGUACAAUCGACAUCCUCAAUAUUCUGUUGCAACUAAUUUGGAUCACAUCCAAUUAGUUGCAUAAAUUGUUGCAUGCAUUCUGGUAUAACUAAUUUGGAUCAUAUCCAAUUAGUUACAUGCAUUCUAAUGUAACCAAUUUUGAUCAUAUCCAAUUAGUUCCCAUAGAUAAGUAAAACAAAUUUAUACUUAUCCUCAUGGCUUUUUAUCUUUGUCUCUCUCCUUUAAUUUAAUUGGAUCUUAUCCCAUUAAUAAUUCAUAUUAAUAUCAUUUAAUAUCAUACUCAAAUAAUAUCUAUGAAUAAUUAAUUAUUCUCUAAUCUAAAUUAGAAGACUUAAAUCAAAAUUAUACCAUUCUCCAACAUUUUCACUCAAAUAUUUUAUGUAUUAAUUAGACUCAUCUUAUCAAAUUGGAUUCACCACGAAUUCCUAUUGUGUGUGCAGCAAAGUCAUUAUCCAUUCGAGUAGGUUCAAAUAUCAAAUCUCUUACUAUAUUGAAUUAGAAUUUUACUAAAAUAUUAUUUGAAUAUACAUUUUUACUUCUCUCAUUGUCCUGGUGACACCUAGCAGUAUACACGGCAUUCCAAAUGAUGAUGACUGACAAAACGAACCUUUCCACUAACAGUUACUAUGUGAUUAAUUCCUUCCAACAUACAACGCCCCGAUCGAACUAAAAUUAUGGUUACUCGCCAAAUCUUAUUAUUCGAUCAUAUGACUAGAAUAUCUAAAACUGACUCAAUAUGGUAACACAGCUGGAAACUCUUUCCACACACCACGUACCUUGGCCAAGAAUUUUUCGAGUCAAGUUCGAUAGUCUAUAUAGGACGUUCUCUCUCACUAUUGAGAGUGUUGAAUUCCUUAUUGCGCAUUCACAUGCCUCCCUAUAUAAACUACUACAGCCAAUCAGUACUAGACAUAGACCAAUGAUUAGAGUCUAAGUAUUAGUACAGUUAAACAGUAGCAAUCUACAUGUGAAGCAACCAUGAUGCCUCAGGUCUAAGGAGUACUUCACACAACUGUAGCAAAGAACUAGUCACUGGAGAAUUCGGAACCAUGUGACUGUUCAACUAAAUGGUCACGCUCAGUGUACUUGUUCGCUAACAAACACCUGCAUGCUUACUUUACUGUCCCUACACUAAUGACUUGAGAUUCGUCACCUCAACUUAGAAGUAUAGCAUACACCGCCCUAUCCGGAAAUAUCAUCGUCCUUAUGAAAUUCCUAUGGCUAGGAGCAUUUAAGAAUCUUGUACAAAGAAAUAUAUAUCUCAAAUUCCUAACUCUUAGGAAUAUAUUUUCUUAACGAAGAUUCAAUGGACGAUUCAUAUAAAUGUAUUCUAUUGCUAACAAUAAAUAUGAAUAAAACUUGCCCUUUAUUAAUUAAGAAAAAUACUUAAUAUGUUCACAAGCCUGUGUCACCGAUUGGCUUUAGGGUAUAUCACUAACAGUUUCGUCCGCGAAACUACAAAUCAACAACAUUAGAGAUCCAUCCGAAAAGGAUGGGAAAAGCGCUCCAACAGCGCACAGAACAGAUUCCAAAGGCCUCGAGAUGCUGGAUUGCUCCAAAGCAUCUUCACACCAAGAAUCCCGCAGCUCCAAAGACUCAGCAUAACGCAAGCCAAACUUCCACAUCUGUUCCUCGAACUCAAGUCCUCAUAGGGAAGUGCCAUCUUUAAUCGGUGCUCGUUUAACAAGCUCUUUAGUUGAUCCACAUGAAGCCAAUCGCCCCCAACAUGGUGUUUGAGUAAAAAAAAAAAAAUGAUAAUAAUAAUAAUAACAAAAAAGAGAGGGAAAGAUGUAAGAUUAAAAAAAAAAUAUAUCCCACUUCCCCUUUUGAAAAAAAAAAAAGGGAAAGAAGAGAUCGAAAGAAAAAAAAAGGUAAAAAAAAAAAUUUCAUACCUUGUGUGAAAGUAUCAUUCCAUUUUUUUAAUAUUUUUGAAUAACUUACAAAAAUAAGUAAAGGCCAUUAGAAGCUUAUUAUAAAGCUCCCAAAAAAAAAGAGAGCGGGGAUCCGGAGGGAGAGAACCGAAAACAAAAAAAGAAGAAAGAUAGAAGAAGAAGAGAAAAAAAAAAAAAAAGGUGAAAAAAAAAAAGUUUCUUUUACAUACUCUCUCUCUCUCUCUUUCUUUCUCUCUCUCUCGCGUAUAGGCACCAAAGGGGGAGGUAGCCCUUUUUUUGGGCUGGCUGACAGAGGAGGGGUGCCAUGUGCACCCCAUCCUUUGUCCGUACAACAGAAAAAAAAGGGGAACUUCCGUUCUUAUUCGGCGACAACGGCAACAAUAAUCACGACGACUUCUACGACAGCAGGAGACAUGCAUGCAUACGCGUAGCCUAAGUGCGUAUUUUUUGUCAAUUUGAUCAACCCGACCAUCUUUGUGAUAGGUUUCGAACCGAUCGAAUUUGACAUUAAAUCGCAGCUUCCGUCGCGCGUAUGCAUCACUAAUCCCUAAACCGUACUUUUUUUUUUGUCUAUUUGAUCAACCCGACCAUCUUCGUGAUAGGUUUCGAACCGAUCAAAUUUGACAUUAAAUCGUAGCUUCCGUCGUAUGCAUCGCUAAUCUCUAACCGUGCGGCCAUCUUCGUGAUAGGCUCGACAUGGUCAAAAUGACUGAUCGAAUCGGAUGUUUCAUUACGUAAACCGUGCGGCCAUCUUUGUGAUAGGCUCGACAUGGUUAAAAUGGGUGAUCGAGCAUCAUUAAUGUUGUUACGAAAACUGUGCGGCCAUCUUCGUGAUAGGCUCGACAUAGUUGAAAGCGUAAACCGUGCGGCCAUCUUCGUGAUAGGCUCGACAUGGUCGAAAAGAUUAAUCGAGCGGCCAUNNNNNNNNNNNNNNNNNNNNNNNNNCAACAAUACUCUAUGAAAAUUAGCAAAUCAGAUGAGUGGAGCAAACUCUUAGUUCAAUGUUCAGAAACAUGUUGACAAAUUAUUCCUUGGCCUCUAGGACGUAAAAACCUCACAUAACAGUUAUCUGGCCCAACAUGCUAGUUAAAAUUUGACCUACCGUUCAAUAUGUGGUAAAACUAAUAUGAACCCCCCUCACCUGGACAGUUGUUGGUAAAUACUAAAUUUACACAAACUCAAAUGUUGAUAGGUGUGCGCUUUCUUCAUGUAAGUGCCGCAUGUAACCAUGCGUAUAUUCAAUCAUAGGAAAAUGCCAACACCCUUUCAAGGUAGAAGGCCACACAAUGGGUGUUGCGCAAAAAAACUAACACUCUUCAUUACAACUUAAUAUUUAUAUAUAGGAAAUUUUGGUCUUUAUUUCAAUUUACUACUUAAAUUGCAUCUAACAAUCAAUUUUUUGUUAUACAUGAUACUGAAAUAAUCUCAGACUCAUAUGAUGAAAUCAUAUAGUGAAUCUCAUACUCCCGAACAUAUGUAAUUUGAUUUAGGCCUUUAUAUAUAACAUACCUAGGUUAAUAGAUUAAGUGUAUAUGCAAUUAAAAUCCUUUUAUUAAUUGCAUGGUAACUUAAAUAACUUAACCCACCAUAAGAAUAUGACAUAUUAACUACGUCGCCUCGGAUUUAUAAUAUGUCAGCAAUAUCUUUACUUUCAUAUAUCAAAUAUAUGAAUAUGUUUUGUAUAUACUUUCACAUUAGGUUAAAACAUACAAACCCAAAUCUCAAAUCAGUACCAGCAAGAAUAAUUUUUGUGGCGACGACGAGUGUGCUCUAAUACCAUUGAUAAGGAAAUACGCACGUGCAUGUCAUUUAAUGUCACGACCUCCGGAUUACUCGUUUCCUCGGGCACGUUAACAGACCCAGUGUAUACAAAAAAAAUUUUCUAAGUACAAAGGAAAUGUUACCUGCCUUUUUUUUUCACCGUGCUAACAUAACAUAUACAUAUAACAAUUGUAUAAGAGCUGCUAAAUAAGAAAACAUAUAUAAAUACAAAGGUUCACUAUACUACAUAUAGCAUCAUAGAUACAAAAAUCAACUCGAAUCAGCGAGAUCAAAACAAUCAGUAUGUAUAAUAAACCCAAAACACUACACACUUACCUAUAGCUGGUACUCCCUCUAGCUCUGUGACUCGUUAGAAGGGCUCUAACCUCGCAACACCUUUUCCACGAUUACUAUCAGCAGUAGCAGCAGCGCAACCCGAAGGCUCUGCAAAAAUCCACAACUGGGUGCGGAGAACUUACUUGCAAAAGAAGUAGUCCUCAGUGGGUACCCGCUAACAACCUCAACGCGCUCUCACCCACUAAGCUCUACAGAAGAUAUGAUCAAUGAUAGUAAAAAUCUGAAAAUAAUCUACAGCUAUAUGCACAAUACUAUCAUGAUCGCAAAUAAUAUAUGUAGAUAAGCAGUCUCUGACCCAAUGCUUACUAGGGAAUUGUGAAACAUCCGUCCGCCUGUCGAAGCUACAGCAGCUAAGCUCAAAUCGCAAUGCCGUCGAGUGAGAGAGCUAAUCCAAUCAGGACCAACGACAUUAACGCAAACGCCACUAAGCCGACUCCGGAGUGGCACUCGGUGGGCGCUACCGCAAACACGCGAUUGCAGGAUACUUCUACCGAGGCCGCAAUGCAGGCUUCAGCAGACUAUAGUCAAAGUACAACAGUGUCCAAAACCAAACCACUGUGCCCCAUCGGCACAAUCUGAUGGCAAAAACAAGUAAUCUGGUCCAUCGUCCCACACUCAACGGCACCGACAGUCUGAACAGUGCUAAACAACUGCAUAUACAAAUUAAGCUCGGGCAUCUGUCAGCACGAGUGUGAAUUGAUUCUACACUAUUCUGGGUAUCCACCGUCACAAACCUGCGGCGAUACAAACAAACUACGGCUCCUAGAGGCUAAAUCUAGGUAGUUUUAACAAAUGAUUGUUUACGUGUAGAAUCGCUAGUUUUCUCCUAAAGUCAAAUUCAAUCCAACAUGUAUAUUUAACAAACAUUUUAAGCUCCAAUUCAGAAUUUCAAUAAGCAUGCAAAUCAUAAUUUGAGCGCAUUAAUAUAAUCUAACAAAUAACAAUCACAUGUUGACACAUAUUAAACUUAGAAGGAAAAUCCGCCGAAUUUCGACGUAAGCAUCACAAUUUAACCACCUCUAGGUAAUGCCACGGAGCACGAGGUCACAAGUUGCUGGAAAAGCCCUACAAGGACCAACCGAAUCAAAUCAAGAACCAGCAACCAAACUUCUCCAAAGAUCUAAACAUCAAAAACCAAAUGCUGCAUAUUACAAUUCCUAGAUUUCAGUACUAAAGGCUAAAUGUCCUCCAUGUCAUGUCAACUUUACCUUCUCCAAAACUCCAAUUCAGGUGAGAGAGAGAGCAUGCCCAAAUCCAUAAACUAAAAAGAGGAUCCACCUCAGGCUCUGAAAUCUAGCUUCCUCGAAAGAUUUGCAUCAAAGAAGAACCGAUAAAAUCAUUUCAGCUGUCAAAACAUCAACACGCAAGAAAAAUACAGAAAUUGACUUAUACUAACCUCAUCAAGAUGUUGUGCAAAAAGGCCUCCACGAAAUUCUCAAGAAUGCUUAGCUAACCAAUAACAAUUAUAUACCAUCGACCGUUCCUACACGGCAGCCGAGCCAAAACGGCCGCAAAGGUCGUGGUAGAUAUUCUGCCUAAAACAGCAAUCCUCAAGUGGCGAAUUGAGGCAAAUUGAAUGGAUUUAGAGGGUUUGCGAAUGGCGAUAUUUUAGCCUUCUCUCAAUGAGAGGAGAUGAAAGAGUAGUUCGACCCAGGUCGUACUCUCAGCCUAUUGUGUAGAGAGGUGAAGAUGAGAUAAGCCCGAGAGACAGAAGAGCAAAGAGCUGUGGGAUGUUCCAUGACAGAAACGGGCACUUUCGGGCGCCGGAACCAUUUUCUGGACGGUCGCGAAACCUGCGGCAGGUUGCAGCAAAUCACUCAUCUUCCGUUCCUCCGCUCGCGUGUGUCUGUGCUCUUAUGCCCUGUCCGGCGACCUCGACUAACCACCAGACACUGGUCAGCACAAUCGAUGAUUCACAAAGUUGAAACUUUCGGGCCCUCUUCUGGGCGUCUGAAACUAAGGAUCCGAAUUCGUCUCCAUGUUUGCUGCUUAGUUCAGGCACUCGAGUCUGGGUGUCCAAACCAUGACUAGGCGCCCGAACACUGGCAAAUACUCCCAGUUUUACUCCUUUGAGUCGGACGGAGUACUACUUCUCUGCAUCCCAUUUCAUGCAAGAAAUGACUCCGAUCAUUCUUCGACACCUCUCCCAGAGUGUGUGACCUCAGUCACUAAUAUUGUCACCAACCUUCCAAACUCCGAAUACAUACAUUAAUGCCAAACGGAAUAAAUUUUAUUUAUAAAUAUGACCAACUCUAUGUAUACUUUAAUCAUUCAAUAACAUUUUGAUUAUUAGUAUAUAUAUGUAACCAAGAUCAUCUCGUGUGACACAAAAAUAUGUUAUUUGCUAUUCUAAUAGAAGAAAGCGUUCGAAUUAUCAACCUGUGUUGAUUACUGAAAAUUAUUUUACGGUUUGAAUUUUGGAUCUGCAUCUUCGGGUUUUGUUCAGCCACACAAGUGUCGACCAUCUUAUAUUUAUCCCACACAAAGGCUGCAUCCUGGCAUUAUUGCUUCACGACAAUCAAGUAUAAAUCUCGAAACUCCUUUGUGUGAUCUCUUGUGUCAAUAUGGAGAAAAAUUAAUCACUCGAAUAAUUGUGCUAGCAAUUAUCAAGAAGAUUAACUAUAGAGGAACAAUUCUAUAUAGGAUGACCUCUCCUAUUUGAUUUAAAAAAUAGCUUACAUGAUUCAAGGAAUAUCCUAUUCUUCUAUUUCCUCCCAAUUCAUUUUGUGUGUGUGAUGAUUAUCAUCAUUGAGAGACUGCCUAACUCUUAUAGGUGGAGGCCAAAAAAGUUAGAGAGCCGGAGAAGAGGUGGGAGAAACGUUCUCAUAAUAGACAUUGAUUUCCUGCGCAAGUUAAUAAAACGAUCUCUUUUCUCCAAUUUGGAGAGGAGAGAGAAAGAAAGAAACACCACUAUAAUGAGAGGGAGAAGUUUAAACCUUACUCUCAUUUGAUAUUAUAGAGAAAAAGAGAGGAAAGAAAAAACGCUUUUCACUUUUCUUCUCCAUUAAUAGCUAACAAUUAAUACAGUAAAGUUUAAUUUUCUUUCUCUUUCCUCUUUUGUCUCAUCUCCCAAACAAUUAUAAAAGGGAAUUAAUACGAAAGAGAGUUGUACACCUCAAUGAGUGUUGCAACUAAUUGCCACAUAAAGCUACGUACUAAAUUCAAAUUAGUAUGUAGCGUCACUCUAUACAAAUUUACUUUUGCAAUAGAGUUUUUGCUAACCACUUAAGCAAAUAAAUUCUUACUUUGACUAUUUUAGCAAAUAGUCUCUGCUUAAUAUCUCCAAGCACUAGAUCACAUGCAGGCUUUAUUUGUGUGGACCACAUAGUGUUCAAUUCUACCUUGGUAGUGGAGCAUGUGACACUAAACUCUUUGAAUGCCACCAUCAAGCAACUCUCGCGAUGGAUCCCGUAAAAUAUUUUAGGCUCUCCAACUUAGUGUAAUUAACUACUUAAUUUACUCUUAUGGGUCCCACAAUCACUAGUGACACUAUAGCAGUAUACGGUGAUCCAAGUAGAAUUAAUAAUAGAGCAGACUCUGGCACGUUACCGUGUGAUAAAAAUCCUCUUUAUCAGUUGGUCCCCGAUUCGAGUUUGAAGGCCAGUUAUGGAUAACUUGUCAAAGCCCCGGCUUCCUUUGGUUUUAAAAUCGAUUGCGGAAGGCCCAAACUUUUUUUUAAUGAAAACCUUGACGGCAAAGGACGUCAGAUCCGCGCAACAAUACAGGAAAAUCCACUUUCACAUGACAGAGUUUUUCCGCUAUAUUUGCACGGCGUCGCAAUAGGUACAAGAUACAACCAACAGGUUAAACAACCACAUACAAUACCACAUCAAACAGAUACCAUUCAUCAUUUAUCCACAGUUUAUCUGUCACGGCCCUACGACCGCCCCACGUUGGUCGAAUUGGGUACGUCGACAGGACCGCCAAACGGAACAGGGUUUCCUCUGUACGUCCUACGUCACACUAUCCAUCAAUUUGCGCGGUUCCAACCUAGGAACAACAUUCAUACACAGAUUAAUAAGGAGGUAUCAAAAUAUAUAAAGCUAAACUAUUACAGCACAUUCAUCUCACAUGUAUUUACAUAUUACAUUUUUCCACUUAGCUCAAAUGCAUCCUCACUAGUACUAUUAUUUACUUUUGCUCUUCUUUUUCCCGUACCCUAAGUGUUAAUCAUUUUGGCACUCCGCGUGGAGUUGAUGGGUGUGAUAUCGGGUGUAACCCCUAGAUUCUUCCUAUGGAUAACACUGUUUGAAUCCUCCUUAGAAGAUAUAUGAUUGGCAGAUCCAUUCAUAAGAGCAAGUUAAAGCAGAUCUAGACUUCGCCCUCGAUCUGGUUGAGGAAGGUGAGAAGAAAUUUUAGCCAUGUGUCUGGCCGCGAACGUAACCUGCCCGCCGCAGGUUAUUUCUGGGCAGUGGGUUCAUUCAUGGUAGAGAUUAAAAUUUUGUUUAUAUUUAUUUUGAAAUCAGGAUGCAGUAGGUUCCAUGGCUUCCAACAGACAUCAAGGUCUCUGUAAUUACCGCAACACUUUUGUGUUAAGGACCCUCGAUUAAGAGACCAAUAUAAAUGUGAUAAUGAAGGAAGCAAAACAGGCACAUAAAAUCUUUAUUGAUAUGAUUUUGCCGGUUUACAUAGUUAAGCAUGGCAUACCCCCAAUUUUUGGUUUAAAAAACAUCGAAUUUAUCAGACUAAAUACUCAAGUGGCAUGUUCGUUGAAGUUUGAUCUCAGUUUUAAUAACAUGGCGGUCACAGUUUAAGUUUUGAUGCUAGUUUAAUGACUGGGGUCGAGUUCAAGUUUUGAUGCGCAGUUAAUGAAUGGCGGUCGAGUUCGAAGUAUUGUGAACACUCGCAGUCGUUUAAUUGUUAGGUUUAACGACUCCUUCCGGUCCGUGUUGAAGUGAGUUUUAGUUUAGCCAGACAUUUUCGGUCGUGUGAAUUUUGGUGGUCUUAGUUUUAGCGGGACAUUUCGGUCGUUUGAAGUUGAGUUUAGUUACGACAUUGUCGGCCGUCUUGAAUUGGUUUUUGGGCUUCGAACGUUAUGCUUUGUUCGAGACCCAUUCAAGACUUGUUUGGUUGGGUCGUCAAGACCCAUAAGGACUUGGCUCGGUUUGCGGUCUUCGAGUGACCCAUCAAGACUUGGCUUGUUUGGAUCGUUCGUGGACCAUCAAGACUGGUUUGUGGUCAAAAGUUCGGGACCCAUCUAAGACUUAGUUGCGGUAUUGGGUCGUCAGCGACCCGUCAAGGCUUGGUGUGGGUCUUUCGGGACCCAUCAAGACUUGAUUUGGGUCGUCGACCACAUACUGCGUUUCGAGUCAUUCGAGAACCAUCAAGACUUAGUUCGUUUGGCGCUCGUUCAGGACCCGUCAAAAGCUUGUGUCGUGAUAGUGUUGUGUCGUCGCGGACCAUAAGACUUGGUUUGGGGUUGUUCGGGACCCAUCAAGCGGUUCGUCGGUAAAAGAGUUUGGUUUGGGGUCGAUUCGGCCUCAAGACUUGGUUUGGUCAGUUCGGGGGACCCAUCAAGGCUUCGUUCGGUUUUGGGUCGUUCGCCGACCCUUAAGACUUGGUUUGUGGUGCGUGCGACCAAUCUAAGACUUGGUUUGGGUCGUUCGUGACCCAUCAAGACUUAGUUGAGUUGGGCGACUUCAAGUUUAUUUGGUCAUUUUUGGAUUUGGGUUGUUUAGUUUAGCAGACUUUAGCGGUCGGUUGAAUUGUUUAGUUUAACGCUUUUCGGUCGUUUGAAUUUGUUUAGUUAACGACUUUUCGGUGAUUGCUUAUUUGUAGGCUUUGGGAUUUUGGAUUUUAUGUUUGUGACUUUGGUUUGGGUUUUUUAUUUGUGGACUUCGUGGAUUUUGGGUUUUAUUUGUGGACUUGGGUUUUGAAAUUUUUUUGUGGACUUUGGGCGUUUUGGGUUUGAGUUUGAGUCGUGGGGCUUUGAAACCGUUAUGCUUUGGUUCGGAUCUAAGGUCCAGACUAUGGUUUGAACUUGGAUCUUUAUGGUGGUUUGGCUUGGAUCCACCUUGGUUCGAGUUAGACCCUGAUUGGAUUGAACCGAAUUCGCUCAAGUCUGGUUCAGUCGGAUCAUAGUUCGGUUCGGAUUUGGACCCACUUACAGCUUCAGAGCCAGGUUCUGAUUGGGUUCGGUUCAGUCGGAUCCAAUUCGAUCAGUUGAAUCUUCUAUGUCAUGUGUUCGGUUGGAUCUGUUAGGUUCAAUUCGGUCGAUCCUCGCUUACGAUCCAAUUCAAGUCGAAUCAUUAUGAUUUGGUUUCAGAGACGGGAUCCGGUUGCGGUUGCAGCUUGAAGUCGAGUAACGCUUCGGUUUAAGUGGAAUGGUGCUAGUGGUUCGGUUCGGACUGGGAUCUGGUUUGGUUCGAUCCGGGGUGUCGGCUCGGUUUGAGUUCGGAUAGUGACGGGAUGCCGGUUUGGUUUCGGAUCCGGUUCGCGUGUCAUUGGGUUGCGCGACGUACGAGAUCUGGUUCAAUUCAGUUAUGUCGCGAUCGGCACGGGAUCGAAAUUCGUCGUUCGGAUCCGGUUGCAGGUUCGGUCGUGAUCCGGUUCAGUCAGGUUUGGGUUCGGGGGAUUCGGUUGGUUCAGUUUGGUUUUGAUGAGACGGAUCCGCGAUUCGGGUUCGGAUCCGUGUUCGGUUCGGUUCCGGAUCCGGUUCAGUUCAGUUUGGUUCGGGACGGGAUUCAGUUUCGGUUCAGAUUGGUUAUCGGAUCGCCUUCGUUUAAGUCGAAUCCCUUGUUUGAUCGGCUCGAAUCGGCUCCACUUCGUUCGAGGUCGAAUGCUUCCAUUUUUUUUCGUUCGGAUGGAUCAAAUUGCAUGUGGACUGAGAUGACUUAGGCUUUAUAAUGUUAUAGGCCUUGGUAUCCGAAUCUGUACGUCUGAGCUUUGGGCCGAAUCUGUUGUGGGCUCUGCAUGCUUGGGUUUUUAUUUUAUUUAUUUAUUUAUUUUUUCGCGAUUACUGCUAUAGUAGAAUAACCCGAAUCCAACUCCUUAAAUUUCUUUUGUUUUUUUUUAUUUUGACUGGAGAAAAUAAAAGGAACAACUCCCCUUUUUUUUUCUUUUCUUUUCUUUAUCUUUUUUUUUGUCAUUCUUCCUUUCUCUUUUUUUUUUUUUUUUUAUUUUUUUUGACUUUUCAGGAGAUGAGAAGAGAAAGACCCAACUCUCUCUCUUCUUUUCUCUUGUGUGAUUACACAAAACCAGAGGGGGAGAGAGGAAUAACUCCUUUCUUUUUGUGUAUUUUUUCUUUCUUUCCUUUCUUGCUCUUCUUCUUCUUUUUUUUUUUUUUGAUACUUUUAUUCAUUCCUUUUUUUUUGCUCUUUUUUUUUUUGGACUGGAUAAAUAAUGAAUAAUACCUUUGUUUUGUUUCGAUUUCUUUUCCUUUUUUGUUCGUCUUUUUUUUUUUUGCUUUCUUUUAUUGAAUUUUUUUUUUUCUUCGUUUUUUUUUUGUUGAUUGCAACAAGAGAGAGGAGAAAGGGAGACCAAGCCCAACUCUCUCUCUCUCUCUCUCUUCACUCUGUACGAAAUAGAGAAACGAAGAAGGAGCAUUGCUCUGCUCUUUCUCCCUUUCUACUUUUUUUUUUAUUUGUUUCUUCUUGUUUUUUUUUGUUUAUUCAUUCCUUUUGUUUAAAUAACGAAGUUGAUCAACGCCGAGCAGUAUAUUAAUCGAUUCGAACGAGAGUGAGCGAAUGCAAAAUUAGAAUCUGUUCCAUUUUAUUAUUAUUUUUGUUAACACGUUUUUUAAGUCCGCGAUUAUCGUGUCGAGCCUCAUACGAAGUUCUCUCAAAAAAAAAAAAAAAAAAAAAAAAACCUUGUUCUGAAACUCUAAUUUAAAGUUCCUUUAUUUAAGUGUGGAACUGUUGUGGACUAAAAAAAAAAAAAAAGAAAGAAAGAGGGAGUUGUUCCAUUUUUUUAUUUUUCCAAUCAAAAAAAAAAGAAACAAAAAGAAAUUUUUAAGGAAUUGGAUUCGGGUUAUUCUAAAAAAAUAAAUAAAUGAAUAAAAAAAACACCCACAUGCAGAGCCCACAUACAGAUUCGGGCCCAAAGCUCAGACCGUACAGAUUCGGAUCUAAGGCCUAUAACAUAUAAAGCCUAAAGCUCAUCUCAGUCCACAUGCAAAUUUGGAUCCAUUCCGAACAAAAAAAAAAAGGAAGCAUUCGACUCGAACCAAAGUGGAGCCGAUUCGAACCACAACCACAAGGGAUUCGGCUUAAACCGAAGCGGAUCCGACCCAAGUUGAACUGAACCGAAUCCUGUCCGAACCAAACUGAACUGAACCGGAUCUGAACUGAACCGAACCGGAUCCGAACCGAAUCUGAUCCCGUCCGAUCCGAACCAAACUGAACCGAACCGGAUCUCGUCCGAUCAGAACCGAACUGAACCGGAUCCGAACCGAAUCGAACCGGAUCCGAACCGAACCGGAUCCCGUCCGAACCAAACUGAACUGAACCGGAUCCGAACCAAACCGAACCGGAUCCAAACCGAAUCGGGACCAAACUGAACUGAACCGGAUCUCGUCCGGUCCGAACCGAACUGAACCGAACCGGAUCCGAACCAAACCGGAUCCCGUACGAUCCGAACCAAACUGAACCGAACCGGAUCCGAACCGAACCGGAUCCCGUCUGAACCGAACCCAAUCAGAAUCCGACUCGAACUGAAGUGGGUCCAAUCCGAACCGAAUAUGAUCUGACUUGAACCGACUCGAGCUGAAUCCGGUUUAAUCCAAUCAGGGUCUAACUCAAACCAAGGUGGGUCCAACCCGAACCAAACCAUGAAGAAUCUAAUUCAAACCAAGUCUGGAUAGAUCCCGAACCAAAGCAUAACGGUUCAACCCAAACCCAAAGUCCGCAAACUCAAAAUCCAAAACCCAAAGUCCACAAAUAAAAACCCAAAAACCCAAAAUCCACAAAGUCCACAAAUAAAAACCCAAACCCAAAGUCCACAAACUCAAAAUCCAAAACCCAAAGUCCACAAAUAAAAACCCAAAAACCCAAAAUCCACAAAGUCCACAAUAAAAACCCCAAACCCAAAGUCCACAAAUAAAAAUCCAAAAUCCAAGCCUACAAUAAAACAAGACGCAAAGUCGUUAAACUACAAACAAUCCAAUUAAACGACCGAGAAGUCAUAUAAACCUGAAACCCAAGUUCCAAACGACCCGAAAGUCGUUAAAACUAAACAAUCUCAAACGACCGAAAAGUCGUUAAACUUAAACAAUUCCAAACGACCGUAAAUCCAAACUAACAACCAAAUCCAAAUGACCCAAUAAACUUGAAGUCGACCAACUCACAACUAAAGCNNNNNNNNNNNNNNNNNNNNNNNNNNNNNNNNNNNNNNNNNNNNNNNNNNNNNNNNNNNNNNNNNNNNNNNNNNNNNNNNNNNNNNNNNNNNNNNNNNNNNNNNNNNNNNNNNNNNNNNNNNNNNNNNNNNNNNNNNNNNNNNNNNNNNNNNNNNNNNNNNNNNNNNNNNNNNNNNNNNNNNNNNNNNNNNNNNNNNNNNNNNNNNNNNNNNNNNNNNNNNNNNNNNNNNNNNNNNNNNNNNNNNNNNNNNACUUUCUCCGUUUUGUCCGUUUAUUUUAAAAUAACUAUACUAAACGGCAAAUGUAUCGAAUUCGUCCCCGUAUGGGGGUGACAUGUACUUAAAAUAGUCUGAUUUAUGAGUUACCGUCAACCAACUUCAAAACUACGAGUCAAAUUAUUGUACCGCCAGUUCAAAUUCAAAACUACGAGUCAAAUUACUGUACCGCCAGCUCAAGUUCAAACCUACUUGUUGAAGCGUCAGCAAAUCUAACCCAAAUCAAAUUGCUGAAAGGCCAGCAAACUUCAACUCAAAUCAAAUCGCUGUAAAGCCAGCAAACUUAACCAAAACCCAGCUUGGCAAUACGAAACCAAGCUCUGGGUAGUUCUGAACCAAACCCAACCCAGCAAGUUCUGGGUAGUUCUGAACCGAGCCAAACCCAGCAAGCUCUGGGUAGUUCUGAACCGAACCAAACCUAGCAAGCCCUGGGUAGUUCUGAACCAAACCCAGCAAGCCCUGGGUAGUUCUGAAUCAAGCCAAACCCAGCAAGUCCUGGGCAGUUCCGAACCAAACCCAGCAAGCCCUGGGUAGUUCUGAACUAAACCCAGCAAGCCCUGGGUAGUUAUGAACCAAACCCAGUAAGCCCUGGGUAGUUCUGAAUCAAGCCAAACCCAGCAAGUCCUGGGCAGUUCCGAACCAAAACCAGCAAGCCCUGGGUAGUUCUGAACCAAACCAAACCCAGCAAGCCCUGGGUAGUUCUGAACCAAAUCCAGCAAGCCCUGGGUAGUUCCGAACCAAACCAAACCCAGCAAGCCCUGGGUAGUUCUGAACCAAACCCAGCAAGCCCUGGGUAGUUCCGAAGCAAGCCAAACCCAGCAAGCCCUGGGAAAUUCUGAACCAAACCCAGCAAGCCCUGGUUAGUUCUGAACCAAACCCAGCAAGCCCUGGGUUAUCAGCAUUUAUAUUUGGUCUCUUAAUCGAGGGUUCCUUAACACCAAAAGUGUGGGGUAAUUAACAGCAGACUCUUGAGUCUGUUGGAAGCCAUGAACCUAUGAUCCUGAUUUCAAAAUAAAAUUUAAACAAAUUUUAUCUCUACCAUGAAUGACCACUCGCCCUAGAAACAACCUACGGCGGGGCCGGUUAGUUCGCGGCAGACACAUGGCUAAAUUUCAAUUCUCACCUUCCUCAACCAGAUCGAGGGCGAAGUCUAGAUCUGCUUUAACUUGCUCUUAUGAAUGGGAUUCCAUCAUAUAUCCUUCUAAGGAGGAUUCAAACAGUGUUAUCCAUAGGAAGAAUCUAGGGGUUACACCCGAUACACAACCCAUCAAAACUCCACCGGAGUGCUCAAAUGAUUAACACUUAGGGUACGGGAAAAAGAAGAGCAAAAUGUAAUAAUAGUACUAGUGAGGAUUGCAUUUGGAAGCUAAGUGGAAAAAUGUAAUAUGUAAAAUACAUGUGAGAUGAAUGCUUGUAAUAGUUUAGCAUUUAUAUUUUUGAUACCUUCCUUAUGUAAUCUGUGUAUGAAUGUUGUUCCUGGUUGGAACCGCGCAAAUUGUAUGGAUUGUGACGCCUAGGACGUACAGAGGAAACCCGUCCGUUUGGCGGUCUGUCGACGUACCCGAAUUCGACCAAAGUGGCGGGUCCUAGGCCGUGACAGAUAAACUGUGAUAAAUGUGAAUGGUAUCUGUGAUGUGGUGAUUGUAUGUGGAUUGUUAUACUGUGUGGUUGUAUCUUGUACCUAUGCGACGCCGUGCAAAUAUAGGGAAAACUCUGUCCAUGUGAACAGUGGAUUUUCUGUAUUUGUGGCGGAUCUGACGUCCUUUGCCGUCAAGGUUUUCAUUAAAAAAAAAGUUUGGGCACUUCCGCAUCGAUUUUAAAACCAAAAGGGAGCCCGGGGCGUGACAAGUUAUCCAUAACUGGCCUCAACUCAAUCGGGACAACUGAUAAAAAGAUUUUAUCACACGGUAACUGCACCUAGAGGUUCUGUCUAUUAUUAAUUCUACUUGGAUCACCGCGAUAUACUGCUAAGUGUCACUAGUUGAUUGUGGGACCCAUAAGAGUAAUUAAGUAGUUAAUUACACUAAGUUGGGAGAGCUAAAAAUAUUUUGGUCCAUCGAGAAGAGUUCUGAUGGUGGCAUUCAAAGAGUUUAGUGUCACAUCUCACUACCAGGUAGAAUUGAACCUAUGUGGUCACACACAAUAAAGGCUGCAUGUGAUCUAGUGCUUGGAGAAUUAACAGAGACUAUUUUGCUAAAAUAGCAAAGUAAGAAUUUAUUUGCUAAGGUGGUUAGCAAAAACUCUAAUUGCAAAAGAUGAAAUUUGUAUAGAGUGACCUAAUACUAAAUUUGAUUUAGUACGAGGGCUUAUGUGCAAUAGUUGCAACAACUCAUGAGGUGACAACUCUCUCUUCGUAUUUAAUCCUUUUAUUAAUUGUUGGGAGAUGAAGACAAAAAGGGAGAGAGAAAGAAAAUAAAAUUAUACUUAUUAAUUGUACUAUUAAUGGAGAAGAAAAGUGAAAACGUUUUUUCUUUCCUCUCUUCUUCUCUAUACAUAUCAAAUGAGAGAAGUUAACUCUCCUCUCAUUUAUAGUGUGUGUUUUCUUUCUUUCUCUCCUCUCCAAAUUUGAGAAAGAGAUGUUUUAUUAAUUGCGAGGAAAUCAAUGUCUCAUUAUGAGAACGUUUCUCCCACCUCUUCCUCGGCUCUCUACUUUUUGCCUCACCUAUAAAUUGAGGCAUCUCUCAAUGAUGAUAAUCAUCACAACACAAAAUGAAGUGGGAGAGAAAUAGAGAAAAUUCUCCUAAUCAUGUAAAGCUAUUUUUUAAUCAUAAUAGAGAGGUCAUCCUAUAUAAAUUGUUCUCUAUAGUUAAUCUUCUUGAAAUUGCUAGCACAAUUUUGAGGAUUAAUUUUUCUCCAUAUUGACACAAGAGAUCACAAAAGGAGUUUCGAGAUUAUACUGUGAUUGUGUGAAGCACAGAUCCCGGAGCAGCCUUGUGUGGAUAAAUAUAGAGGUCGAACACUUGUGUGGCUGAAAAAACCCGAAGAUCAGAUCCAAAAUCAACCGUAAAAUAAUUUCGGUAAUCAACACAGGUUGAAAUUCGAACCUUUCUUCUAAUUAGAAUAGAAUAAUAAAUUUUGUGUCACACGAGAUGAUCUUGGUACAUAUAUAUACUAAUAUCAUAAAUGUUAUGAUAUUAAAGUAUACAUGAUUGGAUCAUAUUUUAUAAAUAAAAUUUAUUUCCGUUGCAUUAAAUGUAGUAUUCCGGAGGUUUGGAUAGGAUUGGUGACAGUAUUAGUGACUGGUCAACACAUCUGGAGAGUGUCGAAAUGAGUCGGAGUCAUUUCUGCAUGAAAGGGAUGCAGAAAUAGACUCGUCGCACUCAAAGGAGUAAAACUGGAGUUUUGCCAGUUUCGGGCGCCUAGUACAUGGUUUGGGACACCCAGAACUCGAGUGCUGAACUAAGCAGAACUGGAAGCGAAUUCGGAUCCUAGUUUCAGACGCCCAGAAGAGGGCCCGAAAGUUCACUUUGUGAAUAUCGAUUGUGCUGACACGUGUCUGGUGGUUAGUGAGGUCCGCCGGACCAGGAUAAGAGCACAGCACACCGCGAGCGGAGGAACCGAAGAUGAGUAUUUGUGCAACCUGGAGGUUUCGGACGUCCAGAAAAUGGUUCCGGGCGCCCGAAAGUGCCCGUUUCUGCAGGAACUGCAGGUUUGUGUUUCUGUUCUUGGGACUUAUCUCAUCCUUUCACCUCUCUACAAAUAGGUGGAGUACGACCCUGGUGAACUCUUUUCAUCUCCUCUUCAUAGAGAAGGCUAAAAUUGCAUUCCAACCCCUCUAAAUCCUCCAAUUUGCUCAAUUCCACCUUGAGGAUUGCUGUUUUAGCAGAAUUCUAGCAGCGACCUUUGGCGUUUUGGCUCGUGUGCGAUGUAGGAAGGUCGGAUUGCAAUAAAACUUAGUUUAUUGGUUAGCUAACUUCCUGGAGAUUUCGUGGAGGCCUUUUUGACAACAUUUGAUUGAGGUUAGUAUAGUCAAUUUGGUAUUUUUCUUCGCUGUUGAUGUUUUUGAGCUGAAAUUGAGUUUUAUCGGUUUUCUUGAUGCAAUCUUUCGAGGAAGCUAGAUUUCAGACCUGAGGGUGAUACUCUAUUCUAGUUUACUGGAUUUGGGACCUUUCUUCACCUGAAUUGGAGUUGGGAAGGUAAAGUUGACAUUGGACAUGGAGGAAUUUAGCUUUAGUACUGAAAUUUGGGAGUUGUAAUGCAAGAUUUGGUGUUUUUGAUGUUUAGAUCUUUGGAGAAGUUUGGUUGCUGGUUCUGAGUGAUUUCGGUUGGUCUUGGUAGGGUUUCCAGCAACUUUGUGACCUCGUGCUGCCGUGGAUUAACGCUAGAGGUGGGUUAAAUGUGAUGCUUACCGAAUUCGGCGGAUUUCCUUCUAAGUUAAUAUUGUCAACAUGUAUUGUUAGUUGUUAGAUUAUAUUAAUCGGCUCAAAUUUAUGAUUUGCAUGCUUAUUGAAAUCUGAAUUGGGAGCUUAAAAUGUUUGUUAAAUAUACAUGUUGGACUUGAAUUUGACUUAGGAGAAAACUAGCGAUUCUACACCGUCAUUUGUUAAAACUACCAGAUUUAGCUCUAGGAGCCGUAGUUUGUUUGUAUCGCCGCAGUUUGUGAACGGUGGAUACCCAGAAUAGUGUAGAAUGCAAUUACACUCGUGCUGAGAUGCCGAGCUUAUUUUUAUAGCAGUGUUUAGACUGUUCCAGACUGUCGGGUGCCGUUGAGGUGGACGAUGGACCCAGAUUACUGUUUUUGCAUCAGAUUGUGCCGAGGGCACGUGGGUUUGGUUUUUGGACCCUGUUUACUUUGACUAUAGUCUGUGAGAGCCUGAUUGGGCUCGGUAGAGAUACGCUUGCAUACUCGGUUGGGUAGCGCCCACGAGUGCCACUCCGGAGUCGGGCUUAGUGCGUUUGCGUUAAUGUCGUUGUGUCCUGAUUGGACUUGCUCUCUACUGACGGCCUUGCGUUGAGGUAGCUGUGUAGCUUCGACAGGCGGGACGGAUGUAUUCACAAUCCCUAGUAAGAUUGGGUCAGAGACUGCUUUAUUCUACAUAUAGUUAGUGUUGGAUCAUGAUAGUAUUGUGGCAUAUAGCUGUAGAUUAUUUUCAGAUCUUUACUAUCAUUGAGCAUAUCUUCUGUAGACUUAGUGGGUGAGCCGUUGAGGUUGGUAGCGGUACCCACUGAGGACUACUUCUUUUUGCAGUAGUUCUCACGCCCAGUUGUGGAUCUUUUGCAGAGCCUUCGGUUGCGGCUGCUGCUACUGCUGAUAGUAAUCGUGGAAAAGGUGUUGCGAGUUAGAGCCCUUCCUAACGAGUCACAGAGCUAGAGGAGUACCAGCUAUAGGUAGUUGUAGUUUUUGGGUUAUUAUACAUACUGAUGUUUGUAUCUCGCUGGAGCGAGUGAUUUUUGUAUACUAUGAUGUUAUGUAUGUAUAGUGAACCUUUGUUAUUAUAUAUGUUUUCUUUUUAGCAGCUCUAUACUAUUGGUUAUAGUAUUGUAUGAUUACAGGUACAGGUACAGUUUCACUUUGUAUAUAGAAAAAUUUUUUUUGUAUACGACGGGUCUGUUAACGUGCCCGAGGAAACGAGUAAUCCGGAGCGUGACAUUAAAUGCACAUGCACGUGCAUGUAUUUCCUUACAAUGGUAUUAGAGCCACCUCGUGUCGCCACAAAAAUUAUUCUUGUUACUGAUUUGGAUUUGGGGUUGUAUGAUUUAACCCUAAUGUGAAAGUAUAUACAAAACAUAUUUCAUAUAUUUGAUAUAUGAAAGUAAUUGGUGACAAUUAUAAAUCCCGGGCGACGUAGUUAAUAUGUCAUUAUCUUAUGGUGGUUAAUUAUUUAAGUUAGCAUGCAAUUAAUAAAAGGAUUUUAAUUGCAUAUAACUUAAUCUAUUAACCUAGGUAUGUUAUAUAUAAAGGCUAAAUCAAAUUACAUAUGUUGGGGUAUGAGAUGCACUAUAUGAUUUCAUCAUAUGGUCUGAGAUUAUUUAGUAAUCAAUGUAUACAAAAUAAUUGUGUUAGAUGCAAUUUAAGAGUAAAUUGAAAUAAAGACCAAAACUUCCUAUUAUAAAUAUUAAGUUGUAAUGAAGAGUGUUAGGAACACCCUAUUGUGGCCUUCUACCAUUGAAAGGUGUUGGCAUUUUCCUAAUUGUUGAAUGAUACGCAUGGUUACAUGGGCCACUUACAUGAAGAAAGCGCAACCACCUUAUCAACAUUUGAUGUUGUGUGGUAAAAUUAGUAUUGUACCCAACAACUGUCAGGUGAGGGUUCAAUAUUAGUUUUACACACAUAUUGAACGGUAGGUCAAAUUUAACUAGCAUGUUGGGCCAAUAACUGUUAUGUGAGGCUUUUACGUCCUAGAGGCCAAGGAAUAAUUGCAACAUGUUUCUGAAACAUUGAACAAGAGUUGUCCACUCAUCUAUUUGCUAAUUAUCAAUAACUGUUAGGUGAGAUAAUUUGCAAAAUUGGUGAGACCACAAUCCCCACUAGAAAUCAAUUUAGGAGGUUUUCGUUUCUUCACUAAAAAAGUGUGGACAUCCAGAAAACUCAGUGGGAGACACCAUUUGAUUAAAAGUCUAUAAUCAAGUGGAAUAAUGAAAAGUACAUAACUAACUGAAUAUCUUUACCUUCUACAGAAUAUGGCUGCUUCUAACCCUCUCACUAAAAUUCUUGAUGCCAACCGCUUAACUGGCCCUAAUUUUUCUGAUUGGCUACGGAACUUGAGAAUCAUUCUCAAUUCUGAAAAAAUUGCCUAUAUUUUGACCACUCAUGCUCCUGAACUUCCAGCUGAUGAUAAUGAGCAACAGAGAGCUGCUUAUGCAAAAUGAAUGGAUGACGAUAAUAGAGUCAGGUGUUAUAUGUUGGGAUCAAUGAGCAAUGAGCUAUAACAUCACUGUCCAUGUGUUCAUGUUGACGUUGCAACUCAUUGCUCAUCGAUGCCAACAUGUAACAGCUGACUCUAUUAUCGUCAUCCAUCCAUUUUUCAUAAGCAGCUCUCUGUUGCUCAUUGUCAUCAACUGGAAGUUCAGGAGUAGGAGUGGUCAACAUAUAGGCAAUUUUCUCAGAAUUGAGAACGAUUCUCAAGUUCCGUAGCCAAUCAGAAAAAUUAGGGCUGGUUAAACGGUUGGCAUCAAGAAUUUUAGUGAGAAGGUUAGAAGCAGCCAUAUUCUGUAGAAGGUAAAAAUAUUCAGUUUGUUAUGUACUUUUCAUUAUCCUAUUUGAUUAUGGAUUUUUAAUCAAAUGGUGUCUCCCACUGAGUUUUCUGGAUAUCCACACUCGUUUAGUGAAGAAACAGAAACCUCCUAAAUUGAUUUCUGGUGAGGAUUGCGGUCUCAUCAAUUUUGCAAAUUAUCUCACCUAACAAUUAUUGGUAAUUAGCAAAUGAUGAGUGGACAACUAUUGUCCAAUGUUUCAGAAACAUGUUGCAAUUAUUCCUUGGCCUCUAGGACGUAAAAGCCUCACCUAAAAGUUAUUGGCUCCACAUCCUAGUUAAGUUUGACCUACCAUUCAAUAUGUGUAUAAAACUAAUAUUGAACCCUCACCAAACAGUUAUUAGGUACAAUACUAAUUUUACCACACAACAUCAAAUGUUGAUAAGGUGAAUGCGCUUUCUUCAUGUAAGUGGCUCAUUUAACCAUGCGUAUCACUCAACAUUUAAGAAAAUGCCAACACCUUACAACGGUAGAAGGCCACAAUAGGGUGUUCAUAACACUCUUUGUUACAACUUAAUAUUUAUAAUAGGAAGUUUUUGUCUUUAUUUCAAUUUCAUCAGAUCUUACUUUUAAAUUGCAUCUAAUGCAAUUAUUUUGUAUCUAAUACAAAAUAAUAUUAAACAUUGAUGACUAAAUAAUCUCAGACCAUAUGAUAAAUUCAUAUAGUGCAUCUCAUGCCCCAACAUAUGCAAUUUGAUUUAGCUUUUAUAUGUAAUCUACCUAGGUUAAUAGAUUAAGUUAUAUGCAAUUAAAAUCCUUUUAUUAAUUGCAUGCUAACUUAAAUAAUUAACCACCAUAAGAUAAUGACAUAUUAAUUACGUCGCCCGGAAUUUAUGAUUGUCACCAAUUACUUUCAUAUAUCAAAUAUAUGAAAUAUCUUUUGUAUAUGCUUUCACAUUAGGGUUAAAUCAUACAACCUCAAAUCCAAAUCAAUGACAAGAAUAAUUUUUGUGGCGACAUAAGGGUGGCUCUGAUACCAUUGUAAGGAAAUACAUGCACGUGCAUGUGCAUUUAAUGCAGUGGAAAUAAAUUUUAUUUAUAAAAUAUGAUCCAAUCAUGUAUACUUUAAUAUCAUAACAUUUAUGAUAUUAGUAUAUAUAUGUACCAAGAUCAUCUCGUGUGAUACAAAAAUUAUUAUUGUAAUCUAAUUAGAAGAAAGUUUCGAAUUUCAAUCUGUGUUGAUUACCGAAAUUAUUUUACGGUUGAUUUUGGAUCUGAUCUUCUGAUUGUUUUAGCCGCACAAGUGUUCGGCCUCUAUAUUUAUCCACACAAGGCUGCUCCGGGAUCUGUGCUUCACACAAUCACAGUGUAAUCUCGAAACUCCUUUCGUGAUCUCUUGUGUCAAUAUAGAGAAAAAUUAAUCCUCAAAAUUAUGCUAGCAAUUUCAACAAAAUUAACUAUAGAGACCAAUUAAUAUAGGAUGACCUCUCUCUUAUGAUUAAAAGAAAGCUUUAUAUGAUUGGGAGAAUUUUCUUUCUUUCUCUUGCACUUCACUUUAUGUGUUGUGAUAAUUAUCAUCAUUGAGAGAUGCCUCAAUUUAUAGGAGAGGAAAAAGGUAGAGAGCCGAGGAAGAGGUGGGAGAAACGUUCUCAUAAUGAGACGUUGAUGUCCUUGCAAUUAAUAAAGCAUCUCUCUCUCAAAUUUGGAGAGGAGAGAAAGAAAGAAAACACACACCAUAAAUGAGAGGAGAGUUAACUCCUCUAAUUUGAUAUGUAUAGAGAAGAAGAGAGGAAAGGAAAAAUGUUUUCACUUUUCUUCUCCAUUAAUAGUACAAUUAAUAUGUACAAUUUUAUUUUCUUUCUCUCUCCCUUUUUGUCUUCAUCUCCCAAUAAUUAAUAAAAGGAUUAGAUACGAAGAGAGAGUUGUCACCUUAUAAGUUAUUGCAACUAUUGCACAUAAGCCCUCGUACUAAAUCAAAUUUAGUUUUAGGUCACUCUACGCAAAUUCCAUCUUUUGCAAUUAGAGUUUUUGUUAACCACCUUAGUAAAUAAAUUCUUAUUUUACUACUUUAGCAAAAUAGUCUCUAUUAAUUCUCCAAGCACUCGAUCACACAUGGCCUUUAUUGUGUGUGAUCACAUAGGUUCAAUUCUACCUGGUAGUGAGAUGUGACACUAAACUCUUUUAAUGUCACCAUUGGGACUCUUCUCGAUGGAGCAAAAUAUUUUUGGCUCUCCCAACUGAGUGUAAUUAACUAUCUUAAUCACUCUCAUGGGUCCCACAAUCCACGAGUGACACCUAGCAGUAUAUCGCGGCAAUCCAAGUAAAAUUAAUAAUAGACAGAAUCUCUAGGUGCAGUUACCGUCUGAUAAAAUCCUUCUAUCAAUUGUCCUGAUUGAGUUGAGGUUAUGGAUAACUUGUCAAACCCAUUACUCAAUCAUAUGUCUCAUCUGAUUAACAAAUAAUAUUGAAACUCUUUUUCAGAAAAUCACACUGUCUUGGCCAAGGGCUUUUAUAUCUUGUAAAACAGAUAGCAUAGGAUAAUUACCUCUCUACCGAGGGUGAUAGAUUCUAUCUUGACACACACCUAUCUCCACGUAUGACCCACUGCAGCCAACAUGUGUUGACUUAACCCAUGAUUAGGGUAUAAGUAUUUACACAGUCAAACUACAAUAACCCAUACGCAAGAUAACAGUGGUGCCUCAGGUCAAAGGAUCACUCACACUACUACAGUAUGGAACAAUUCACUAACGAGUGAGUAGACAUUCAUGUGAUUGUUUAUAGUUGAUCACGCUCAGUGAAAUUGUUCUCCAACAUUCACCUGUAUGUUUACUCUAGUGUCACCACACUAAUGACUUGAGACUCGUCAUUCCAUAAGGGAAGUACAACAUACACUGAUCUAUCCAGAUUUAUCACCGCCCUCGUGAUAAUCCUAUUUUCAAGAGCAUUUAAGAAUUAAUUACAGAAGAAUAUAAAUCUCAAAUUUUAACUUCUUAGAAAUAUAAUUCUUCUAUUAUUAAUUCUAUGGACGAUUCAUAAAUAUGCAUUUGGUAAUAAUAUGAAUGAAGAAUGCCAGCUUUAAUCAUAGAAGAAAAGUACACUGAUAUUAUCCUUUUAAGUUAUGACAGAGAUUGGCUUAUAAGGCAUAUAACUAACAAUUUUGACUUGACGUAUGCCGUCGUCCAUAUCAGUGGAUCGAGGAGACGAAGUGGUUGAAAAGAAUAAAAAAGAAUGAGCCAGAAUAGUAAAAUAAGUGAAUAUGUGGAAAGAGACGAAAUAUACCGCCAAGAGUAGAGGAGAAGUUGUCGACUCCUUGUCAGAACCCCCACUCAACGCUUCUUGUUCCGAAGAAUCAACCAUGGUCUCCUUAUCCUUAGAGAGGCCAGCUGAAACGAAGCAUAUUGGAAACAGAAUAAAUCAAAAAAGAAAGGGGCAAAGAAGAGGGAAUCUGAAAAAUAGAAGUACCUACUGCUUGAUCAAAAUCAAAGCAACGAAGAUGAUUCGGAAAGGGCAUUGUGAAUAACCCAUCGCAGAAAUUGUCCUAUGCACGCCGGAAAAGUGCAUCGGUUAAUCAUGUUCUAUUCCGCCAAAAACUUACAGGGAGUAAAAGAGCGCCUCAAACAAUUCUCCAUUGUCGAGAUCUAAUCCGCCUCGACUGCUUCUUUGGUAGGGUGUGAGAACGAGAAUUGUUGGCCAUAAAAAACUUAGGUGGAACCAAAAGUGAUUGAAUUAGACCGAACUAUCGCACCUUCGAAGUAACAAAAAUUCAGAAUCUCUUUUUUGUGAUGAUAAUGCCAAAAAAUAUCAGUUGGCUUAUCUGUCGUUCUUUAUAUUGAUCAUUACAUGCCUCUUGAAUCUUCUCUUCCCUAUUUUUCUAUUUGUUAUUUGAUUUAUUAUGUUUUUUGGGGCUUACUACAGAUUUACUCCUCUUGUUUUAUUAUUGAUAGGAAUUCUCUUGUUGAGACCCUAAGAAUCAAUUGAAAACUCAGAUUCGUUUAGAACCAUGAAUGAUUUAUUUGCAAUAAACUUUCGUUCUUGGUGUCAACUUAGUCUUCAAGCCGAUAUGCAGAUCCCGUGCAGCCAGGAAAGAAUACAAGAGUUCGAAGUACUCACUGGCAUUAGAUGAAACCAUUUGGCUUUAAAUAGCUUCGAACCUUGCAAUAAACCAAGUUGGGCCAAUCAGUCGCUCUCUGAAAGGUACCCAGUUGAUGAGGUGUCGGGUAUUGUAGGAGUAGAAAACUCGAAAGUAAGUCAGAAAUCUGAAGGUUGGCCCAAAGAAAGGGGUUCCAGACAAUCGAGGCCAGCCCCGUACGUGUCGAAAUGUGGAACUGAAUCCUAGUCAAAGGGGAUUCGGCACAAAACAGCUGCAAGCAGUGUUGGAGAAACCACAUGAUCCUGCAGCCCGAACUGAUGACUAUACUGCUCUUCAAUAGCAACGAUUUGAUUGACUCUAGGAUAUCCCGAUAAAAAAACUAAAGCAAAUACGAGCUGAGAGAUAGUUUUUCGUCGUGGGCCAACGCGAAGGCGAUUAGGACAAAGUCCCGGUUGAUCUUCUAUGAUCGAGUGUAACGACCCGGCCCGCUAGCAAUAAUAACUCAUUGAGCCCAGGCCGCUGGCCCAAAAUGCUUAAGCUCAGUUAUUAUGUCUAGCUUAGUUAAGUUUAUAUACCUCCACAUUUAGCCAUAACUACUCAAUAUGGGAUUAUUUGGGUGUCACAGACUCCACCCAUUUAGGCCCUGAUGUCCUCGUCAAUUCUAAACACACACACAACCCAUGAUCACAAGGCAAUGUGAGACUUGUUUCACUGGCCUUUCUCAUUGAGAUCCUGACUUAGCCUGUCAUUCAUUGAUCCUGGCUUAGUCUGCCAUUCCAACCCUGGCUCAGCCAAGACUCAUCUUACACUUCUGGCUGGUGAACCGGCUCUGAUACCAAAUACAAUGACCCGACCCGCUAGCAAUAAUAACUCGUCGGGCCCAAAUCAUUGGCCUCGAAUACUUAACCUCAGUUAUUAUGUCUAUCUUUAUCAAAAUUAUAUACCUCUACAUCAAGCCAUAACUACCCGAUGUAGGAUUAUUGGAGUGUCAUGUCGGGUACAGAAAAAAUUAUGGCAGAGCCAAUAAAGAAGGGAAGUGGUAUGCUCAUCUUAGGUGACAGGAGUAGUGGGGGACUGACCCAUAAACAGCUUCAUAAAUUUGGUAUAAGCGAGGUCCGUUUUUGGGUCUAGAAGGGCCUUAAAUUUUGCUAGAACCAUCAAGAUUGUAGGCCAUAGAUAGGGGUGUAAUGUGGGCCGUAUCGGGCCAGCACGACCCACAUUAAGCCGGGCCGAAACAGGUCGGAGGCUAGCCCAGCACUGCUUGGCCACAAAGUCGGGCUGUGUCGUGCUGGGUCGUAGUUCUUUGACCACAACCCAACACGAACCCUGGCCCGGACGGCAUGGGCCGUGCCGGGCGGGGCCAAGCUUCGGGCCAUCCCUUUUUAUUUAUUUAAUUUUAAAUUAAAAAAAUAAAAUAAAUUAAAAUACUAUUUUUUAAAAAUAAUAUAUGAGAAAAAAUUUUAAAUUUUAAAAUAUAUUUAUAAAAAUAAUAAAAUUUUAAAAUUAUUUAAAAAUUUUUAAUAUUUUUGGACCAAAAUACCCUCACAAUAGUCAAAUGGGAGGAUAUUUUGGCCCUAAGAAGACCAAAAGCCCUGCUCCUAAGGGUCUGCUGUAGCAAACCCUUGGGAGAGGCCUAAGGCAUACAACCUGGCUCCCAACUCCCAAAGCAUUGGGAGUUGGGAGCCUUUCGGAGCCGGUCUUUGGCUCCUCUCAGGCCCGGCAUGGCCCAGGCCCGUGUUGUACCGAGCUGUGCCGGGCCAACGGACCGCAGAAAGGUGGCCCAACCCGAUCUGAUUUAUCNGCCGAGCUGGGGCUCCUCUCAGGCCCGGCAUGGCCCAGGCCCGUGUUGUACCGAGCUGUGCCGGGCCAACGGACCGCAGAAAGGUGGCCCAACCCGAUCUGAUUUAUCAGGCCGAGCCAGCCCGGCACGAGUGCUACAGUACUCGUGUCGUGCCUUUGCCCGGCCCAAUAUCCUGCCUGGUCGGGUGGCUCGUGGGCCGCCUGGCUCGUUUUACAAGCCUAGCCAUAGAUAGGAUAGUGCCAUGAGGAUGAAGACCAAGGAUUACUGCCACAUAAAAAUGGUCGGGAUAAAAGGCCCAACCAUAAAUGGAAGGUAUUCGAAGCAGAGGACCAGAAGCAUAACGCCGCAGCAAAAAGGAGAUUGUCGACUUGGGGAGUCUUUGAAAGUUAAAUGGUGUCGUAAAUCCCAAUGUCACGCCAUGAGUCGGCAAAAGAUGCUUUAACUCAAUCUAACUAUGCUAGGUAUGUCUCCGAGAAGCUAGGCCAGGUGCGAAGGCUGUUUCUUGGUGAUUUUGAGGAAAACCAAAAAUGGAAAUGAAUGAUAUCCGGCAUUACAGGAAGCCCUCCCGCUGAGAAAAAAAAUGUUGUUGCUAGAGGGUCCCAAGAAAGAAGGGCCGAGAAUGAAGCAGGAAGGGUCAGCCACAGAUGACUUCAAAAGGUGGAAGUCAACAUUAGAAGAUGAGGAAAAAGAAGGAAUCCGAGCCAUUGGAGAAGGAGGCUUUGGAGAAGAAGGCUCUAGAGAAGAGGAAGAGCAAAAGAAAAAUAGUCGAGAAGAAAAAUAAGGAAGCAGCUUGGAGGAGACAAUAUAGUGUCGUUGGGGGGAGUUUUGAAAAGGAUUUGAUGAUGAUGGCAACAUUUAAUCUCCUAUUUAAUGCCCUAGGUCGCUAGGUAAGACAAAAGGCACCCAAAAUCGUAGUCGUCGAAGAAUAAAAUUAAGUACGGAAUAAUUAAAAGGCGUGGCUAAACGAGGCUGCUGAGCGGAACAAUGAUAUGACCGAAAAGGAUGGUCAAUCUCGACAAUUAAUCCAGCGGCAUCUAAUCUCAGUCAUUAAUCAGGUAACGUCGGUCACCCGAAACACCUAUUCAGGAGACUGCCAGGGGUGUAUUUUUGGCAUCGAGAAAAUAACGCCACAUGGUAAGCGGUUUGGCCCACAUGAUCAAACAGUGAGAACAAAACAACAGGUGACACGUGGUGCAUGCACUAGGAGCCAAGGAGAAGAACGCCUAAACAGAAAAGCGGUUUAGGCGGGAAUAGUUAGAUACGUAGAGGUAGAGUUCCGUGGCCAACAAGGUAUCAGCCGAAGCACAAUCCGAAGAAAUAGGGACAUGGCCGAAAAAAUCUCCACGACAAGAAUCACCCAAUAACUACAGGCGGUAGAAUAUAUUACAAUAAAUAGGAAAAAGCGCACCUAUGAUUAGAGUCCUUCAUAUGAGCAAACGACUACUGCAAAUUUCAAUUUUUUCUUUAGCAUUUAUGACUUUCCGGGAGUAGUUCACAAAUUUUUCUUUUCUUUUAUCAUUUUUUUCGAGAGUUUAGUUAAUUUUAAGAGCUUUUCUAGGACUAAAUUUAGCUUUUCUACCCGCUUUUGUAAUCUCUCUUUUGCAGUUAGUAUAAAUGGUCGGUUCUUUCAGCUAAGCUCGCCUUUCGGUUCACUUGUAGAUAGUUAGCAGAAGAGCCCGAUUGAGUAGAUUCCUUCUCAAUCGAAUCGCUUGACUUAGUAAUGGAGCAUUUGAUAGUCAUUCGAGGAACCGAUUCGCAUUCCAAGGCUGUGUCUGACUUGGUCAAUGCAUUGACCUGGUCAAUGUCGUCCCGCAUUUGGUUUCUAGCCCAAUAGUCUCCAAUGAGUUUCCUACCGGAUUGGAUUGUUACAAAUUCACCCUCUAAUAAAAAUGUAUUAAAUAUGGAAUAAGGUGAAGUUAUUUUAAGAGUUUUGGAACCACUAUCAAUGAAUUUAUCAAAUUUGAAAGUUUCGGGACUAAAAUAUAAUCCUUGACUGAAAAUAUAAUUUUGAAAUAAAGUGAAACUAUUUCAAGAGUUUAAGGACCAUUAUAUAUCCUACACGUGCAAUUUGCCUAUAUAAUAACUAGGGCUGGCAAACGAGCGAGCCGGCUCGCGUUCGACUCGUGUUCGGCUCGAUAUUCGGCUCGCUCGAGCUCGACUCGAAAUUAAAUAAGCCGAGCUUGAACAAAAUAAAAGGCUCGAAAUUCAUUUCAAGCCGAGCUUGAGCCUAGAUUUAGGCUCGAAAUUAAUUUCAAGUCGAAUUUGAGCUGACAUAAGCUCGCUCGAGCUCGGCUCGUUUCCACCCCCUAAUAAUAACUGUGGCACAAAUGGAUUAUGUUUAGAUUCAGAUAUCAAAGGCAAAAGAAUACUAUCCACUGCUGUCAAGACUAACUGUACGCUGCAUCUAAAUUGGCAAACAUGCUUCCCCAAUUAUAUACUUUGCGAAAGCAUAAAAAAUACAAUUAAUGUGGAAGUCACAAUUGCUCUGAAGGCACUUCAAAGUCAGAAAGUAUGUUAGAAUAAAAUUUCUAUUUUUGUUGCUCUUCACGAAAGUUGGGUAGACUUUAGCAACAAAUGGGCAGUAGGAGGUUUAGCUUAUUCUGCACGUCCCCUCAUGUCAGUAUUUCUUCCUCUGUUACUUUCAGUGCUUGACCAAUAUCUUAAUAAAAGAAAAAUUAAAAAAAAAAAUCGAUGACUUUAGAGUGGCCAUAUUUUUCUCAUAGAAUGACAUCAAGGAUGAUAAGAAGAUACUUACUACACAUAAAAUAGGACUAAGAAUAUGGAUGCGUGUGGGGACAAUAGUUUGAAGCUAAUCUUUUGCUAAUAUUAUUUAGGAAAACGUGCGUAAAAACCCUCUGAACUCCAACAGUUUUGUAACCGGUGUGAACUUUUAAUUUUGACAACUCAAUUGUCGAAUAGUACUCCAUCCUUCUCCUCUGUUAAAGUUACUAAUCACAUAACUAUAUUUGUAAUCUUCCAAAACUUUAAAUUACAAAAAAAAAAUAAAAAUCUAUUUCUUCUAUUCUAACACAAAAACAAAUAAAGAAAAAUUGAAAAUGGGUUCCUCCUGUUCUUUAAUCCUAAUGUCUAAUUAUGAUAAUUAGACGAGAAAAGUAUAUUUUCUGUGUUCUUGAAGCUAGACAAAGUUAUAUAUAAAAUAUACAAUCAAAAUGACUAUUUAAUUAGUAACUUUACGUGAGCAGAUUAAUCUACUAAUCUAUAUAUAAAAAAAAAAAAAAUUUAGAAUGUUUGGUUGUUAAAAUGAAAAGUUUAAAAAUUUAUUUGCAAAAGUGCUGAGGUUCAGAAAAUUUUUAAAUAAAUUUUUUUCAAUUAUUUAAUGGUUUGGAGGGUCAUUGAUUCAAUCAUGGGAUCAAGCCGAUGUUUGUUUUGCCCAAAAGUCAAAUCAAUGAAAAGUCAGGUUCCACAGGGCUCUCACGUCAUCGCCAAAUCUAUUGAUUGCUCAAAAGUGAUGGCCGGUGACAAAACGUAUCGAGAACCUCUUUUCAUUUCUUUUUUUUUCUUUUUUUUUUUUCUCAUGUAAAAAAGUACCAUACUAUGAACUAUGAAAAAAGAAAUGUAAACGAAAUAAAUGAGAAAAUAAAUGCUAAACGAAAAGAUUGUAGAGCAAUAAUUAAUCUUGCUCUGCUUCACCUUUUCCCGGUUCUCUCGCUCUCCUGAAACCGUCGCUUGCCCAAAUCCCACCGCAUUAAAAUGUCCCUCUAUUGCGUCCUCCUUUGACAAAUUGCACGAAGCAUCGGCCUAAAAGAGUGGAAGAUAACAGCCACCUUGCUCAGCUAGCUAUUCUUCUCCCACCAAAACCCAUUGCGAAAGGGACCUUCGCCUUUGACCUCGCAUACUUAAAUAAUAAUUUAAAUAUGGAGGAGGCAACAGGCAACAGGCAACUAGGCAAGUGGGUUUUAAGUAUAUGUAAAAUAAUUACAUUACAUAAAAGGAAAGGAAAGGCCAAAAAAAGAAAAGAAAAGAAAAGAAAAGAAUAGCUAUAUAAAUCUAAAUCUUUAUCUUUAUCUUUCCCCUCCCCUCCCACCAUGGCUCUUCCAAAGCUCCCGGCCCGUCUCCUCCUCCUUUUGCUCUGCGUGAUCUCCGCCGUCGUCUUUGCAAGCGCGUACAGAAGUGGCUCCUCCGUCUACGGAGCUCCUCGUCGAAAUCAGGUGCCGGAGCGACACGGCAUUAGGAAGGUCCAUCUUGGUCCGCGCGGUCAUCUCUCCUUCCAGAUUGAAGGGCUGCCGUCGGCGUUCAGCUCCCUCCCUCGAGGGACGCAGAUCCCGCCGUCGGGGCCGUCCAAGCAGCACAACAGCCUCAGUGACUCCACUGCGACCAGCGGGGCUGUCGCGCCAUGACCCAGCAAACACACAUAUAAAUUUAUAAUUAACCAUCUACAUGCAUGUACGUAGGUAGAGAGUUUGUACGUAGCUGCUGGGGAAGUAAUUAAUUAUCCCAAGUAUUGAUUCUUGCACUAAUUACUUGUUGAUUGUCGCAAGAGGGUGCAACAGUGCACCUCGCCAAACAGGUAAGGUAGUUACUUAUUUUUGCUGAUUGGUUGGAGCUUGGAGCGCGGUCUUUUUUCUUUUCUUCUCUUUUCUUUUCUUUUUUUCUGUUCUGUUUCUGUUUCUGUUUCUGUUUGCUUAGUAUUAGUAGUUAAUUUCCAAAGGUUUGCAGUGUAUAAUGAGCUUUCUUCCUUCUCCUUAAUUGUCCUUUCAUCACCGCAGAAGAUGAUACCCAACUCGCAGAUUUUAGUUUUGAAAAGGGUGCAUUCACCUACCGUCCCAAGCGCAAGUGGCAAAGUACUUAAUGGUUGGUACCCGAGAUCCCGAGUUCAAAUUCUAAUUGAUUACAUUUCCAGAUAAGUUUAUUUUUAAAUAAAAUAAACAAAACGGGUAGCAUACAACCUAUCUCUCUCAAAAAAAAAAUUAGGCGGAAAAUUUGAAAUCCCGCAAUUUGUCUAUAUAUAUAUAUAUAUAUAUAGAGAGAGAGAGAGAGAGAGAGAGAGAGAGCGCGUCUGACUAUUAUAGUCUUAUGAGUAUGAUCGUCUUCGUAUUCAUAAGUCGUUUUCGAUAAUAGAGCUUUUAAAUCAACGAUCAUACCGUUAAAUAUUAUUUGGAGAAUUUAAAACUUAUAAAAAUCAAAUUUCAUAAUUUUUCGCUAUCAUUUACUUUACGAUUAAAAAGUCACAAAAUUAAUAAUUUUUUACGGCCGGUAUGGAAUACUUGCUAGUUUAACCAUAUAAAAGAAUUGAAAUAGAUUGAAUUUUUGAUAUAAAAUCUAUUCACUAGCUAGAUAAAGAUAAAUAACUCCUAUCUUAAAUUGAAGGAUCUGAUAAUCCAUUUUUAGUACGUCGUUCAAUUUUGAUCGCUCAUUUUAUACCCGCUUGAUGAACUUUAUUAUGAUUUCAAAAAAUUACAAAACUUAUUUUUAAAAGUUUCAAAUACUUUAGAUCAUAUUUAACGGAGUGUAUCAUCGAUUCGGAAGCUCCAUUAUUGAAAAUAACUUAUGAGUACGAAGAGUUCUAUACUCAUAAGAGUAUAAUAGCCUUACUCAUAUUGUCCUAUCGUCAUCGCAAAAGAUCAUACCCAACUCGCAGAUGUUAGCUUUGAAAAGGGUGCAUUCCAAAAUCUGAAACUGUGAAAGAGAAAAUUAGGUGAAAAUUUUAAAAUCCAGCUAUUUCUCUCUCUCUUCUUUCUCUCUCUCUAUAUAUAAUAUAUUGAGCUUUUAUACUUUUAAAAAUAUCAAAUUAUUGAUACUUGUAGAUUUUUUGCCAUUGGAUUAAAGGAUGUGUGAUUAGUAUGAUGUGGGACCCCUAGGGCUGAGUGGAUGGUUAGUUGAAUAGUAUGAUCUAAUGGGUGGAAUGAAAAGGAUAAAUCUAACGGUAAAAUUUAAAAGUACUAAGUACUUGGUGCUUUUAUAAGCACCAUAGCCGAACUUUAUAUAUAUUAGUUACUAGACUCUUAUGAGCACGAUGGGCUUCCUAUUUAUAAGUCAUUUGCAAUGAUCAGGUUUCGAAUCGAUGAUAUAUACUGUUAAACAUGAUUUAUAAUAUUAAAACUUUUAAAAAUCAAAUUUUAUGAUUUUUCGAAUCAUUUACCUUACAAUCAAAAGAUUUAAAAUUGACAAUUUUUAACGACGAGCAUGAAAUAUUUGCUAAUUUAAAGGUGCAAAAGAAUUGAAAUUGAUUGAAUUUUUGAUUGAAAUGUAUUCACUAUCUAAAUAAAGAUUAAUAACUCUGAUCUUAAAUUGAAGAAUACGCGCGAUCAUCUAUUUUUAGAAGGUCGUUUAAUUUUGACCGUUUAUUUUGCGCCCACUUGAUGGACUUUAAUAUGAUUUUAAAAAAUUAAGAAAUUUAUUUUCUAAAAAAUUUAAAUGGUAUUAGAUCAUAUUUCAAAAUAUGGAUCAUCAAUUCAGAAGCUCCAACAUCAAAAAAAAAAAAGUUAUGAGUAUAAAAGAAUCUAUACUUAUAAUAAUAUUAUAGUAGUCUUACUUUAAAUAUAUAUAGAGAGAGUCCGGCUACUGUAUUUUUAUGACUAUAUAUUUUUUUAUAUUCAUAAGUUUCGGCUAUUAAAUCUAUUCAUUUGACUAUUUCUUUCUAUUAGAUCAUACUAUUUAACCAACCACCUACUCAAUUCUAAUAAAUUAUUAUCAUCAUAACCGAAAAUCAUUAUUAUCUUAUUUGCACGUCCCUUCAUUCAACACUUGAAAAUUUAUAAAUACCAAAAGUUUUAUACUUAUAAAAAUAUAGCAAUCAUACUCUCUCUCUUUAUAUAUAUAUAUAUAUAUAUAUAUAUAUAUAUAUAAAUUUAUGCUAAGUUACGAGUCACGGACAAAAUAAAUAAAUAAAUAAAUAGAAGUGCCGAGGGGCCGCGCGGCCAGUGUUAGGUCGGUGUUGCUAUAUCAACACGUACGGUACAGUGGGAAGUUAGGCAACUAGGGUGCAAAGGGUACGUGGCACGUGGCAUACUUUUUCCAGUUUGGCAAAGCGAUAAUGAUAUUGAUGUAGGAGGGGAGGGGAUUAUUUAUUUAUUUAUUUAUUUUUGGUCGAAUCUAUGCGCCGUGUCAUACUGUCAUCCGGGUCGACCGCUGAGCCUAACCGAUACUGCAACAUUGAUCAGGUGGAUGAUUCCUCAAAAACAAGGGCGAAUUUGUUCAGGAAAGAUAUUACGGACACUAUUUGGUGGCUGAUAUAAUUUUAUUUCAAAUAUAAUUUUAAAUUUUACUUUAAUUCAAAAAUUUUUCAAUUAAAUUUUAAUACUAUAUUGACCCGUAAAUUUUAAUAAUACUGAAUAAAGGAGGAUGAGCGUGUUCUAAUUUAUGGGUUUUUUCUUAGAUACUUAUUAGUUACCGAAGGACGUUGUUAAGUUAAGACAGUUUGGUGAAUUAUGUAAUGGAUCAUGAAUUCAAAUCUCAAAGCUACAUUCCACUUCAAAAGUUUUUCAUUCAAAUCUUAACUACAUUCCACUUCAAAAGUUUUUCAUUCAAAUCUUAAGACUAUAUAGAUAACAAAUUUAGAAGGAUUCCAAUAAAAUUGGAUGAGAUGCUCUUCAGUUUCGCAUAAAAUUGCAAAAGUUUACUAUAGGAAAGCUUCUCUAUGAUUGUUCUGCGUUGUGGAGCAGUGAGUGUUAGUUGUAUGCCCUAAAUGCCUAUCAAGCUGAUAUAUUUUAUUUUUUAUGGGACAUAUUUUUGUACUUAAUCUUUAUUAUUGGGUCUUUUAUUUCAUUCAUGUUAAAUGUGUUCAUGAAUCGUCCUUUGAAUUAAUAAAUUGAUAAUAUGUAUUCUCAAGAGUUGAGAUUUGAGAUACAUAUUAUUGGUGAUUAAUUCAUAAAUAUUCUCAAUCGAAGGAUUAUCAUAGGGACGAUGAUUGGUCCGGUAAGAUUGAUGUGUGUGCCGCUUCCCUUUUGGAAUGAUGAAUCUCCAGUCAACAAUGUGGGGACAUUGGAGCGAACAUGCAGGUGGUUGUUAGAGAACAAGGGUACUGAGCGUGACCAACUACGAACAGUUACAUGGAUGUCUACUCAUUCGUCAGUAACUGGUUCGAUGUUGCAAUGGUACAACUGAUCCUUAGACCUGCGACACCGCGACCAUUCAAUGUGAGGCUACUGUAGUUUGACUAUGCAACAAACUCUAAUCCUAGCUAUAGGUCUUAGUAGUAUAUGUUGGCUGCAGUCGAUUCAUAUUAGAAAUGGGUGUGUGUUUAUAGGGGAUCUAACGCUCUCGGUAGAGAGAUAAUUAGUUCUAUGCUAUUUGUAAAACAAAGCUCAGAAAUCCUCGGCCGGGGUAAUAUGGUGUAUGGAAAGAGGUUUCCAAAAAUAACCAUAAGAGCUUCUGUCCUAUCAAAUUUGUCAUAUGACGAGUAAUGGGGUUUGACGAAUAUUUCAUGACCUCCACUCAGUUGGAACUAUGCGAUAAAAGGAUUGUAUUGUACGGUAACUGCACCUAGAGGUUCAGUUCGAUAUUCACUUCUGGCUGGAUUGCCACUACAUGCUGCUAGGCGUCACGGGUGGAUUGUGAAAACCAAUAGAAAUAAUUAUAAAUAAUUAAUUAUUCUAUUAGGGUAGAAUCAAAAGAGUUUGAGCCAUGAAAGGAGUUUUGAUGAUGAUGUAGAUGGAGAUCGCAUCAUAUCUCACUACCAGACAGAAUUGAACCUAUUAGGUCACACACAUAAAAAAUUACGUAUGAUCGAUAUUUAGGAGACGAUAAAAGAAAUUUAUCGGAUGGAUUAAUUGCAAUUAUAAUAUAGUUAAAUACUAAAGUUUACUAAUUUAUUAGUAAAAGGACUAAUUUGCAAUUGUUAUAAAUUAGAGGUAUUUAUGUGUCAAAGUUGCAUGGUGUAUUUACUAAUCGUUAGUAAAUAAUAUGAGGACUUAUGUGUAAAUGUUACACACGAAUCGAAUUAGAAUUAGAAUUUAGAAUUCGGUUAAUAUCAUAACCAACUUGUGGGUUAAUGGAUAAUCCAAUCGGACUAGGAUUUCGAUUAGGAUUAGGAUUAGGUUAGGUUUUUCUCAAUAUAAAUAUAUGUCAUAUGACAUAUUAAAAUUAAAAAAAAAAUUAAUUAAUGCAAGAGAAAAAAGAAAACUCUAGCCGUCAAUUUUUUUUCUUCCUUAAGUCCUCCACAAUUAAUCCAUCGGUUUCGAUUUUCAAAAGUUGCUAGCACAUCUAGAAGAUUGAUUCAUCUUCCUCACGUAGAUGCAAGGGUUAAUUCGUGAUCGGAUCACGGAUCGAAGCGGUCGUUCAAUUCGAUCAAGGGUGUGAUUUCGUGUGGAUGCGAGUAGAGGCCGGGCGUGUGCGCGGCUAUAUAAGCGAGGACGAAUAAAUUUUAACAACGAUUGUCAACUUCACGAUGAUCUCGACCCGCGAGAGGUAAAAUAAAAUAAAAUAGAUCCUAUUUGAUUAGAUCAAUUAGAUCUAUUAUUAAUGAUCUAAAACGAAACACGAGGUAAUCUUUGCACUACAGGAAAUUAGUUAAAAGACGACAUUUACUUAGCGGCUUUUUGAUAUAGGUCGGCCCAAAAUUGUAGCCUAAAUUAUAUGUUCCUUAUCUCUCUUUCUGGGCCUAGCCCAUAAGUUAUUACUCAUCAUCUCUCUCUCUCUCUCAAGGCCCAUAAAACCCAUCUCUCUCUCUCUUUCCCUCUCGAUCUCUCCCUCUCCUACACACAGACCCAAAACCCUCUCUCCCACUCCACCCGAUCGCCCUCUCCCACUUCGUCUCCUUCGAGCACUUCUAGGGUUUUUCUCUUCUCCACAUUUUUCUAGGGUUUCCGAACUCAUCCGCAUCAUCUCGACCUCGCACAAGAUCGCCGCAUUUGGAGGGAUUGUUCGUCGACGUGAUCCCUCUUGACCUUGCACACGAUCGCCGCAUUUGAAGGGAUCGUUCGUCAACCUUCGUGAUCCCUCUUUAUCACUGCAUUUUUGGUAAGUUUUCAUCUUUUAUUUUGUUUUUUUUUUCAUUUUUAAUGAUCUUUGGGAGAUAUAUGUUCAUGUGAAUGUCACCUAAUUAGCAAUUAUACUCUAUAUAUUCAUGAGUUUUUUUAGUCUAAUUUGGUUCUUAUUCUAAGUAAUUUCUAUCGAUUUUUGUUGAGUGAUUGUUGGAAUCAGUUGAGCAAUAAUUGGAACUCAGCAGUUGAGCAUAAAUAAAUCNUUUUUUCAUUUUUAAUGAUCUUUGGGAGAUAUAUGUUCAUGUGAAUGUCACCUAAUUAGCAAUUAUACUCUAUAUAUUCAUGAGUUUUUUUAGUCUAAUUUGGUUCUUAUUCUAAGUAAUUUCUAUCGAUUUUUGUUGAGUGAUUGUUGGAAUCAGUUGAGCAAUAAUUGGAACUCAGCAGUUGAGCAUAAAUAAAUCAUAUAAUCUCAAACUAAUUUAUAUGAAACUCACCAGUUGAGCAACAAUUGGAUGUCAAAAUUGGAAUUGUAGGUAAUUAAAUGAGCUUCCAAUAGAAUUUUCUUCAACAGCCAAUAAGAAGAGGCAUCUGGUGAGUUUUACCCCAUAUAAAUACAUACACCAACUAAUCCUUUAACAAGGCGAAUAACAAAAACGAAUUCACAAAACCUGGGAAACUUGUAGCCGGCAUACAGAGAUGACAACACAAUCAGGUUGGCAGGAAAACCACGCCGAGGGGAGUGCAUGGAACUGAAAGAACCACAAAACCAAACCAAAUCGAUAGUUUUGGUUCGGUUUGAUCCACUUUUCAGCUCAAGUGUUUUGACUUUGGUUUGAGUAAUUCUCAAACCUUAAAUCAGUUUGUUAUUAAGUUGAAAAAGUGGAAACCAAAUCAAACCGAAAGUCGAAGUGAGGGCGUACAUGUAUUUAUUUUCAUAUAACAGUAAUGUGACAACACAAUCAGGGUUAUGGUGUUCUGCAUGGCCGACCAUGUCGAGUCCCUGAAAUCCCAACUCAAAUUGGGUAUCAUUUUGAUUUGCAGUAAUGUGUUAACUCAGAUCUCUUCUAAUGCAAUGUUCAUAAUUGCAAUUGCUCCAGUAUCAACCCUUCAUUUCUGAAUAAACUUCGGUAUUGUACCGAGGCUAUUAUAAAAUAAUUACUCUUCAAAGCGUUUUACUCGUAAGUGAUUCAACCAAUGCUCUCUCUAUCCUACACAGGGUUGAACAAGUUUUAUGAAAAGUGUUUAAUAAUAUAGUUAAUUACUGAUUGUUUAAGCCUUCUUUCUAUACUUGAAUGUUCGAUAUAUUUAUAGAGAAUUAAUGUAACAAAUGUCGCAGAUGAUUUAAUUGCCUUUGGACGUCGAGCACGUUUCUUGGGGUUUUAGGAUCUAUUUGAGAAUAGUACAUUUUUUGACUUCUCGGGUAAUUUUUCCGAAAGAAUUUUAUAGCUAGCUAGGAAACUAACUAACUCUUUCAAUCCCAAAUAUAUAUAUAUAUAUAUAUAUAUAUAUAUAUUUGGGAUUGAAAGAGUUAGUUAGUUUCCUAGCUAGCUAUAAAAUUCUUUCGGAAAAAUUACCCGAGAAGUCAAAAAAUGUACUAUUCUCAAAUAGAUCCUAAAACCCCAAGAAACAUGCUCGACGUCCAAAGGCAAUUAAAUCAUCUGCGACAUUUGUUACAUUAAUUCUCUAUAAAUAUAUCGAACAUUCAAGUAUAGAAAGAAGGCUUAAACAAUCAGUAAUUAACUAUAUUAUUAAACACUUUUCAUAAAACUUGUUCAACCCUGUAUAGGAUAGAGAGAGCAUUGGUUGAAUCACUUACGAGUAAAACGCUUUGAAGAGUAAUUAUUUUAUAAUAGUCACGGUACAAUACCGAAGUUUAUUCAGAAAUGAAGGGUUGAUACUGGAGCAAUUGCAAUUAUGAACAUUGCAUUAGAAGAGAUCUGAGUUAACACAUUACUGCAAAUCAAAAUGAUACCCAAUUUGAGUUGGGAUUUCAGGGACUCGACAUGGUCGGCCAUGCAGAACACCAUAACCCUGAUUGUGUUGUCACAUUACUGUUAUAUGAAAAUAAAUACAUGUACACCCUCACUUCAACUUUCGGUUUGAUUUGGUUUCCACUUUUUCAACUUAAUAACAAACUGAUUUAUGGUUUGAGAAUUACUCAAACCAAAGUCAAAACACUUGAGCUGAAAAGUGGAUCAAACCGAACCAAAACUAUCGAUUUGGUUUGGUUUUGUGGUUCUUUCAGUUCCAUGCACUCCCCUCGGCGUGGUUNUAUAUAUAUAUAUAUAUAUAUAUAUAUAUAUAUGCUAUGGCUAUGAAAGAUUAUAUGCAUGUGGACGGAAAUAAAAAAUUUUAUGUGCGAAUUUGAAUCCACCGGAAAAAGAUUAUAUGCAUGUGGAGGGAAAUGAAAAUUUUUAUGUCCGAAUUUGAAUCCAGUGGAAUGAGAGUAGUUUUCUUCUUACUGGGAUGAAAAGAGAGAGGGCUUUAUCUGGAUAUUGGGUGGAGGCAUGAAUGUUACUUGUGGUUCAUGUCAUUUCCCAAACGCAAUUUAAUUUGUUCUGUGGGCUCCUCUUGUAUGCAAAUGGAGUAUAUAUAUUUGCAUUAUCUUCACAAGAAGCGCACAAGAGGAACACUAGCAGCAACUACUUCAUGAAUGUAGAGCCUAGUUGACCGAAAUUCAAACAUAUAAUAGUAUCUAACACUUGGAAUUAAUUACUUUUUUAGUAACUAUUUCAAAAUGGUCUAUAGCUGGUGAAAAAUCAUAUAUGAAGUUGAUGAAAUUCUUAGUCCAUUUUAGGAACUUAUUUAUAGAACUACGAUUGUGAUUUUCAAGUGAUGGUUAUGACUUCUCCGAGAAUCUUUCUCAAUUUUACGAUAAACAAGUGAUGGUAGUAAGUAGUAUACUUCUUGAUUAUAAAAAAAAUCACUCUGUUGAAAAGAGGGCCCAUAUUUCUUUUUCAAGGCCAAUCUGAUUAAAUGAAUGGAUUUAACCGUGUUAUUGGCCGUUUAUUGUUUUUAUUGUUUUUUUUUCAUGUUUUCCAUUUGAUUCUUAAGUUAAAGAGCAAGCUGCUUGAUUCAGUUUAAAUGAUGAGCUCGUUUUUGUAUUGGUUUAUUUUACAUAAAUGUCCGCUGCCAUCGUUUUAUAUAGCUUCAAUUGUACCAAACAGUGUUGUUUGGUAAAGCGUCGUUUUAAUAGUGCUAAUCUAGAAUCGCUAUACUGAUAUCUGCUUAUUUCUGUGUUCGAGUUAGAAGCAUUAAAUUGGAGCUUUGUUUUGCAUCUAUGAGCACAUGAAUAAUUAGUAAACUUGUUGAUCCUAGGGAGCUAGUGAUGGUAUUCAACGAAGGUCCAUUUUUGCGAGGACCUAUGAUGUUGCUUGCAUAAGUGAAAAUUUCUUUGAUAAAAGUCUAUCAUGCAAGAUUGUGAAAAAUUGUCUAGGUGUUUUACUUGCCGAGACUGCUUGAAAGUCAAUAGAUUGAGCAUUUUUAACCGUAAACCUUUUGCCAAAUAUUAACCAAAAGCAUCAGAAAAAUUACACCGCAGCUUGUCAGAAAAAUUUGAUCUGCCUGUUCAGGGCUUGGUUACUGCUAUAGCCUUUUGGAAACAGAAAAAAUGUUUGCCCGGUACUUGAAUCUGUACAUUCUAUCGUCAGAGGUUUAUCUAGAUUAUUAUGCAAAAGAGACUUAGAUGAUUUAUGUGAUCAUCUAAUGUCUUUGCAUGGGUGUAAGGUGUAAAGAGAUGACAGAGAAAGUUAAACUAUCAGUUGUUUGAUGCGGGGAUUUUACUUCAAAUUUCCUUGCAAAGUUUGAUGUGAUAAACAAAUUUUCUAAUUCAUUAAUCACUUGUUUCUACUUGAACUUUAUUUCCUGUAGCUUAGAGUUGUUUGAAAAAGACACUAGCAAUAAAUUAAUUCGCUCCUUUUCUGGUAACUUUACCUGCUUGCGGAAAAUGGUAGUUUUACAUUAAUUUUAGUGUUACCACGGCCAACAGCUAUAAAUAUUCUCUUGCAGGAAAAGCUAAAUCCCUAGUUUUGAAUUUUCCUGUUUUUUGGGAUAAAUUUUUCAUCACCUCAUGAACUAAUUGAUGCUGCUUUAUUUCCUGUAGCUUAGACUUGUUUGAAAAAUGGCUUUAUCUAGAUAAUCUUAUUGAUAUUAUACCUAUGUUUUCAUUGUUAACUAUAUUCUUAUUUUAUUGAAAGAAAUUUUUGUUUUUGUUACAGGAUCCUGAGUCUUCAGGCACUUGCUAUACGUCAGCAUCAUCAAAUACUUCCCGUGAUACUUGAUCAUUUUUUUUGUAUUUGGACCUACUAUGUAGCAUCAUUUUAUGUUUUGAGCUACUGUGUCAUUUCUUAAAAACUAUUUUUGGAUAUUAUAGUUUUUUAUCAUUUUAUUGAUGUUGAGGAUGUGAGAAACAAUUAGUAUUUUGGUUUCCUUCGAUACUCUUGGCUUAUAUAUGAAUGAAACAACUUUUUUGCUAUGAAUGUGUCAUUUUUUUAUUGUAUCUUUCAUACAACUAUUUCUAGCUAAUAUACAUAUUAAAAAGUCCAUAUAUUUCGAUCAAUAGUAGCUUUAUAAAAAGUCAUGGUAUAUGCAUAUUAAUAGUUUUCAAAAAGCCACAACAUAAUUUUAUUAAUAGUAUCGAAAAGUCGCAAAAACUAUAGCAUUGUGGCACACCAAAUGCUGCUAUAUUAAUUAAAGGCAGCUUUUCAUUUGCCGUAGCUCUUAAAAAUUAUAAAAAUUGCAAUAUUAUGGUGUAAUACAUUGAACUUAUGCAAAUUGCGAAGUUCGAGUGUGAGGAAGGAUAUGUGGAUCUAUCCUAUAUGUUCAAAAAGGCUUGGGCAAGUUUUUGGACAAGUUAGAGAGUAAUUGGAUGGCUAAAAGCAAGAAAGUACAUUGAUGUGGCCUUUCUCUCGAAUUUUGCAUUGUGUACCGGUACAGGCAUCAGCAAGCAGCAGCAGCAGCAGCUGCGUGGCAGCAGGGCUUUUUGGUCUUUUGGGCAUUUGAUCUUAUCUUCAUGACUCCAGCUCGACCCCUGGUGUUCAGUGGAAGUUGCUAGAGGCCUGAGAUGCAGCUUUGCACCUUUCCCUCUUUCUCUCUCUAGGGUUUCUCUCUCUUCGAUUGGAGAUCGCCGAAUCGAGCUUAUUUCUUGCCGCGUUCCUCGCUCGCUGGUUUGGAAACGCAGGGGAGGACUUUGGGUCGUGGGGAGAAGUAUCUUUACUGAGUUUUCUAUGAGGUUCUCACCAGGGAAAGCUGACUCUCAGCUUUGAAGAGGUAAUUAGCUUAACUUCUCUCUUGAUUGUGGUUUCGUAUUGGAUUUUGAGUUGAUUGGAUUUCCCUGCUUCCAACUGAUGUAGGGGCUGUUUUCAGUAGUAAAGAGGAGUUAUUUUGGCUAUGAAUUAUCAGUGACAAGUUGCUUUAAGGCUGGACUAAGGUAAAUUAGUUAUUAUGAAGCUAUUUCGAAGCUAUUUGCAACCUACUUGAGUAACUCAACGCAGUUUGGAAGGAUGUCUUCGCAGCAGGUUUGCGAACUACUUUGAGCUGAACCUGUGCUCUUAGAAGUUGGUUUGGAGGAUAUUUUAACCUGGGGUAAGCAGGAAUUUCAGUUAGAAAACUGAAUUCACUAGAUUUCGGCUAUUUUAAUGCGUAUACUAGCAUUUUGAUGCCAUUUUGAUGUUGUUCGCAGCGAGACUACGAUCGAGCCUUGGAUUGCGUUCGGCUGAGUUGUGAGGACUCUUAGAGGUUACAUUUGAGGUACUAAUGUAACCCAAACCAGGAAUUCAAGUUACUACCUUAUUCUACUUAAGAGUUUUGCCGAAAUUGGAUUCUUAAUUAAUCGUCUCGACGCGGUUCUGAUGCAUUGUUUUCAGCAGGGUUGAAGUCUAGUAGAGCUGAAUUUCGGGACGUCGUGGAACUGAUUUGAGCCUAGUAAUAGGUGGGUUUGACCUAACCAGAGCAAGUGAAGCUCCCCCUAUGUUCUAUAUGUUACUAUAUAAUUGAUAUAGUCGUGCGUUUUGUCACUAUAUGGUCGCUAAAGGAUUUGGAACAUCUGUGCUAUAACGUUUGACAUAAGGGAAAUAGAACCUCCAUGAAGUAGAGAGAACUCAUGCAUAUUUGUAUUUAUGCUCGUGUUUAUGUUUAGUUCAAUUGAGUAACUAAUGGACAUAAUAAUUAUGCUUUAGUAAAAUAGACAACAAUGACAUUACUUGUGACUGUUUUGAUAGUACCUGGAGAUUAGAAAGUUCUAAUGCCAUAUAUGAAUUAGCAUUACUUCCAUGUGCUUACUAAUCUAGUGGAUGCUAGCUAUUGUCAUUGUUAUUAUAUUAAGAAUUCCGAUCAAUAGAUCGAGAGUAAGAACAUGGCAUACUAUGCCAUAAUGUUUGAGCUAUGUUGGACUAUGGACUUUGCUUGCUUGCCAUCGUGCUCAUUCGUACACGCUUGUGAGGGUCGCUCCCUACAAGCCGGCACUCCAGAGUUGGCCUACGCGACAGUUGCUCGCCCGUGCGGGAUUAGGUGCCGAAGUGGAUUGCCGUGGAGAGUGUAUACUACCACGGGGCCAUUAGGCGCGGCGCAAGCUGGACUACUUUGAGUAGGUCCUUACGAAUGAAAUAAAAGUACUAAAUGACAAAGGACAGUAAUAAAUGCUCGUCAGUUAUAGUGUAUGGUAUUUACUGACACAUCUAUGUUUGUGCUCAUGUUUAUAGUAGUUGCUAUGCUUCGAUUAUUUAGUUGAUUCAUUACUGUAGAAAUCAUGUUUACAUGUUGAUUACAUGCCGAUUACCUGUUAACACUGCAUAUAUAUAUCAUGCAAUUAUCGCCUUUUCUUUCAUUUAGUACAUCAUGAGCCUAGUGGUAUAAUUCACCGAGGCUGGCGGCUUACCCACUGGGAACUAUUGUUAAUAGUUCUCACGCCCUUUUUAUGGUUGUUUUUACAGAGCCAUCUACAGGAGAGGCUAGAGAUCGUGGCAAAGGAGUCGCGUCUAGCUAGACCUUACUAGGAGCGUGCUAGUCGAUCACUUUGCUACUCGGGCUACGGCCGAGGGUGAUGUCCACUUUAUAGAGAGGCUACCAUUGUACAGAUAUUUUGUGUACCCUGUGUUAUACAUGAGUCUUUGGAUCCAGAUGUUAUAGUUUUAGUACUUUCUUUUGUACUUAUAUUUUGAGUUGGAUACUCUUGUUCUUUUGUUGAUAGUCCUGUUGACUUAUACAUGCUCUGAUAUCAGGAUAGGAAUUUUCUAUGUUUUCUCCUAUCGACUCGCUUUCUUGUAGACGCUUUAUAUACUGUAGGUGUAUGGCGGGUCUGUGCACGUACUGGAUGUACUUCCGCUGGUACCCGGGCGUGACAGAUUAUAGUGGUAUCAGAGCCUAGGGUUGCGUCUUAGGAGACCUAGCAAACCUUAGGCUGGUUGGACUAUAAGAAUAGGCUCGUGAGAGACGAGGUCUAGUUGAGGUUGUUGGUAGCGAAAGUACUUCGAUUGGGUAAUUGAUAAACUCCGAAUGGUAGGAGUUUGAUCAGAAUGUGCAAUUACUAACUUGCAGAGGGCCACAUUGGCGGCCGACAAUGUGACAUCGGAAGUUAGUACGCGUUACAUUUCAUUACUUUCGCUUGAUUAGUUGGUUUAUACCUGAAGUAAAGGUUCAAUAGUAUAGGUUUUAUUAAUCUAUAUUUGUUUUUGUGCUGCAGCUCAAGAUGCCUUUAACUCGUUCGCAAGCCGCCGGGGCAGCUGAGGCGGCGGAUGCGGAGGAAGUGAGGACCUCCGUUACUUCUGGAUCUAGUGGGAUCCAUGAGUUGCAGGAUCAGCUCGCGAAGCUGACGGAUUUGGUUGCUUAGCAGGCUGCGGCAGCGCGACAGCAGAUGGAUGCCGCGCGUCGGCAUGAGGACAGGAUGAAGAGAUUAGAGGAUUUACUAUUGCGGCAGACGACCGACAGGGAGAUUCCUGAUCCUAUACCUAUAGUACCAGACAGGGAUGCGACAGUGAGAGCACAGUCACCAGUACCUGACACACCCCCAGUAGCUCCGAGGGUAGAGACCCGACAGGAGACAGUAGUACCACCACCAGUAUCUGUAGCGGCAUCAGGGACAGUGUUACCAGAGAUGGUGGGGGCUGAGGAGCGAGAGCAGAUGAUAGAACAAUUGAAUGAAUUCCGUCGUUGCAACCCUCGUAUUUUUGACGGAGAAAAAGCUGAUCAUUGGGUGGUCGAGAAAUGGCUGAUGCACAUGGAGAAACUGUUUUAUGAUACUUUCGUCGAGGAGCGAUAUCGGGUUUGGUUUGCAACAUAGCACCUCGAUGGCGAGGCUUACAGGUGGUGGGUGGAUAUUCGUGAGGAUCCUCGUACUGAUUUGUCCGCUAUUACCUGGACGAGGUUCAGGGAAUUAUUGUUGACUACUUAUUUUCCUCAGAGUGUAAAAAGACAAAUGGAAAGGGAUUUAAGAAAGCUAAGACAGGGGGACAGGACAGUAGCUGAGUAUGAGCUAGAGUUCUCCCGAUUACUGCAUUGUGUUCCUUUUGUGGUCCGAGAUGAUGAGGAUAAGGCUCGGAUUUUCGAGGUAGGUUUGCGGCCUGCGAUUUUCAGAUUGGUCCAGGCGUCAAACCUUUCUACUUACAGGGAAGUAGUGAACCGGGCUUUGAUUGUGGAGAAGGGGGCGGAGGUUAUGAAGGAAAGAGAUGUUGUGGAUCGAAGUAAAGGAAAAAGGCCAGCAGCUGAGAGCAGUGGUCAGCAACCCUUCAGGAGACCGCCGAAGUAUCCCAGGGGCCAGCCGGGCCAGUCUAGAGGUCGAGGUUCUUCAGCAUCCCGUGAAGCACCCGAGCGUCGUCGACAGCCACGUUGUGUCAUUUGUGGUGGGCCUCACUUUCCACCACAGUGUCCACAACGUGGGGGCAGGUGUUUUAUCUGUGGCCAGGAGGGCCACUAUCGUUCAGAGUGCCCGAGAGGUCCUUCACCUGUACCAUCAUCAGCAUCAGCACCUGCAUCUUCUGCUCCGAGCCAGGGGACCCCGAUAGUACCCUCGCAGUACAGACGAUCACCGGGACAGCGGCAGUCUGAGAGUCCUCGACAGGGUUCGAGUGGGCGCAUGUAUGCUGCCGAGACUGAGGAGGCCGCAGCAGCGGAGGAGGUCGUAGCAGGUAUCACUAUGCUUUAUGAUGUUCGUGUUCGUGCUUUAUUUGAUACUGGUGCUUCGCAUUCUUUUAUUGAUCGGCAGUUCGCUAAGUUGCAUAGCAUUCAGGUAGUACCUACUCUGCAUCCGGGACGAGUGAUCGUGCCCAACCAUACCCUAGAUGUUCGUGAGUUUUGCCCUCGCUGCCCCGUUAGGGUAGGCGACUGGAUUAUGCCAGUGGAUCUUUUGGCACUACACAAACUAGGUGAGUUUGAUGUAGUAUUGGGUAUGGAUUGGCUAACACAAUAUUAUGCGACCAUAGAUUGCACGAGCAGAACGGUGACCUUUAGAGAACCGGGUCAGCAAGAGUUUGUUUAUAAGGGGUGUCAGAGUUCAUUGUUUGCAAUGACCAUUAGCUCUUCGCGAGCACGACAGUUGAUUCGGAGAGGGUGUGUAGCCUAUUUGGCUAGCAUUUCGGUGAGUGACGGACGAGCCGUCAAGAUUAAAGAUAUUCCAGUGGUGCGAGAAUUCGAGGAUGUGUUUCCAGCUGAGUUGCCAAGUAUGCCACCUGAUAGGGAAGUUGAGUUUGUGAUAGAUCUUGUCCCUGGGACUACCCCAAUCUCAAAAGCACCCUAUAGGAUGGCACCCGUUGAGUUGAAAGAGCUGAAGGCACAAUUGCAAGAUUUAUUGGAUAAAGGUUUUAUUCGACCGAGUGUAUCUCCCUGGGGAGCCCCGGUAUUAUUUGUUAAGAAAAAGGAUGGAUCUCUUCGAUUGUGUGUAGAUUAUCGAGAAAUCAACAAAGUCACAAUCAAGAAUAAAUAUCCAUUACCUAGAAUCGAUGAUUUAUUCGAUCAGCUGUAAGGAUCGAAAGUGUCUUCUAAGAUCGAUUUGCAAUCAGGUUAUCAUCAACUUAAGAUUAAGCCUGAAGAGGUUUCCAAGACCGCUUUUAGGACACGGUAUGAGCAUUAUGAAUUCACAGUUAUGCCAUUUGGACUGACAAAUGCCCCAGCAGCCUUUAUGGAUUUAAUGAACCGUGUCUUUAAGCCCUAUUUAGACAGGUUUGUGGUCGUGUUUAUCGACGAUAUUUUGAUAUAUUCUCGGAGUGACGAGGAGCAUGAAAGCCAUCUAAGAGUAGUGUUACAAGUACUUCGAGAAAAGAAAUUGUUUGCAAAGUUAAAGAAAUGUGAAUUUUGGCUUCGAGAAGUGGCAUUUCUGGGACAUGUAAUUUUUGAAAUAGGAAUCGCGGUGGACCCAAAGAAGAUUGAAGCGAUUAAAGAUUGGCCUAGGCCGACUAAUGUCAUCGAGAUUCGGAGUUUUCUUGGUUUGGGAGGAUACUACCGAAGAUUUGUAGAAGGAUUUGCAAAGAUGUCUACGUCUCUCACUCAACUUACACAUAAAGGAGCUAAAUUCCUAUGGAAUGAAGCUUGCGAAAGAAGCUUUCAAGAGUUGAAGGAGCGAUUGACCACCGCCCCGAUUUUAGCACUACCUGUUAUUGGAGUAGAUUAUGUGAUUUACAGCGAUGCAUCGCUAAAUGGAUUAGGGUGUGUUCUAAUACAGAAUGGCAGAGUAAUUGCUUAUGCAUCUCGCCAAUUAAAAGAUUAUGAAAAGAACUACCCUACACAUAAUCUUGAGUUAGCAGCCGUGGUAUUUGCUUUAAAGCUUUGGCGCCACUAUCUCUACGGCGAGCGUUGCAAAUUGUAUACGGAUCAUAAAAGUUUAAAGUAUCUGUUUACUCAGAAGGAAUUAAACUUGAGACAACAUAGAUGAUUGGAGUUGCUCAAGAAUUAUGAUUUGACCAUCCUCUAUCAUCCAGGAAAAGCUAAUGUUGUAGCAGAUGCUUUAAGUCGAAAAUCGACGAAAAAUUUGGCAAUGUCGAUAACUAUGCAACCUCUGUUGGUAAAGAAAAUGGAGCAGUUGAAUUUGGAAGUUGUAGGUCCUGACACACCUUAGAGACUUAUGUCAUUGGUGGUGCGACCUACCCUAAUCGAUCGAAUUAAAGAAAAGCAAGCUCAGGAUGAAUUCCUAUAAAAGAUUCGAGCAAAGAUCACUGCUGAUCAUGUUAGUGAUUUUCGAGUGGAUGAUCAAGGACUGUUGAAAUUUGGUGAUAGACUUUGUGUACCGGCAGAUUCUGGUGUUAAAGAAGAGAUUUUAACAGAAGCACAUCGGGCGCCGUAUGCUUUACACCCUGGGAGUACGAAAAUGUAUAAAGAUUUGAAGCUGACUUAUUGGUGGCCUGGAAUAAAAAAAGAAGUUGAAGAUUUUGUGGCUAGAUGCUUAACCUGUCAGCAUGUUAAGGCUGAACAUCGACUUCCUGCGGAAAAACUUCAAAGCUUACCCUUACCAGUGUGGAAGUGGGAGAGGAUUACUAUGGAUUUCAUUGUUGGAUUACCUUGCUCACAGGCAGGUCAUGAUGCAAUUUGGGUAAUUGUGGAUAGAUUGACUAAAUCUGCUCACUUUAUUUCAAUUCAUACAGUUUGGUCUGGGGAAAGACUCGCACAAGUGUAUCUUGAUGAAAUUGUGCAAUUACACGGAGUACCUGCUUCUAUUGUUUCAGAUCGAGACACCCGCUUUGUUUCACACUUCUGGAGAAAUUUACAGGAGGCUCUGGGUACUCGAUUGGAUUUUAGUACUGCUUUCCACCCCCAGAGUGAUGGGCAGUCCGAGCGUACCAUCCAGACCCUUGAGGAUAUGUUGAGAGCCUGUGUGAUUGAUUACCAGUGCAGUUGGCCACAGUUCUUACCGAUGGCUGAAUUUGCUUAUAAUAAUAGUUAUCAAGCAAGCAUUCAGAUGGCACCGUUUGAAGCCCUUUAUGGCAGAAAAUGUAGAUAACCACUUCAUUAGAGUGAAGUGGGGGAGAGAUUAGUUUUGGGUCCAGAUGUGUUACAAGAGGCUGAAGCUAAAGUUCGACUUGCACGAGAACAUCUACUGACAGCUCAAAGUCGACAAAGAAGCUAUGCAGAUAAACGUCGGCGAGAAUUGGAAUUUCAAAUUGGCGAUCAUGUAUUCUUAAAAGUUUCAUCGACAAAGGGAGUUAAGAGAUUUGGUAUUCGAGGAAAGUUAAGUCCUCGAUUUAUUGGACCAUACGAGGUGUUGGAGCGGAUAGGCCCCGUAGCGUAUCGGCUUGCUUUGCCGCCGAACCUAUCGGGAGUGCACAAUGUGUUUCAUGUAUCUACACUGCGAAAAUAUGUUUUUGAUCCAACCCACGUACUUGAGAGUACCCCAGUGGAUUUGCGAGAAGAUCUGAGUUUUGAGGAACAUCCAGUGAGAAUACUAGCUCGAGAGGUGAAACGGCUUCGAAAUCGCGAAAUACCCUACGUGAAGAUACUUUGGAGCAAUCAUGAUGAACGAGAAGCNAGAUUUGGUAUUCGAGGAAAGUUAAGUCCUCGAUUUAUUGGACCUUACGAGGUGUUGGAGCGGAUAGGCCCCGUAGCGUAUCGGCUUGCUUUGCCGCCGAACCUAUCGGGAGUGCACAAUGUGUUUCAUGUAUCUACACUCCGAAAGUAUGUUUUUGAUCCAACCCACGUACUUGAGAGUACCCCAGUGGAUUUGCGAGAAGAUCUGAGUUUUGAGGAACAUCCAGUGAGAAUACUAGCUCGAGAAGUGAAACGGCUUCGAAAUCGCGAAAUACCCUACGUGAAGAUACUUUGGAGCAAUCAUGAUGAACGAGAUGCCACUUGGGAAUUGGAGAGUGCAAUGCAAGAACACUACCCCUAUCUUUUCUCGACGGAAUCUUGAACUAAGUAUUUACAAGCUUCGCGGACGAAACCCCUUUUUAGAAGUGGUGAAUGUAAUACACUGAACUUAUGCAAAUUGAGAAGUUCGAGUGUGAGGAAGAAUAUGUGGAUCUAUCCUACAUGUUCAAAAGGGCUUGGGCAAGUUUUUCGACAAGUCAGAGAGUGAUUGGAUGGCUAAAAGCAAGAAAGUGCAUUGUUGUGGCAUUUCUCUCGAAUUUUGCAUUAUGUACCGGUACAGGCAUUAUGCUGUACCGGUACAGCAAGCAGCAGCAGCAGCUGCUGCGUGGCAGCAGGAUUUUUUGGUCUUUUGGGCAUUUGAUCUUAUCUUCAUAACUCCAGCUCAACCCCUGGUGUUCAGUGGAAGUUGCUAGAGGCCUGAGAAGCAGCUUUGCACCUUCCCCUCUUUCUCUCUCUAGGGUUUCUCUCUCUUCAAUUGGAGAUCGCCGAAUCGAGCUUAUUUCUUGCCGCGUUCGUCGCUCGCUGGUUUGGAAACGCUGGGGAGGUCGUUGGGUCGUGGGGAGAAGUAUCUUUACUGAGUUUUCUGUGAGGUUCUCACCAGGGAAAGCUGACUCUCAGCUUUGAAGAGGUAAUUAGCUUAACUUCUCUCUUGAUUGUGGUUUCGUAUUGGAUUUUGAGUUGAUUGGAUUUCCCUACUUUCAACUGAUGUAGGGGCUGUUUUCAGUAGUAAAGAGGAGUUAUUUUGGCUAUGAAUUAUCAGUGAAAAGUUGCUUUAAGGCUGGACUAAGGUAAAUUAGUUAUUAUGAAGUUAUUUCGAAGCUAUUUGCAACCUACUUGAGUAACUCAACGCAGUUUGGAAGGAUGUCUUCGCAGCAGGUUUGCGAACUACUUUGAGCUGAACUUGUGCUCUUAGAAGUUGGUUUGGAGGAUAUUUUAACCUGGGGUAAGCAGGAAUUUCAGUUAGAAAACUGAAUUCACUAGAUUUCGGGUAUUUUAAUGCGUAUACUAGCAUUUUGAUGCCAUUUUGAUGUUGUUCGCAGCGAGACUACGAUCGAGCCUUGGAUUGCGUUCGGCUGAGUUGUGAGGACUCUUAGAGGUUACAUUUGAGGUACUAAUGUAACCCAAACCAGGAAUUCAAGUUACUACCUUAUUCUACUUAAGAGUUUUGCCGAAAUUGGAUUCUUAAUUAAUCGUCUCGACGCGGUUCUGAUGCAUCGUUUUCAGCAGGGUUGAAGUCUAGUAGAGCUGAAUUUCGGGACGUCGUGGAACUGAUUUGAGCCUAGCAAUAGGUCGGUUUGACCUAACCAGAGCAAGUGAAGCUCCCCCUAUGUUCUAUAUGUUACUAUAUAAUUGAUAUAGUCGUGCGUUUUGUCACUAUAUGGUCGCUAAAGGAUUUGGAACAUCUGUGCUAUAACAUUUGACAUAAGGGAAAUAGAACCUCCAUGAAGUAGAGAGAACUCAUGCAUAUUUGUAUUUAUGCUCGUGUUUAUGUUUAGUUCAAUUGAGUAACUAAUAGACAUAAUAAUUAUGCUUUAGUAAAAUAGACAACAAUGACAUUACUUGUGACUGUUUUGAUAGUACCUGGAGAUUAGAAAGUUCUAAUGCCAUAUAUGAAUUAGCAUUACUUCUAUGUGCUUACUAAUCUAGUGGAUGCUAGCUAUUGUCAUUGUUAUUAUAUUAAGAAUUCCGAUCAAUAGAUCGAGAGUAAGAACAUGGCAUACUAUGCCAUAAUGUUUGAGCUAUGUUGGACUAUGGACUUUGCUUGCUUGCCAUCGUGCUCAUUCGCACACGCUUGUGAGGGUCGCUCCCUACAAGCCGGCACUCCGGAGUUGGCCUACGCGACAGUUGCUCGCCCGUGCGGGAUUGGGUGCCGAAGUGGAUUGCCGUGGGGAGUGUAUACUACCACGGGGCCAUUAGGCGCGGCGCAAGCUGGACUACUUUGAGUAGGUCCUUACGAAUGAAAUAAAAGUACUAAAUGACAAAGGACAGUAAUGAAUGCUCGUCAGUUAUAGUGUAUAGUAUUUACUUAUACAUCCAUGUUUGUGCUCAUGUUUAUAGUAGUUGCUAUGCUUCGAUUAUUUAGUUGAUUCAUUACUGUAGAAAUCAUGUUUACAUGUUGAUUACAUGCCGAUUACCUGUUAACACUGCAUAUAUAUCAUGCAAUUAUCGCUUUUUCUUUCAUUUAGUACAUCAUGAGCCUAGUGGUGUAAUUCGCCGAGGCUGGCGACUUACCCACUGGGAACUAUUGUUAAUAGUUCUCACGCCCUUUUUAUGGUUGUUUUUACAGAGCCAUUUACAGGAGAGGCUAGAGAUCGUGGCAAGGGAGUCGCGUCUAGCUAGACCUUGCUAGGAGCGUGCUAGUCGAUCACUUUGCUACUCGGGCUACGGCCGAGGGUGAUGUCACUGUAUAGAGAGACUACCAUUGUACAGAUAUUUUGUGUACCCUGUGUUGUACAUGAGUCUUUGGAUCCAGAUGUUAUAGUUUUAGUACUUUCUUUUAUACUUAUAUUUUGAGUUGGAUACUCUUGUUCUUUUGUUGAUAGUCUUAUUGACUUAUACAUGCUCUGAUAUCGCGAUAGAAAUUUUCUAUGUUUUCUCCUAUCGACUCGCUUUCUUGUAGACGCCUUAUAUACUGUAGGUGUAUGGCGGGUCUGUGCACGUACCGGAUAUGCUUCCGCUGGUACCCGGGCGUGACAUAUGGCAAAAAGCCACUAUAGAUAAUUAAAGACGGCUAAAAUAGUGCCACAAUUUGAAUGCCUAUAGUGGCUUUCAAAUAGCCGCUAUAGGCACUAAAAUGCGGCUUUUACAAGAUGUCGUUAUAUUGACAUAGAUCUAUACCGACUCAGUUUUCACCAGCUUUUUUUGUGGCUUUUUCAAAAAAACCGGUACUUUUUGUUGCGGCUUUUCAAAAAGCCACUAUAGGUACCCGUAAAAGCCACCUUUAAUACAAAAUGUUGUAGUGCUAAGGGUGUGUUGGCCAGUAGAUUGUACUACCACCGAAGUUUGAGGGAAUGCAAUAUAAGUUUCAGGUCUCUAACCUCCACAAGAAUAGGUAUAACUUCUCGCAGGUUUCUGUGCAUGAACUGUGAAGUUACAAAAAGGAGGUGACUUGUGAAAAAUGUCUAGUGUGCAUUCUGGACUCGUGAAUAAAGGGCAUUACAGAACUGUAUAAUUCUGUAUAUGGAUGAGCAUUGAAGCAUGCGCGUCAAGCGCGAAACCCUUGGAAACUCGAAAUGGGGGUGCUUAGAACCUAUCCUCAUCUGUAGGAGCAGAUGAGCCAAGAUAUCGGUUGAGUUUCGCUGACGAAACUGUUUCUAAGGAGGGAAGACUGUAACAUACCGAAUCCCCGAAUCACGAUGCUAACUUUGAUCGAAUUGAUCAAAGUGAGGUAUGUGAAUGAUAAGCGAGGUACCCGAGUGGCCUUGAAGGUGUUUGUUUGGGUGUUUUCGACGCAUACCGGGCACGAAAACGGACCCUAGAGCUUGGUUGCUGCUGGAAUGCAGCUUUGGGGAUUGAGUACCGAUACCAGGUUGAUGCGGUACCGGGUACCCAAUGGAAGCAGUAGUUGGCAGCUCUCGGGAUCCGGACACCGGGAGACCGUGUACCGGUACUGCACACUUGGUAUCGGUAUUGGCUUGGUCUGGUACCGGCACUGGGAUCGAGUCCCGGUACUCUAGGUUAGGCUGAAUUGCGUAGCCUCGGUUGUCGGGUCUGGUACCGGUACUACAGCCCGAGUAUCGGUACCCAAUUUAUUAUGGACCAAAUUGUAAGGGCUGAGAGUGAAAUUUUGGGGGGUUUAUUUGUAAUUGUUGGGGCUUGUAUAAAUGUCUCAACUCUCCACCUGUACUCCUCAUGCAAAAGAAGGCCUCGUUCUCUUCUCCUUCUCAUUCUCUCCUCUUUCUCUCUCUAGAAGACAUGAAAAGAGGGAUUUGGGAGGAGAAUCAAAGGGGGGAGUUGGAUGGAGAAUUGAUGGUUUUGGUGUAGGUCAAGCUCUUGCACAAGGAGAGCUUAGGUAACCAUGGAGGCAAGGUGAGUUCUCUUGCUCCUUUGGUUAGGGUUUGAUGUAAUUUCCCUAAAUUGCUUAGUUUUGAGAUUCUUAGGUUAUGGAAGUUUGGAUUACUCCAUAAUUUUCUAAGAAUUUUGAGUAUGAGAAGGUUAUGUGGAACCUAAACAUGAAAAUGGGAUUUUGUAGGAAUGGAGAUCUAGCUUGGAAUUGAUCUCAUGUAAUCCUAAUUGAAGGUAAAACCACUGCGUUGGAAGGCUCAGAUCGAAGUUCCGACGAAUCUACAUCAAGUUAUUGAGGAAAAACCACAUUUAGGCUUCGUUUGUCGUGGAUUGAGAGAGAUAAGCUUCCAAAAAUCACGAGACUUGGGUUCUCGCAUCUCGACAUCCCUACGAGGUGGGUGGUGCUAUCUGAAGUCUUCGAAUGAAUCGUUAUGUCUAGUGACUUCUUGAGCAUGUUGUAUGUGUAUAGUGUAUUUAUGCAUUAUAGGAUAAAUAUGGCAUAUGGGGUGCGUUUGGCUCAUAUUAUGAAAUAUUACUAGGAAUAAAAGAUAUCCGAGAAUCUUAUUCCUAUUCAUCCUAUUACUAAGAAUGUGGAAUUCCUGUGUUUGGUUCGUACGGUAAUAUUAAUUAGCCAUGUUAUUUAAUAUUACAAAAAAUAUACAAUUUAUUUAUUUAAUUUUAUAUAAUAUUACCAAAAGUUUCAACAUUUUUUUAGAAAAAAGAAAGAGAGAGUAUAAGUUAGAGAGAGAGAGCAUAAUUAAAAAAAAAGAAAGAAAAAUAUAGUUGAAAUUAGAGGGAGUGAGAGAGUUGAAAUUUUAGAAAGAGAGAGAGAGAGAGAAAGCUUAGUUUAGAGAGAGAAAAAAAAGUUGAAUUUUAGAGAGAAAAAUAAGUUUAGAGAGAGAUAUAAGGUUAGAGUGUAAAGAAAAAUAAUAUCAAUUAGCCGGCGGGUAAGAAGAAAGAAAGAGAUUAGACAUAUUAUGAUUACCCCAAUCCAUUAAUAUGAGGAUACCCACCCUCCCUCAAGGGAAUGAGAUUAGUACUUUGGGGUGAAUCUUAUUCCCAAGUGAAUCCAAUAUUACCAACUAGAUUACUUAGUGUGUUUAGCCAAACACCGUCAUAUUUUUUUAUUCCCAUUAGAUUACUAGGAAUCUUUAAAAGAUAGCGCGAACCAAACGCACCCAUGUGGUAAUUAUGCAUUCUUGUAUGCUUUGGAAGCAAAGAAUAUGCGAACUAUAGAUGUUGAACAUAGAAACCUUAUAUAUGCAUGAAACAGUGAACUAUGACACUAGUGAACAAGUGACAUUGUAACUAGACGACAUGAGUAGCACCUAGUAUUGAGAAUGCUAAACAAGGAAAAUAAACUUGUGGCAUUAUAAUGAGAUGAAUUGGUUAGCAUCUAGAAUUGGAAAUGCUAAACAUAGAAUAAAUAACUUGUCAAGGUUGUGGCAUUAUAUCCUCCAAGUGAGGAUUGGAUCUUUCUCACAGGUAGUCUGAAUGCUCGAGGUAGGUCGUUCCACCUUGGGCGGUGAGCUCCUAAGUGUCAUCAACUAGGUUGGUAGUGGAAUUCUCCCCAGCAAACGGUCCCGUCGAGUUGUAGCGGUAUUCUCCCCGACAAAAGGGAUUUGGUUUGGUGAGUUGAGGUUUAACCAAAGGGUUAAACAAGUGGAUUGGGUAAAGGUGAAAGAGCAUGCAUGCAUCAUGAGUAUAUUAUUUCCUUCUAGUUUGUACAGGCAUUGUAGUAGCAUUAGCUUAGUUACUUAUCUAUUUCCUUUUCCUAUAUAUGUCUGAGUAGACCCAGUGGGUGAGUCGGCGAGGUCAGUAGCCGAACCCACUGGAAACUUUCAGUAGUUCUCACCCCACUAACCAUGCAGGUCCUAGCGCAAGCGGGGCGGUCGAGGAUCGCGGCAUGGAUAUCGUGCUAGAUAGCGGACCUCCAUUGAGUAUAGAUAUAUCUUGUACAUUUCAUCUAUUAUAGUUGAUGAAAGAAAAGUGUAAAAAUUCAUUUGUGAGAUGAUUAUUGUAUCUAUUGGAAGAUGUUUGUAAAUAAUAAUGCAAGCUUUGUAUUUGGUUCAAAGUAAUCAGAAUACAAUGUAUGGAUGUAAUAUCUAGUUUUACUUUCACUUGCUUUGGAUGCUUGCCCUCGUGCAAGCCAUGUAUAAUGAAAUUUUUCUAGUCAUUUUCUUAUACAUAUUUGGUUGUUGUGGAGCCUUGGGCGAACAGAAGAGGUUCUGUUCAUUCGGCGUCUGUGUACGUACCGAAUCGACCAAAUUGGCGGUCUUGGGGCGUGACAAAGUCGAACAUUUAAUGGUCGUUCCAAAUAAUGUAUAGAAUAUAAGAAAUCUUUACAUUAGAAUCUAAUGGAAGUACAAAGAUUCAAAUAAUUUCAAAAAUUUUAUUAAUUCAAGAUCAAUAUUUUACAGAAAUCUCAGGUUUUUUUUUAAAAAAUAAUUUUUAGAUCUAAUAUCUAUUAAGAGAAAGAUUUUUUUCAAAAAUAAAAAAAAGAGAUAAAGAGAACAAAUAGAAAACCUUUUCGACGGUAGAAAUAAUAACAAAUGAGAUGGCUUUGACAAAAAAAUGGUGAUGGUAACAAACAAAACGAUGCUAACGAAGAUCAAAGAGUGUGGCUAAGGCGAUGACGUCGAAAGAUGAGGGUUGAGGAUCGUGCGAGAAAGAUAGAGAUAUCACGCAUGGGUGAGGUGCACAUGGGGAAGAUAUAAAAUAAACCCCUUUAACUUUUAAGUUAAGUCAUUCUCUAUCAAAAGAUAUAAAAUAAAAGUUAAAACAAACAAAAUAAAUAGGUAUUACAUUUUUAACCGCCAGAGGGGUCCUCAUUAGUGAUUAUGGACAUGGUGUUUGGUUUUAUUACUACUGCUAUCAUUAUCGACCAUAAUGCAUAAUAUGAUAAUGAUAUAUUCCUUUAUCACAGUCACCAUGGUCUGAUCAACCACGUGGUUGCAUGAGCCCUCUUGGAAGAGUGGUCUAGGAUUGGCAUAUUAGGACCCAAUUUGGGACUAAAAGUCAAAGGCAAAUUGAGCAUUAGUAGCCCGAGAUUGAAAAGUUAGGGUCUUUCCUGAGAUUGAAAAAGUUAAGAUAUGUAUUGGAUUAUAAAUUGACAAAUAUAUAUAUAGAGUUGAUGCAUAGUUAUGCUUUGUAUCCUAUGAGAUAUGGAUUUCUCUAUUUAAGCAGAUCAGACUAUGGUUUUUUAUAUAUACUUAGCUGUAACAUAUCUUUAAUAUAAAACAAAUGCUAUUUAUAUGAUCUGGUGUAUAUGAUCUAAACCACCCCUCAUCUAAUUAGAGAAGGUGCUUCACUAGUUACGUUAUGUGACAAGUGAAGCAUCCCUACCUAUUGGAUGGAUGGCGAUAUAAGAUUAUAUCCUAGUGGGGUAUACAAGUAGCGUUUGCCAUAAUAAUAAGGCAUAUGCUACUUGUACAUCUCUCAUAAGGGUAUAAAUAUUACACCCUUGAAUCGAAGGGUUCACAAAAUUUCAUUAAAUUGUUAGCGUAAAAAAAUGAUCAGACUAGUUAAUUCGUCCCCGCCGUAAGAGGGUUUAGAGUGUAAGAUUUCACCUAUUACAAAGGUGUACAUGUAGCAUUGCUCUUGCUCUAAUAAUAAUUUUUUUAAAAAAAUGUAUAAGGAUCCUUGAACUUAGCAAAUAGGCAUAUGAACUUUUAAGUUUAGCAACUCUUAAAUUUAUUAAAUAGUUUACUAUGCUUCUAUUCUUAAUGGAGAAUCUAAUUACAUAUCCAUAAUUAUCGUUUUUAUUGUAUAUAAUAUUAUACAGUUUUAAAACAAUUAGAAAUUCACGUCUUCUAUCCUGAACAAAUUAAGAAAAAUUAAAGACAUGUUCAUCCUAUUUUUCACCGUAGGAGGCGGGGAAGGGGCGGGCCUGAGAGAGGGGGUUGGGGGGUGGGGUAGCCUACAAGCCUGAGAGCAAAUGUAGGGAAGUAGGGUAACCUGCAAGCCUGAGCGCAGUAGGGAGGUGCGUGUUGGGGAGGGGGGGAGGGGUAGGGGGGCCAACUAAGCAGUGGGAAGGGCAUCGGAGUAGACGCGGCUCGGGAGUUAGAGGAGCGUGCAGCCAGCGAGGGUAGAGCAGUCAUGGCUGGCGCCGGGGAGGAGCAGCUAUCGAAGGGAGGGAUUGAGUUUAUUCGGAGGAGGGGUUUGGGAGGNNNNNNNNGCUUAGAGGAGUUGGGGAAAAGAUGAAAAAUGAGAAUUUUCUUUUUUUGGGAUAUAAAGGCGGUUUUGUAAAACCGCUUCUACUAUGUCUCUAAUGUAUAGGUUAGAAGCGUUUACAGCAACCGCCUCUUUACAGCCACCUCGAUAAGCCUUUUUUUUUUUUGUAGGUACUAUCAUAAUUGAUAGAAAAUAUAAAUAAAUUUCUUUAUACUUUCAAUUUUAUUAAACUAUUUUAUAAAGUUUGGAGAAUCUCAUUAUCAAAAUUAAAUGUUUAGGAAUAUAUUUACAAAAGACAAAUGUUAGAUAGUCUAUUUAUAUUAUUUAAAAUAUAAAAGAAUGCUGCAUAUACUGGUGUAACUUUGGCACCUUUUCUAUCCAAAAGUUUAUAAUUUUUUGAAUUUUUAGCAUUAAGCAAUUGACAAAACUAGUAAAUAAAUAGGAAUUCUUCGAUUAGCUUAUAUCUAAUGUAGUAGUGUGUAGAUGGUAAUGAUUUAGGUAAAAAUUGGACAAUAUAGUGAUUUUGUAAUAGUCCUCUUAGUCUUUUUUUUUUUUUUUUUUUUGACUAAGAACCCCCGGGGCUUCUAAAAUCUUAAAAUGAAGUAAUUUUAAUAAAAAAGUUUAAUAUUUAAAUUAAUAAAUAUUAAAAGAUAAGGAUUCUAAAUCAAAGAAUUUAAAUGUCAUGGUAUAGGGUUGUACUGUAAAUUUGCCGGUAUGGCGUGGUACUGUCUGGUAUGCAUGGUGCCGAUAUUUUUUAAAAAUAAUAUAGUCUAAUUGCUUAUUAUGCAUCCUUAUUAAUUUUUUUAAAUUUUAUUAAAAAAAUUACUGGCUAAUUUAAAUAAUAUAGAGUUUUAAAUUAUGUGAGGCGUUUUGAUGCCCUUGUCAGUGAGUAUAUACAUUUUUGUUCUCAGUAGUCUAUUUUGGAAGGCCUAAUUCCGUACAAUUUUACCAAAUAAAAUAAUGGUUAAAAAACGGCGUAGUGGCGAGUAAAUGGAGCGUGCGGCGUUUACCUUUCCUCUCGGACGGUUGGACGGCCCAGCGCACGAAAUAGUUCGUUUGUCUGCCUCGGCGACGAAAGCCGCGAAGGAGCGAGAUCAGAAGAAGCCAGCCGCGCCGGCGGGGAAGGAGGACGGGCAGGAGGGUGAGCGGGAGGAGGAGGAGACUGGAGUCGAUAAAAAACGAUAAUUGACAGUGAGGAUUGCUCGCAAGCCUUAGGGUUUCGCAGGCCGCUGCGCUGCGGAUGGCGGCGUGGUGCAGGCAGUGUGCGGAGGGAAAGCCCCUCUUCGUCGCCACCUACGCGGUCGUUUUCGGCGGGAUCGUCCUCUCCGCUCUCUUCCUCCUCUCCACCCUCUACUCCUCCUCCUCCCCCUCCUCCUCCUCCGGCGAUAACCCCUUCCUCGCCUUCGGCGCCAGACUCUCCUCCUCUUCUCCCUCUUCCUCACCCGCUCUCCCACCCCGUACGUACUUCUCCCCUAAUCCUUCUCGUUUCGAUUCCCUUUUUUCUCUUUUGACACUUAUUAUGCAUGAGAGAAAAUAGAAGGCCACCUCGGCUGCUGCAGUAGAUUUUCCCCUUGAUGACCUGGCGAAAUGCUGCCGACAUAUUUCCCAAUAAAACCGAACCAAUCCAUCAAUCCAUACGAGAUCACCUCCUAAUUUAGCAGUGCCGAAUUUAAAAUUAUUGUGGCUGAAAACAGACUUUGAGGAACCUUGAGAGCUGAAAGUGUAAUUCGCUGAUUUUUAAUAGGUUCAUGACUACAUAUUCUGGUUAUGGUCACUUUAACAAUUUAGAUUUGAGAUUCUUAUGAUACCUGCCGAUGCCUUCUCAGACGAAGACUCGGUUGUGACGGGGAAGACGAAAGAGAUUUCUGAAGGAAGUCCGAAUGUUACCAAGUACACUCCUUCUGUGUCAGCAGUAAACAGAUCAUCUGCCCCCGCUUUGCAACCCAAACAUAUGUUGACCAGAGCUAUAUGGGAGGUGCCUGUGGAUUCUAAAUUGCCAGCACUGAAGGCAUUCCGGCUCACAAAGGAGAUGGUCAAGCACCGUGCGAAAGAUAAUGUCAUUAUCGUGACUUUUGGGAACUAUGCAUUUAUGGACUUUAUCUUGACCUGGGUCAAACACCUGACAGAUCUUAAUGUCUUCAACCUUCUUGUUGGUAAAUUUCUUCUCUCGCAAUGUCCUAGUUAAUUUUCAAUUUUGUGUGAUUUCUUGUUUCAUAAUAUAAUAAUAUGCGUCAAAUUACGGCAAACGCAUGUGGAGUGAACCUUGGUAUUUCUCUGUCCAGGUGCUAUGGACGUAAAACUUCUGGAGGCUCUGUAUUGGAAAGGUAUUCCCGUAUUUGAUAUGGGUAGUAAUAUGAUCACAGACGAUGCUGGUUGGGGUUCCCCCACAUUCCAUAAAAUGGGGAGAGAAAAGGUCUUCCUAAUAAAUGCUCUGCUGCCGUUUGGUUAUGAGCUGCUUAUGUGCGACACUGACAUGGUUUGGUUAAAGGUAUAUGCCUACAGGUCUUUCUUUCUUUGUUUAUUAUCUGCUGUUUUGAAAUGCCUUAAUUUGUUUCUUUGAUUCAUGGGAAAGAUAUUCUUUAAAGUAGAUUUUCUUCCUUUUCUUGGUUAUAACUAUAGUUCUACUGGUUUGCCGCAAUACCAAGGUGCCAAAUAUUAGUAUUAGGAGUGUAUAAUUACAAAUACCAUGGUAAUAACCGAAAAUGUUGUAUUGAAGGAAACAUAUGAAGAGCUUUGUAAAUGAAACCAAAUUCUGAAAAUGAAUAUUAACCUGAAGUAUAAAACUAUCUAACACUGAACCAUCGCUUAAUGGUGUUUCUCAGAAGACUAAAAAGCACUAGAAAGUUUUGUAGAAUGAUCAGAAUGCAUGUUCCUAAACAUUCUUUUGUAGCCAAGCUAGUAAAAUUAGAUUGCUUGUUUCGUCAGAAAAGUUAAAAAACUUAAAUACUCCAGCGGAUAGAUUGCAAUGAUGAUGAAGCAACAUGGUAUCAUCUGUAUUUUCUUGUUAUUCUGGAGAGAUAUGUUUGCCACAAAUCUCUGCAAACUGCUUAACUGCUAGUAUAAUAAAACACUUUGGGAUUGCCAUUCUAAAAUUCCUUGGGUUAGAACUACCGCUAAGGCAGAUAUUCUGCAAAGGAUGUACUCUGACCAGCUUAGCUAGAACUUCAUAUAUCAUAUUUGCAUGUUAGAACAUCAAAGAAGAAAUCAUUAAAAGCUCAACCUACUACCGUUAUUUAUCAGUUGAGCUUCUGAUAUUACCUCAUGAUUUUGUUGUAUGUAAAUUGUUGUAGAGGAUUCCAGCAAAAAGACUGGUUAUCUCAUCUUCUGCCAUUCAUUUUUAUAAUAUCUGUAAUGAUUUAAACAGCAGAAUCUAGAUAAAAUGGUUAGUUUUGUUUUCUCCUUCUACUAAACGUUGUUUCACAUAUCCUUAUGCUUGAAACAGAAUCCGCUCCCAUAUCUUGCUCGUUUUCCUGAUGCAGAUGUCUUAACUUCAAGCGACCAAGUUAUACCAACUGUCACUGAUGACAGCUUGGAAUCCUGGAAGGAAGGUAAUAUUUUCUGGAAGCUAGUAAUUGUUGGUGAAAUGCUUCUACCCGUGUUUUAAAACUGAUUCUGGCAAUGAACCAGCAUGUAAGCAUGAUGUCACAAAUUAUAAUUAUUCUUCUGAUAAUAUCUAAUAUAGAAUAAAAUAGCAAACAUACAUACUUGGUUAUAAAUUAGUAACAUAGUAGAGAACCAAUUUCCCAACAAAACAAGAGUUUACAUUGUUGACCUCAAACUCUAUUCUGUUGUUAAUAGGAUAGUUUUAUUGUUUUGAAUCGAUCUUCUAACAAAGCAGGAGUUUACGUUAUUGACCUCAAAACUCUAUUCCAUCAUUAAUAAGAUUGUUUUAUUGCUCUUUUUACUUCUUAUCGGAGAUCAAGCAGGAAAGCAGAAACUGCCAGCCCUGUCAAAACCAAAAGAACUCACAGGUUCACCAGUUAAACUCGUGGAUCAACCUGUUUGAUGUUCUUUUUUGAACUCUGUGAUUUUCUUUUGAGCAUUUGUUCAUGGUUUGACUGUUUCGACCGAUCGGUUCAAACUGGUUCUUAGAACAUUGGCUUACACAUGCUUUUUUAGCUGCAACAUGUGCCUAUUGGUUACAGAAGCUAAGAGGCUAUACACUGUAACAGAACUGCACUUUUGCCUCUUCCAAACAAUCAAAAACUAUAGAACUGAUUUUGAGCUAGGUUCAACCACACUUUCAUUAUUUAUUUGAGAUAUGAAUCACUAGGAUACCCAAAUCUUCUAUUAAAUGCUUUAUGAUCCAUUCGCAAUACGGGAAUUGUUCUGAUAUAUGUGAAUUUAUCUAUAUUUCUAGUUUAGGUCAUCCAUCUAAUUGGACUUUUUCUUCUUGUUUCAUUGGCAGUAACUGGUGCAUAUAAUAUUGGAAUUUUUCACUGGCGCCCUACUGAUCCCGCCAUAAGGCUGGCAAAAGAGUGGAGAGAGCUACUUUUAGCUAAUGAGAAGUUAUGGGACCAGAGUGGCUUUAAUGAUCUUGUUCACAAAGUAUUAGGACCAUCAGUGGAAGGAGAAAAUGAACUGGUAUAUGCAUAUGACGGGACACUGAAAUUGGGAAUCUUGCCUGCAAGCAUAUUCUGCAGUGGGCACACAUUCUUUGUCCAGGUAGUAUCCUUUUACUAAUUAUACUCAUGGAUAAAAGAUCCUAUUUUUUGGACACUACUCUCUCUGCAUUCACAAUAUUUAUCUGUUUUUCUGUCUGGAUUUUUUUUUUUAAGUAUACCUUGGGAAAAAAUAGGUUUUCUAAGUGUUUUUAUAUGCCUGUACUUGUAUGACGCUCUCAGGCUGUGCAUCAGCAGCUCAGGCUAGAACCAUAUGCAGUGCAUACUACAUUCCAGUAUGCAGGUACUGAAGGAAAGCGCCACAGAUUGCGUGAGGGCAUGCUUUUCUUUGACCAACCAUCCUAUUAUGACUCGCCAGGUACUUUUCCCUACUGUAUCUAUUGCAGUCAGACUAAUAUGCUGGGCGAUCAUAAUGCUUAUUGUCCUCAUUGCGUUCACUGGGAUUUCUGUUGGAGAUAUUUGAAACAAUCUUUAUUUCUCAUUUCAUGACAUGACAUGCUGGAACUGUUGUGGAAACCCAUCAGCAGUAAACCAACGCUAUAUGAUCUUGUCAUGCAGAGUUUUCUAUCUAUGUUGGAAAAUUUAUAAACCUUAAAUGGCAACUAAUCAUUUUCUGCUGAAUGCAUCAAAAACUGGGAUCAGGAUCUGCAACUUUUUUUAUUUCUGUUAGAAUUUGUCGACUCUCACAUAUAGUAAAUUUUGAAGUUUCUGCUGGUGCUCACUCAAGAGUGCUAAUUUAUGCUACAUAUUACAUAAGCGAUGUAUUGACCAUGACAUAAAAUUAGCGAGUGAUGGCCUACUCUGAUGUAAAUUUCUUCUUAUUGGCUAUAUAUUCUACUUAUUGGCAUUAAGUAAACUUCUACCCCUUUUCUUCGGGAUUUAAUGUGCUUUUUCAAGAAAAAGCACUUCAAACUGUGAAAAAGAUGUGUGAGAUUUUAUCGAAUCCCAAAAGAUGUAGAAUAGUUAUAUCCGUUUCAGAGUCAAUUUUUCAAAAAGGAUGUGAGCUGUUCUCUAUCUGAUGGUCCUUAUCAAUUGAAUGAUAUAAGUCGGAAAGUGAUUUCGUUUUGACAAUGACAUCAAUAUGAAUAAAUCCUUCUGGAGUUUGCAAGACAUAUCAGAACAUUGCAAGCAUAAUAAAAAUUGCUUUUCAACAGUUCCUAACUAGCAAAAACCCUGUCCUGACUUGUAUCCAGCAAGUGGGUGUUGAGCGCCCUUCUGUUGGCCCUGGCAACGUGAUGCCAAUUGAGAGGAAAGUACAGAUAAAAUAAGAGAGGAAGCAGGUAUGUGGAAGAAAGAAGACAAUGUUGGAACGGAGAUAGAAGAAGGGAGAAAAACAUGGCACACGGCGAUGUUGCGCUUUCCACCUCUCUGUUAUUGUGUAAUCUGUUUUUCAUGAGGUGCUUUCUCCAUUUCUUGAUUGUAGUUGAACGGUCGACAGACUGGAGCUUAAUGUAGAAAGUCAAUCUCCCAAGGCAGAUAUUUCACCAAUCUUGUCAUUCUCUGGUUCAUCUUGGCACACCAUUGACAUACAAUUGCUGUUUUGUUAUGUGCAAACCUGUUAUUGGAUAAUGACAAAACGUCUUUUGACUUGUACGAAUAAAUUUCACGUUCCCACAUUGUGCAAGAACUAGAACAUGCCGCCUCUUAAAUAGCUGUCUGUAACAGUGUUAUUUGUUUUCUCUUUUGUGCAUUAAUUUCUAAUUUUAGACAUGCGAGCUAUCUUAAAUAAAUCCAUAAUCAACCAGUUUUAUUAGACAUAGACAAGUAAAAUAGUCAGAAGUUUGGACUGUCCUAAAAAAUCCUUGCAUCUCUUAAUUGUUGUUUUAUAAAAUCAUUUACUAGAUCAGCUGGCUCGGUGGGCUCUCUCCCCUCAUUUUGUCACUAUGUCUUAUCAUGAUGCAUUCAUAUGUCAUGUUUGAUGUGAGUCUUUCCUCAGGAGGUUUCUUGACAUUCAGUCCAAGUAUUCCAAAGAGUUUGUUGCUUGAUGGUGCUCAUAAUAUUGAAUCUCACUUCUCGCUAGUGAAUUACCAAGUAAGAUUUUUUUCUCAUUUUAGUCUUGAUUUAUCAUUUCAUACUGAUCCCAUAAAUAAUGACAAUUUAAUGAUUAAUGAUGGCUUAUUGUUUCAUUUGUUCAAUUUUCAGAUUAAGCAAGUAAGGACUGCGCUUGCUGUUGCUUCAUUGCUUAAUCGCACCCUAGUGAGUGAGACUGCCCAGUGCAUAUUAUUAUUGAUAUUCAUUCAAUUUGAUAUUAUAUAUGUGAAAUUGAUUUGUCUUCUUGAGACUUAUAAAGUAGAGAUAAUGGCUAGACGGUACACUAAUUUAAUAUAUGUUGAGUUGCAAACCACGUGUCAUUCUGGUGUACAGUUUCACAAUUUUUCAUUUCAGACCUCUUUGGAUUAUGAACUUCUAGAACUAGCGAAGCACUAAUUUUGUCGUGCUUGCUCGUAAGCAUGUUGGUACAAAUAUGAUCUUGCUUAUGCUGUUCUUCAUAUUUCCCAACUGACAUUAUCUAAAGUUGUUAUAAUGAAAUUGAUGAUUUCCAAGGUUCUGAAAUGGAUUAUAAGUUGAUGUAUAGACUGACCAUAAAUUUUUUGUGAAAUUGUGUAAUUAGUUUAUCAAGUAGAGGAUUUUCCGAUAGUCAAGAUUAUCAGAGCAAUAGUUUAUUAUUCCAAUUCUGAAACUUAAAUGUACUUUUAUCGUCAUAAAUACAUUUUUAGUUCCCAUGUUUUAUACUUACUCAAUUUUAAGAGUUGUGAUGCUAUGGAUGGAUGUUAAUAAGUUCCUCAGAAAAUUGUAGUAUUCUACAGUUACUGGGAAGUUUAAUUUAAAAGAAAAAAUAGUCUUUUCACGGUAGAAUAUUUAUAAUAGAAAUUAUUGGUGGAGGUUUGCUUUUCUUGUGUCAUUAUUUGAUUUUUACCCUCCUAUACAAUCAAGUUCAUGAACUGACUUUAUUAUGUUUUUUUAGGUAAUGCCUCCAUUGUGGUGCAGGCUUGAUAGAAUGUGGUUUGGACACCCGGGAAUUCUUGAAGGGACAUUGACCAAACAGCCUUUUCUCUGCCCUAUGGAUCAUAUAUUUGAGGUAACUUUUAGUUCAAAUAACACAUUCUGAACCGCCAAGCUCUAAUUUACCUUGUUGGAUUCAUAAUGGGGAAAUUGCUUAUAUACCUCUUAAAAGUUUUCGAUUUUCUGAUUUAUCCCUAUUAGAAGGCUAAGGGUGUGUUUGGUUCCAUGUAAAACUGUGGAAAAAAAUUUUUCGGUGGAAAAAAAAUUUUCGGUUGGAAAAAAGUUUUACGUUGUUUGUGUUUGUUUUGUAGGAAAAGAAAAAUAGUUUUCCGUAAUGGUUGUUUGGUUGUUUGGUUGAAAGGAAAAGAAAAAAAAUAUUUAAUAUAUUUUUUAUUAUAUAUAUUAUAUGUUAUCAAUAUAUAAAUAAUUAUUAUAAUAUAUUUAAUUAUUAUAAUUUAUAUUUAUAAACAAGAUAUAUUUAAAAUAUAUUAUAUAAUAAAUAUAUAAUAUAAUAUAUAAUAUACAUAUAUAUAUAUAUAUAUAUUUAAUAUUAUUAAAUAAAAUAUUAUAUAUUUAUAAAUAAAAUAUAUAUAUAUAUAUAUAUAUACACACACACACACAGGUGAGUGGUCCAGUGUGGACCACCCCACCUCGGUCCACGAGCUCUUACAUGAGCUCGUGGACCCCGAUGCCAGAACGCCUCAUGAGCCGCGAUAGUUUUCGUUUUCCGCCGAGAUUUGGCGGAAAACGAAAACCUUCCUUUUACAUGAAAUCUGUAAAAAUAUUUUUUCUGUAAAAUUUUUUUACGUGGAACCAAACGCUAGAAAAAUGGUUUUUCACUGAAAAAAAAUUUUCUGACCAGUUUUACGGGAACCAAACGCCCCCUAAUAUUGAAAAUACCCUUUUUUAUGUUUCAACCUAUUUCCAAUAUAUCCCUAGAGUUAAAUUUUGUUAAUGAACUGUUAGCAAUAGCUGUUAUCUUUAUAAAAUUACUAUUUUGCCAUUUCAAAUAUAACCUUCUACCAUCACCAACAUUUCUUAUUUGCCCUUUAGUUAGGGGCACAAAAAGUAUUUUGAUUUUGGUCUUUUCAAAUAUAUCCUUCUAUCAUCACCAACAUUUCUUAUUUGCCUUAAGUUAAGGGCAAAAGGGGCAUUUUGAAUUUUUUUUUUUAACUUUGGUAAAUAUUUAACUCACGUUUAGCCCAAGUUAAUUUAAUGGGUGGUAACUGUAGGGAUAUUUCAGAAUAACGGAGGAACAUAUAUAAGGAGUAUAUUGGAAAAAAAGGGGGGGCGUAAAUGAGAUAUUUUCGUAGUUUUGAGAGGUAUACAGGCAAUUAUCCCAUUCAUAAUUCUCUAGUCCUGCUUCUAAACUAAAGCGAAAGGCUGGAAGAAUUUAAAUAUCAUUAUGACUUAUGCAUAUAUGUUUGACAAUAUGCUCUUAGAGAAUGUUACCACAUUGUCGACUCACUGUCUUGCAUUUGAUCUCCUGCUCACUGCCCAACUAGUGUAAUUUUUGGAAGGUUCGGGACAAGCGGCAAGAAGCUUUGUGAUGUAGCAGUAAUUGUAUCAUUAAUGUAAUUAAUUAAAGAUGUCUACAUUGCAAAGUACGUUGCUUGCUGCUCCCACUCUCCUCAAUUAACAAUUACGGAUCAAAACAUAGAUGGCUCUUCUAAUCUUGACAUAUUUCAUCUUUAUCUGAUAUCCUAUCCUAUUUAGGUAUUAUCAUUUUCAAAAAUAAGAAGUACAUUGAUACGGUAGUUGUUGAACUGAUAAAUACUUCUAAAAGAUAUUUAAUUUAUUCUUACUCUUGAAAUUUUCUUUACGGCAUUUAAUACUUUAUGAUAAUUAUGCUUUCCAAGCAUGAGAGUUUGAUGAUUGACGUGUGACUUUUAAUGUAUGGGACUGUUGUGCAUCGUUUUUUUUCCUUGGUUGGAGUGCUGUUACUGUCGCAUUUGCGAAAUUCAAUACCAUGGGUGUUUCAGAUGACUACAUGUUACUACUAAUAUUCUCAUAUGCCUUCUGCACAAUUUUCCUUAUUUGCUGAAACCAUUUCACGUUUUAGGUAAAUGUCAUGCUGAAGGAUUUUCCUGAGGCAGAAUUUGGCCCCCGGAUUGAAUUCAGAGAAUAUUCUUUCCUUCAGAAUCCUUUGGUGCCCAAACAGGUGAUCUUAGCAAUUCGGCCAAUUCUUUUACGUUUACAUAUAUACUUUACUUUUCUUUUUUUUUUGUUUUAGAUCGAUGUAAUACAUUUAUUUCAUCUCUUGACUUAGGUGAAGGAGUCAUUACUCGAAGUCCAGCUUUGUGAUGAUCAUCGCACCAAGUGCACUGUAGCGAAUGAGACUAUUAAAAAUGGUUUUCUUCGAUUUCCCAAAAAUAGCACUCAACAAAUGGUAUCUCUGCCAACUAGAUCCUAUAUUUACCUAGCGCUUUGUUCCGGUAAAAGAAUAUGAAAUUUCCAUUUCUUCAUAAUUUUUUCCCUUCCUGAAAUAUCGACUACUAGCCUGUUUACCUUUCUCAAGAACCUCCUAGUGGUGUAUAUAGAUGGGAUCCUAGAAAGUGCAGCCUUUAUCACUUAAGAGAUCAAUAUACAUAGCGUUUUGACUCGGGAGUUGUUAUGGGUUAUAGGGGCCUACGGGCGACAUCAAAUAAGAAGGGGAGAAGGAGGUGAAGAAGGAGAAAGAACCAAGAGUAGAAGAAGAAAGGAGAAGGAGAAGGAGCAGGAGACGAAAGGAGGGGGAGAAAAAAUAUAUAUAUUUUUUUUUGGCAGCUUGGUGGUAGUGGUGGAAAACUUUUGCCAACACAAAAUUUCAGCUUUAACAAAUGAGCUAUGACAGUAGAAUACAGCAGGCAUUUGCCACGUGAGUCUCCAAGAUUAACUUGGUGGACGAAAAAAGAUUUUUUGUUUGAUAGUAGUGGUGGAAAACUUUUGCCAACACAGGAAAAGUAUCAGCUUCAAUAAAUCUAUAACAGUAUAAAUAGAGCAGGCAGUCGCCACCUAGGUCUCCAACAUAGCAUUGUGUUGGAUGCUGCUUGAAAGCUUGCAUCUUUUGACCACAAUACUUCAGCGGAAAUGGGUCGGAAUUUGUAUGUCCAAUUCAAGAAAAUAAGCUAGUAAAAAUCAGAAGUCUCAGGACAUCAACCUAGAUAAACGGUAACAUGUCUAUGAGAAAUUUAGAACUUCUUUACAUGAAAGAAGAUAGGUAAGUAAAAAUCUCGAGAUAUUAAGGAUAUUUGAUGUAAAACUGUGUUAGGAAUACAAGAGCUACACAGUAGGGUUAUUUAAUAGAUGAAAACAAAAACGUAAGAAAAGAAUAAAAGAGGCUGAUAGUACUACUUACAAUAGUAGAAGAAUUAUGUAGUCUCAUUAUUGCAUAUAUGGCUAAAAUAUGAAUGUUCACUUAUUUUGAAUGUGCUAUACCAAGGUGUAUUGUUACAUUUUGUAUAUUGUAAUCACAAUUUCUAGCAGGUGACUAGAAUUAAGAUCUAACAUCAUUAAGCGGAGAGAUUUAACUGCAGGCGAAAGUAAUAGAUGGAGAUAAAGAAAAAGUUAUCCACGCUAUCAAAUUAGUUAGAUCAGGAGAGAUUAAAAAAAACAUGAAAAAUGGGAGCAAAUAAGAAAAUGGAAUCUAGAUGUAUAUUCAGGCCUUGCAUGGAAGGUGUAAAAGAGAGAAAGAAAGAAUGCGAAUAUCAGGCAGCCAAAUUUGUAAAUCAUGGAGAGAGUGGGAAAACUCAGAAUAAUGGGAGAAAAUAAGAUAAGGGAAUCAAGUUGUAUGUGCUAACAAUAUAUGCAAUUUAUAUUAGAACAGUUGCUAUUAAAGCCACGUGCAGAGUUCAGAGAUUAUUGGUUCAACUUUGGAAAGGAGUUCUUAGUAAGUGAAAAUUUGUAAAGAAAAGUAACUGCAGCAGAUCCCUUGUUAACUGAGAAUAAUACAUGUGUGAUGGUAUGAAGAAGCUGUGUUAGAUAGGUUUAUCUUGUCUCUAGAUAUCGUCUUUUCUAAAGUACAGACUAUAGAGAAUCAACAGAAAAAAGGGGGCUUAAGUAAUACUUAAUUGCAUGAAACAUGGAGAAGCUAACUGUACUUUAUAUUAGGGUGCAUAUUCAAAGCUAGCAAAUGAGAUUCUUGGAGCUAAAAUAAACAAAACAAGAGUUUUGGUUAUGCAGAAGAAUUUAUUACUUAGAAAUAGAAGCCAUUGCUAUGAACUAGUUAACGCGAUGAAUGUGUCAUAUUGCUCAUUUAGCAGAAACAGUGACUUUUUGGUUAUGUAAGAGCUCAAGGGGUCUCAUAAGAGCUUACAAAUUGUUCUUAUCUUUACAGCUUAUGCGAGUUUUCUCCUCAUACAAGGACUUCAGAGUUCUAAGGUUUUCAUCAAUGCUGGACAUCUUCCAAGGUUUUGCUGAUGCGGUAAGCUUGCAUCUCUUACUGUGAACUGUGCUUUAUUGUUUUUCAGCAUUAAUGAAGCAUGCCUAGAAUUAUAAUCAGGCAAGAGAGGCAAAGUUCAGAAAUCGGGUGAAGAGAUACGUGGGAUUGUGGUGUUGCGUGCAAUUCCGUACGCCUGGACACAUAUAUUACGACAUGUAUUGGGAUGAAAAACCAAGUUGGAAACCAGAGCCACCGCAAACUAGCGAAGAAGACCAUCCCCCUUGGUAGCUGCCAAAUUUUUCCUUAAAACAUACCGGUUUCGAAGAGUUUACUAAGUAACUAUACCGUGCCAUAUAUCUUCUUAUCUAAUUAUAGAAAUUUUUUGGCACAUGCCCAUGCUAGCGCAGUCCAUUUCAAUUUCGGAGGUUCUUUUGUAUAAGAAUAACUUGAAAAUUUUUUCUUUCAUUCUGACGGGAAAGAUGAAUGGAAAAAUAUAUCUAUUUCCAUCAUGUUUCUGGCAUAAAAUUCCUUCGCUCAUCUGCAAAUCUUGUGAUAUUGAGCUGUUUGUUUGUUUCACCUAAUUCACCAUUAUUGAGCAAUACAUUCUUGCUACUUCAAAAGCACGAAAAGGAAAGAAGAGAAUAAAAAAGAAAGAGUUGCACAUACCCUUUAUUUAUUUUAUUAUUUUCUUCUUGCUCAUGUCUUAUGCAAACUUUCGUUUCCCUAUCUAUUGAAUAUGAUGUAGAAAACAAUCGUAAGGGGGCUAUUUGGUUAGGGAAAGGUGUAUUGUGAAAAUAGCUCAAAAUCAAAGAAUCGUGAAAAUCUCAAUUAACAAAAUCUGUGGUUUGAACUGUUGUGCCAAAAUAUAAGGGAGUGGGGGGUGAACUAUAUUAAACUUCUGGUAAUACGAAUUUGAAGAAAUUUGUGGAAUUAUUGAUGUAUUUAGAUAAAAUUUUGAGUCAAAAUAUUAGUAUUUUGGUAUGAAAAUUUAUGAAGAAAAAUUACAAUAAUUUAUGCAGCAGUUGAAUUUUGAUUUGAUUAAGUUGAUAAGUGAAAUGAUCGUUGAAGAGUUCAAAAUCUUAAUAGGAGUUCGUCGUGAUUUUCGUAAGACCAUGUUUUGAGUUUUGUUACAAAUCGAUACUGGGACGCCAGUCCAGCAAAUCAAAAUAAUUUUUUAAAAAAUGAAUUGGUCGAAUGAUACAUAUGAAAAUUUAUCCAACUUAAGGUUUCAUUUCAAUUUGACACCUCGAUGAUCUGUAGGAGAUUCGAAUUCAAUUUGCCGAGCAUACUCGGCUUAAUACGAUUCAAAUUCAGCUCGCCGAUGAUACCCGGCAAAAUACUUUCAUGUGAAAGCUUGUUUUAAAAAUUAGAAUAAAAAUUUUGAUGAUAAUUGAAGAUUAGAAAUGAAUUGGAGUUCACUGUUCACACAAACAGAGUCUCGUCUAUAUUUGUACGGCGUCGCACAACUACAUAAUAUAAUCACAUACAUAUGAACAUCCAUAUACAUUCACCAUUCACAUUUACAUUCGUUUCAUCACAGAUAUAUAUAAAUCCACAUUUAUUAGUUUAAAAUAUUUUCUACCAGGAAACUCAUUUUGAAACACUAAAAAUCAUGAAACUACGAAAAAUCUUUUUAAAACCAUUUCCCACGCGGAAAUCCUUUUCUUUUAAAACACGCUACCACGAGAGAUAGAAAACCGUUUUUAUCUCAAAAGAAAGCCACGAGUUCUUUAUUUCAUUCAAAAACUACAUGAAUUCGAAUAGAGUAAACCAACUGAACCAUAAAGUGUCUAAAUUAUUUAUUUGAAUAAGUAAGGAUAGAAACUAGAACGAAUGUUACUGGGUCGGAAACUUUAUCCACCGCUACCAACGUGUCUCACGCCUCGUCUCAAUCCUCAUCGCCCGCAAUACCUGAAAAAGGUGGGGGGGUGAGAAUAUAUACACAUGUCUCCCCUUCCAGUGGGUAUCGCAAGCCGACGAGCGCGAGAGGUACUCACCAGUAUAGAAAGAGAUAAACAAAGUAUAGAUAAUGAUAGUACAGUAGCAAUGAUAAACAACGAAACGAGAUAUAUAUAUAAUCACUACCGCUGCUGUAUGUAUGCAUCAACCGGACGACAAGUCCAAAGUAACCCAAUCAGAAACCUGCCAUGUUGGUCCGCACACCUCAGGCCUGUGCCACAACUGCUUUAACCUAUAUAUGACCCCAGGAUAAGCUCUUGGGUCAGAAAGGUAUAUGACCCCAGCAUAAGCUCUUGGGUCGGAAAGGUAUAUAACACCAGCAUAAGCUCUUGGGCUCAUGGACUGGCAAUCCCAACCACUUUUCCGAAAAAGAACACCCUCUUACGGUGGCCAAAUCGCUGGUGUUCGUGAAAUGCGCUCGAGCAGUGGCGACCGAUGCUGAUAUGGUCAAUAGCCAGCCGUCGGCAACUAGCCGAUAAUCAUCACCCCUCGAGGGCACACUGACUAAUAGGUCAUCGAACCGUAAGGAACACAAGUACUGACCAAUCAGGUCAAUUAGGAUGGAACAACUCAACAUUCUUACGAAGAUAUGCAAGUUUCGACCACUUAAUGUCAAUCAACAUAUAUACACAAGAACCGACCAAUAGGUCACAAAAAUGUCAAGUCAUGUAUCGGUAUAAUCCAGAACUAGCCGUCAGCCUCUAGCCGACAAUCCUACCUCUUAGGGUAUACCGACCUCAAAUGUCAUCAAACGACAGGAGUCACAGAACCGACCGGAUAGGUCAUAGUACGAGAUAUAAGGACUGACCGACUAGGUCACAGAUCUCACAUGGAAUUAUAAACCUGCUCUACUCCUACACAUGAUGCUUGACAUGUAAACAACCAAGUAGAGCGUAAGAGGGAUAACGAAGGUGCUAGGCUCAAUAUAAUACAUAUGCAGGGUAAUAACAGAAAAAAGGGGUAAGAAGAUGUUAUCGAGCGUGCACCACUGUACCGACUUCGGGUCGAAGUACCCACCUGUACGCAUAUGGCACUGGUCUCCCAACUGCGGAAAAAUAUCAACCGGACCUACGAAGGGCCCACCGAGUUAGAAUCCAACCCACAUAUAUAAAAUACUAAACUCACAAUCCCACAAUUAAACCCACGGGAAUCGGUUUCCCAAAACGAUUACCGUACUCGCCGGAAGUCCCAAAAAUCGCACGAGAACUCCGCCAGGAUCCACGAAGUGUCCCGGAACUCACCAACUCGCACCACGAGUCACACGCUGCCACUAAACACAAUAAUUUGUGUGACCUGGCAGCAACCACAUAUCUUCACAUCGAAACGAUUAUUAUCGGAUAAUCGUUCCGAUCCGAGUUCCCGAAAGUGUCAAUUUCAACAUCAGAACCCAUCGUCGCUCACCCGUCAUCUCCAAACCCCUGAAGUGACAUAAGUAACCAGUCAAUAAGGCUCAGCGACCAAACACAGGGCAUUCUAACACCGUCGGAUGAAAUCCGAACCGAAACCGCAUUUUGCCGGCAAAUUUCGCCGAAAAAUGUACCGAAAUCGAUAUUUGAUUUCUGCGAAUGACAUCAAACCUUGGACAAUUAGUCUAGAGGUCACCCGCAGCCCACACAUACUACCCACAGCACCCACGAAGUGCACAAUUGCACAAAGGCCCUUACUAUACUAUAAAAUCACAUCAUUUUAUGUGAUUUUACCGGGUUUUAUGGCUCGACAGCACAAAACGAGAGCUUUCGAGGCUGGCCGAGACACGCUGAUAGGUCUUGACGUGUCGGAAACCGUGCUCAUGAUUUGGAGCAUGGACAUCUACUGUUGAGAGCGCGGGAGCGACAUGAAGUUCAGCGAACCUUGCGCGCUGAAACUAAAAGACUUCUAAUUUGCUCAUCCGGCGCUCGUUGACCCCAAAUGAGGUGAGCAAUGUGAUCAGCACUGACCGACGAUCACCGUGCUCACCUCUGGAGGCAUCGAAACAGCCCCGGGUCGCCGAAACAGUGAAUACAACCCCAAACAGUGCACAAAUAGGCUAAAAUAAAGCUCACGGGCAAUGGGGGGCCAUGGCACGGCUGGCGGCGGCUCGGCGGUGGGCGCACCGGCGGCAGGCGGGCGUGGGCGACGUAGGGAGGCGAAGGCUCGCGUCGGCCGGCGACGGUUGAGCCCGCAUGGCCAUAUCUCGGGCUUACAUCGCUUUUCCGGCCACGGCGAUGGCUGGAGCGAGUAGGGAAGGGGCGCGGCCUUCACCUAGAGCCCAGAGGAGGAGGCGGAGUUAGCAGUCGGCAGCCAAGAAGGCGGUGCGGCCAGGCUCGGCCGCACCAGCCCGAGCUGGCUGCAUGCCGCAGGAUUCGCAGCUGCGGAGCUCGGGGGUGGCUGUGGCCAGCCGGGGAAGGUUGCCGGAGGAGAGCCCAAGGUGAGGGAUCACCUGCCUAGCUCUCGAGCAGAGAGGAUGAUGGGUUGGUGGCAAAGUGAGAGAGAGAGAGGAAGUUAGUGGCCGGGGAAGUUGUCACGCCCCGGAGCCGCCAAUUUGGUCGGUUCGGACAAGCGAACAGACGCCGAACGGACAGCACCUCCCCUAUCCGCCCAAGGCUCUAUCAACAUAUAUAUUACAAGCAAGUCAACAAGUCAACAAGAAGAUUGCAAGAUAUACAAGGUUUGCACGAAGGCAAACAACAACAAACUCACAUAUGAAAGCAUCGAAACUAACUAAGCAUUUAUCCACAUACAUGUCAUUCGAUUAUAUUUGAAUCAAACACAAGUAAACCAUCAUUUACAUUCAUUAUUUUCCAUUCAUUUACAUGACACUGUCCUUUAACCCAAAAUAAAAGGUUUACAUCUUUUAUAUUACUAGUUCAACAUACAAAAGUUGAAGCUAUAAUAUAUAUAGGGUAUGCCUAUACUCCGAGGGCCGCUAUCUACGGCGCGAUACCCUUGGCUCGAUCCUUCGCCGCCCCGCUCGCGCACAGAUCUGCAGGGUUAGUGGUAAUGAGAACUAGAACGAAGUUCCCAGUGGGUUUGGCCGCCGACCACGCCGAUUCGCCCACUAGGUCUAUUUCAGGCAUAAGUAUUUCAAUAAAGGGAGAUAUCAAACAAUCUAAUGCAAUUACUAAUACAAUGCCUGCAAAACAACUGUCAACUGAUAGAUAGAUGAUCAAAUAUAUAAAUCUGAUGCAUGCAUGUCCAUUUCUCAUUUCACUUGGCUUUUACCCAAUCAAACCGGGGUCCACAAAGCUCACCCCAAACUCACAUCUCAUAUAUCCCAUCUACCGGGAUUAGCAUUUGAAAAUGCCCACGAGGGGUCCAUCCCGUCUACCGGGGAAGGCACAUGGCACUGUCACCCGAGGGAUCUUCGCCGGGCACUCUCACCCAUGGUGUCUACACUCCAAAGUACACCGCCUGUGGAGGAGCGACCCCUCAAAAGCCGGAACCGAUACAUGUGAGUACGAUCCAUUCCUCAAUUUGAGAAAAUAUAGCCAACCUGUCUCAUAUCUCAAUACCUCAAUACCAAUGAUAGGUCUUUACCUCAUCAUGCAUAUACCACUGUUUCCAAGCCACAUGGGUCGUGGUGCAACUCUAGGUUAAACUUUGUUUAGCCGUUCCAUUCUCAAUGCCAAUUGAGUCACUAUAGUCAAUGUCACCCUUGUUUACUAUUGUCCAAGUCUUUUCUCGCAUUCACAUGCAUAUAGGGUUCUCACAUACAAGUCCUCAUGGUGCUUCAUCAUUCAUAUGUUCUUUAAGCAUCUAAAUGCAAUUCAAUCAAGCACACAUAAUAAGCUACCCUAUAUGCAAGAAUGCAACAAUACAAGAUGCUCAAGUAAAGUGACAUAGACAUAGAAAGAGACUCGGUGUUUUCGGAUAGCACCCGCCACCUUUUAGUGUUACUAGGAUGUCGUGGUUCAAUUUUCGUGAUUUUCAGACUUCUACGCCGCAAGUUGCGACGACCUGUACUAACUUAACCCGUUUCCUCAAUUUCUCCUCGCACGCUCGUCGUAUCGCCGAACCGAGCGCACCAACGCGUUCGUUGACCUACAAAUUAGGUUAAAAUGAGAUCAAACCAAAGCUUCGAUCUCAAAAUUUCAAAACCCUAAGUAUAGGUCCUUACACAAUGUUAUCUUCCCGAAACUAGUCCCUAACAUGGAUAAUCAUGGGGGAAAACACUAUAGAAGCUCCUAGAUGCUUCAACUAGAAACAAACAACAAAACCCUAACUCAAAUCCAUAGAAACUCACCUUGGAGUCUUAAGUUUUCCUUCAAAGCUCUUGCGCAAGCUAGCCUUCACCUUGAAAAGCUUCUUUUCCAAGCUUUUCACCUCCCAAGCCCUCCUUGCUCCAAGCUCUAGAGAGAAGGAGAGAGAGAAAGAGAGUUUUAGAGAGAGAGAGAGGGAUGCCCUAGAUAUUAGAAUGAGAGCAAAUGAGCUCUCCCUCAAUACCAUUCACUUCUAUACACCCCUCUCAUGUGACAUUUACACAUAAACCCCUCAACCUUUCAUUUUUCCAAACAGCCCUCACUGGGCAUUUUUCGCAUAUGGGGACCGGUCUCUCCUCGCAGGGACCGGUCCCCGAGAGCACACCUCUCAGGACUUAGCCAAAUUUCUAUUUUUUUAGGGACUGACUACGCGCACGGGGACCGAUCUCUCCACCAGGGACCGGUUCCCGAGAGCAACAUUUUCACAACUUAGCCAUUUCCCAACCUUUUCACCAACAGGGACCUGUCUCUCCCCACAGGGAUCGGUUCCCGUAGCCUGGUUUUCCAGGACUUAGCCGAUUCUCCAGCUUUCUGGGCAGGCUACGCAUACAGGGACCGGUCUCUUCUCCAGGGACCGGUUGCCGAGAGUCCAAAAUCUGGGACUUAGCCAGAUUUUGCAAUCUCACUCUCUCGGGUCCCUUUACACUACAUGUAGGUUCCAAUGCACUUAGAACCCAUACCAACUCGUUCCACUCCGCGUUCCGCACAUUUCGACGGAACUCGACACGACUUACGGGGAAGUGAUAUAUUACAGAAGUGGUUGGUCGACCGGAGCUUGGCCAAAGGCGGUCGGGGAGCACACGGCGCACGAGUUUGAGGCAGGAGGGGCGGCUGGGAGUCAGCUGGAGCUAGGGCUAGGGUUUUCCUCCAUGAAAACCCUAGUUAGCUCAAAAUAUAUAAGGUGACAACUUGCAGUUUAGCCCACCAAAGAUCGAUAUUUUCAGCUGAGUCCCUCACAGCGCGAGCAAAUUGCACAGAUAUAUAGGGUGUUUUGCAAAAUUACCGUUUCACCGCUAAUGACCCCUCCUCGAUCAACGCGCGAUAUCAGGAGAUCCGCCCGUCGGAUUUUCGAUCGGAUCGGUACAUACAAUAUAGGGUGUUUUGCAAAAUUACCAUUUAAGAAGCCAUCUCCACUGAUUGGCCUCUCCGAAAAAUCAAAAUUACUAUUCACUUUAAGUGAUUAGUAAAGGUCGCGUAACUUCUCCAUUCUAACUCGUUUUCUUCUGAAACUUGACGAGUAUUUAUGUAAUUAAAUUGCAUACAAAAACAUCGUCAACAGAGAAUUUAGCAACACUGCCAAAUCUCAGUCCUCACAAAUAGCCAUUAUUAAGAGUUAAAUACAUUCAAAUUAAUUUUACUAAAGAUCACCAGAGGCUUCGACUAUCCUGAUUUGGCAAGGAUGAAAUAAGGCGAGCUCGGAGAUAUGUUUAAAAUUAAAAAUUUAAAAUUCGAAUAGAACCACACAAAGGGAAUUUGGAUGAAUAAAAAGUUCGAGAGAGAUUUUGGAAAGGGAAGAUAAUGCAUCACAAAAGUUACUCUGAUUAUCGCAACAGAGGAAUUAGAGAAAAGAAAGAAGUAUAUAAAGAAAAGAGUUCGGAGUCAUCACAUUUGACAUGUCCUUCAGCUGUAUCCUAAGAGCAGGUGUAACAUAAUUUAGUAGUCAUAAUUUAGAAUUCAUCGUCCUUGAACUAUCAUCUAACUUGACGACAAGUGUGUUGAUCCAGUCCGACCAUCGUCAGUCCACCUCAUACCUCAUCAACAAAUGCAUCUCCACAUUUUGUGCCUCUGCCAUGCACAAAUCCUUGUGACGAAAGUCGGCCCAAAUCGGUAACUUUUUGUUAGUUUGCUUUCGGUUCACUGGCCGAACCUUGAGAGGUCGUGUUGAGCUAAUUACACUGGGCCUAUUUGUUACUUGGGCCUUGCUAUUUGGGCUAUGUACUUUGGUGAAUAAAAAAUCUCCUAUUUCUAUGUUUUAUUAUUAUGUAUGUGGGCUCUCUAUUUGUUAGCCUUUGGAUCAUGGUUCUUUUGAUCUAAAGGCCCAUAUUGAUAGCUUCUCUGAAGAGCUAAAGUGAAAUAUUAGAAUAUUAGAGAGAAAAGAAGAGUGAGAAGUAGAGAGUGAGAAAAAAAGUGGGAGAAAAGAGAGGAAAUCCUAGAGGUUGGUUUUGAUCUUGGUUUUAUCAGGAAGGACGAGAAAUCUUUAUUAGUGAGAUGUGGUUUAUACUAUUUGGAUAGAGCUAGAGAUUGUUAGAGCUCUUUUUAUACCUUAGAGUUAAGGUGAUAUUUCUCUCAUUUGAAUCUAUCUUGUAAUCUUCAAGUUUGUAGUGAAAGCUUCUUUUGUAUUAUUCUCCCAUAAAUGUAGGCAUAGCUGAACCACGUAAAUCCUUGUAUUCUCAUGAUUUUGUUUAUUUUCUUAUUGCUCUUGUGAUUGGCUCUCCAUUAGAUGCUUGUAGAAAGUGGGUUGUGAAAUUGCCCACCAAGUGUUUGUGAAAUUACCAUCAAUAUUUUUCACCCUCAUUUUACACUAAUUGGUAUCAAAGCUUGAUUGCUAGCUAGUUAUCUAAGCAUUCAUUUGUGUUUAUUCACUUAUCUUUCAAAUGGAAAAGGCUAUAGAAUUUGAGAAGUUGAAUGAGAGCAACUGGCCUAUAAGAAAAUCAUGAUAGAGGAUUAUUUAGUUGCAAAAGAGCUUAAUUUACCAAUAUUGAUAAAAGGUGCAAAGUCCACUAGUAUGGAUAAUCAUGAAUGGGGUAUUCUUGACCAAAAUGUUUGGCGACAAUUAGGCCAUGCAUUUCUCCAUCGAUCUUGUUUGAUGUCUAUCAAUGCAAGACCGCUUUUGAGUUGUGGGAGACUUUGGAGCAAUUGUUUGCGCAACCUUUCGCUGUGAAAAAGAUGCAUGCAAUGAAGAGACUCUUUCUCUUGAAGAUGCAAGAGGGUUCUACUAUUCAUAAGCAUGUGAGUGAGUUUCAACUCUAUUGCGGCACAAUUGAAGUCUAUUAAAAUUAACCAUGAUGAAGAAGUCCUUUGUUUACUAUUUUUAAGUUCUUUACCUUCAAGUUUGGAUACUCUUGUUACUAUAGUGGCAAACGCAAAGGGAAACAAACUCAAGUGGACUGAUAUUGUUGCUUCAUUGUUGGAUGAGGAAACUCACAAAGCCACAAAUCAAUUGUCUAAUGAUUUGAGUCAAGCACUAAUUAUUGAUGAAAGAGAAAGGUCACCGAAGCGAGGCCAAUAUUCUAACACAAAGGGAAGGUCUUAAAGUAAAGGAAGAUCAAAAUCACAAGGUAGAAAGCUCACUUGUUGGCAUUGCAAGAAAACGGGCCAUGUGAGAAAGGAUUGUUAUGUUUUGAAAAAUAAGCAAAAGGAUAAAGGCAAGGAUGUCAAGAAGGAAGCUAACAACACUUUGGAUGGUAAAGAUGGAGUCACAUUAAGUGUUGCUUGCACAGUCUCUUCUUGUGCAAACACUUGGGUUUUGGAUUCUAGUGUUUCUUUUCAUAUAUGUUCGGACUGAUCUUAUUUUUCUACAUAUGUAAGGUGAUGAUUCAAAUUUGGUGGUUGGUACCGCAAGAAAAGGCGAAAAUAUGCAAGUUUAGCAUAAUUGGUUUGGUCAACUAAGUGAGUGCAAGUUUGGCAUAAUUGGCUUGGUCAACUAAGUGAGCAUGGUAUGAAGGUAUUACAAGAACAUAACCUUAUUCCUUCCUUUGAGCAUUCAUUUCUUGAUUUUUGUGAACAUUGCAUUAUGGGAAAACAACAUAGAUUUAACUUUAAAAUAAAUAAAAUGCAUAGAAAGGGGAGGUUAUUGGAAUUGCUUUAUUCCGAUGUUUGCAAUCUUUUCAAUAUUAAGUCACUUGGAGGUGCAUACUACUUUGUUUCUUUCUUAGAUGAUUAUUUUAGAAAGUGUUGAAUUUAUCCUUUGGCUUCAAAAGAUCAAUUUUUUCAAACUUUUUAGAACUUCAAAGGCUAUGUUGAAAAGGAAAGUGAACAUUUUAUUAAGUACUUGCAAACUGACAAUGGUCGUGAAUUUUGCUCUAGUGCCAUUGAUGAUUUUUGCUUUGAAAAUGGCAAAAGAGUGAAGACCGUUCCCUACACCCCUCAACAAAAUGGGAUUAGUGAAAUAAUGAACUGAACUAUGCAUUGUGGAGCAGAUUUGAAGUAUGUUGUCUCACUUCGGCCUACCAAAGUCUUUUUGGGCUGAAGCGGCAAAUACGGCCGCUUACUUGAUUAAUAGAUCACCUAGUGUUGCAUUAGACGUAGACAUUCUAGAAAUUAUACGGAGUGGCAAAGACAUUUUCUAUGGGCACUUGAGAAUAUUUGGGUGUGAAGCUUACAUUCAUAUUCCAAGAGAAAGUAGAACUGUUAGUGUAUAUAUUCAAAAAAAUAGAGGUUAGCCACAAAAUAAUAUAAAAAGUGUCAACGAGUCGAUCAAGCCGAGGCACAAAAAUCUCGCUCUCUUUAAUGAGAUUCAAGCCCUUUGCGGUUGGUAAAAGCUUUGAACCGAUGCAACAGAACAUUGACUUGUCCCACCAGGAUACAAUGGCUCGACCCUCGUCGUGUGGCUUCACCAACUCUGCAUAAGUGGAUGAGCCCAAAGCUCCACCAAAAGAACACCUUUUUUUGACCUUCUCUAUCUAUCACAAGAAUAGAAAUAACUUAUUAUUUUUCGUUGUUCUGUUGUGUUGUAGAGAAUAGAGAAGCCCUCUAUUUAUAGGCUUCAAAAGAGUAGGAGUUAUAGGUAGUAAACUUGUAAGGUAAUGGAUCCUCGUCGUGUUAAAUGACUUUUGGUCAAAAUGACCAAAGCGUGGCGAGAGAGAUGGUUGGACAUGGUCCAUACGACAUUCCAACAAUGUUGGAAGGGUUAAAGUUGAGUUCCAAGUGAGACUAAUGAGUUUUAGUAUUGUUCGGUACGAAAUGGAGCUAAAGCAUUGUCAAAACUGCAGUCUCGGCACUGCGUACCGAUACUGAGAAAGAGGUACCGGUACCAAGAAGGCAACCCGAGAAGGUUGCUCUCGGGUUUGGUUGCUGCCGAGCUGGGUACCGGUACUGGAGACCGCGUAUCGGUACUAGGGUACCCGCGUACCGAUACUCCAGCCCGUGUACCGGUACUCGGCAGUCUACGCAGAUGUCUGCUCUCGGGUUUGGUUGGCCACCCGGGGUACCGGUACUCAAUCCCGCGUAUCGGUACCCAGUGCUGCGAACAACAGACUUAGAACUGUUGCAAUUUUAGAUUGUUGGAGGGUCUAAAUUAGGGCUGUAAACAAGCCUAGCUAGAGCGAGCUGGAGCCAGCUCGAGCUCGGCUCGAACGUCUUCAAGGUCGGCUCGUGUUCGGCUCGAGCUUGUGACAAGCUCGAAAACUCCGGCUCGUGAUCGGCUCGCAACUUAAUCGAGCUAGCUCUUAUUCGGCUUGUUAGCGCUGUUGUCGAAGUUCGCUGCCGCUGCCGUUGUCGAAGUUUGCUGCCGCUGCUGUUGCCGUUGUCGAAGUUCGCUGCCGCUGCCGAAGUUCGCUGCCGGGGGUUUGCGAACGGCUAAGAAUCCGCUGUCGAGGGUGUGCGAACGGCAAAAGUGCGCUGCCGGCGAGCCGCCCACCGAGGGUGUGCAACAUGUGUGAAGUGAAGUGUGGCUGAGAGAGAGAGAGAGAGAGAGAGAGAGGGGGGGCAGAAGGCGGCUUGCUGUGUGAAGGGUGAAAAAGUUGGGAAAAGAGAACUAGGGUUAGAAAUAUAGAGAGUUAAAAGUUGAUGUAACAUUAUCCAUUAGAUUUUAAUCUAACGGUUGAAAUUAUAAAUGUAAAUAGGCCUCUUUUAUAGAUAAGUUGGGCUUUAUUGUUAAAUUGGGCUACAAACUAAAAAAUAAUAAUCUGGGCUACAAACUACAAAAUAAUAAUAUAUAUUAUAUAUUUAUAUGCAAAUAUAUUUAUAUAUUUAUAUAUAUGAAUAUAAUAUAUAUAUAUAUAUANNNNNNNNNNNNNNNNNNNNNNNNUUAGGUCGAGCGACAAGCGCUCGGUCGAGCACAAGUCGAGCUUUACUCGAGCUCUAGCCGAGCGAGCAAAUCAUUUGCUCGGCUUGUGGUCAACCUAAAAAGUCGAGCAAAUUAUUUGCUCGGCUUGUGCUCGAUCCCAGUCGAGCGAGCACAAGCCGAGCUGUUGUCGAGCUAAUAUAAAUAAAAUAUAAUUAUAUUAAAUAUAUAUAUAUAUAUAUAUAAUAUAGCCACCCUUAGUCUAAAUGCAAUUGUGUGAACAUAUAAAAGGACCCCAUCUCCCCCUUUCUUGUUCACAAGCUGAGAACACCCCUCAACUCCAUUUUUUCCCCUCUCUUUCUGUGGAAGCUCUUCUCCAAGGGUGCUUGGUGGAGAUUGGAGGAUAUUUGAAGGAGAUUUGAGGCUUUUUAAAGUGAAGAGCUCCCCUACAAGGUGGAGCUUGUGGUGUUCAUAGGCUAAGGUGAGGUUUCUUGCAAGAGCCAUGUUAGGGUUUGGUUUUAUACCCUAGAACACUUGGUUUUGAUCUUCUUACAUGAAGGAAAAUCUUGAGGAAACCAUGGAAUCACAUGAUGAACCCAUGUUGUUCAUGCUAUGGAAACUCUAGGGUUGAAAUUGGGGUUUUCAUAGAUAUGAGGUUUAUAGUUAAUUGACCAUAUGGAAACCUAAUUGAAGGUAAAACCGACACGGUGGGCAACUCAAACCGAAGUUCCUACGGGCGUGCGGCUAGUUCUUGGGAAAAAGUACCAUUUUGGCUUCGUUUGUGUUGGGUCGAGCUCGAACGGUGUUGUAAAAUCGCGAGGCUUGGUUUCUCGCCUCUUAGCAUCAAACCAAGGUAGGGGGUGCUAUCCAGAGCAAUCGAACUUCUUCCUAUGUCCAAGUUGUAUUGUUGAGCAUACAUUUUAUAUAUGAUAUCUUGCAUUAUAGGAUGUGUUCAGUAAUUGUAUUUCCAUCCCCUUGCAUGCUUCUAUGGUAGUAAUAGAAAUUGUGGGUUGAACACAUAAUCUAGCGGAUGCAUGAGGAUUGGGUUGUGACAUUGAAUCCUGUAGUGACAAGAACAAGUAGUGAACUUGGACAAUAUAUUUAUGUAAAUGAGUGGCAUGUAGGGGUGUAAUGUGGGCCGUGCCGGGCCGGCACGGCCCACAUUUUCCGGGUCGAACCGGGCUGGAGAGUGGCCCGGCACGGCACGUGGCUAAAUCCGGGCCGGGCCGUGCCGGGCCCGAACUCCCUACCAUCCGGCCCAGCACGGCCCCUGGGCCUGGAAGGCACGGGCCGUGCCGGGACGGGCCGUGCUCCGGGCCGCCUCCUUUUUUUUAUUUUUUUAAAAAUGUACGUAUAAUUUAAAAAAUAUAAACAAUAAAUUAUAUUUAUAUAAACUGAUAUUUUGAUUAAAAAAAAAAAGUUGAGAAGGGUUUUUGGUCCAAUGGACAAAAUUGCUUUGGUCCAUUGGACCAAAAUCACGCCUCCCAAGGUCUGCUAGGCAGACCUUAGGAGGAGCUCUCCUUGGGAGGAGGGCCAAGCCCUCCACCCAAGGAGAGCAAACCCCAGGGCCAAGGCAACUUUGCCUUGGGCCUGGGUUCCGGGCCGUGCUGGCCCGGCUGGCACGGCCCAAGCUCUCCUUGGGAGGAGGGCCAAGCCCUCCACCCAAGGAGAGCAAACCCCAGGGCCAAGGCAACUUUGCCUUGGGCCUGGGUUCCGGGCCGUGCCAGGCCGUCAGGCUUCAAAUGUAAGGCCCAACACGGCACGAAGUGCCUGCCGGGCCCGGCCCAGCCCGGGUGCUACAGUAGCCGUGCCGGGCCGGGCGGGCCACGUGCCGCCCGGCCCGUUUUACACCCCUAGUGGCAUGUGAACUAAUGUGGUAGAGGCACUUAAACAUGAUUGCAUAAACAAGUGGCAUAUGAUCUAGUGUAGUAGAGACACUUGCAAAACAUAUUGACAUGAAUGAGUGGCAUUUGAAUUUAGUGUAGUAGAAACACUAUGACAUGAACAUAAGGAUAGUUGAUUUCCCGAGUUGCCAAUAUAGUAUUUGAAUCUAGUGUGGCAGAAGCACUAUGACCCUUGUAGACAGGGUAUCCUCAGUAGACGAGAAUUGGAUCAUACUCAUUUAGUCUGUUUUCGCUUGGGGUGGUCGCUCCACACAAGCAGUGAGCUCCGGAGUCGUCAUACUAGGGGCAGAAGUAGUUGUCCCGCAGACGGUCUCGGUGUGCGAGCGCAGAUUCUCCUCACCUAUGAGAUUGAGAGUGAGUCGAGGGUUAAACCUUCGGGUUAGCCAAGUGGAUUGGGUAACAAAUAAAUGAAUGGCAUAGUAGAUCGUGCAUUCAUAUCAUGACAUGAAACAUAGAGACAUGUUAGUAGAGUCUCCUAGAUAUGUUCAUAUCUUUAUUUAUGAUAUUGUUGAAGUAUAGUAGCAUGAUAGUCGAAUUCAUAGCUAUGUAGAAUUAUCAUUCAUUAUACCAUGUUGAUUGAGGCAUAGUAGCAUGAUAGUAGAAUUCUUACUAUGCCAACAGUUUCUUUAUCAUAUCUAUCUAUCUAUCUACUCAUACUUGCUUAGACCUAGUGGGAAGAUCGGCGGAGUCGGCGGCCGAACCUACUGGGAACUAUUCGUAGUUCUCAUCCCACUUUGUUGCAGGGCCUAGUGAGGCCGGACUAGCGGUUGAUCGCGGUAAGGGCAUAGCGCCCUAGCUAGUAGCAGCUUUCCUAUUUGCAUUAGACUACUUUUUGUACAUGAGAGAUGUGAUGUAUAUUUGGUGAGGAUGCUUUUGGAGAGUUGUGGAUGUAUAUUGCCAUGAGAUGAAUAUGUAAAUCAAAGAUGUGUCCAUUUUGAAGAUGUAAACUCAAUAUGAAUGUGGAUGAAAAUGUAAUAGAUAGUUUACACUCUUUUGCUCUUGCUUGUAUCAUACUUGCAAUGAUUCAUGUAUGUGGUUAAAGUUUACCUGGGCAACUUGAUAUACAUGAUUGUUGUUAUUGAGCCUUGGGCGGACAGGGGAGGUUCUGUCCGCUCGGCGUCUGUUUGACGUACCCCAACCGACCAAAUUGGCAGUUACGGAGCGUGGCAAAACUUAAGUUGUAGGUUAAGGCUUUGGAGUUUACAAAAGUAAAUGUGCUAACGUAAACUCAUUCGAUGUAGGUACAGUAUAGGUUAAAAAAAACUUACAUUGAAUGCAAGUAAAUUUAAAGCAUAGGUUAUCAUUCUUGUAACUAUAAAUGUUAGAGUAUAGGUUAUGUCAUCUUCAUGCAAGGGUUAUAAAAUUUAAAAUUCACAUUUAAUAAUAAAAAUAUAACAACAUUCCCCCACUCGUUUUUAUUAUUAAAAAUAUGUAAGAGUUUGAUGGCCAAAGAGGAACCACUAUACAUAAUGAAGGUAUGCUCUACAUUGAACUUUUACUUAGUGAAACAGUAAUCUCUACUCCAGAGUCAAAGUGGUCUCAGACUUGAACUUUGAUUGCUUAGGGGAAAUAGAGAGUCACUGCUCACAUAUAACAAUCCAGAUGUAGACAUGAGCUUUAAUAGCUAGCACAUUACGGCCUUGUGCUGAUCCUGGUUUUCAUGAGCAUUUUUGAGAAUAAGCCCGUUCUCAUAGAAAACAGCCUCACUUCCAUGCUCACAUAGGUGAAAUCCGUCAAGGGUGCUCCUGUAAUUUUGACACCCUGCUCGUAAAAGGCACAGAUUUCAUUAAGAGUAAAAACUCAACCCUCUUUUCAUUACAGGAUGAAUGCACCCACACCAUAGGGAUAAGUAAAGAUAUGAUCAUAUAGAUCUAUAUAUUGUGCAUUCUUUACGACCACCAUAUGAUUUGUUUUUUUUUCAUUGAACCCAAUUUUCAGGAUCUCUGAUCAUCGGGUUGGGUAUCCUCAUACAUGGUUCAUAAUGUUAUGGGCUUCAACCCCAUCCCCCUCGAUGUGCUCCAGAUCCUUUCUCUUUCCAAGGCAUUGGUUAAUGUAUCUGCCAGAUUAUCAGUAGAUUUAAUAUAAUCUACACUGAUAAUACCAUUGUUCAUAUAUGAUCUCACAGUACUAUGUUUUCUUCUCACGGAUCUGGAUUUACCGUUAUAAUAACGAUUUCUUACUCUACCAAUAGCAGCAGUGCUAUUCAAUGUAUUAACACAGAUGGAACUGGUUUUCCCAUAAAUGGAAUCUCAGACAAUAAGUCUCUCAACCAACUAGCUUCCUCGCUAGUUGAAGCUAAGGCAAUUAGCUCGGCUUCCAUAGUUGAGUUAGCAAUGAUAGUUUGCUUUUUAGAUUUCCAACAUAUAGCACUACCUGUUAAAGUAAAAAUAUAACUAGUGGUAGAGAGAGAAUCACCUGAUAGGGUAUUCCAGUCAGCAUCACUGUAACCCUCAAUCACAGCAGAAUACUUUUCAUAAAACAAGACAUAAGUUUUGGUACCAACGAGAUAUCUCAUUACACGUUCCAUGGCAUGCCAAUGCUCUGUACCCGGCUUGUUUGUAAAUCUACUAAGUAUCCCUAUUGCGUACGCAAUAUCAGGUCUCGUACAAUCAGUCGCAAACCGCAAGCUCCCAAUCAUACUAGCAUAUCCCUUUUGAUUCAAAAUUUUAUUUUCACUUUUAAUAGAAAAUAAGUGAACACUCGAAUCAAAAGGUGUAGUCACAUGCUUGCAAUUAAGAAAGUUGUACUUUCUUAAAAUUGUCUCAACAUAAUGCGACUGAUCAAGAAAGAUCCCAUCUAGUGUUUUGGUAAUUUUUAUACCCAAAAUAAAGUUAACCUCACCAAGAUCCUUCAUUUCAAAAUAAUAAUUUAGCAUAAUUUUUUUCUCAUUUAUAAUAUUUAAGUUAGAGCCAAAAAUUAGCAAAUCAUCCACAUAAAGGCUAACAAUAACAUGCAAAUUUUCAAAAGUUUUGUAAUAGAUGCACUUAUCACACUCGUUUAAUUUAAAGUCAUUCUCAAUCAUGCAAGAACCAAAUUUUUCAUGCCACUGUCUAGGUGCCUGCCUUAAGCCAUAAAGGGAUUUAUUUAGCUUGCACACUUUAUUUUCUUGUCCAGACUCAAUGAACCCUUCAUGUUGGUCCAUAUAAAUUUCUUCAUCUAGGUCACCAUUCAGAAAGGUAAUCUUUACAUCCAUUUGAUGAAUUUGUAAGUCAUGAAUUGCAGCAAUAUCAAUCAGAACUCUGAUGUAUGUCACUCUAGUCACCAGAGAAAAGGUAUCAAAGAAGUCUAGAUCUUCUUAUUAUUUAUAACUUUUUGCGACAAGUCUUACUUUAUACUUGUCUACAUUCCCAUCCGGUUUCAAUUUCUUUUUGAGAACCUAUUUACAACCAAUUGUUAUAUAGUUUGGAGGUAAAUCCACCAAUUUCCAUAUUUUAUUAGAAAUUAGGGAUACCAUCUCAUCAGAUACAGCCUCUUUCUAAAAAAUUACAUCAUUUGAAGAUAAAUCUUCUUAUAAAGAAAGUGGAUUUUCUUCAAUAUUCAUAAUAACAUAAUCACUGCCAAAAAUUUUUUCAAUUCUGUUUCGCUUGCUUCUUCUUGGUUCAAAAAUAUUUUUUUUUCUUGAUUUUGCAAAAAGGAGUUUGAAGAACUUGAUUUAUUUGAAACACUUUUAAAUCCCCACUAUUUUUCAAUUUAUAAGGAAACUUUUCUUCAUAAAAAAUAGAAUCUUUUGAUUAAAAAAUCACAUUAUUUUCAAUGUCUAAAAAUCUAUACGCUGUACUGUUCAAAGCGUGUCACACCCCGAGCUCCGCCAAUUUGGUCGGAUUCGGGCACGCCAACAGACCGCCGAACAGACAGAGUUUCUCUUGUACGUUCUAGGCGUCACAAUCCAUACAAUACACGAGGUUCCAACCAGGAACAGUAUUCAAACACAGAUUGCAUAAGGUAUCGAAAACAUAAUUGCUAUGCUAUUACAAGUAUUCAUCUCAAAUUUUCAUUUUACAUUACAUUCAACUUCCAAAUACAAUCGAUAUUAUUACAAAUUAUUACAAGUCUGUUUCUUUUCAUUUCCACCCCUAAACUAGACCACUUCUGGGUACCACUAUCUCUGGUCAUAAUGGUAGGGCGCUAUCUACGGAGCUACGCCCUUUUCUCGCGCCGCCGCGCCGCUCGCGUUUGAACCUGAAAUUCCCCAAAACAACGUGGGAUGAGAACUAUCUCCAUAGUUCCCAGUGAGUACGGCCACCCAAGGGAGAAGCUCAAUCCACCAGAUCCAAAGGAGGCACUGCAAACAUGUUAGUCCAACAGAUAUCUAUAGAUAUUUUAUGCAAGUAUCAAAUACAUGCGUAUGCCUCAAGAUAUACAAUAUGUAAAUUAUGCAAUAAUGCAACUCAUGCAACAAGCUAACUAGAUUAUCUGGUUCUACUUUCUAUCUCGCAAUCCAUAGCUCAUAUCCAUCUAGCUUCUAAGGUUUCUACUACCGUAGAUCCAAGUUAACCACCCGACUCGGCCUUGAGUCAAUCAUCUACGGAAUACCGCAUAUAGCCAGGCUCGAGGUGAAGGACGUCUCACAUGAAUCUCAGCCUUAAAUCCACUCAACAGGGACGCACAUCCACUCAACUGGGAUGCCAACUGGGAUGCAAUUCUACUGAUAUGCUUGUCACCCAAUCAUUCCAGCUUACCCGAAGGUCUGGACCCCGUAGGUCCAGAUAGCACAAAAUUCAGCAUUUUAGCCUUUUGCCAAUUCUCGUCCGUUUUGCUUCGUUUUCACUCGUUGGGCUUCCGAUUCAUUUCUAAUCGUACCGAGACCCCCAAAACACGUUUUCGAGCGCGUUUAAACCAUCUUUUCAUCCACGCUUUGUCGGAUUUAGGCCAAAGUGCAAUCAAAGCCUUUCGGAUUCUGUUUUCGCGCCCGGCGCGUACCGAAAACACCUGAAUGCUCUCGAACUUCACCGGAACUGCUUUAACAACUCUUCGAGCAAGUUCCCACCGAAACUUCACAACUUUAGGAGUUCAGUAUAUCACAUUCGCCACCCCUUAAAAGAUGUUUUGUCCACGAAGCUCAAAUCCUACCUCAACUCGAUCACUCGAACAGUUGAGGGCACAAAUGCACUUUCCCACUCCGGAGCGGCCUUACGCUGAUUGGAACUGUCCAAAAGGCCCACUACGAAGGAUGUGAGACCAAACUCACACACAUUUACCAAGUGCAACAUCGAAAGUGCAUUACGCUUUCCGCAAGUCUCGGUGGCAGCGCAAGUAGACAUUCGACGACUCUACACGCUCCAACACCACUCGCAAUCUGGCACACUAAGGCCAUACCAUGCACUUCCUUCGAGAUCGGGACUACCCACCAUCCUCGUGGUGUGGAUCCAACAAGAACGCAUUAGUUAGUCGAAUGGUGCACCACCACGACACAAUACAUACGGUAGACCUCCUCAGAUUACGCAAGUGUUCACAAAGUGGUACUCUACCACUUUGGCUAUCCCUUCAAGGAAUACACUCCGAUUCGAUUACCGGCAUUGCUUAGAAGCAAUAUCAUGAGUGCAUCGCCCAAUCGCGAGUGCUCCAAUCACAACCGGAUCCUUGCUCUAUAGCGAGAUGGCACACCCCGGCACAUCUCAAUUUUCGAUCCAUUAGGGAGCAUUAGUCUCAAAUCCUGCGUGGCUAUCCAUGCUCCAAGUGUCUCCUAAAACCACUUUAUUUUCUUUUCCAAUUGCCACGGCCACACCAGUUCGUCCUUGCAACGAACUCACACGAGCACUCCGUUCAUGAAUCCAAGCCAAACUCCUCGAUAGAGUUAUCGGCCAAACCGCUUAUCUCGGGUUCCACAAGUGGACCAAAGGUCACCAACCCUACGUAGGCCUACCACCUAAACCUGUCUCAACAACACAUAGCGUCUCUCGCUCACACCCAAUCAUCACUGGGCGAAAUUCUCACUUGGGAAUUCGCACACACUCCAAUCAGGAGCAACCAAGACCCCAAACUACUACAAAUCCUCAGGUUGGAUCACAACUGCACUCUUGGUGCAUCAUCGAUUACACGAUCUAACACGUGGCAUUCCACGCACCCGGGUUCAAGCUCGGACUACCGCCCCGACCAAACCCCUGCCCUACCCGUAGGUACCAGGCCGCUGUCACACACAGCUGACUGCGCCUGUCCAUAAGGCCCCAGGCUCUGCAGUCCACGAAUGGUCCAGGCAUGGAUCGUCUUCAAGCAAUACCCGCAACCGUCGUCUCACACGACACACUCUACCGAGCUACACGUACCACUACCGACUCCUAAGCACCUAAAGCCAUUAACCCUACGAGUGAUCCAAUGCACGCACAACUAGCAAUACUCAAGUGCUACUGCCAACACACUCUCCCGGCUGAGUUAAACCCGCACUCCACGAGUAUCUACACUCGAGGGCUCUAUACGCCUCUACAGCGUUCCACACUAAGUCCAGCAUUAGGCAAUCUUGCCUAUGCAUACCGGCUACACGAGCACGACCCACCUACCUCAAUUCGAGGUACUAAUAGGCCCACGUGCCCGCACUUGGCCACUAACUAGCCGUUCUCUCAACAGUGAUUCCACUUUCACUGUUCGAUCUACCGGAACAACGUCCGAAAUUUUCAGACUGCCAAGAGAUCCUCAAGUACUAUGGCUCAACUCUCGCAAUCAAUUACUCACUUUGCUUUGAGAGUCAGUCCGCCAAUUCCAUCUCUUCCACAAGUCCCACCAUUAGACCAUAACCAGCAAUUCGCUAGUGUCAUCUAAUCCUCUACCUGCUCUAGUAGGCGCUACACUCUUGCAACGCAAGCAUGCCCGAGUAUCUAUACCUACCCGUCCACUUGGUCCCUACUAUACUAAUAUACAAUUAGUAGUAAUCGACCACAUGAUAAAUGCAUGCAAUGCACCAACUUUACAUCAUGCCAAAGCAUAUGCUUGCCUCAACUAAAUCAUACUUGCCACGACGUCGUCGGUAGCAGCAAGCUCCACAACCUAGGUCCCGUAUCCAUGGCCACUUGGCGCCCGCCGCGAACCCUCCGGUUAUAUCGUCCUUAACACCCGCUCUUCCGACCACACCGCAGGUGGCACACCUGCAGGCUGUCCCGGAGAGGAAAAGGCCAUCACUAGUGUCAAGGCCCAGCUAUCUCCAUGCGGACACUCGUCCCGCGCAUGGCCCGGUUGCCCACACCUGUAGCAUUUGCCCUCUCGCUGCUCACACUGUUGUGGGUAAUGAGGACCCCCACAAAUAACACAUCUUGCCGAGGAUCGAGUGUGGUAGAUCCCCGGGGCUCGGGAUCGCGAGUGCGAACACAUCGAAGUUUGUUAAGAACUUGACUGACCAGCGGAUCCACUUGUUGGCCGUCUCUUUCCCUUGUAAUAAGACUCGCGCUCGUCCCGCACAAAUGCAUUGCUUUGUUCUAUCCACAAGGCCCAAUCCAAAACUUCGGCAAAAGUCUGCAACUUAAGAUUGUGCACAGCUUUGAAAAUGUCCGGCCGAAGUCCCCACACAAAGCAAUCAGCUCGGUCUUUGUUAUCCCGCACCACGUUCGGGACACAAUUCACGAGACGGGAGAAUUCCCGCUCAUAUUCCCUAACCGAGCGGUCUCCUUGCCGCAGCUUCCGGAACCUCUCCUGAAGCUUUUUCUUUUCACUAUUGGAAAAAUAAGCAGAGAGUAUCAAUCCCCGAAACUCAUCCCAAGUCAUAGGAGGCAGAUUAGGCGAUCGGUUCUGCUUGACGCCUUUUCACCACACCUUCGCUGACUGUUGCAGACAAUACACGGCUAGGUGUACCUUGCCCCACUCCACAGUGUACAAAUCCUCAAAAAGAGUCUCCAUAGAGUCGAUCCACAACUACACGGUCCACGGAUCUACAUCCUUUCCAUCAAAGGUAGGCGGAUCAAACAUCUUGAAGGUCAUGAGGGCCGCCAAAGCUCGCUCCCUCUCCACCUCUACCUCUGAAGUUCUAGAAGCCGGAUUGCCCGACCCCGACGGAAACACCUCCGCCACGACUCCCAGCCAUACUCGACGGGCCGCAACUGGUGCGGUCACCAGCUGAUCAACCAUUUCUUGGAGUUUUUUAAUUUGCUCCUCCUGGCGCAUGGCAGCUUCCUGCUGUCGCUGCACCAAAUCGGCCUAUUGCCUCAUCACUCCCACGAGUGUGGCCAACUGGUCGCGAAGUUCCAAGUCUCAGCUCACCUCGGAUUGCUCAGGGACACCACUUGUCCCAUCCCGCGCCGAUCUGGAUGAUGAUCGCCUGCGCGGUGCCAUCACUUCCUGAAACACGACAACUUAGUCAAUCUUCGACCCUCUGGGUCGAACACGAGACAAUUAACACCUACUCAAAUCGGGCGAAAGUCACGCAAGGGCGUCUAUUCUCAUCUCUCGGCUUCAUGUUGUGUGCACCCAACAUGAACACCCUCGGUUGAGAAUACACCACACCUUGAGUCUACCUCUAACAUCCGUUUUAGAGGUUUACAACACAACCCAAUCCAUUAAUCUUUCGCCGCAAGUCACAAGUCCUCAUCUCUCACGAGCCUUAACCUCUAUGGUUUACUAUCCUAGGGUCUCCUAGGUCCGUCUAAACCAUUUCUAUUAUUCUCUUUAUGUUCUGAUACCACUCAAUCUGUCACGCCCCGAGCUCCGCCAAUUUGAUCAAAUUCAGGCACGCCAACAGACCGCCAAACAGACAGAGUUUUCCCUGUACGUUUUAGGCGUCACAAUCCAUACAAUACACGAGGUUCCAACCAGGAACAGUAUUCAAACACAGAUUGCAUAAGGAAGGUAUCGAAAACAUAAUUGCUAUGCUAUUACAAGCAUUCAUCUCAAAUUUUUAUUUUACAUUACAUUCAACUUCCAAAUACAAUCGACAUUAUUACAAAUUAUUACAAGUUUGUUUCUUUUCAUUUCCACCCCUAAGCUAGACCACUUCGGGGUACCGUUAUCUCUGGUCAAAAUAGUAGGGCGCUAUCUACAGAGCUACGCCCUUUCCUCGCGCCGCUGCACGGCUCGCGUGUGAACCUGAAAUCCCCCAAAACAACGUGGGGUGAGAACUAUAUCCAUAGUUCCCAGUGGGUACGGCCACCCAAGGAAGAAGUUCAACCCACCAGGUCCAAAAAAGGCACUGCAAACAUGUUAGUCCAACAGAUAUCCACAGAUAUUUUAUGCAAGUAUCAAAUACAUGCGUAUGCCUCAAGACAUGCAAUAUGUAAAUUCUGCACUAAUGAAACUCAUGCAACAAGCUAAGUAGAUCAUCUGGUUCUACUUCCUAUCUUGCUAUUUAUAGCUUAUAUCCAUCUAGCUUCUAAGGUUUCUACUACUGUAGAUCAAAGCUAACCACCCGACUCGGCCUCGAGUCAAUCAUCUGCAGAAUAUCGCAUAUAGCCAGGCUCGAGGUGAAGGACAUCUCACAUGCAUCUCAGCCUUAAAUCCACUCAACAGGGACGCAUAUCCACUCAACUGGGAUGCCAACUGGGAUGCAAUUCUACUGAUAUGCUUAUCACCCAAUCAUUCGGCUUACCCGAAGGUUAAGCCCCGACUCACAACCCAAUCCCGCAUCGUGAGGAGACGUCCGCUACACUCACCCGGGACCGUCUGCGGGACAGCUACGUUAGCCCCUACCGUGAAGUAUUCCGGAGACCACUGCUUGGGUGGAGCGACCGCCGACAAGCGAAACAGACGCAAUGUGAGCAUGAUCCAAUCCUCUAACCCGAGGAUACCCUACCAACUAGUAGUAAUCAAGCCGGGAUAAACACCAAUCCCAAUCCUCAUAUACUGAGUAAUCACAUUGUCUCUAGCUAAUGCCACAAUGUCACAAUGUCUCUAACUAAUGCCACAAUGUCACAAUAUCAUGUCCAAUGCUACUUUCGUUGCCACAAUGUUCCAAGUUCUCUUUAUCAUGACACUAUAGAGUUUCCAUGUCCACAAUCCAAUUCGCAUACUCUUAGCCACUAGGUAUCUUUUCAUGCUUCCACAUAUACCACAAGAGAAUGCAAGAAUUGAAAUAACCAACAACUACUCUACGAUGCAUGAAUGCUAUACAUGAACAUAUAUGGCCAACAUCUAUCUAUCAUCUAGUAAUGCUAUAGUAUGUCAACAUGCAUAUAUCAUCUAGUAUAUCCUCACAAUGUCAACAUUCAUAUACCAUCUAGCAUAUUCUCACGAUGUCAACAUUCAUUUACUUUGUCAUUCAAUGGUAGCUAAUACAUAUCAUCUCAUGCAUUCACAUGGCAUCCACCUAUGCAUUCAUAUAUGUAAUGAACUACCGCUACAUGCAUCAAUGACAAACCGCUUCACUUUGGCAUGGAAGUGAUCUAAUCACUUCGGUGAAGCACAACCCACCUCGUAACGCUCUCCGAUUGCUUGUAGUCACUUGUAAUCGGGUUCCCGCGGCACGCGUUGUCCGGUUCGGCCCGAACUCGCAAUCGGCAAUCGAACACUCGCCGAUUCUCAACCUAGGGUCAUCAAGAGCUCAUCUCUAACCUUCAAUUAGAGAACAAUAGGAUUAAAAUAGAUCAAAACCCACAUUUGCCCCAAAACCCCAACUUCUAACCCUAACCCCACAUACCCUCCAAAAUCAUGCUAAAUUCAUGGAGGAACAUGUAUAGAAUACACUAGGGAGCUCUAAAUUGCCAUUCAUGAAGGAUUUAAUCAAAUCCCAAACACUUACCAAAAUGCGAACACCGAGUCGAAAGCACACCGCUCCACCGGGCGCACGAAGACUCGAUCCGUCGCUCCCAACGUGUUCCCAAGCUCGCUCUCCGCCAAGCCCGCGAAUUUGAGAGAGAGAUCUAGAGAGGGAAGGUGGGAAGCUAGAGAGAGAGAGGGGCUUCUCUCUAUAUCUCUUGUGUGUGUGUGGUGUGUGUGUGGGCUGAGGAAGAAGGAGGAAGGGGAAGAAGCCCCCUUUAUAAAGCAACCCUCCUACAAUUUACCAAAAUGCCCCAGCCCUCCUGGGCACUUUUCGGGUUCGGGGUCCGGACCCUGGCAACUAGGGUCCGGACCCCGUAGGUCCAGACAGCCCGAAAUUCAGCAUUUCAGCCUUUUGCCAAUUCUCGUCCGUUUUGCUUCGUUUUCGCUCGUUGGGCCUCCGAUUCGUCUCUAAUUGUACCGAGACCCCCAAAACACGUUUUCGAGCGCGUUUAAACCAUCUUUCAUCCACGCUUUGUCGAAUUUAGGCCAAAGUCCAAUCAAAGCCUUUUGGGUUCCGUUUUCGCGCUCGACGCAUACCGAAAACACCCGAAUGCUCCCGAACUUCACCGAAACUACUCUAACAACUCUUCAAGCAAGUUCCCACCGAAACUUCACAACUUUAGGAGUUCGAUAUAUCACAAAGCGUAUCCAAGAAAUACACAAGUGGCUGCUCUAACACCUAAUUUGGGUCUUUUAGGGUCUGGUAGCCUCACAUAUGCUAGACAACCUCACACUUUAAGAUAUUCCAAAUUUGGCUUAUACCCUUUCCACAAUUCAAAGGGUGUCACCUUAGACUUCUUAUGUGGCACGCGAUUCAAGACAUAACAUGCAGUUAAAAUAGCUUCACCCUAAAGGUUUAAGGGUACACCAGUGUCAACUAUCAUAGUAUUUGUUAGCUCAAUCAGUGUUCUAUUUUUUUCUCUCAGCUACUCCAUUAGAGGCAGGCGAAUAUGGAGCAGUAGUUUCAUGGAUAAUUCCUAAAGACUGAACAAAAGUGUUGAAUCCCGUAGAUUCACACUCACGACCUCGAUCACUUUUAAUUCUCUUAAUCUUUUUACUGAAUUGGUUUUCUACUUCAUGUAGAAAAUCUUUAAAUUUGUCAAAAGCAUCACUUUUAUUUUUUAACAAAUAAACAUAAGUAUAUUUAGAAAAGUCAUCGAUAAAAGUGAUAAAAUAUCUAUUUCCUCCAAGAGUUAGAGUACCUUCAAAUUCACAAAUAUCACUGUGAAUUAGCUCAAGUAAUAUGGUACUUCUUUCAAUACUCUUAUGAGGUCGUUUAGUGAUUUUUGCCUUACUACAUUUUCACAUUUGUCAAAAUCACUAUUCAGUCUGGGAAUUAAUCCUAAACUACUCAUCAAGCUAACAUAUUUGUUAUUAAUAUGACACAAACGAGCAUGCCAAAAAUUUAUAGAAGAAAGCAUGUAAGCAGAAGUAGAUAAUACUUUAUUCUCAAUGUUUAGUUUAAAUAUUCCGUCGCAUGCAUAACCUUUACCUACAAACUUUCCAUUCUUUGAAAUCACAUACUAAUCAGACUCAAUGGUCUGUUUGAAGCCAGCUUUAUUAAGAAGAAAACUUGACAUCAAGUACUUCCUAAUCGAGGGUGCAUACAAUACAUCUUUCAAGAUAAGCACCUUUCCAAAAGAAAAUUUUAACUCGACCUCACCACUCCCUAAAACUUCAGAAGUAUGCGAAUCACCAAGCAUAAUAUUUCUUGGUUGUUCAUAGGGAGUAUAUGUUUUAAACCAAGUCUCAUCAUGACAGACAUGCCUAUUGGCACUAGAGUCUACUCACCAUCUUUCAGCAUUCUCCACUAAGCAUAUGUCUGUUAUCAUUGCCCCAAGUGGCUCCUCGGUAACAUUAGCUUGAGGUAAAACUUUACGUUUUCGGAAUUUGCAAAUUCGAGCAAUAUGCCCACUUUUGCAAUAGACAUAGCAAACUAUAUUUUUUACAUUUGAAGGAGGUCCUUGGUCAUUUUUCUUAAAUUGAGGUUUACUAGUAUUCUUUUCAAUUUUCUUCUUAGGCUUCAAGUACGUAUUUCUAGAACGAUUGUUAUUAGGUAAAGAAUUAGAAGAUACUAAGUUUACCUUAGUGGCACUAGCAUCAUUCUCUUUUGCUUCAAGUGCAUCUUGGCCUCUUGCCUCUUCUACCACGCAAAUGCACGCGAUUAAUGUCUAGAGAGACAUCUCCUUUUGCUUGUUGAGAUUUCUAGUUGUAUCGUUGAACUUUUCACGUGUAACCUCCAUUUUUGAAUCUCCUUAAAAUUGUUGGUGUAUAUAUUCAAAAAAUAGAGGUUAGCCACAAAGUAAUAUAAAAAGUGUCAACAAGUCUAUCAAGCCGAGGCACGGAAAUCUCGCUCUCUUUAAGGAGAUUCAAGCCCUCUGCGGUUGGCAAAGCCUUUGAACCGAUGCAGCAAAAUACUGACUUUUUCCCUCUAGAACAAUGGCUCGACCCUCGUCGUGUGGCUUCACCAACUCUGCACGAGUGGAUGAGCCCAAAGCUCCACCAAAAGAACACCUUUUUUUGGCCUUCUCUCUCUCUCUCUCACAAGAAUAGAAAUAACUUAUUAUUUUUCGUUGUUAUGUUGUGCUGUAGAGAAUAGAGAAGCCCUCUAUUUAUAGGCUUCAAAAGAGUAGGAGUUAUAGGUAGUAAACUUAAGUUGUAGGUUAAGGCUUAGGAGUUUACAAAAGUAAAUGUGUUAACGUAAACUCAUUUGAUGUAGGUAAAGUAUAGGUUAAAAAAAACUUACAUUGAAUGCAAGUAAAGUGAAUGCAUAGGUUAUCAUUCUUGUAACCAUAAAUGUUAGAGUAUAGGUUAUGUUAUCUUCAUGCAAGGGUUAUAAAAUUUAAAAUUCACAUUUAAUAAUAAAAAUGUAACAACAAGAACAAAGCUUCAUGUGAAAUCAAGGAAAUAUAUAUUUCUUGGUUAUGGAGGUAAUAAGUUGGGCUAUAGACUUUGGGAUUCCGUUGUUAGAAAAACUAUUUGGAGUCGUGAUGUUGUGUUUAGAGAAGAUAUAAUGUUUAAAGAAGGCAUGGAAGAAGAGCAAAAGAAAUAUAAGCUUGUUGUUGAUGUACAAGUUGAUGGUUCUUCUCACAAUGUACAUGAAGUUCAUCCUCCACUUCAUGAUAGUGAUGUUGGUCAUGAUGGUGAUGUUGAUCAUUGAUGAUAGCACACAAUCUAGUGAAAGUCGGCAUGAUUCUCGUGAGAGCGAGGAUGAUAUGUCUACCCUGUCGGCACGUGAGUUGAAAAGAUCAACUAAGCUACAUAAACCCACCCAAAGGUAUUCUCCUUUCUUGUAUUAUGCUUUAUUUACUGAUUUGGGUGAGCCCAAUUAUUUUCAGGAAGCAAAUGAUUGUCCUAAAAAAACAAAGUGUAAAAGGGCAAUGAAGGAUGAUUCCUUAUAUCAAAACCAUACUUGGAAGUUGGUGGAGCUUUCCGUCGAAAAGAAAGUAUUGAAAAAUCGAUGGGUUUAUUUGAGCAAGAAUGAAGCCGAUGGAUCCAAUAGAUAUAAGGCAAGGCUUGUUGUUAAGGGCUAUGGACAAAAGCAAGUUAUUGACUUCAAUGAAAUAUUUUCUCCCAUUGUUAAGUAUUGCUCAAUUAGAGUUGUUUUAUCCUUGGUUGCAAAUUUGGAUAUUGAGCUUGAACAACUUGAUAUUAAAACUGCUUUCUUGCAAGGUGAUUUUGGAUGAAGAAAUUUAUAUGUUUCAACGAGAAGGCUUUGUAGAAGCUAAUCCUAAUUUACUAUGUAGACUAAAGAAGGGACUACAUGGUUUAAAGUAAGUAUCUAGAUAGUGGUAUAAGAAGUUUGAUUCUUUCAUGCAAGAUGAAGGUUACAAAAGAUAUGAUUUUGAUCAUUGUAGUUAUUUUAAAGGCUCAAUAUAUGAUUCUUUUACUAUUUUGUUACUAUAUAUGGAUGACAUGCUGAUUGUUAGUAAUGCUCAAAAUGAUAUUAUAAAGUUGAAACUUGAUAUGUCGAAGCAGUUUGCUACUAAGGAUCUUAGUGAACCAAAGAAAAUUUUGGGCAUGCAAAUUAAAAGGGAUAGAGACCAUGGCAAGUUAUGGCUUAGUCAACCGAGCUAUAUUUUCAAAGUUCUUGAAAGGUUUGAGAUGAAAGAUUGUAAGAUGGUUUAUAUUCCAUUAGCCGGGCAUUUCAAGUUAUCCAAGAAGAACUCUCCAAAGAAUGAGAUCGGAAGAGAUAAAUGAAGAAUGUUCCUUAUAAUUCCAUUGUUAUGAGCUUGAUGUAUGGUAUGGUUUGUACAAGACAGGACUCAGCUUAUGCAGUUGGAGUUAUUUCAAGAUAUAUGUCUAAUCUGGGAUGGGAGCAUUUGUAAGCCGUUAAAUGUAUUCUUCGGUAUUUGAGGGGCACACAAAAUAUUUGUUUGUGUUUCGGUGGAACUUCUUUGGGGGUGAAUGGAUAUGUUGAUCUUGAUCAUGCCGACUGUAGAGAGAUAAGAGAGUCCACUACGGGAUAUGUUUUUACAUUUGGAGGUAGUGUGGUUAGUUGGAUGUCUAAGUUGCAAGGCAUCGUUGCUUUGUCCUCUAGGGAAGCCGAAUAUGUUGCCUUGACCAAGGCGGCGAAGGAAAUUAUUUGGUUGAAGCGAUUGCUUGCACAAUUUGGAGUGAAGCAAAACAAAUAUGUUGUGCAUUGUGAUAAUCAAAGCGCAAUUCAUCUUGAAAAAAAUGAGGCGUUCACUCCCGAACUAGGCAUAUUGAUGUUCACUUUCACUUUAUUCAGAUGACAUUAGAUUGUCAACAAUGUGGAGAAGAUCAAUACAAAGAAAAACCUUGCAGAUAUGUUGACAAAGGUUGUUUCUAUGAAAAAACUCAUAUUUUGUAGAAAGCAACACUCUGGAUUGAUCGAGAUGUAGAUUGAGUGGUUGGAGAAUAAUGCAUUUUAAAGAAGCUUAUUUGAUGGAUGGAGAUUACUUGUUAGAAGGAUGGAGAUUUACCUUCAAGUGAGAGAUUGUUGAACUAAUUAUAUUGGGCCUAUUUGUUAUUUGGGUUUUGCUGUUUGGGCUAUAUAAUUUGGUAAAGUCAAAAUCUCCUAUUUUUAUAUUUUCUUAUUAUGUAUGUGUGCCCCCUAUUUAUAAGCCUUUGGAUCAUGAUUCUUUUGAUCCAAAGGCCCAUAUUGAUAGCUUCUCUUAGGAGCUAAAGCAGAAUAUUAGAAUAUUAGAGAGAAAAGAAGAGUGAGAAAUAGAAAGUGAGAAAGAAGUGGGAGAAAAGAGAGGAAAUCCUAGAGCUUGGUUUUGGUUCUAUCAAGAAGGAGGUGAGAUCUUCCUUGUGAGGUGUGGUUUACACUAUUUGGAUAGAGCUAGAGAUUGUUGGAACUCUUUUUAUAUUUUAGAGUUAAGAUGAUAUUUUUUUCAUUUGAAUCUCUCUUGUAAUCUCUAAGUUUAUAGUGAAAGUUUCUGUUGCAUUGUUCUUCUGUGGAUGUUGGUAUAGCCGAACGACGUAACUCCUUAUGUUCUUGUGAUUUUGUUUAUUUUGUUAUUGCUCUUAUGAUUGGCUCUCCAUUAGAUACUUGUAUAGAGUGGAUUGUGAAAAUUGCCAACCAAGUAUUUGUAAAAUUGUAUUAAUAUUUUUCAUCCUCAUUUUACAACAAGACGAAUACUUUUGAGUUUCAGCCUAGACUCGAAGACCUCAAGACCUCUGCUCGAGGUUUGAACCCAAUCGGACCGUUCCAUCUCUAAUUCGUUCUCGAGACAAAGUCAAAUCGACUUGCACAUCGAGAGACAUUAGAAAACAGGCAAACUAGAUCGUGCCAUACACCACUUUGCAAUUUUCCAGUCAACACAAGUAGGCGAAAUAUUGAAGAAAUAUUUGACCGGAACGCAUAGACAUCUCCAAAAUUAAAUAACUAAAUAAAUAACUAGUUAAAUAUGUAAAUUUCUCUUUUGACCCCCAGUUAUAAUAAUUCCCAUAUUGUGAAUACAAUGAUUCGGUUAUGAUAUAUCGGAAAAAAGAGAACUGUCUUUGCAUCUUUCUUUGCAACUCAGUCAAACUUUCCGGACAGGAUUAGCAAAAAAAAAGUCUUUGAUAUCAGUUAAAAGACCCCACUCAGAAAUAGGGAAAAUUGAGGAAGCACAAUGGUAAGUUCUCAUAAGAAAGAGAACUAAAAAUUAGCUCGGGAGGAUGCAAAUAAGAUAACACCGGUACCUUAUUUUCUUUACUAUUAUUAUUAUUGUUAUUACUAUGAAAUACCAAAAAAUAAGAAAGAAAGCGGAAGCACUAAAUAUGACUAGAUUCAAAAAAAAAAAAGAAGAAAAUACAAAAAUACAAAAAGAAUGAAAAUUAAGUGUGAGCCUUAUAAAAUGGUAUAUGCCUCAUAUUCUAAACACCUUGCUGUUGCUAUACCAUCAUAGAUGGAGUAGUAAAGUAAAUCGAUAAAUGGAAUAAAAUAGGGAAGUGAAGAGUGAUGAAUCAAUGCAGCAGUUACUUCUCAGUACUAGAUCUCUAGUCUUCAUUUCAUUACUUGGUACGAUAAACAAAAGAGGAAACAACUGAACUGACAAAAGCAAAUUUAACUAUUAUUAUUUAUUAAAAUUUAAAAUGAAUACAAAAAUUUAACAAUUAUAGAAAGGAGAGCAUUACAUGCAACUUUAUUAUAUUAUGUUACAGCUUUGCCACAAUGGAACAAUUAACGUUAAACUAAGUUCAGCUGGCUUCGAAAUCGUCAGUCUUGAUUCAAUUUCAACCGGUUCAUCGUCUUGCAGGUCGGUGUGGCUUGUUCUGCUGACUCUUUCCUGCCGAACACAACGAACCAAGUGGGGGAAAAUCUUCCGAAGAGAAGGGGCCAUCGCGAGUCCACUUCAUGCCCUCUGAGCUUUGCUCCUCUCUGGGUACGUUAACCUGUUCGGCUCGGGGCGGCAGAGUCGAUGCUGGUCGUGCUUGGGCCAAUGGCGUGGACGCUGGUUGGGGUUGGGCCCGCGAGCUUACUAACUCGUUCACCGGAGCUGGCACCAGAGGGUACUGGAGGGGUCGAAGAUUCUGUAGUUCAGGAUCAGGAAUGAAUCUGUAGGGAAGCUUGCGACCAUCCAUUUUUCUGAACGUAAUUGAGAUCCUGUUGAAGGAUUAAGGAUAAAAGAAGAGGAUUGUUAGGAAUUAAUAGCAGCAGAGAUGAAGUCGUAUAAUUUGAGAUAAAAACUCUCUUGUAGUGUUAGGAAGUGUUUUAUCUGUGUCAAUCGUACUGUUUCGAUGCAUUACCUCUUGGUGGGCACAGCAGGUACGCAAUGCUUAGCUACAUCUGCGCCAUUACCAUUCAAAACAAGCACCGACCUGCAAGUUAAUUCGGUCACAGUUAAGAGUCAAUUCCAAAACAAAAGUACCUUGUAAUUAGAUAAGAAUAGGUAGGAAUGAAGAAAGAAUACAAUUUCUUUGACAAAUACAGUCGAUGGCCAAAAGUAUGUAUGAAAUAAAACUGAGAGCAUUUGAUUGCCAGAGUUGUAGCUUUCCUACGUAAAAUAUGUUAAAACUAGCUAGUGUAAAAUAAUAUUGAGGGUCCAAAUUUUCUCCCUACAACUGAUCACUAAUAGAAUUGUUCAAAAACUACAUCUUGGGGCAUUUGAAUCUUCUCGGUACUAAUUUCUAAGUGCCUUUCAUGGAAUCGAUAUAACCAUUCCAUGAUGCUUUUUAUACUCGCAAUGCACAAUUAGUUGGUUGUGCAUAAGACAUCUGACUAUGUAGUAUGAGAAAACUUUAUAAUCCACUUGCAUAGCUAGACCUAGUACACCCUUUUAGUUGAAAUGCUAGUUUCCUGAACUGUAUAGGUUGUUCUGCUAGUAAAAGUCAGUACUCGAAGCUUUUAGAACACACAUACAGCAAAUUAAAGUUAAUAGAUACACCAGGGAAGGCAUUUCAAAAGCAAUUGUUUGAAAAGUGUGCUGCACAUCAAGGAAACAAUACAGAAAAUUGGUGAAUUGCCACAACAUGCAAAAAAAUUAUACUAAUACACAAGAGAGACCUCGGAAGCUGCUCAAUCAAACAUAAGAUAAAAGAAGUGAUGAGAAUGGUUUUUUUCUUAAAAAAAAAAAAAGGAAGAGUACAAGGCCAAAACAUAAGUGAACUCAUAUAUAACAUUUAAACUAGAACUAAACACCAAAAUAGUGAUCCUCAAAUAAUUUGGAAACAACAACUUAAUCAAAACCAGCAUAUUUUAAUGUUGAAAAUGGAAAUGAAGUUAGGAUAUGAGUAGAAAUAAUGAGAUAAACCACUGUUAAUGAUUAACAUACCCGACUGGUAAAGGAAUGGAAGUAGGGGCUGCAAACACUCCCGGCGAGACCACUUUGAUGUAGGUUCCAAAGAGAAUGUUGCACUGGGAGAGCAAGGAAACGGUGCAAAAGGGUCGAACGAAAUCGUGGUGGUCGAUAUGAGGAGGGAUGCAGUCAUCUUCAUCAUAGAUGUUUAUGAUGCAACUGUUUGGGACACACGUUGGCGGGAGCACAUGCCACGCCACCAUCCUCUUAAUCAUAGUCUUCAGUAUGGGAGGCAUUGGAUCGACUUCCUCGUCCCGCAUUAUUCCUGGAAGGUUUCCAUUGUUAUCCUGAAUAACAACAAGUUUUAUUAUCAAAACAAAAGAACGACUAAACAAAGAGAUGCAAAAGAAUAAAAAAUAAAAACUGAAACUACGGUAUGUAUUAAUUUACCUUUGCAUAGUUGUAGCAACAACCAAAUUGUAUAGUCACGCGCCCUUUCCCACGCAUCCACUUCUUUGGCUCUGAAUAAGUGCGCUCUGUGAAGCAGAAAAGUUGUUAGCGAACCGAUAGGGAAAAAUCGAAAUAUAUACAUAAACAACAUGAAAAAGCAUAUAGCAACCGAUUUCCAAAGUAAAUGCCUACUGCAAAAUAUCCAAGGAAAGCAGUAAAGGAUGCAUUCACGCUACAUUCAUCAAAAGCAGGAACUGAAGGAGACAAUGCGCUUAUACCUAUAUUUUCAUCAAGUGGAGUAAAGGAACACAAUUGACGUAUAUUCAAUAACGGGAAAAAAAAAAAAAAAAAGAAAAGAAGAAGAAGCACAUAUAACAUUUACCAAGGCAGUGACGAUGAUAUUGAUCGUGCCUAUGUUUAUAUUUUCAUCAGGUGCAGUAAAAAGAGAACGGAAAGAAAACAAUUACAUAUUAUGCAAUAAGAGAAAAGAGAAAGGAAGCAUCUAGGGCAUUUGACAGGCAAACGACAGCGACACGACAGCAACAGCGGCUCCAUACAGCAUAGAAUUCAUCGGAAAGAUCCGAAAUUUUCUAUCGAUUUGAAGCUGCGCUGCAUGCGGGCAGAACUGACAUUCAAACUGAUUCUGGCUUCCGUAGAAUCAGCCAGGCCAUAAAUUCCCCCCUCUGUUCUUUUCUUGGAUCAGUACCCGUAAACCAUUAUAUUACCCCAAGAACAAGUUAUGAAUACUAUGGUUUCAAAAUUUGUUUCAGUUUCUUGAAUUAUUAAAAGAAAGGAAAGGAAAGAAGAUCCUUUACCUCUGAGCAAUCCACGCCUUCCUCGCUGCUGGAAAUCCAAGACGCAGUCGACGAUCCUGUGCUGCUCGGCGGCGGAGAAGACCCCCUCGUGGAGCUCGAGGCCUUCGAGGACGUUGACCCACCUCCCCCCGACCCUCUCCAUGUGCUUAAAAUCCUUCUUCCUCUUCACCAGAGACAACAUUAUGGCCUCCCUCUGCUCCCUCGGGAGCUCCUGCUCCUUCUCCUGCUGCCGGUGAUGCCGACUACGCUCUCCGUCGCCGCCCAUGAUCGCAGAGAAGGCUCCUCAAACAGAAGCAGGUGAAGAAGAUGAGGAAGAUGAGCAAGAAGACUCGCCUAAAAACAAGAAAACCAACAAGCGGUGCCCAUCAAUACAAGUGACAAGAAACAACUACUAAGGGAACACAGAAAACAAAGAGAGCAAAAUCCCCAAUGAGAAAAUUUUUCAGAAGUACUAGGAGAACAUGGAUACAUACCGCUGUGAUAUUAAAGGCGAUCUCUCUUCUCCUCCUUCUUUAUCUUCACCCUUUACUGCUGUGUUUCUGUUUCAAUCUUGAUCUUCCUUUCUCUUUCCCUCUCCGUCUGUCUCUCCUUCUGUGCUAUGGUAUGUUUAUAUAUAAACGAGAGGGGCAGGCAAAUGAGAGAGAGACUCGGAAAGAGACUCGGAAAGCAGGCUGCGCCGAAUCUUACGAGGAAAUAUUAGAUUCCUAGUCCGACUUGGAUUUAGUUCUAAAUCUCUCUAUCUCUAUAUCUUCAAUAUCUAUUAUUUAUUAUUUAUUACUAUAUAUAGGAAUACUGUCCGUUUGCUGAAACAUAUCGCGGCCAUAUACCCGGUGCAUCAGGUUAUUUUUAUUUUAAUAUAUAUAUAUAUAUAUAUAUAUUUAUAUAUGUAUAUAAUGGAUAUAUAAGCACUAUUAUUCUAAUUUGGGUCUGUUCGACAGACCCAUUUUUGGCGAAAAAAAAAUAUUUGAUUCCUCUUUUCUUACUAAAAUAUAUAAAUAAAAUGAAACAAAUUUAAUUUCUAUUAUCUCUAAAAUAGAAAAAUAAUAUAAUUAUCAAAUUUUUACAAGAUAUAUCUACUGUGAAUAUAUUUAUUAAAAAUUAUUUAAUUUUUUAUCUCUAAAUAGAAAAGAAAUUUAUGCUUAUCCAAAUUAUUUGCGCAGAAUAUCUACCUGUAAAUUUAUAUUUCAAUUCAAAUUUAAAAUUAAUUUAAAAUUUAAAAUUUUGGGACUAUCAAUAUAUUACAUAGAAUAAUUUAAAAGAUAGAUUGGUUGUAAAUUGAAAUCAUAUUUUUGAAAUAAUAUGAGUGUACAAAUUUAUGAUUAAUUUGUAAAAAUUAUUCUCAAAUAAAUGAACAAAUUAUGAUCAAUUUGUUAAAAAAAAAUUUAUACGUAUUCUAUAACUUCAAUUCUACGAACAGUUAUGAUCAAUUGUUAAAAUAUUAAAAAUAAAAUAAAUUUUUAUAUUCAAUCUAUUAAAAAGUAGCACUUCAUUUAUUUAUUUUACAUUAAAAUUUAAAUGAGUUUAAAUUGUAAAUUAAAUUAAUUUUUAAUUUUUUAUAUCAAAUCUAUCCAUCUUUUUAUUAUUAAAUUUAAAAUUGAUAAUUGUAGAUAUUCUAUAAAAUGUAACAUAUAAAUUUAUAUAAAUAUUUUAUUCUAAAUUUUUGAAUAAAUAUUGAUUUAAUGUUUACGAUUUAAACAAAUUAAAUAAUUGUUAUGUGCAGUUGCACGUACCAUCUCAACUAGUAUAUAGAUAUAUAUUUAAUAAUAUAUUAUUAUAGAAUUAUGUCCUAUAUAUAUCAAUUAGUACCAAGCCUUGGUACUAUGGUUUUUGGAUGGGACCGUUUGGAUGAAAGGAUAUGCGGUUAGGAUGAUAGUGGUCCCCUAGGGUUGAGUGGGUGGUUGGUUUAAUAGUAUAAUCUAACGGGUGGAAAUGAUCACAUGGUAGAUCUAACGGUAGAAAACUCUAUAGUACCAAAGGCUUGGUACUAUCAAUAGUAUAUAUAUAUAUAUAUAUAUAUAUAUAUAUAUAUAUAUAUAUAUAUUUAGGCUAGAAUGCUAUCAAUAGCACUAAGUUGUUGGUGCUAUUAGGUUUUCGGCCUUUGGAUGAAGAAACGUACGGUUAGGAUGAUAUAGGCCCUUUAGGGUUGAAUGAGUUGCUGGUUUAAUAGUAUAAUCUAACGGGUAAAAAUAGUCAAAGGGUUAAAUCUAAAGGCAGAAAACUCGGUAGUACCAAGUGCUUGGUGCUAUUGAUAGUAUUCCAGCCGGACUCUAUAUAUAUAUAUAUAUAUAUAUAUAUAUAUUUUAUACCUUUUAAUACAAAGACAUUUAAAAUAUAAUAAAAUUAAUUUAAUUAAUUAAUUUUUUUUUUGACAUUUUGUUAUACAAAUUUAUCGGCAUUUAUGAAAUGUAUACAUAUACACUAGGUGCAGGCAAUAGUUUUCAAUAGAGAUGAGCCAUCAUUUGUGGACAUGUGUCCAUUCAAUAGGUGCACCGGGUGCACCAAGAAUCCAAUAAAAAAAAUAUAAUUUUAUUUUAAUAAAUAUGUCUAACAUUUAUAAAUAUUAACAUAUAAAUAUUUUAAAUAUUAUGGAAUAAAUUGAAUUAACUAAAAUUUAGUUUUGGCAUCUUCUUUGUACAACUUUAUUGGUGUGUAUGCUAUAUAUAUAUAUAUGCAAACCACACACUAUGUGCGGUCAAUUACUAUAUAAGCUUCGUUUGGUUCGAGGUUUAGUUCUUUAUUUCAGGGAUAGUGUUAAGUUCAGGGUUAAGGUGGGGUUAGAGUAAUUUUGUAUUUCGUUGAGAAUUGGGUUUAAUCCAGAUAUAAGUAAAAUAAUGUUUGGUUAGAGUAAGUGAAAUAAAAAGGAUAAUGGAUAAUUAUAAAUAAAAAAUAAUAAUAUUACCCCAAUUAUUAUAUUUGAAUUUGAAUUUUUUAUUUUAUAUUUAAAAUUUUAAAUGUAAAUAGACAUAUGCUUAGAAAUCCUAGAAACUUGUUUUUGAAGCUUGUUAUUGAAGCAAGUUUUUUGGAAACUUGCUUUAAGGUACAUGCUUAGAAAUAAGAUCCUUUAGAAAUCCUAGAAACUUGCUUUUGAAGCUUUUUGAUUCAUGUCUUAAAGUAAGUUUCAGUUUUUCGAUCGUCAACUCGAUUCUUAGGCUUUUAUUCUAAUGUUUCUUCGAAAAUCAAGUUGAUGAUGGAUUGAAAGGGUUCUCCUCAUAGCUUAUGAUUUUCUAAGAGAUUCAAUCACCACCAAUUAUUCUUUCUACGGGCUCCGAACGGAGUGUUUGCGCGAGGGCUUUGCGUGAGGCCGAGGAUUCGGUGGACGCUAGUGGAUUCGAGGCGUUGUUGCUGCAAGGAGUUGCGGCGUGAUCGGUUGGAGGUGUUCGAUCGAUCGAGGACCGGCGAAGACGAUCUACGGUGAGGAUUCGGUAAAAGUUGGGUCGUGAAUUUGCUAAAUCACUUUGUACUCAAUUUUUCAUAGUAGAUUGUUUCGUGCGAUCAAUCUCGUGGUUUUUUUACUCCGAAUUGGAGUUUUCCCACGUAAAACCUUAGUGUGUUGGUUUUCAUUUUCCACAUUUGGUUUUUAAUUUGUAUCGUGAUUUUUGUUUUGUCGUUUACACCUAUUCACCCCCCUCUAGAUGUUAUUUUACCUUUUAGAUCUUUGGGAUUCAUAACUUACAAAAUGCAUAUAAGACUAUUUUAUAUAUAUAUAUAUAUAUAACCCGGGGCUACUAUACUUAUAUGAGUAUAGAGAUCUUUGUACUCAUAAGUUUUCGGCCGUUCGGAUGAAAAAAUGUGCGGUUAGGAUGAGAGUGGUUACGACAAGGUUGAUAGUAGGCCCCCUAGGGUUGAGUGAAUGGUUGGUUGAAUAGUAUAAUCUAACAGCUGAAAAUAGUUAAAGGGUAGAUCAAACGGCAAAAAACUUAAUUAUGAGUACAAGAUGCUCUAUACUAAUAAGAGUAUAGUAUAUAUAUAUAUAUAUAUAUAUAUAUAUAUAUAUAUAUAUAUAUAUACUUUUACCAGUUUCCUUUUUCUAAAUUGCCAGCUUUUAAAUACUUGUAAUUUUCCAAAUAUGUAUACUCUCAUAUAUAUCUGUCUGUGNUAUAUAUUAUUUUAUUUGUAAAAUUUUAUUAAUUAUAUAUAUUUUAAUUAGUUGAAAUAUUAUCUACCCGCUGCGAAGUGCGGGCCCUUUACUUGUAUAUAUAAUAUACCAUUCUGGAUUCUAAUUUGUGUCUACUGCACCACGAAUCUAAAGAGUUUAUAUAAAAUCGGACAAUGCAAAUUUGAAAAACUAUCUAUGUACAUACUAUGCAACAAUCUAACUUGUAGGACAACAAAAUUAGUCAUUUAAUUAUUUCACAAAUUGUAACUUAUUGGCAAUGAUAUUUCCAUUAAAUAAAUGUUAACUAUUAUAUAACCAGACAUAAAUAAUCAAUAGUUUUGCAUCAAAUAUAUAUCUGCAAAUAUUGUUUCGAUAAAAUUUAUACAGUAUAGAAUUCUACAUUUUCUAUAAUUAACUAACUUGUGCUUAAAAGUUAAUGUUAAAAGUUUAUGUACACAUGCUUUUUAAUUAUAUAUACAUACAUUAGGGUUAAAUAUAUCAAAGUCCCUCAUUUGGUAAGUACAUUAAUGGCUUCUUGAUAUGAUAAAAUUGAAGUUAUCUGGCUAGAUUAGUAUUUGAUUUAUUGUGAAUUUGGUUGGAUUAGGAUCUGGCUCAUGGGAAGAUAUAGUUAAAGUCAUGCAUUAGCGGGAUUACAUAUUUGAUUCUUAUGAAAAAUUUAAGUACAUAGAAUUCUAGUUUCCUUCAGACAGAUUAAUUUGUUUUAAACUCUUAAAAGGGGACUAAAAAAGAAGCACCAUUACCCCUCAAGACUCAAAUGUUUGAACUGUACUUUUUCUCUCUUGUUAAUAUUUCUUUAUAAUCAAGCCAUCGUGUAUUGUUUAUUGAGGUAUAUUUACACUACUUGCUACAUAAUCUAAUUUCCUUGCAGCAUGCUGCUAUACCCUGUAAUUAUUGUCUUCAUGAUAACUCAUCAAUCCAUGUCUUUCUAUUAUUGCCAAUACUUGGUAUAUCUAGAAUUACUCCAUAUAUUUAUUGAUCUAAAAUAAUACUUCCAUUUACUAUAUAUCUGUCUCGUUAGUUCAUAAAUAGUAUCUUCUUUAAGACCUCUUGAUUGUGCAGGAGGCAGUUUAUUUAAUUUCAUUUUUUGCAAACAUAUUGUUCUCUAGAUUGGAACCCACAAUCACAAAAUAGAUAUAUUGUAAGAACUUAGUUUCUACUAUUAAAUGGUCCAAUAUGAAGAACAACAAAUAGGAUAGAGCUUUCUGAACAAAUGUUGAAUAGAAAAAUUAUAAAGUUGAUUGAUUAGCUGGUUUUUGAACUUCUCAGGAUGUAGCUUCUGCUCAGUAUGAAAUGGAUAGGAUACUUGGGCAUCCAUUCCUGCAACAUUACACAAUAGAUACUUAGAUGCAUCUCAAUGUAUCACUUAAUUAGUUAUAUAUGUUAUAUAGUGGUAGCUAGGAUGAUUUUUGUUACACCUAGAGACAGAAAAUUAGACUAUAGAUAUAUAUGUUAUAUGUUCAAAACUUAUUCAUUGAUCAAUAAUUAGUUCAAAUGUUAUUCAAUGUGCAGGUGGAUCAAAAUGCGUUUAUGCACUUUUUGAUUUACUACUUAAAUAUUUAGAAAAUUUGUUGUCUUAGCAAAUUCAAAGUGAAACUAAGAAAAAUAUGUUUUGCCUCAGAUGUGGAUCUAGUAGUUCGUGCAGUAGGAACUUUUAAACACAAAGAGAAAUACACUGUCUUGGAAGCAGCCAUAUCUAUGAAGGUGAGAAUGUGAUAGUUUGUCUACUCAUUAUUCAUUAAAUUUGAUAUUGUUAUCUUUUUGAGAUAUUAUAUAAUCUAAAAAAUUUUCUGUGAAAUCUGAAAUUUCCUAUAUGCAUCUAAAAAACUUUUUAUAUAUAUAUAUAUAUCAAAUUCAAAACCAGCUUUUCCAUGAGAUAGUUUGAUUCCGUAAGUUAAGAUAAGGCCAUUUUUUUAGAAAUCUACAUUUUUGACGAGCAUAUAAGGGUAUAUGAUAAAACCCUUACCUAUUUUUUAGUUUAACUGAAUGAAGAAUUAGCUAUAGACUUCUUUUUCUUGUAAGCAGACAACAUAUGUUCAUGUUUGUGAUGACACAGACUAUGCUUGGAGAGCAAAAGGUUUCCAUAAAGAAGCAAUAGCUGCUAGUGUUCUAGCUAUAACAAUAGCUAGAAUAUAUCCUAGAGUGAGCAAUGGUGUUUCUUUAUAUGGCAUAGCAUAGUAGUUUAAUAUUUCUUUUUUUUUUUUCUGAAGAAAGUAUUGCAAUACUCCUCCAUUUGCUCACUUGUUAUGACUACAUUUUGAGGACCUCUAUCAAGUUCAUGAAUAAUGGAAGUGGUUUGCAAAUUUUGUACUUGUUUUUUUGUAAGUUCAUUGUUCUUGAAUUUUUUUUAUUUUUUGUAUUUUUUUUAGUUAGAGAGUUUGAUUUGUUACAUGUGAGUGGAUAUUAUUAUUGUGAUGUAUGGAUAUUAGAUUUAGUUCUACCAUUCUNAUUUAUCUAAACAUCUAGUGUUAAGUUUUAGUUAGAGAGUUUGAUUUGUAACAUGUGAGUGGAUAUUAUUAUUGUGAUGUAUGGAUAUUGGAUUUAGUUCUACCAUUCUAACAGUAAUUUUAGAAACUUUGUUGAUUUCGAUGUUUUUAGUUUCAUUGAUUUAAUGUAAAUGUGAUUAGCUUAACUAAAACUUAACACUAGAUGUUUAGAUAAAUAUUAUUCUUUUAAUGACAAUGGGAAUACUUAUAAAGUGUCACUAUGCAAAAAAGAUAUUACCAUUUUUUUUUUCAAAUUAGGGACACUUAUGUGUGUUAUUAAAAGCAACAGAAAGUGUCACUAAAUUGCAGCACUUUUUAUGUUCCAAGGACGCUCAAAAGUGUCGCUAUAGCCUAGUUUUGUUGUAGCGACACAAUCACAAAACAUCCAGAAGGGCCUAAUUGUGCAUAUUUGGUUAGCAAGAAGCUCCCCCACACAUUCGUUGGAUCCAACACUAAACAACCCUCUAAUGACAACUAACAUUGAAACGAUGCAGCGAUAAUAACAACAUCCUACACACGGUACAUUCACAGCAAUUAUAGCAAAAUGAAAGAUGAGCUGAUUAAAAUUUGGACCAAGACAUGCAAGGAGAAUGUCCACUAAACGUCAUACAAGCUACCUGAAAGCCUCAAUGUGUUAUUUCUAGCAAUAGAAAGGCAAGAUCACAGCCAAUAAUGAAGCUCAGGCAUGACAAAGUGCAUAAUUGCCAGGGAAGGAGGAAGAGCUCCGGGAUUGGUUGUCGAACGCAUGGGCAGCCGACAAUGGUAGAGAGCCUGCCAGAAAGAGAACCCAAAGGGGCUCAGGUUAACAAGCUAUGCGGCCAUGGUGCAACUCGAGCUAGCUACUGUUCGACAUAAGUAGCACCAAACAACCGUAGAAAGGAGAAAGGAAAAGAUAAGGGCCGCCAAGGCUUCAAUCUACGGUCACCACCAGUAGUGUAGGCCAUAGAGUGGAAAAGCCCACGAGGAUGGCUUGACCAGGUAAGGUCGCUCAUUCUAAUAGGUAGAGAUCACACGAAAAAAAGGUGGCGGGAAAGACCUGUCACGCCCGGGUUCCAGCGGAAGCCUACCCGGUACAUGCACAGACCAGCCGUAUACUCAAGCAUACAAGGCGUCUGCAAAAACCAUGCUAGUAAAGUAAUAACAAGUAAGAACAUCUAACAUGGUAUCAGAGCGUAAAAUAUACAAAAUCCACUAAAAGCAACAGGAAGCCAGAGUAUAAACCUACAAAUACAACUCUCCCACAAAACUCAUACAUCACACGAUCACAAAACGGCUAUAUAUACAUGUGUUAGUCUCUAUACAAAGGUAGCACAUCAUCCUCGCUGACACGUCCCAAAACAGAGAGGUGAUCAUCUAACGGGACUCCAAGCUAUGCCUCGCUAGAUGCGACUAUCUUGCCGCGGUCCCUAGCCUCUCCCACUGUGGAUGGCUUUGUAAAUAGACAACAACAAAUAGGGCAUGAGAACUAUUAGUCAAUAGUUCCCAGUGGGUAAGCCGCCGACCUCAGCGAAUUACACCACUAGGUUCACAAAGCAUAAAUAGAAAGCAUGUACACCUACAACAUGAUAGGAAUAAUAAGCAACUAAUGAAUUGUAAAACUACUAUGCUUUCAAUGAAACUAACAGUGUGCUACAAAUACAUGAACUACUCUAUAUGCGUAAGCAUUCUAUAUCAUUUCAUAAUUGUACACUAUCUAGCAGUGACCAUCUUACUAGUACAAUUUAAUAUUGUUAUUCAAUUCAUAAGAACCUACACAAGGUAGUCCGGCUUGCGCCGCGCCUAAUGGCCCCGUGGUAGUAUGCACUCCCCACGGCAAUCCACUUCGACACCCAAUCCCGCACGGG